GCUGCCUCAAGACUUGAAACAAAACAAAUUGGAGGGCGAGUCAGAGGUCCAUUUCCAUUAAUCCAUCAAUGGAUAGAAUUCUGCUUGCAAACAGCAUGAUCAUUGCCUUUCAAGCAAGAGGUUAUCCCGAGCGCAUCUCCCUCUGCUCUUGAGAGUACUCUGGUUAAGUUGCCUGAAGAACUUUUGAAGGGUAAACCAAGUCUGGAUACUAACUUAAUUGCGGGAGUACCCCCGGCUGAAAUUCUGGCCAGAUGUGAGUUUUUGGAGCCAUUAUCUGAAGCUACUUUGUCAGAUUAUGAGUGGCUGGUUGCUAAUCUGCAAAAACCUGCUCCUGUCUUGAUGAAAAGGGUGCAACGUUACUUGUCAUCAUUAAUCUUUAGCUAAAGGUACAUUGAAAAGUUAAUGGCACUGCAUACCAGUCAUUAUAAUUGGGUCAGGGCAAUUAGGUCAGAGCAUAACUUCAUUAGGAAAAGAGGCUUCAGCUACGUUAAAUAUUACAGGAUGUACAGAGAUGGCUGAAGUUGUUGAGGUUUUACGAGAAACGAAAGAUGAGUGUUUGUUUGAACAAAGUUGUUGCCAAUCUUGCAGAGUUCGAGAAGAAAGAUCACAGAGCGAAUGCCACCGAUUUCUUCAUCAUUGUAGCCUCCAUAGUUGAAGUUUCCUCAUUUGAAGCUGUUUAUGCAUUAAGCUUAUUCCCUGCUCAAGUACAGGAAACUGAAGAAUUAACCAGACAUGAUAUGCUGAAAGAGGGAAGUUUUCUUCCUUGAAUGUGGCCUUGUGAUUUGUAGUGAAGUAAUAGGAUGAUCACUAGCAAGAACCCUAUCAAGGUAGACUUUAUAAUGUCAACAUAUUAUUAAGCAUUUGUCAAUUUAGCACUUUCGCAAUGAUACAUUCAUAGCAUGAAAUUAAUUAUAUGAUCCUGAUUAAUCAAUUAAUCUUCAUGAGAUUUAACCUAGUUAAAACUAAGUACAAUCAUCGUUAACAAAUACUGAAAUUGGGUAAAUAUGAUCUCGACAUUGAAGAAUUUGAAAACACAACCCACAGAGGAAAUUACUUAUUGCAUGGGGAUGGAGAUGGUUACUGCAGGGAUAUAGAAUAUGUGCAAGGUGUUGUCCACUGCUCGUUGGGUUAUGGUGUGACUUGCGAUUUCAAGGUUGCCCUGAAACAAUGGAAAAGAUUAACAUAUCCUCCAAUGAAUAAAAACGGCUUGACUAAUUCAAAUUACUCAGGAUCAGGUGGCAAUAAAACAGUCCAUUUACUUUUCCAGGAUCAGAUGUUGAUAAUAAUAGUUUAUUAAAUGAAAAAUCAUUGUUCUUGGGGGUUGGUUGUAUACGUCAUUACUACUUCAAGUAGAAGAAAAAGGUUGUGUAGGUGAUUUCAGAAAUAAAAUACAUUCUGAGAGAUGAUGGUCCACUAUUGCAUGCCCCCCAGAUUUAAUAAUCAUCACUUUUCCUUAAAAAACUGCUACGCUUUGAUUUUAGUGCUGAAUAUUUAUUGAACUCUGAUAGAGGGAGUUUGAAGUCAAACUCGUAAUUACAGGUUAUCUAAUUGCGAGUUGCUGUCCAUAGCUGUUGAUUUGUAGUGAUUAUUUAAUUGACUGAGGUAACAACAAUUUUUUUUUUAAUUUUCAGUAAAAUAAAUUCUCCUAGUUAAUUUGUUUCAAGUUAAAUUAUUAAUUACUUAAACUCUGUUUUAAGUCUUUAAUUUUAUGUCUUGGCGUAUAUGCAAAAUUGGAUUCUUGAGCGUGCUGGACACGACCAACAAUGAAAUUGACAGUAAAUAAACAUUACAACGUGUGGACUCCGGUAGCUACAAGUCUACAACUUCACAAAUAAUAAUUGAGUAAGCGCCUUUGAUUCUCGGGACCCUUCAAUGAAUUUCUAGUCCCGUUGACUCCGCCGACUAAAGUUCUGUUAAAAAAAAAAAUACAUAGAAUUCCACCAAAUGCAAAACGCGUGGAAUUUAAUUUUCGGCCAUGUGGACCGAAACAUAAUUUAACAAAAAAAGAAAAAAAAUGAUAAGAUUUCUAAAACGUGUGGAAGGUGAUCCAUAUUUUACUGAAACGACUUGUUAAAAUUUUCAAAGAUUUAGAAUAUUUGGUUAUAAAUUACGCUCAUGUUAAUUUUUCUGCCAUUGACUAUCAUAUUCUAGACUUAAUGGUACCUUUCUUGAUGAAGGGUACUUAGUCUCUCUUCUCGUCUUAUAAAAAUUAUAUUAAUUGAUUUCUUGUUAUAAUUAAUAGUCUUUAGGAACGGAUAACUUUAUUGUUUUCAUGACCAAAUUAUGCCUCCUAAGCUUGCGACUAUUAAUAAAAUUAAUAUUUAAUAUUUAUGUUAAAAGAUAUAAGAUUUUAUGCAUUCAUUAAUUGUUAUUAGCUAAAUGAUGAAUUAUUUUUUAAACCCAAUCAGUUGAUGCAUCUGCAAGAGUUUUUUCUUUUAUUGACCAUAAUUAUAUUCCGGGUACAAUAAAUUGUCAUUGGUGCUUGGAAAAUAUGACUUCUUACUUCAAGUUUGAUAUGUCUCUCUCCAUAAGCUUACUGGAAAUAUAUCCUCAUCUACUGUCAUUUAUCUAAUAUCAAUUGAAAGAUCUCACUUUUUCAAACUAUCACUUCCAAGUCUCAUUGUCACUUAGCCAUUCUUGGACCAUUCAAAACCAAUCUGUUGAAAUAAUCAAAUAUAUGCAAAAUUAGAGUCACGAUUGUUGGUCCCCCAAAUUCUAAUUAUAUAUCUUCUAUAUAUCUCAUUGUCAGGUCACGAACUUGUUGGCAUAUUUUCCAAAUUCCUCUUCCAUCAGCUCUCACAUGUUAACUUGAGUGGAAAGUUUCCAAGUUGAUUGCUAGAAAGCAACGCAAAAUCAGACACACUUGAUCUAUCCCCUAAUUCUCGUUUCUACGUUGAAAAAGAAAGUAUAUAUAUAUAUCUAUGUAAAAAUAAAUAAUAAACUGAGUAAAAGUACAUUUGUUUAAUUAACAUCUGAUCGGGGCAUUUUUGGUGUAAUUUCGUGCCGUGUAAGCCACAACUAAAAUCAAACAGCCCCUUAGCAUACUUCUUCCAUAUUAUCUGCUACUUUUGUGGAUCUUAUAGGGUGGGCAUGUGGACAGAAUUUAAAAGUUUUAAUAGUCUCAAAGAAUAAGAUAUGUUAAAGCUAAAGUUGUUGCACCUUCUAAUUAAAUAAAGUUGCAUAAUUUCACCAACUUGAAAGAAUUGACAUUAAUGGACUGGUCCCCUCUCCAUAUAUGAAGCCUUCUUAAAAGUUAAUUUUUAUUUCAGAAAAAAAAAGUUUAAGUUACAUAUAUUACAGUAAGAUUUUUUGAGACCAAUUCCCUUCUUCAAAUGAUAAUGGAAAAGUAUUAAUUUAAAAAUAGCAUGAAUAUGUAUUGAUUAUAUCUUGAUUUUCAUCAAUUAUAGUCAGAGUUUCUCCAAAUCAAUUCCCUUAUUCAAAUAAUACAGAAAAUAAUUUAAUAGUAAAAUAAAUAGGUGUUGAUUAUAUAUCCUAAGUUUCAUCGAUUAUGUGAUCAAAGUGGCAUUGUUGAUUUAUUUCUUGUUCAAUGUUAAUUAAUUUUAGGGGAAUAUUCGGCCAACCUCUGUAAUUUCAGAGUGAUCAUUAAUUAAUUAAACGAUACAAAUAUCUAAAGUGAUUAGAUGUUUGCUGACAAUACAAGUUCAUGGCUUGAAAUUUGAUCUCUAUCGAUUGGUUUACAAAUGGACGCACUUGUGCCUUUGUGGCGAUAAUUGAACAGAGAUGUGAAGUUGUAAAGAUUUGGCAGUAGUAAAUUGUUAUAAAGACAUAAUGACAAGUUCCCAUGAUUAGUAUUUUUUUCCAAAAACUUUGUUACAACAAAUUCAUCUCGCCCAAAAAUUCUAUUUUGCUAACUAACAAUAAUUGAGCACUUGGCCGCAUUGACUCCACGUCUCCACCUACUUUGUAAGUAAAAACAUGGAAAUGUAAUCUCCACAAAAUGCCAAACGUGUGGAAUUUAAUUUUUGGCCUUGUGAAUCAAAAUGCAAAUGAAAGAAAAAGAGAGAAAAAAACAAGGCCCAAAGACUACGAAAAGAUAUAAAAGUCUUUGGGCCUUUUUAUAACGGCGAAUUUUUUAAAAGGCAAAAAUAACAACACUUCUAUGGUUUGUUUUGAUAAUCACAUUUACAUAUACUCUCUAAUUUUCAAAAUGGACACAUAAAUCUUUUUUUUUUCUACAAAUGUAUAUUAUUCGUAUUUUUUAUUAUUUUUAAUAUCAUAUUGUUAUUUAUUAUAAAUGUUUAAAGUAAAUUUUUAGGUUAAAAUAUAAUAAAAGGGUAUAAUCGUUCUCUUAUUAAACACCCAUACUUUUAGUUUCUAUCCAUUUGUCAUCUCAAUCUCUCUCAAUUAUUCUUUAUUGCUAGCUCAAAACGCGUUGCUGUUGCAAAUUAUAGCAAAAAGACAAAUAUGGAAAAGAAAAAAGGGAAGAAAAUUAGUGCAUGAAAGACUUGGAGAAAACAACGAAGUAAGUCAACUAUAAUCUAGCUGGGUGUAUAAAUUGUUUGAUGCUUUAUAAGCAAAUAACAAACAGAGACAGACAGUGUGUGUUCGUUUUUUCAUAGUUAAAGAUAUAGUUAGAAUGGGUGGUUCAAAAUCAAAAAUGGCGAUAAUGUUUGUUAUGUUAUUAAUAAUAUUUAAAAGUGGGUGGAGUGAGGGAUGUUUGGAUCACGAGAGAUUUGCUCUUUUGCGACUGCAACAUUUCUUCAAUGAUCCUCGUAAUUCUCUUUACAACUGGGUCGAUGAUGAGGGAGCUACUGAUUGUUGUCAGUGGGAAAGGGUUGAGUGCAGCAACACCACAGGCCGAGUGAUAGCGCUAGACCUUUUUGAAAUGUAUUCGGGAGAGUACAGCUGGUAUCUGAAUGCUUCUUUGUUUACUCCCUUCCAACAACUUGAGUCACUUGAUUUAACUGCCAACAAAAUAGCCGGUUGUGUUGAGAAUGAAGGUGCUUCGUUUAAUUUAAUUAAUUUACUUUCUCCCCCCUAAUUUAAGUUGAAUAUCAAGACCGAGCAACUAUACGCAUAUUCAUUUAGUCGACAAUUUUGACUUUUUUUUAAGUGAUUAAUUAAUUUUAAAAUUACACCAAUAUCUAUGAUCUUUUUUUUUUUUAAUUUUGCUUGCAGGUCUAGAGAGGCUAUCAAGAUUGAACAACUUGAAGAUGCUUAAUUUAAGUGAAAACUCUUUGAACAAUAGCAUUUUAUCAUCUCUAACUCAUCUUUCAUCAUUAAGCUCAUUAAAUUUAUUUUUAAAUAGAUUGGAAGGAAGUAUUGACUUUAAAGGUACAUAAUUAAAACUUCAUCCCUUCUCCAAGCUCUUUCAUUAACUUGCUAAAAUAAGACUCAAGGCUUUGAAUUCAAUUUUUUUUAUGAUUAGUAUUAAAAAAAACAGUUUUAAGCAAUUUAUAAAUACAAGUUUUAAUGGUUAUCGUAAUUUCAUCUUGUAAUUUCAUAUGUCUUGAAUUUAAGAUUAAAAAAAACUCUAAUAGCGAACCAAACACCUCCACAACUUAUUAUUAUUAUUAUUAUUAUUAUUAUUUGUGGUGAGGUUGGAAACAUUCAACUUAAUUUGUACUUAUUACAGAAUUUGAUUCUUUGAGAGAUUUAGAGGAGCUAGACAUUGGCGGGAACAAGAUUGACAAAUUUGUGGUCUCAAAAGGUACUACAAAUACCACAAAAAAUGUAAACUUUUACAAAUUAGCUGGAUUCUUUGCCAUUUGGUUUAUUAUUUUACAGGUUUGAGUAAGUUGAAGUCUCUUGAUUUAAGUGGUAUCAAACUCAACCGUAGUAUCUUAUCUUCUCUAACUGUCUUUUCUUCAUUAAGAGAAUUACAUCUACGUAAUAUCAUAUUCAAAGGAACAUUUGAUGUUCGAGGUAAGCCUAAGCCUUGCUUUCUCAUUUUCUAUAUGCCAACUAGAUUUGUGUAUCAUCGGCAUAAUUUAAUAUUUAAUUUGAUAAGUCUGAAGGAAUUACAUGCUAAUUUAAACAUACUUUUAUUUACUUUGUCAAUUAAUUAAUUAAUUAAUUACUAUUUGACAUUGGACGGUUCCUCUCUCCAUAUAAGCCUUCUGCAAAGCAUUGCAUCAUUCACUUCGUUAAAAAAUCUGUCGAUGUCUGAUUGUGAAGUCAAUGGUGUCCUACGUGGUCAAGGUAAAAGAAAAGUGUUGAUUGUGAAUAAGCUGUUAAUUAAUUAAUGUUGUUGCUCCUUGCUUCUAAACAGAGUUGCGCAAUUUCACCAACUUGGAAUAUUUGAAUUGGAUUCUUCCUCGCUCCAUAUAAGCCUUCUACAAUUGCUUGAACAAUUUAUUUAUUUAUUUAUUUAUUAUUAUUGUUGUUGUUGUUGUUGUUGAAGUGGGGUGGGCAAGCGUUCACUCAGUUAAUAUGUGGGGAAUUAAAUAUUACAAUCCAAGGUAGAAUUGUGGAAAAUUAAAGCUAAAUGAGAAAUAUGGAAAGAAAGGAAGAAAGUUAAGGGCAUGAAAGACUGGGAGAAUACUAAAAACCACCAAAUAAGUCAACUGAAAACUAGCUGAGGCCUGGGUGUACAAAUUGUUAGAUGUGUUUGUUAUAAAUAACAUAGAGCCAUCUUGUUGGUUGCAGAGGCAGAGAGACAGAGAGUGUGCAUUUUGUCCAGUUAAAAAUGAUAAAAUUUAUCAUUUGUUUAUAUUGAUUUAUUAACUCUAUUUUAAGUCUUAAGUCUUGGCGUCUUGGCAUGUUUGCAGAAUUUGAUUCCUUGAGCAACUUAGAGGAGUUGGACAUGAGCGGCAAUGAAAUAGACAAUUUCGAGGUUCCUCAAGGUACACAAUUAAAAUAUUAUUUAAUUACAUUAAUUUAAUUCGUUUGAUUAGGGAAGGCCCAAAAUGUACAAAAACAUAAUUAGAAAAAAUAAAGAAACAGAGAAUUCAUAUUAUUUCAAAUAACAAAAGGUAAUACUAUUAUUUCAAAAACAGAUUGUAAUAAAGAUUUGAUUCCAAUUCUUUAAUCUUUACAGUGAUUGAAAAACGAUACUACUUCCCAAAGCAUAAAAUACGAAUUGACUCUCAAUUAAAUUAAUCAUUUAUUUCGUUUAGGUCUAAAUUUAGAAAAAUGAAUUUUGAUUCUCUUGAAUCAUUUCCUAAUUAUUAUUAUUCAACAGGUUACAGAGGUUUGAGGAAGCUGAAAAGCCUGCAUCUAUCGGGAGUUGGAAUUAGAGAUGGAAGCAAGUUGUUACAGUCAAUGGGAUCAUUUCCAUCCCUCAACGCUCUUUACCUGAGCAAUAAUAAUUUUACCGGUACAACGUCAACUACUCAAGGUAAGUAAAAGGUACAGAUGUGGCCAAAUUUAUAAAUAAACUGUUAAUUAAUUAAUUUUCUGUAUUAUUAAUAAAGCUAAAUUUUUUGCUCAUUCCUUCUAAUUCUAAACAGAGUUGCACAAUUUCACCAACUUGGAAUAUUUGACAUUGGACGAUUCCUCUCUCCAUAUAAGCCUUCUGCAAAGCAUUGCAUCAAUAUUCCCUUCGUUGAAAAAACUGUCGAUGUCUUAUUGUGAAGUCAAUGGUGUCGUACAUGGUCAAGGUAAAAGAAAAGUGUUGGUUGUGCACUCACUCAGUGGUGUCCUACGUGUUCAAUAUUUUUAUUUAUUUAUUUUAUUGUUUAAUGAGAUGCUUCCACCCUCCCCUUUAAAUCUAUAAUAUUAAUUUUCGAUUAAUAUAUAAUUAUAGAAACCAAUCACUUAUAAAAGAAUGCUAUGCAUUUGCCAAUUUUUUUAUAUUUUACUGAUUGAUGAAUUAAUAAAUUUUCAGGCCUCUGUUCGUUGGUGCAUCUACAAGAGUUGUACAUUGCAACUCUUGUAGUAAUUAAUUAAUUAAGUAUUAGUUAAUUAAUUAAUUAAUUAAUUUUCUGUAUUAUUAAUAAAGCUAAUUUUUUUGCUCAUUCCUUCUAAUUCUGAACAGAGUUGCACAAUUUCACCAACUUGGAAUAUUUGGCAUUGGACUCUUCCUCUCUCCAUAUAAGCCUUCUGCAAAGCAUUGCAUCAUUAUUCCCUUCAUUAAAAAAUCUGUCGAUGUCUAGUUGUGAAGUCAAUGGUGUCGUACGCAGUCAAGGUAAAAGAAAAGGGUUGAAUGUGAACUCACUCAAUGGUGUCCUACGUGUUCAACAUUUUUAUUUAUUUAUUUUAUUGUUUAAUCUUUCUGCUAGGUUUUCCUCAUUUCAAGAGUUUGGAACAUUUUGACAUGGAUUUCACGCGCAUUGCACUCAACACUAGCUUUAUUGCACUCAACACUAGCUUUCUUCAAAUCAUCAGUGAAUCGAUGCCUUCUCUUAAGUACUUAUCACUAUCAUAUUAUACUCUUGGAACUAAUAGCAGCGGGACUCUUGAUCAAGGUUAACGAGAUGCUCCCACCCUCCCCUCCUAAUCUAUAAUAUUAAUUUUUUAUUUAAUAUAAUUACACAAACGAAUCACUUAUAAAAGAAUGAUAUGCAUUUGUUAAUUUUUUUAUUGUACUGAUGGAUGAAUUAAUAAAUUUUCAGGCCUCUGUUCGUUGGUGCAUCUACAAGAGUUGUACAUUGCAAGCAAUGAUUUAAGAGGUAGCUUGCCUUGGUGCAUGGCAAAUAUGACAUCCCUCAGAAUAUUAGAUGUUUCUUCUAAUCAACUUACUGGAAGCAUCUCCUCAUCUCCCCUCGUUCAUUUGACAUCCAUUGAAGAGCUGAUGCUUUCAAACAAUUACUUCCAGAUCCCAAUUUCACUUGAACCACUUUUCAAUUACUCAAGACUCAAGAUUUUCAAUGCUGAGAACAACGAAAUAAAAGCUGAAAUAACUGAGUCACAUUCUUUGAUCGCCCCAAAAUUCCAAUUAAAUACUCUCUCAUUGUCUUCCAAUUACGGAGACGGUUUCAUAUUCCCCAAAUUCCUUUACCAUCAACAUGACCUGGAGUAUGUUGAUCUCUCACACAUAAAGAUGAAUGGAGAAUUUCCAAAUUGGUUGUUGGAAAACAACACAAAAUUAGAAACUCUUUUUCUGGUUAAUGAUUCUCUUGCAGGACCUUUUCGGUUGCCAAUUCAUUCACACAAGCGGUUAAGACAGUUGGAUGUCUCCAACAACAACAUUCGAGGCCACAUUCCAGUAAAAAUUGGAGAUGUUUUACCAAGUUUAUACGUUUUCAACAAUUCCAUGAAUGCUUUAGACGGUAGCAUUCCCUCUUCAUUUGGUAAUAUGAAAUUCCUCCAAAUUCUGGACUUAUCCAACAAUCACUUGACUGGUGAAAUCCCCGAGCACUUGGCCGUGGGUUGCGUCAACUUGCAGUUUCUUGCAUUAUCAAAUAACAACCUACAAGGUCAUUUGUUCUCUAGAAAUUUUAACUUGACAAACUUGCAAUGGUUACAAUUGGAGGGCAAUCGCUUCGUAGGUGAGAUCCCACAAAGUUUGUCUAAAUGCUCCUCACUAGAAGGAUUGUACCUUAACAAUAAUAGUCUUUUAGGUAAGAUUCCACGAUGGUUGGGUAAUCUGACACGGUUACAAUAUAUUAUAAUGCCCAAUAAUCAUCUUGAAGGCCCUAUUCCAGUGGAGUUUUGCCAGCUUGAUUCGCUUCAGAUUUUGGACAUUUCAGACAACAACAUAUCUGGAAGUUUACCAUCUUGUUUCCAUCCUCUCUCUAUCAAACAAGUUCAUCUUUCAAAAAAUAUGUUACAUGGACAGCUAAAAAGAGGUACAUUCUUUAAUUGCUCUUCCCUUGUGACAUUAGAUCUUAGCUAUAACCGCUUGAAUGGCAGCAUUCCGGAUUGGGUUGAUGGGCUUUCUCAGUUAAGCCACCUUAUCUUAGGUCACAAUAAUCUUGAAGGUGAAGUGUCAGUUCAAUUGUGCGAAUUGAACCAACUACAAUUGUUAGAUCUUUCUAAUAAUAAUCUUCACGGUCCUAUUCCUCCUUGCUUUGAUAACACCACACUUCAUGAAAGUUACAGCAAUAGUUCUAGUCCUGAUGAGCAAUUUGAAAUAUUUUUUUCCAUCGAAGGCCAUCAGGGAUUUUUAGAAAAGCAAAACCAUGAAAUUUUUGAGUUCACAACAAAGAACAUUGCGUACAUUUACCAAGGAAAAGUGCUUAGCCUCCUAUCAGGACUUGAUCUUUCUUGCAACAAGCUAAUUGGUCAUAUUCCUCCUCAAAUUGGAAAUUUGACAAGGAUUCAAACAUUGAAUCUCUCGCACAAUAACUUGACAGGAUCGAUCCCAUCAACAUUUUCAAACUUGAAGCAUGUCGAAAGUUUGGAUCUUUCCAACAACAAAUUGAAUGGGAAAAUCCCUCAUCAACUAGUGGAGUUAAAGACAUUGGAGGUUUUCAAUGUGGCAUACAAUAACUUAUCAGGCGAAAUUCCAGAAUGGAAAGCACAAUUUGCAACCUUCAACGAGAGUAGCUAUGAGGGAAAUACUUUUCUUUGUGGACUGCCAUUGCCCAUUUGCAGAUCACCAGCAACUAUGCCGGAGGCUUCAAUUGGCAAUGAACAAGAUGAUAAUUUAAUUGAUAUGGACAGUUUCUUUAUCACAUUUACAACAUCGUACGUAAUUGUGAUAUUCGGAAUUGUUAUUGUUUUAUAUGUAAAUUCUUAUUGGCGACGUAGAUGGUUUUACUUUGUUGAAAUGUGGAUAACUUAAUGUUACUAUUUUGUUGUAAACAAUCUUAUUGCAACAAGAUAUUGUCAUUGAAAUUAAUUAGCAGUUUAAUUACGAUUCUUUAAGUUCUAAUCAAGUUUGCUUAGGAAAUAAUUUUUUUUUUAUUUUUUUAUUAAAAUUGUAGUAGUAUUUAGCGCUAUAUAGCUUCCAACUUGGUAGAAAGCUCCAUUUUUUGUUGGCUACAGUAAAAGCAUGUUGUUUUAUUCUUCUUAUACUUUACGCCUGCAUCAGCUUAAAUCACUUCUUAAACGCUUGCUUUAACUGCACCGCUUCGUACUGCUCUAUAUAUGUAACGGUUAUGCGGUUGUAGCUCACGGCUCAAGCUACGCGUUUGUUUGACGUGGUAGUUACGUUAUGAUGUUUCGAGUCUGUUAAACAUUCGGUGAUAAGAUUAGUUACAACAAACCUACUAGUUUUAUAAAAUUCAAGUGAGAUGGAAUAAAAUAAAAAAUAAAUAUAAAAUUGGCUUUUAUUUUUUAGGUUAACCAUAUUUUGUGUUCUCUUCGGGCACUACUACAAUUGUUCCCUAUACAUCAGUUACACUCACGUAUCAUCGACACGAAAAAUGAAAUCUAAUAUCACCUGUUUAGUUAAAGAAUCACUCAUGAAAAAAAAUUACCAUUUUGAUUUGAAGAUCCAUAUUUUGAACUACCAAUUAAUGUUCAUCAAGAACAGAGUGUGGCCGUUAAGUAGAAAAACUAUUUUUGGACAAAUUAUUAAAUUCCAAUAUUGUAUCCAUAUGCAAACGAUGCCUGAAGCAGAGCCUCCAAACAAUGACCAGGGCACAAAACAAGAGUGUAGUAAUCAAGUGUAUUGUCUCAUAAUCAAUUAAAAGCAGAUAUACAGGAUACCAUAUUCAAUUCCAAAAUAACAAAAGCAUAAUGAGGAUGAGAAGAACAAUGAUCACUCAAAUAUUUCUUCACUUUGGUUGUCAAUUAUCUAUUCAAAUUAAUCAGUGUCAUUAUGGACUUAUUUAUUUAGAAGAGCGGGUGAUAAAUAUAUUCAAUAAUGUGAACAAGAAGUUGAUUAACUUUUAUGAUCAUUUGGAAGGUCGGCGUGUCAUCACUCGUCAAACACAUUGCAUCGAUCCACCAGCAUGAACCGACCGGAUUAUGCCCAAAAGUUGAAAUAUCAAUAAAAAAAACAAUUAAUUAAAGGUCGAAGAUGGGUCCUUUACAUAUGUUUUUGUUUUCGUAUUAGGUAGGAGGUUAUUAUAUUAUAUCAUGUAAUUAAUUUAUUAUUACUCAACACUAAGUAAUAACUUAACUAUAUAAAGACAACAAGAAGAUAAAAUGAUAUAUAAAAAAAAAAAGAAUUUCAAAGAGAUAGCAACAUACAAUAGACUGAAGCCAUUUGAUCUGCUCAUUGAUUUCAGCCUUAAACUUGUAAAUAGUUACUGUCAAAUAUUCUAUUCAUACGAAAAAAAUGUUUAGAUAUCUUACUAUAAAUAUAGCCGUUUGACUGUCUUAAUAAAGUCACACACAACCAUUCUUAUUAAAUUAGCAAGAUCAAACACUGCCCUGGAUCUUGAACAGAUCAACACAAGAUGCACAACUUAUGAUUGAACCCAGAAACAAUCAAAUCUUUAGCAAGAACAAUUAAUCAGAGUCAAGAAACAAGUUUAAUGAAUAUAAACCUAUAAUUGAAACAAACAUAGCCAAGAAAAAAAUACAGAUUUUACACGGUUCAGUUGUACCUAGGAUGGCACAACCUACACCACGAGAGAAGCUUUCUGGUGAGAUUUUAUUGAUGAUCAAAGAAGAAUCUUUUGACAAAGCUAAUAAUAGAGAUUUCAGAGAAUAAGCUGUAACCCUCUCUCCCUCUUCAAUCUCUCUCUAUUUUGUUCCCAUUGAUGACCCCAAUCUGCUUAGUUAUCCAGCUUUAUAGCUGCAUCAGUAACAAACCAGCAAACCCAGAUUGAGCAGAUUGACGACACGUGGAUAACGGCUUUAACGAACCUGGUUAAGAACUGCUCACAUGUUCGUCACGCGUGCUGCUUAAAUGAUGGCCAAAACGACUUCAAACAAAUGUCGUUUUGAGGCUUAUGAAUUACAAGUGAUAACACGAGCUUGUCUCAUGACUUUUAAAUGCAACAACGUGCCCACAACGCCGUCGUUUUACUCUGUUGAGUUUGAUUCAUUACUAAGCUUUACGACUGGCAAUGGAGAAGAUGAUAAUUUAAUUGACACGGACAGUUUUUAUAUCACUUUUACAACAUCCUAUGCAAUUGUAAUAUUGGGAAUUAUUGAUGUUUUAUUCUGUGAAUCCUCAUUGGCAAAAACUAGUGGUUUUAUCUUUGUUGAAAUAUAGAUGACCUCUCGUUACUGUUUUAUUAUAAACAUAUAGUUUCGUAAGUGAAACUAUAUGUUUAUAAUAAAAUUAACAUAUAGUUUUGUUACAUUUCUGCCUCAUUAAGAUUCUCAAAUACCAGUCAGGUUUGCUUAAGAAAUAAAUUUUUUCCAUUAAAAUUGCAGUAGUAUUUCCAAGCAUAUCGCAUUUUCUAUGAGUUUUCAUAAAUUAAUUAAUCUGCGGUGCCAAUAUCAGAUUUAGUUUUUCAAACUAAAUAAUCAAGAAAGCAAACAUACAAAUAUACAGUUUAGAGGGGUAAACUAGGUAGGUGGUUUAGAUUUUAGAACUAAGCCAGCUACCUCGCUAAAUUCCGAUUCGUACAGUGAACUGCAAGAAACUGAGAAAACAAUGUAUUUAUAAUUUAAUAGAAUCAUAAGAAAACAAUGCAGUCAUUGCUCAAUAUAAGAUGAUGAUUUCGGAGAGGCACAUUGUUUUCAAGUUAAUUUGAUCCGUUUAUAAGAGAUGAAGUGGAAUGAAGUUGAAAGUUUAAAUAACAAAUCCUUGUUCUUGAGUUUUACGACGUCGUUACUCCUUCAAGUGGCAGAUUAUGCAAGUGAAUGCAGAAACACAAUGCAUCAUCCGCGGGGAUGAUACAUCAAAAGGCGGGAUUUGUUUAUGCCUGCAGAUUAGCAAUUUCACUCAUAUAGAAAAUUAAUUUUUUAUAUAUACUAAUCAACACUAAAUUGAUUAUGUGUUGUAUGUUUAUAUGCUAAUCAACACGAAAUUAUAUUGAAUUAUUAACAUUCAUAUUCCUAAUAAAAAUUAUUUUCCAUCAGUAUUCAAAAUUUUCACUUAUAGAAAAUGCGUUUUACGUGAAUACUAGUUAUUGUGUAAAUUUGAAUGAUAGCGAAAAAUAAACCUAUUUGAAAACUGUAAGGGUGUGUUGGGAUAUUUUACAACUGUCGGAAUCUGGUAGGAUAUUGCACCAUUUGCCCAAUAUUUUUAGACGUACUCCAACCGGUAUUCAAGAUAAGUAAAAUUUACAAGCGUGGCAAAAUAAAAAAAAAUUAAAUUCGUAACUUGUAAACGAAUUUUCCUGACAUGUAUAGUAAAUGAAGUUGUUGAUCCUUUCUUUGGAUUAUUUCAGCUCUGGUUGUUGGUCACCGAUGAGCCGAAGUCUUAUUUUAAUUUUAUUUAAACUCAUCAUAAGAUUCGUGGAGCACCUAACUAACUUAACUGACUGCGCAGAUCAUCUCAACAUGGCAUAUUUAACCAUCAUUCAAGUGAUGGGUUUAAUAAGACUGCUUUUGUUCUAUCAACUAUCAAGUUCCUCUGCCUCUAAGCAGAAUUACUAUUGAAGGGCCAAAAGGAAAAUGAAAACGUGUGAGCUCCAACAACCACCCCACAAAUUCAAUGACGAUGCUCGGAGAGGGUUAGGUUGGGCCUCUGAGAAAAAAAAAAAUUAUUUUGUUAAAAAGUUACCCUUAUUGAAACCUGUAUAAACAUUUUAUAUUAAUUAGUUAUGUCGCCUCUUCAACGAUGAUCAAAUUCUUAUCUGAGCUCAUCAUUUAAUGAGUAAACAUGUAUUUUAAUGAUCUCAAUUAAUAUUUAGAACAAAUAUUUUAAGAAGUAAAGCUCAUUAUAUCUUCCAUUAUUAUGUAUUUCUUUAAUUUCUUAUUUACAUAAUUAUAUUGUACAUUAAAAAUGUAUUGAAUUUGAAGAAAAAAAAAUUCAACUCAAAAAAAAAAAAUGCUGGUAGCUUCGUAAUAAUUACUGUAUUGACUGCACCAGAUAAAGUUUUGUAAAAUAAUAAGUUCUCAUAAGUGGUUUUUCAUUUUUAAUUUUCUUUUCCGGCACACCUGAUCAAGAAUUCUAUUUUGUUAACUAAUCAAUUGCAAAGCAUAAGUGUUGAACGGUACAAAAAAUUUAAAAAAAAUACACUUAAAACGUGGGGUGGGUAACGGCUCACUCAAAUCGUUAGGUAGAAUUGUGGAAAACUAAAGCGAAAUGAGAAAUAUAGAAAGAAAGGAAGAGGUGAUGUUUUUCUAUGAAUUUCUAUGGGUAACGGCUCACUCAUCCUUCUAUGAAUUUCUAGCUGUAUUGACCCCAACUGCUAAAGUUUUGUAAAAUAAAAAUAAAAAUAAAAAACUGGAAUUUCAACAAAAUUCAAAACGUUUGAAAUUUAAUUUUUGGCCAUGUGGAACAAAAUGUAAAUUAAGUAAAAAAUAUAAAUCUCAAUUGCUUAGUAUGGUUAGGAUUUUGUGAGCAUCACUAAAAAGUGAAAACUAUGAAUGAUAGAGGUGAUGUUUGCAACAUGAAUAAAUGAUGAACUGAAUCAAUUGAUGAUCGUAAUUACAUAAUGAACAAAAUUUACAAAAUCAACAAAAGUUAAUAAAAAAUUAUUUUAAUAAUAAAAAAUCAAUAAAACUUAUUAUUUAAGGGCGCUCUAACCAUGGAAUACCAUAAUCAUAAUCUUCUUUUAAGAAAAUUAUAACUUAUUAUUUUACAGGAUUGAUCCAUUUGGAAUGAAGUGGUCUCAAGUUGAAAGUAAUUAAUUUAUUGAAUAACUUUCGACUUAUUAAUAGUUAUAUCAAAGGGUGUUUUACCUCAUCAUGUCUUCAAGUGGAAGAUGAAGACUAUGCAAGUGAAUUCAGGAAUAUUGCAUGCCUGUUGUCUAAAGCAUUACCUCACAAGGUUUCAUGAGAAACGAAAGAUGUGUUUGCUUUGAACAAUUAAAGUUACUGCUACGAACCUCCCCAAAGGUCAAGAAGACAGAACAGGAAGCUAAUGCCAUCAAUGUCUUGUUCAUUAUAGCUGCUGGGUAGUUAGGUGUAGUUUCCUCAUUUGAAGCUGUCUAUACAUAGGCAUUUCCCCUGCUUAUGUACAAAUAAAUGAACAACCUUGAAGCUUUAUUAUUCGCAACAAAAAGGGAUUACUAAUUGGAGAAGACAAUACAGAGUUUUCUCUCACACUUUCUCUCUGUCAAUUUCAUCCAGAAGUCCCUCUGAAAGCUUCUCCCAAAACAGUUAGUCAUCUUUUAUGCUCUGUUUUCUGAAAACAGAGUCCUAACUAAAUUAAUUGACUGUACAGUGCAUUUCAACAUAGCAUAUUUAACCGUUUUAACAGUUAUUUGGACCGUCUUCAGAGGUAACAUCAACAAACUCAUUCAUAUGCUUAAUAAUGAACGAAUAGUCUUGGAUCGAUGUUUUGCAGCAAGAGCAACACGACACAAUCUGGAUUCAACCUCCUCCUUUCUAACAGGGGAUUUCGAUUUGAGUUACUUUGUGCUCAAGCAAAUUCACAUCAUAGUUUUGAUUCUUUAGAUAUGAAUUCAUCUCAUUACAUAUAUCAGAUUAAGUGUAACAAAAUUUGUAAUUUACUGCGAAAAGAAUAUGCACUAAAAAAUGAUUUCAAGACUAUUUGACUACAAAAAGCAGCUGUCAGAGUGCACUAAAAAUUUCUGUAGGAUAUUUUGUAGCUGUUUAAUAUGUUAUGAUGGGCAUAUAAUUCUCAAAUUUUGAUGCCUCUCAGCGAAAAAUAUAUCAAAGUUACGGAUGAUAUCACGUAAAACAUGCAUGGCUCAGGCUCAGGCUCAGGUAAGAAAGCCACAGAAAAGGAAAAUCUCACUGUCACGACUCACGUCACGCAUCAUUCAAGUGAUGGAUUUAACAAGACUGCUUAUGUUCUAUCAAAUUCCUCUGCCUCUCAGAAGAUAACUUUUCUGGGCCAAAUUUCUCAUCUAAAGCAUAUUAUGCCCCAAAGUCACAGAUAACAAAAUGGGGCACUACCGAUUAUGAAAGAGAACUAGUAGUUGUCAGAAGCCUAAGCCAAAUUCCGGUAGUAAGAAGAGGCCUUUCUUGAGUUUAGAUUAUGUGUUCGAGUUUUAAUAAAUGCCUAAGUUAAUAAUAAUAACAACAGUAAUAAUAAACUAAAAAGCAUAAUUACUAUUGAAUGGUAAAAAAAAAAAUGAAAAUGUGUGAACUCCAAUAACCACCCCAGUGGCGAAUUUUGGAGAGGGCUAGGCCGGGCUUCUUAGAAAUUAUUUUUAUUUAAUUACAAAAUCACCUUUACUGAAACCUAUAUAAAAUUUUUUAUAUUAAUUAAUUAUGUUGCCUCUUCAAUUAUCAUUAAAUUCUUGUCCGUUCAUAAUUUGAUGGACAAAUGUGUAUUUCAAUAAUUUCAAAUAAUGUCUAGAACAAAUAUUUUGAAUUAUAAAACUCAUUAUGUCCUGCAUUACUAGAUGUAUCUAUAAUUUAUUAUUUACAAAUUAUAUUGUAUGAUAAAAAUGUAUUGAAUUUUUUUUUAAAAAAAAAGUUCGGCUCACUCAGAAAAAAAUGUUAUUAGCUUCGCCACUGCACAAAUCUAGAAUAAUAAUUAUUCCUUAUUAUAUUGACUGCACCAAGCAAUAAACUAAUAAGUUCUCAUCAGUGGUUUUUAAUCUUUUUAAUUCUUUUUACCGCACACCUGAUCAAGAAUUUUAUUUUGUUAACUAAUCAAUUGCAAAGCAUAUAUAAGUGUUGAACGGUACACAAGAUUGGAAAAAAAAAUCUUAAAAAACGUGCGGAUUCGGGUGGCCACACCAGAAAUCUAUUACAAUAAUUAGCUUUGAUGCUGGGAAUCUUUUAAUUUCUGGCCGUAUUGAAGUUUUUAAAAUAACAAGUUCCCCUUCUCGUUUUUUUUUUUUUUAAAUAUAUAUGCUUAUAACAAUUUUAGAAUAAUGAUUCAUUUGUAGAAGAACUUAUGAUUUCCCAUUAAUAUUAAUAUUGAAGUGGGGUGGGUCAAAUCUCAAUUGCUUGAAGAAUUUAUGUAUUAUUAAAUAUUACCAUCCAAGGUAGAAUUGUGGAAAAUUAAAGCAAAAUGACAAGUAUGGAAAGGAAGGCUGAAAGUAAGGCAUGACGAAAGGCUUUGAGAAGGCUGAAGACUACCAAAGAAGUCAACUGAAAACUAGCUGGGGCCUGAGUGUAUAAAUUGUUAGAUGCGUUUGUUAUAAAUAACAUAGAGCCCUUUUGUUAUUUAUAGUUAUAGAGAAAGAGAGAAUGUGUGUUUUUUAAUAGUUAGAGAUAUAGCUAGAAUGGGUUGCUCAAAAUCCAAAAUAGUGACAAUGUUAGUUCUCGUAUUGAUAAUAUUGGGGGGGGGGGGGGGGGGGGGGGGGGGGGGGUGUUGGGAGGUCGAGUGAGGGAUGUUUGGAGCAUGAGCAAUUUGAUCUUUUGCGGCUUAAACAUUUCUUCAAUUAAUAUCGAUCUGGGAGAGUGGUAUCUGAAUGCUUCUCUAUUUACUUCCUUUCAACAACUUUGGUAACAAAAUAGCCGGCUGCAUGCGUUGAGAAUGAAGGUGCUUCAUUUAAUUUAAUUUACUUAAUUUCUCCCUCCUAAUUAAUGUCUAUAAUCAUUAGGAGGAACAAGGGAUUUUAUUAACUCAAAUAUAUCUAAUGGAGCUCAUUCUUUGGUUUUACUUGCAGGGCUAGAAGCAGGUGUCAUCUAACAGCUGCUUUGAUAAUUUCCCUCCCCUUCAUCUUUGAUGGAAAGAUGAAAUAAAAACAAAUUGGUGAAAAUGGUAUUGGUACCUGAGGCUAUGUAAUCUAAUUCAAAAACUGCACCAUCAAAACGAUUACAUAAGUCUCAGAAGAAUCAAAUAUCAGUUUGCAAAAUAUCAAUUGCUGGAGGUUUGAUUCUAACUUCCGCUCUUCAUUUUUAUGGGCAUAUUGUGUUGUACUUGGCAUCCGAAAAUCAUAUUUUAGUUUACUUGCACUCAAUGCUUGGAUUAAAGUUUUUUUUUGGGGGGGGGGGAUUGAAGAAGACUAAAAUUACACCAAAAAAGAGUUGAGCGAGAGCGGGUUUUGUCUUCAUUUAAGGAGCUCUUUAUAAAUUUUGGGAUUUUUUUCCUGAGAAAAUUUAUGCCAACUCAUUCUUUGCUUCUUUUCUGAAGGGACACAUGCAACCGAAAGUAUAUUCUUGAAUUCUCCAGGAUAAGAGACAUACGUUUAGAUUCUGGAGCAUUUAAAACAAUGUCAAAUUUUAGAUUGCUGAAAUUUUAUAUAUCCGAGUAUGAUGGUGUUCCAAUUAUAAGCUCCAGGGUGCAACUUCACUGAGGUUUAGAAUGCCUUCCUAUAGAAUUGAGAAAUCUCCAUUGGCAUAAAUAUCUUUUUGAAAAUACUGACAUCAGAUUUUGAAUUGGAGAACCUGAUUGGACUCAGCUUGCCCUGUAGUAAGGUUAAGCAAAUUUGGAAAAGAGAAAAGGUAUAAUGUAUUACUAUUACCAAAGUAUCUAUUUUUCUUUCUUUAAGUAUUUAUAAUGAAUAACUUUGAAAUUCAAUGAUGCUCAUUUAGUAUAGUUAUGUAUCUUUGGUUAUAGGAAGCUGUCAAGUUAAAAUCUAUAGACCUUCACCACCCCUUUAUCUCAAUAGGAUCCCAGAAAUACUAAAUCUUAAAAAAAUAAAUCUUUCAAAUUGUGAAAGCAUGCUUACGUUACCCCCGUAUAUCCACAAUUUCAACUAGCUGAGUAUGUUGUGUUUCAGGGAUGCAAAAUUCAUUUUGUUUCUCAUUGAAAGGAUUGACUUGUCCGGAUGUAUUAGGGUUAGUAAACCAACUAAUCCCAUAAUUUGUUGAUGUAGGGUCCUAACAAAUUAUUGCAGUAGAUUGUAGAUCAGUACACUAUUCGAAAACGUAUUUGAUCCACACAGUGAAGUGGAUAUUGGACCAAUUUGAUGAUAAUGAAUUUCUUUCAAUCUCAAUCUUUUUUCUUUUUAGCAACAUGACUAGUCAUUGUGCAAAUUCAAACUCUGACAAUAAUUUCUCAAUCGGUUUCUAAGAUGAUGACCAUGCAUGUAUAUGUAUAUUGCGUGUGUAUAUGUGUGUGUGUGUAGAGAGAGAGAGAGAGAUCACACGUGUGUGAUUUCCUUUUGCCAAUAGGAUAUGCAAGAGAGCUUGAUCUUACCCAAUAGCGAAACAAACUUCCUAAUAAGUGAAGGUAUAGUAUAAAUACUUAUACUUUCAUGUUAUUUUGUUCAUCAGUAGCUUGAUUAUUUUAUAUGCGUCUUCGAUUUUAAUUUUCUUUCCCUAUAAUCGCUAUUAUCUUUGAACUGGUCAUAAUUUGCCCAUAAGAUUUCUCAUGUUGUUUUGAGGUGCAACGGAUUUUGAAUUAGUGACAAGCAGUGGAAGCCAGAAGGCAAAUUAUGAAAAUGGAUAAAGAUCUAUAAUUAGCUGUUAUGGGAUGUCACAUAUCAUAUUGAUGGUAACGUUAUAUAUAUGUACAUAUAAUUAAUGGGGUUGGCUCACGAGCCCAUUAAUUAAUGGUUAUAUUAGCUUAUAUACUUCAAACAAUGUACUAUGAAGCAAUUUCACAAAUACUUGUUAGCUUAUGUUGAGCUUUAUUGAAUCAGUAGUUCACAGUUCAAUAAAAUGCAGGUUUGCUAUUUGAAGUACAUGGUUAUGGUGCGUACAUUCUUCAUAAGGCUAACUACUAAUUUAUCAUUGAAACUUGAAAAAUGUGAUAGAGAGAUGUAGAUAACAGCCGCAAAACACUGAAUUGAAAAUCAGGGCUACUAAAUUCUAUUAAAAGUCCUUAAAAUAGACAGCGAUCACCCUGAAAUGUAUAUACUGAAACUAAGAAAAUAUUAAUCGCAAAGUUAUGCAUUAAUAGAACUAUUGACUACUUAUCUUUAGCAUAAAGUAUAUUUUUAACUACAGCUUUCUGCUUUGUUCUAAGAACUAGGCAAAAGUGGUGUAUCUUCAAUCCAAUCAACAUAUAUACCACUUAUCUUCCUCUUCACUUCUGUCUAUUUUGAUUUGCACUUCAUAUCCUGCACUUGCUGCUUAGAAAUAGUCUUUAUUCUGGACAUUUGAAAGUAGAAAAAGUACUUGAAACAAUCAUUGGCACAGCCCGAGAUUCCAUUGAAUCGUGGACUCCAAGCUUUCAUAGUUCUAUAAAGAAGAUGACAAAACUUCAUACAACUGGCAUUCUGCUUUUAACAUUUGCACAACCUGAGCGAGUUAGCAAGCCCCUUGUUGCGUUCCCAUUGAAUAGACCUACUUCUGUUAUCCGCAGAAGAUCCACCACUCAAAAUGUUUAUCACCAGGCUAUUCCUUAAAACUGAGCCUAAACUGAGUAGAACUUCCGCACAUCUCUCAGCAUUUACAUGAAGAAAUCGGACAACUAUCCUCAUCUCUCAGCACAUCUCUUCAGCAUUCUACAAAGUUGCAUUUCACUAAGCAAUCUAUCCUCUCCAUUCCUAGCAAAGUGACAUUGAUUCCCGUAUUUGUAAUCGCCUAACUUGGGUUUUGGGCAUAGCGUGGUCUUAAAAUUACCACCCCAAUACUUUGUUCAGUGCCACUGGCAUCCACAAGCUCUAGCCCUGUUAGUUGAAUCAUAUUCAAUGGGACAGUGAGGCAGCAUUUCACUAACAUUAUUCAAUUUGACUACUUAUAUUGACGCAAAUAUUAGAAUUUGAAAUCACUUCUUUUAUUGGAAUAUUAUAUUAAUAUGACCCCAAAUGAAAGUUCUUGAAUGGAAAUGAUUUUUAUUUACUUUUCGAACAGAUUCAAGAAAAACCCAGGAGAACACAAAAUUUACACAGUAAUAUGAUUAAGAGCUGAGAACGUAUAUGUAGUAAAUGUCUAUCAAAAACACCCAAGGGUUUCUUUAAAAAUUAGUAACUAGUAAACAAAAAGAAAGAAUCAUUUUACAUUUUUAGCAACUUUGGGGUGAGUGAGUGAGUGAGAAAUUGAAACCCUCAAGUGAUGACAACAGUAAGAUUCCAGUAUGAAGUGAAACCCCAAUUUGAAAUGUAGGCAUGAGUUGCUGAGUCAGUAGAUGAAGCUAUAAAUAGGCAUUCGGUUUCCUUCUUUUCGGUUUGGAGGGCCAUGGAAUAGUGUAUUGGAGUGGGCUCCAAGUAAUAGCCUCUAUCACUGGAACGACACAUCUAUAAAAUGUGAUACAUGGGGAAGGAUUGGGCAUUUUAUUCUUAGAUUAGCCCCUUAUUUAGGGUGUAUAUUAAGCAGAUUAUAUAUUACAUGGAGAUGGAGUUUAUGAAAUAGAUUAAAAAGAAAAGGAAAUUUUUGGUGCCCUAAAGUUUGCCACUUGGAAUAUUUCGGUGUCUAAAAAUUCACUCACCACUUAUUUCAUGUUUGAUUAUAUGUUGAAAAGAUAUUAAAAUAGUAUAAUGCUAUUAAGGCUUAACGUAUAUUUUUUAUUAGUAGAGUGGUAGAAUUUUUAAGAAAUAAAUUAUUAAAUUAUUAUAACUAACAUAUUAUUUUAAAGUUGUGUUAUGAAAAAAAUGAAAUAAAAAUGUACAGUAAAUAAGAAUAUUUUAAAACUUUUAUCUUUUUAAAAUUAGUUUUUAACAUAAGGUGAACUAUUUUUUUUUUUUAAAAUCACAUAUUCUAGUUAAAAUCAAAUAUGUAUUUAUACGAAGCUUGUAAAUUUUUUUUUUUAGUACUGAUAUUUUGAAUAUUAUCAAUAAAAAAAAGGUAAUGUUCAUGCUGCAUUAUUUUUGUAGCACACAAAAGGACAACACCGUUUAUGUUAUAAUACUAUCGCUUCUGUUAUGAUAAUUUUUUUUGUGGCCAAAUAUCUUUUUUUUUUUUAAGUAAAAAAAGUGGACAAAAUGCAAAUCAGUUUUUAAUCCUCAAUCUCUCCCAAAAUAUAUAUUUCGGUGUCUAAAAAUUCACUCACAAAACUAUAGCUGACAAAAAGUUACUAACAAAAAGUUAGGUCCAUGGGUUGUUAAAACUAUAGCUGACAAAAAGUUACUAACAAAAACAGAAUGUCCAUUUUAUAACUUUCUUAAAAAACUUUCCUUAACUUUUUUAAACAAAAAGUUAUUUCCAAUUUUUAUUUUGUUAUAAUGUUUAUAACAAAAUUCGUAGUUAACUAAACUCUUCUUAUACCCUUUCUCAACUGCCAUACCCUAACCCACUAAACCACGCUCAAUUAAGGCCAUCAGAUUCUCCGGGCCCACAUUAAUCCAACUGCUCACAGAGACCGACAGCCUCUCUAUCUCCAUUUCAAGCUCCCUCUUCAACUGGCUUCUGCUACCGUCCUACUCUUUCUCGGCUUCGGAGUCCGUAUUUGCUCGGCCUGUCCCACGAAGCUCCCUCUCACUCCAAUUGUCGCCCCACAAGACCAAUUGCUUAAUCAAGACACCGAACAAGAAAAGGAUGAGAAGUUGAAACAAGAAUUUGAGAAUUGGAAAUAAAAACGUACGCAUUGACCGUGCCUUUGAGAGUCGUUUCUCUUCAGAACUCAGUGCCUCAAUCUUGGGUUAAGGAUUUUAUGCGAAGUCAGGGAAAGAGAUUGAAGUUUCAGAUGAAUUUGUGUGCUAGCAUUGAUGGGAUCUUUAACAAUUUAUCUGUGCCCUUUAACAAAGUUAAGGCUAAGUCAGCUUCUUAUAUGGCUGCUGAUUUGGUUAGUGUUGGUGAUUCAUGGCUUAGUUUUGCCAUUAAAAAGAGAUUGAUUGAGCCAAUGGCUGGAGCUGAAGACCAAGAUUGGUUCAAAUGCUUAAGUCACAAAUGGAAGGUAACAUCUUUGUCUUUGAUCCUCGAGGUAAAAUAUGGGCGGCACCGUACAGGUGGGGCACAACGGUGAUAGCCUACAAGAAAAGUAAAUUUCGAAAGCAUAAUUUGGCUCCGAUUGAGGUAAUAAUUUUCUUUAAACUCAUUUAGUUUUAUAUCAAACAAAAUCAAGACUGCCUUUCUCUUCAAUAUUUUUUAUGAUAAUAUCUUUAGAAGCAUCUCAUUGACGGGUAACAAUGGCAUCCCUGAAAGAGUCUAUAAACUCAAUGAUAUUAUCUUCUACAAAUGGUUCAUUAAACUUUGUCGUUGUACUCAAAUGUACACUCAGAUCAAUGAGAAGNNNNNNNNNNNNNNNNNNNNNNNNNNNNNNNNNNNNNNNNNNNNNNNNNNNNNNNNNNNNNNNNNNNNNNNNNNNNNNNNNNNNNNNNNNNNNNNNNNNNNNNNNNNNNNNNNNNNNNNNNNNNNNNNNNNNNNNNNNNNNNNNNNNNNNNNNNNNNNNNNNNNNNNNNNNNNNNNNNNNNNNNNNNNNNNNNNNNNNNNNNNNNNNNNNNNNNNNNNNNNNNNNNNNNNNNNNNNNNNNNNNNNNNNNNNNNNNNNNNNNNNNNNNNNNNNNNNNNNNNNNNNNNNNNNNNNNNNNNNNNNNNNNNNNNNNNNNNNNNNNNNNNNNNNNNNNNNNNNNNNNNNNNNNNNNNNNNNNNNNNNNNNNNNNNNNNNNNNNNNNNNNNNNNNNNNNNNNNNNNNNNNNNNNNNNNNNNNNNNNNNNNNNNNNNNNNNNNNNNNNNNNNNNNNNNNNNNNNNNNNNNNNNNNNNNNNNNNNNNNNNNNNNNNNNNNNNNNNNNNNNNNNNNNNNNNNNNNNNNNNNNNNNNNNNNNNNNNNNNNNNNNNNNNNNNNNNNNNNNNNNNNNNNNNNNNNNNNNNNNNNNNNNNNNNNNNNNNNNNNNNNNNNNNNNNNNNNNNNNNNNNNNNNNNNNNNNNNNNNNNNNNNNNNNNNNNNNNNNNNNNNNNNNNNNNNNNNNNNNNNNNNNNNNNNNNNNNNNNNNNNNNNNNNNNNNNNNNNNNNNNNNNNNNNNNNNNNNNNNNNNNNNNNNNNNNNNNNNNNNNNNNNNNNNNNNNNNNNNNNNNNNNNNNNNNNNNNNNNNNNNNNNNNNNNNNNNNNNNNNNNNNNNNNNNNNNNNNNNNNNNNNNNNNNNNNNNNNNNNNNNNNNNNNNNNNNNNNNNNNNNNNNNNNNNNNNNNNNNNNNNNNNNNNNNNNNNNNNNNNNNNNNNNNNNNNNNNNNNNNNNNNNNNNNNNNNNNNNNNNNNNNNNNNNNNNNNNNNNNNNNNNNNNNNNNNNNNNNNNNNNNNNNNNNNNNNNNNNNNNNNNNNNNNNNNNNNNNNNNNNNNNNNNNNNNNNNNNNNNNNNNNNNNNNNNNNNNNNNNNNNNNNNNNNNNNNNNNNNNNNNNNNNNNNNNNNNNNNNNNNNNNNNNNNNNNNNNNNNNNNNNNNNNNNNNNNNNNNNNNNNNNNNNNNNNNNNNNNNNNNNNNNNNNNNNNNNNNNNNNNNNNNNNNNNNNNNNNNNNNNNNNNNNNNNNNNNNNNNNNNNNNNNNNNNNNNNNNNNNNNNNNNNNNNNNNNNNNNNNNNNNNNNNNNNNNNNNNNNNNNNNNNNNNNNNNNNNNNNNNNNNNNNNNNNNNNNNNNNNNNNNNNNNNNNNNNNNNNNNNNNNNNNNNNNNNNNNNNNNNNNNNNNNNNNNNNNNNNNNNNNNNNNNNNNNNNNNNNNNNNNNNNNNNNNNNNNNNNNNNNNNNNNNNNNNNNNNNNNNNNNNNNNNNNNNNNNNNNNNNNNNNNNNNNNNNNNNNNNNNNNNNNNNNNNNNNNNNNNNNNNNNNNNNNNNNNNNNNNNNNNNNNNNNNNNNNNNNNNNNNNNNNNNNNNNNNNNNNNNNNNNNNNNNNNNNNNNNNNNNNNNNNNNNNNNNNNNNNNNNNNNNNNNNNNNNNNNNNNNNNNNNNNNNNNNNNNNNNNNNNNNNNNNNNNNNNNNNNNNNNNNNNNNNNNNNNNNNNNNNNNNNNNNNNNNNNNNNNNNNNNNNNNNNNNNNNNNNNNNNNNNNNNNNNNNNNNNNNNNNNNNNNNNNNNNNNNNNNNNNNNNNNNNNNNNNNNNNNNNNNNNNNNNNNNNNNNNNNNNNNNNNNNNNNNNNNNNNNNNNNNNNNNNNNNNNNNNNNNNNNNNNNNNNNNNNNNNNNNNNNNNNNNNNNNNNNNNNNNNNNNNNNNNNNNNNNNNNNNNNNNNNNNNNNNNNNNNNNNNNNNNNNNNNNNNNNNNNNNNNNNNNNNNNNNNNNNNNNNNNNNNNNNNNNNNNNNNNNNNNNNNNNNNNNNNNNNNNNNNNNNNNNNNNNNNNNNNNNNNNNNNNNNNNNNNNNNNNNNNNNNNNNAGAGAGAGAGAGAGAGAUCACACGUGUGUGAUUUCCUUUUGCCAAUAGGAUAUGCAGAGAGCUUGAUCUUACCCAAUAGCGAAACAAACUUCCUAAUAAGUGAAGGUAUAGUAUAAAUACUUAUACUUUCAUGUUAUUUUGUUCAUCAGUAGCUUGAUUAUUUUAUAUGCGUCUUCGAUUUUAAUUUUCUUUCCCUAUAAUCGCUAUUAUCUUUGAACUGGUCAUAAUUUGCCUAUAAGAUUUCUCAUGUUGUUUUGAGGUGCAACGGAUUUUGAAUUUAGUGACAAGCAGUGGAAGCCAGAAGGCAAAUUAUGAAAAUGGAUAAAGAUCUAUAAUUAGCUGUUAUGGGAUGUCACAUAUCAUAUUGAUGGUAACGUUAUAUAUAUGUACAUAUAAUUAAUGGGGUUGGCUCACGAGCCCAUUAAUAAUGGUAUAUUAGCUUAUAUACUUCAAACAAUGUACUAUGAAGCAAUUUCACAAAUACUUGUUAGCUUAUGUUGAGCUUUAUUGAAUCAGUAGUUCACAGUUCAAUAAAAUGCAGGUUUGCUAUUUGAAGUACAUGGUUAUGGUGCGUACAUUCUUCAUAAGGCUAACUACUAAUUUUCAUUGAAACUUGAAAAAUGUGAUAGAGAGUAGAUAACAGCCGCAAAACACUGAGAUUGAAAAUCAGGGCUACUAAAUUCUAUUAAAAGUCCUUAAAAAUAGACAGCGAUCACCCUGAAAUGUAUAUACUGAAACUAAGAAAUAUUAAUCGCAAAGUUAUGCAUUAAUAGAACUAUUGACUACUUAUCUUUAGCAUAAAGUAUAUUUUUAACUACAGCUUUCUGCUUUGUUCUAAGAACUAGGCAAAAGUGGUGUAUCUUCAAUCCAAUCAACAUAUAUACCACUUAUCUUCCUCUUCACUUCUGUCUAUUUUGAUUUGCACUUCAUAUCCUGCACUUGCUGCUUAGAAAUAGUCUUUAUUCUGGACAUUGAAAGUAGAAAAAGUACUUGAAACAAUCAUUGGCACAGCCCGAGAUUCCAUUGAAUCGUGGACUCCAAGCUUUCAUAGUUCUAUAAAGAAGAUGACAAAACUUCAUACAACUGGCAUUCUGCUUUUAACAUUUGCACAACCUGAGCGAGUUAGCAAGCCCCUUGUUGCGUUCCCAUUGAAUAGACCUACUUCUGUUAUCCGCAGAAGAUCCACCACUCAAAAUGUUUAUCCAGGCUAUUCUUAAACUGAGCCUAAACUGAGUAGAAACUUCCGCACAUCUCUCAGCAUUUACAUGAAGAAAUCGACAACUAUCCUCAUCUCUCAUCUCUCAGCAUUCUACAAAGUUGCAUUUCACUAAGCAAUCUAUCCUCUCCAUUCCUAGCAAAGUGACAUUGAUUCCCGUAUUUGUAAUCGCCUAACUUGGGUUUUGGGCAUAGCGUGGUCUUAAAAUUACCACCCAAUACUUUGUUCAGUGCCACUGGCAUCCACAAGCUCUAGCCCUGUUAGUUGAAUCAUAUUCAAUGGACAGUGAGGCAGCAUUUCACUAACAUAUUCAAUUUGACUACUUAUAUUGACGCAAAUAUUAGAAUUUGAAAUCACUUCUUUUAUUGGAAUAUUAUAUUAAUAUGACCCCAAAUGAAAGUUCUUGAAUGGAAAUGAUUUUUAUUUACUUUUCGACAGAUUCAAGAAAACCCAGAGAACACAAAAUUUACACAGUAAUAUGAUUAAGAGCUGAGAACGUAUAUGUAGUAAAUGUCUAUCAAAAAACACCAAGGGUUUCUUUAAAAUUAGUAACUAGUAAACAAAAAGAAAGAAUCAUUUUACAUUUUUAGCAACUUUGGGUGAGUGAGUGAGUGAGAAAUUGAAACCCUCAAGUGAUGACAACAGUAAGAUUCAGUAUGAAGUGAAACCCCCAAUUUGAAAUGUAGGCAUGAGUUGCUGAGUCAGUAGAUGAAGCUAUAAAUAGGCAUUCGGUUUCCUUCUUUUCGGUUUGGAGGGCCAUGGAAUAGUGUAUUGGAGUGGGCUCCAAGUAAUAGCCUCUAUCACUGGAACGACACAUCUAUAAAAUGUGAUACAUGGGGAAGGAUUGGGCAUUUUAUUCUUAGAUUAGCCCCUUAUUUAGGGUGUAUAUUAAGCAGAUUAUAUAUUACAUGGAGAUGGAGUUUAUGAAAUAGAUUAAAAAGAAAAGGAAAUUUUGGUGCCUAAAGUUUGCCACUUGGAAUAUUUCGUGUCUAAAAAUUCACUCACCACUUAUUUCAUGUUUGAUUAUAUGUUGAAAAGAUAUUAAAAUAGUAUAAUGCUAUUAAGGCUUAACGUAUAUUUUUUAUUAGUAGAGUGUAGAAUUUUUAAGAAAUAAAUUAUUAAAUUAUUAUAACUAACAUAUUAUUUUAAAGUUGUGUUAUGAAAAAAAUGAAAUAAAAAUGUACAGUAAAUAAGAAUAUUUUAAAACUUUUAUCUUUUUAAAAUUAGUUUUUAACAUAAGGUGAACUAUUUUUUUUUUUAAAAUCACAUAUUCUAGUUAAAAUCAAAUAUGUAUUUAUACGAAGCUUGUAAAUUUUUUUUUUAGUACUGAUAUUUGAAUAUUAUCAAUAAAAAAAAGGGUAAUGUUCAUGCUGCAUUAUUUUUGUAGCACACAAAAGGACAACACCGUUUAUGUUAUAAUACUAUCGCUUCUGUUAUGAUAAUUUUUUUUGUGGCCAAAUAUCUUUUUUUUUUUUAAGUAAAAAAAAGUGGACAAAAUGCAAAUCAGUUUUUAAUCCUCAAUCUCUCCCAAAAUAUAUAUUUCGGUGUCUAAAAAUUCACUCACAAAACUAUAGCUGACAAAAAGUUACUAACAAAAAGUUAGGUCCAUGGGUUGUUAAAACUAUAGCUGACAAAAAUUACUAACAAAAACAGAAUGUCCAUUUUAUAACUUUCUUAAAAAACUUUCCUUAACUUUUUUAAACAAAAAGUUAUUUUCCAAUUUUAUUUUGUUAUAAUUUUAUAACAAAAAUUCGUAGUUAACUAAACUCUUCUUAUACCCUUUCUCAACUGCCAUACCCUAACCCACUAAAACCACGCUCAAUAAGGCCAUCAGAUUCUCCCGGCCCACAUUAAUCCAACUGCUUCACAGAGACCGACAGCCUCUCUAUCUCCAUUUCAAGCUCCCUCUUCAACUGGCUUCUGCUACCGUCCUACUCUUUCUCGGCUUCGGAGUCCGUAUUUGCUCGGCCUGUCCCACGAAGCUCCCUCUCACUCCAAUUGUCGCCCCACAAGGACCAAUUGCUUAAUCAAGACACCGAACAAGAAAAGGAUGAGAAGUUGAAACAAAAGAAUUUGAGAAUUGGAAAUAAAAAACGUACGCAUUGACCGUGCCUUUGAGAGUCGUUUCUCUUCAGAACUCAGUGCCUCAAUCUUGGGUUAAGGAUUUUAUGCGAAGUCAGGGAAAGAGAUUGAAGUUUCAGAUGAAUUUGUGUGCUAGCAUUGAUGGGAUCUUUAACAAUUUAUCUGUGCCCUUUACAAAGUUAAGGCUAAGUCAGCUUCUUAUAUGGCUGCUGAUUUGGUUAGUGUUGGUGAUUCAUGGCUUAGUUUUGCCAUUAAAAAAGAGAUGAUUGAGCCAAUGGCUGGAGCUGAAGACCAAGAUUGGUUCAAAUGCUUAAGUCACAAAUGGAAGGUAACAUCUUUGUCUUUGAUCCUCGAGGUAAAAUAUGGGCGGCACCGUACAGGUGGGGCACAACGGUGAUAGCCUACAAGAAAAGUAAAUUUCGAAAGCAUAAUUUGGCUCCGAUUGAGGUAAUAAUUUUCUUUAAACUCAUUUAGUUUUAUAUCAAACAAAAUCAAGACUGCCUUUCUCUUCAAUAUUUUUAUGAUAAUAUCUUUAGAAGCAUCUCAUUGACGGGUAACAAUGGCAUCCCUGAAAGAGUCUAUAAACUCAAUGAUAUUAUCUUCUACAAAUGGUUCAUUAAACUUGUCGUUGUACUCAAAUGUACACUCAGAUCAAUGAGAAGCUAUGCUACGUUAGCAUGUAGUGAUGCACUUAAUAAGUGAGUUGCCUAGGAUGUGAACUAGAAAAAUUAAAUAUGUCUCCUUGGGUAUGCUAGCUGGUAAGUCAGGGUUAAUAUCAGAGCUUAAGAUAGUAUAACCGUGAGAACCUAUUGACUGCCAAUUAAAAUAUCCAUUGAAAUGUCUAGGGAGUUAUGAAGGUGGAGGUAACUUCCAAUUUCUAAGGCCACAGAGUAGACAUCAUCCAGGAUCCUAGGAAAGUCCAGUUAACCUCCUGCUCGAUGCAAUUAAUAAAUUUGGUCAAUGCCACUGAAACCUGCUAACUGACGUCACAAUGCGACAUGAGCACUUCAAAAUGGGACAGACGGUCAGUAGCACUAAAUUUUUCUUGCCAAAUGAGCAAUUGGUCUAACUACUAAUCCCUAUUGUAGGUUGAUCAUUAUUUUUUCAAUUAUGUUCAGUUUGACCCAAAAAGUUGCAGAAUCUUGAGCUAAAUAUUGUCACUGAACACUGUCAAUGUCAUUUAGCAUAGCCAACUAACUUGAUGUUAAAACAAACACACAGUGUGUCUCAUGUCUCACAAUUCAAAUUAUCAUCUGUAAUGUUGGAGAAUUUUUCCAAUGUAUGAAGUAUGCUUUGAUACGUGGGUUACCUUGGAGAAGAUAUCUCAAAAUAAAGAAUAUGGGGAGAAAACAGUUCAGUAGUUUAUUAUUCUGUAGUCAAGUUUUGUCUCGAAAAUGGUCAAAAUUUAAAUGAAUAAAGGACAGGGGAUCUUCAUUCUUUUUUCCCUUUUUUAUACCAAGAUAUCUCUCAACCUUUAUAUAAUCCCCACUGGAUAUCUGCUUCUAAUAAUUAAAAUAAAAAUUUCACCGCUCUAACAAUAAAAAGUAAACAUCUUUCCUCAAAUAAUUUACAGUUCCUCAUCAUCUUAGUGUGAGAAUAUCAGUACAUUCCAAAAACAUAAUAAAACUGGUUUGAUCCUGUUUAUUGAUGUUUAAAUGUUGUUCAUUGUGACAGGUAGAAAUGAUGAGGCGAAGUUUAUUUGGACAUCAAUUAGUAAGAUCUUGUUGAAGUUGUUUUCUGAAAUGAACUGCCAAAUGGUAGUUUUUUGGGGCAUUUGAUGGCUCUUUUUUUUUCCUCAUUUUCAACAUGUGCCUGCUUGGAACAUGAAGGAUUAGGCUGCCAGAGUUGUUAUAUAUUUUGAGAUGCUCUGGUCAUUGCACAAUUUGUCACACUGGAAAUUAGAAUGAGAAAUUUGUUGAUGCUGUUUUGAGAGAUCUGCAUUCUAUGCACAAUAACAUGAUUAAUGAAAUGCAUUGUAGGACUGGAAAGAUCUGUGGCAGCCUGAGCUCGCAGGAAGAAUUUCAAUGGUUAAUUCUCCCCGAGAGGUUAUUGGUUCAGUUUUGAAGUAUAGGGGAACAUCAUACAAUUCAAACUAUAUUGAUUCGCAAGUUGCUGGUGGGAAAGAUUGCUGUUCAGCAGAAUCUGGCAUUACUGGCAAACCAGGUACUCUUACAGAAAUCAUAUCUGGUCAUUGCAUGUUAUUGCCUGACAACUGAUUUGUUUGUAAAAGUCUGCUUCUUCAUACAUAUGAAUGCAUAUGUUAGUGUUUUCUUCUCCUUUUCAUACAUAUAAAUGCAUAUGUUAGUGUUGUCUUUUCCUUUUCACACAUAUUAAUACAUAUGUUGGUGUUCUCUCCUGAGAUGGAUGCAAUAAAGCUUUUGCUCCUAAAUUUAGCUGAAGAAAUGCAAGGGAUGUGAGAUUCUGUCUCAUUAAAUUAACAAAAACCCAAAACAAUGAAAAUCCAUAAUAAUGUGUGUGGGUAAAUGGCUCCAUUUGGUUCGUUUCCUUAAUGUGAAUGCGCGAGCAAUAGAGACUAACAAAAUGAAGUGACAACAAGAAGUCAGUGUCCUUUGAUGGAUGCAUUUUUAGGCAGAAAUAUGUUUGUAAUUGACCAAAUUUGUCUGGCAUGCCAAUUUCAAAAAAAUUAAAUUAUGUGGUUAUUAGCUGUAAUGAAGGGGAUAGUAGGUGCAAUCAGGUGUAUCCAGGAAAGUUCAACAAAGUUUUGGUAUGGCGUAGUGAAAUUGGUUUGUGCAACUCAGGAGUCUUUCAGGUGAACGAUGAUAGGUUUUGAUUUAUGAAUAUUAUAAAUCUACUGUGCAUAGUAUUCUAGUAGAAUCAUCUAUAAGUUCUAGUUAUUGUAUACUUUGCCUGGUUUGAGUUAAGGGCACAUGUAAUAUGAAAGAUAGUUGUCGCAUCUUUUAGGUUACCUAACAUUUGAUCAAUCCUAUUAUGGGGCUUCAAGAUGUCUAACAAUAUGUAGAAUGCCCAUGCUCCUCCCCAUUGUUUAUCUUCUACAAUAAUUUGUUUUAGAUGCUAAUAUCUUUGUCGAUACGUAACAAUAUUACAAUAUCUGCGUUUAUUGGGUUUUACAUAGGUUCGACUGUUUGACAGUACACACUAUCUGAAGGCAUUUGCAAUUGGAGAUGUAUGGGUUGCUGUUGGGUGGAUUAGUGAUGUUCUUCCUGCUGUCAAACAUAUGUCUAAUGUUGCUGUUGUUGUUCCCAAGUCUGGUGCUAGCUUAUGGGCUGAUCUUUGGGUAUACCCAUGCCUGCCAUUCUACUUCAAUAUUCACAUUGUUAUCUCCUUCAUAUUAGUGAUCAGUAAACACGAUAAUGUGACUAAUAAGUUCGUAUUCUCUUUAUAGGCAAUCCCUGCUGCCUCAAGACUUGAAACAAAACAAAUUGGAGGCGAGUCAGAGGUGCAUUUCCAUUAAUCCAUCAAUGGAUAGAAUUCUGCUUGCAAACAGCGAGAGCAUUGCCUUUCAAGCAAGAGGUUAUCCCGAGCGCAUCUCCCUCUGCCCUUGAGAGUACUCUGGUUAAGUUGCCUGAAGAACUUUUCAAGGGUAAACCAAGUCUGGAUACUAACUUAAUUGCUGGAGUACCCCCGACUGAAAUUCUGGCCAGAUGUGAGUUUUUGGAGCCUUUAUUUGAAGCUACAUUGUCGGAUUAUGAGUGGCUGGUUACUAAUCUGCAAAAAUCCACUCCUGUACUGAUCAACAAGAUGCAACAUUACAUGUCAUCAUUGAUCUUUAGCUAAAGGUACAUUGAAAAGUUAAUGGCACUGCAUACCAGUCAUUAUAAUUGGGUCAGGGCAAUUAGGUCAGAGCAUAACUUCAUUAGGAAAAGAUGCUUCAGCUACGUUAAAUAUUACAGGAUGUACUGAGAUGGCUGAAGCUGUUGAGGUUUUACGAGAAUCGAAAGAUAGUGUUUGUUUGAACAAAGUUGUUGCCAAUCUUGCAGAGUUCGAGAAGAAAGAUCACGAAGUGAAUGCCACCGAUUUCUUCAUCAUUGUAGCCUCCAUAGUUGAAGUUUCCUCAUUUGAAGCUGUUUAUGCAUACGAUUUUCCCCUGCUCAAGUACAGGAAAUUGAAGAAUUAACCAGAUGUGAUAUGCUGAAAGAGGGAAGUUUUCUUCCUUGAAUGUGGUCUUUGUGAUUUGUCUUGAAGGAAUAGGGUGAUCACUGGCAAGAACCCUAUCAAGGUAGAUUUUAUGAUGUUAACAUAUCAUUAAGCAUUUUGUUACAUCAGCAAUGAUGCUUUCAUAGCAGCAUGAAAGUGUUUAAAUUUAACUGAAUGAUCUUGAUUGAUCAAUUAUGAGUUUUAAUCGAGUAAAAACUAAAUACAAUAAUCGUUAACAAAUAUUGAAAUUGGGUAAAUAUGAUCUUGAUAUUGAAGAAUUUGAAAUCACAACCCACACAGGAAAUCACCCUUCGCGUGGGGAUGGAGAUGUUUACUGCAGCGAUAUUGAAUAUGUCCACCGCUCUUUGGGUUAUGGUGCGACUUGCCCUGAAACAAUGGAAAAGAAUAAUUAAUAAUUUAACGCCAAGACAUAAAAUUAAAACGUGUGGACUCCGGUAGCUGCCCUACAAGUCUACAACUCUACAAACAUUAACUCUACAAACAUUAAAACGUGUGGACUCCGGUAGCUGCCCUACAAGUCUACAACUCUACAAGAAUAAUUUCUAGCCCUGUUGACUCCACUAACUAAAGAAAUUUCAAAACGUACAUAGAAUUCCACAACAAGCAAAACGUAUGGAAUUUAAUUUUUUGCCGUGUGGAACAAAAUACAAUUUAACAAAAAAGGAUAAGAAAAAUGGUAAGAUUUCUAAAAUGAGUGGAAGGUGAUUCAUAUUUUACUGAAAUGACUUGUCCUGAACAUUAAGACGAUUGAUUUUUUUUUUUUAAUAACAUCAACUUCCAUAUCUUUCUAACCCCUAGAAUAUGCUCACGUUCAAGUCUAUCUUGGUAAUUUGAAAAAGAAAAUCAAAUCAAAUCAACACCAAAACAAUGAAAAGUAAAACUUUUGAAUUUCAACUUUAAACUUUUGUUAACCCCUAGAAUAUUCAGCGUUUUCAAAUUCUUCCGAUUGCAUAUCUUCUUCCUCCAUCAAUGCAAUAUUUGAACGAUUAUGAAAGAGUUUAAGAACAUAAAAAAUCUCCAAGGUUUAUACGGUAUAACAAAUUUAAAUUCUCAAUUACAAUAGAUAAUAAUUAAACUAAUAAUUUUUUAUGUACUUAUUUUAGUAAUUUCACCUAAGAAUAAUAUUGUAAUUAGAAAAAAAAAUCUAAUAAGUAGGGUGGUCUUAUACAAAAUCAACUGUACUGUGAUGAGUUUCCUUUUGUUAAUAAUUUUAGUCUAAUUUCAAUUGUACUGUGAUCGCUUCUCAAGGUAAGUGAAAGUUACAGAUGUGGCAAAAUAAAUAAUUAAGUUAACAAAAUGCUAACUAAUUUUCCUCAAUACCUAGGGUUGUACAAUUUCACCAACCUGGAAGAAUUGACAUUAAUGGACUGGUCUCCUCCCCAUAUAAUUAUAAUCCUUCUAGAAAGCUAUUUUUUAUUAAAUAUUUGCUUUUAAGUUAAUUUCAAUUAAAAAAUGUUUUAAGUUAUAUAUACUCUAAUGAGAUUCUGAAUUCCUUUAUUCCAAUAAUAAUGAAAACGUAUUAAAUUAGAAAUGAAAAAAUUGGUGUUGAUGAUUCAACCUAUUUGGAUAGAUUACGUGAAUAAAAUUAAAAUUUUGAUUUAAUUUUUGUUUAUUGUUAAUUCUCAGGCUAUCUUAAUUUCAAGAAUUUAGAAUGUUAAUUUGGUCAUGGAUUUCAACCCGUGAGUGUCAUAUUCUAGACUUAAUGGUACCAUUCUUUGAUUGAGGGCAAUGACUCUCACUCCUCUUGUAAAAAAAUAUUUUCAACUAUUUUGAUGACUUAAAAAUUGAUAGAUUUAUUGUUGUCAUGACCAAAUUAUUCAUUUUAAUGAAAUAUAAUUAAUGCAUCAAAGUUACCAGGUUUAUGUUCUAUCUUAAUGCGCUUUUUUUUUUUUUCAGUUAUAGCUUCUGCUUACGUCUGUUUCAUUUUUUUUUAAUAAAAAAACAAGGGAAGGUUUUUCCGAGUCAUCCAUUAUUUGAUUUCCGUCAAUCAAGAAAACGACCAAAUUAAUUUCUCUCCAAAAUUUCCAAAAGCUAGAAAAUUUUGUUAUUUGAAAAUAACAUGAUUAAUUAUAGAGUGGAUCAAACCGCGUUAUUGUCUUUCAUAAAAUUGAUGUCUUUUUAAGAGUCAAUACUUUUUAUUUACGCAAACCAGUCGACAUCAAUUUAAACUUCCAUAUUUUUAUUAUUAUUAUGUUAUUUAUUUUAAUCGCCGAUUAUUUGAUUAGCCACUAUAUAUAUCAAGAAAGCGACAAAAUUUAUUUCUCAUGACUUCCAAAAACUAGAAAAACAACAUCAUUUAUUAUUUUUUUGCAACCCUAAUUGACAUCAACUUUAACUUUAUUAUGUUAUUAUUUCAAUCCCCCAUUAUGACCUUUCUAAUCCUCCAUUAUGCAUCUUUUAUAGUGCAAAUUUAAUUGCACAUCUAAAUAAAUUGAUUAUUGUUACUCCACCACCAAUAUUUCAAAUAGUCACUAGACCAUUUCUGCCUUUAAUUUUCCCUUAACUAUUGACUGUUUUUAGCAUCUUAAAAUAUACAUUUAUUCCUUGAUUAUGUGAUAAAAUUAUGAAAAUAUCCAUUUUAGCUUAAAUUAAUUGGAAUAACCAUAAGCGUAACAUAAAUUAAUAGAACAAAAUUAUCAAGUGUAUGUUCUAUCUUACUUUUUGAAGAAUUUAACAUAUAUAAUGCUAUACUAUUAAUAAAUUUUUCAUUUACUAUAUAUGUUCACAUAUUUUAUAUAUUUAUUAAUUGUUAUAUAGUCACAGGAUGAAUGAUUUUUCAGGUCUACAUGAGUUGGUGCACAUGCAAGACUCAAUUUUGACAACAAUGAUCUAAGGGGUAAUUUACCUUGGUGUUUGACAAACAUAACCUCUCUUCAUGAUUUACUUCCAAUCUACUUACUGUAAAUAUCUCCUCAUCUCCUCUCAUUUAUAUGAUAAGUGAUAACCCUUGAAGAUCUCACAUUUUCAAACGAUCAUAUUAGGGUUUUUAUUAUUAGCAUCAUUGUGUCAACAAAAUAUAUGUUGCAGUAAGAUUUUUUCAGACCAAUUCCCUUCUUCAAAUAAUAAUGGAAAAGUAUUAAUUUAAAAAUAAAAUGAAUAUGCAUUGAUUAUAUCCUGAUUUCCAUCGAUUAUAGCGAGAGUUUCUCCGAAUCAACUCCCUUAUUCAAAUAAUACAGAAAAAAUAGUAAUUUAAUAGUAAAAUUAGCAAGUGUUGAUUAUAUAUCCUAAGUUUCAUCGAUUAUGUGAUCAAAGUGGCAUUGUUGAUUUAUUUCUUGUUCAAUGUUAAUUUUUAGGUUAUCUAAAUUUCAAGGAUUUAAAAUCUUUGUUCAUGGAUUACACGCUUAUUAAUUUUUCUGCCAUUGACUGUCAUAUUCUAGACUUAAUGGUACCUUCCUUGAUCAAGGAUAAUUACUCUAUGUUCUCCUCUUAUAAAUUCCUCUUCCAUUAACAUCACUAGGAGUAUGUUGAUCUCUCAGACGUUAACUUUAGUGGAGAGUUUCCAAAUUGAUUGUUACAAAACAACACAAAAACUAGACACACUUGAUCUGUCUAAUAAUUCUCUUUCGAUAAAAUUAAUUAAUUUUAGGGGAAUAUUCGACCAACCUCUAUAAUUUCAUAUUGAUCAUUAAUUAAUUAGACGAAAAAAGUACUUGUGCUUUUGUGGCGACAAUUGAACUAGAGAAGUGAAGCUGUAAAGAUUUGGCAGUAGUAAAUUGUUAGAAAGACAUAAAGACAAUUUCCCAUUUUAUAAUUUUUUCAAAAAACUUUUUUACAACACAUGCACCUGGCCAAAAAUUUUAUUUUGCUAACUAACAAUAAUUGAGUAGCUGACCGUAUUGACUCCGCCUACUUGCUAAAGUAAAAAAAUAGAAAUAGAAUUUCCACAAAAUGUCAAACAUGUAAAAUCUAAUAUUUGGCCAUGUGGAACAAAAUACAAAUGAAAAAAAAAAUAGAAAAAAGGCCUAAAGACUUUUAAAAUGUGUGGAAAUCUUUCGGCCCUUUUAUAAUGGUGUGUUUUUCAAAGGAACAACUAAUAAUAAUGACACUUCUACGGUUUGUUUUGAUAAUUACACAUAUACUCUUUAAUUUGAUAAAUGGUUACACAAAUUUUGUUUACAAAAAUAUAUUAUUCAUGUUCUGUAUUAUUUUUUAACAUCAUAUUUUUAUUUAUUAUAAUUGUUUAAAGUUAAUUGUUAGGUUGAUAUAUAAUAAAAACGUAUAAUCGUUCUCUUACUAAACACACAUACUCGUAGUUUCUAUCCAUUUGUCAUCUCAAUCUCUCUCAUUUAUCCUUUCUUGAUAGCUCAAAACGCGUCACUGUGGAAAAUAAUAGCAAAACGACAAAUAUGGAAAGAAUGGGAAGAAAAUUAAUGCAUGAAAGAGUUGCAGAAGACAACCAAAUAAGUCAACUAUACGCUAGUUGGGUGUAUAAAUUGUUAGAUGUGUUAUAAACAAAUAGCAUAGAGCCUUGGUUGGUUACAGAGAUAGAAAAACUGUGUGUGUUUUUUAGAACUUAAAGAUACAGUUAGAAUGGGUGGUUCAAAAUCAAAAAUGGUGAUAAUGUUUGUUCUGUUAUUAAUAAUAUUAGAAGGUGGGUGGAGUGAAGGAUGUUUGGAUCAUGAGAGAUUUGCUCUUUUGCGACUCAAACAUUUCUUCGAUGAUACUGGUAGUUAUUUUUACUACUGGGCAGAUGGUGAGGGAGCUACUGAUUGUUGUCAGUGGGAAAGGGUUGAGUGCAGCAACACCACAGGCCAAGUGAUAGUGCUAGACCUUUUUGAAACGUAUUUGGGAGAGUACAGCUGGUAUCUGAAUGCUUCUUUGUUUACUCCCUUUCAACAACUUGAGUCACUUGAUUUAUAUGGCAACAAAAUAGUCGGUUUUGUUGAGAAUGAAGGUACUUCGUCUAAUUCAAUUAAUUUACAUUUCGCUCUCCUAAUUUAAGUCGAAUAUCAAGACUGAGCAGCUAUAUGCAUAUUCAUUCAAUUGACAAUUUUUACAUAUUUUUUAAAAUGUUUAAUUUUGAAAUUACACCAAACAUCAUAUGUGGUUUUGAUUUUACUUGCAGGUCUAGAAAGAUUGAACAACUUGAAGAGGCUUGAUUUAAGUUAUAACUUGUUCAACAAUAGCAUCUUAUCAUCUGUGGCUCAUCUUUCUUCACUAACAUCAUUAGAUUUAUCUGGAAAUAGAUUGGAAGGAAGUAUUAAUGUUAAAGGUACGUAAUUAAAACGUCAUCGCUUCUCUCAACUCUUUCAUUAACAUGCUAAAAUAAGAUUCAAGGCUUUGAAUUCAUUUUUUUUUAUGAGUAAAUAUUAGAAAAAUAGUUUUAAGCAAUUCAUAAAUACAAUUUUCAAUGUUUCUCAUAAUUUCAUCUUGUACUUUCGUAUGUCUUGACUUUAAGAUUAAAAAAAAAAAAUUACUCUAACUGUGAAGCAAAUACCCCAUGACUAAUUUAUCAUUUCGUCCAGUUAAAAAUGAUAAAAUUUAUCAUUUGUUUAUAUUGAUUAAUUAACUCUAUUUUAAGUCUUAAGUCUUGGCGUCUUGGCAUAUUUGCAGAAUUUGAUUCCUUGAGCAACUUAGAGGAGUUGGACAUGAGCGACAAUGAAAUAGACAAUUUAGAGGUUCCUCAAGGUAAACAAUUAAAAUAUUAUUCAAUUACAUUAAUUUAAUUCGUUUGAUUAGGGAAGACCCAAAAGGUACAAAAUAUAAUAAUAAUAAUAAAAGAAACAGAGAAUCUAUAUUAUUUCAAAAAAUAAAACGUAAUACUAUUAUUUCAAAAAUAGAUUGUAAUAAAGAUUUGAUUCCGGUUCUUUAAUCUUUACAGCAAUUGAAAAACGAUGUUGCUCUUUUCCUGAAGCAUAAAAUAUGAAAUGACUCCAAUACAAUUAAUCAUUUAUUUCGUUUACUCUAAAAUUAGACAAUGAAUCUUUAUUUUCUUCAGUCUUAUCCUAAUUAUUAUUAAUAAACAGGUUACAAAGGUUUGAGGAAGUUGAAUUAUCUUGAUCUAUCGAAUGUUGGAGUUAGAGAUGGAAGCAAGUUGUUACAGUCAAUGGGAUCAUUCCCAUCCCUCAACACUCUUUACCUGAAGGAUAAUAAUUUUACCGAUAUAGCGACAACUACUACUCAAGGUAAGUAAAAGAUACAGAUGUGGCCAAAUUUACAAAUAAAUUGUUAAUUAAUUAAUUUUUCCGUAUUAUUAAUAAAGCUAAAUUCGUCGCUCCUUCCUUCUAAUUCUAAACAGAGUUGGCAAUUUCACCAACUUGGAGUAUUUGACAUUGGACUUGUCCUCGCUCCAUUUAAGCCUUCUACAAUUACUUGAAGAAUGAAUUUAUUUAUUAUUAUUAUUGUUGUUGUUGUUGUUGUUGAAGUGAGGUGGGCAAGCGUUCACUCAAUUAAUAUGUGAGGAAUUAAUAAUUACAAUCCAAGGUAGAAUUGUGGAAAAUUAAAGCAAAAUGAGAAAUAUGGAAAGAAAGGAAGAAAGUUAAGGGCAUGAAAGACUAGGAGAAGACUAAAGACCACCAAAUAAGUCAACUGAAAACUAGCUGGGGCCUGGGUGUACAAAUUGUUAGAUGUGUUUGUUAUAAAUAACAUAGAGCCAUCUUGUUGGUUGCAGAGGCAGAGAGACACAGAGUGUGCAUUUUGUUAAUUAAAAAUAUAUAUAAAAUGGGUGGUUCAAAAUCCAAAAUGGUGAUAAUGUUAGUUUUGUUAGUAUUAAUAAUAUUAGAAGGGAGGUGGCGUGAGGGAUGUUUGGUGCAUGAGAGAUUUGGUCUUUCGAGACUUAAAACAUUUCUUCAAUUCUCCUUAUAAUUUUUGUCACGACUGACCGUUGUCAAUGGGAUGGGGCUGGGUGCAGGGUUGAUUUACGUUAGAACAAUAUAGCCGGUAGUGUUGAGAAUGAAGGUGUUUCAUUUAAUUUAAUUAAUUUACUUUCUCCCUCCUAAUUUAAGUGGAAUAUCAAGACUGAACAAUUAUAUGCAUCUUCGUUCAGUUGACAAUUUUGACAUUUUUUUUAAGUGAUUAAUUUUGAAAUUACACCAAACAUUAUUUGUGAUCUCUGUUUUGACUUUACUUGCAGCGCUAGAGACGUUAUCAAGAUUGAGCAACUUGACGAUACUUGAUUUAAGUUAUAACUUGUUCAAUAAUAGCAUCUUGUCAUUUGUUGCCCGUCUUUCAUCAUUAACAUCAUUAGAUUUAUCUUACAAUGGAUUGGAAGGAAGUAUUAAUGUUAAAGGUACGUAAUUAAAACGUCAUCGCUUCUCCCAACUCUUCCAUUAACAUGCUAAAAUAAGAUUCAAGGCUUUGAAUUCAAUUUUUUUUAUGAGUAAUAUUAGAAAAAUAGUUUUAAGCAAUUCAUAAAUACAAUUUUCAAUGUUUCUCAUAAUUUCAUCUUGUACUUUUGUAUGUCUUGACUUUAAGAUUAAAAAAAAAUUACUCUAACUGUGAAGCAAAUACCCCAUGACUAAUUUACAAUUUUGUCCAGUUAAAAAUGAUAAAAUUUAGGGAAAUUAUCAUUUGUAUACCCUUAGUUUACUCUAUUAUCAAAAAUACUACAACACUUUGAGGGUGUAUCAAUCGUCCACCCUAAGUUGACAAAAUGUAUUAGCCAACCACCAAACCGUUAGUUGCCGUUUAAAUAUGAUAACAUCAUAAGGGUAAUCUGGUCUUUUCAUAUGAUACAAGUGAUAAUUUAAGGGUAUACAAGUGAUAAAAAGAGAGUUUAAGGGGAUACAAGUGAUAAUUUUCAAGGGUAAAAUCGUCAAUUUACUGUAAUUCCGUUAACUUUCAAACGGCAAUUAACAGUUUGGUGGUCGGUUGAUACAUUUCAUCAACUUAGGGUGGACGAUUGAUACACCCUUAAAGUGUUGUAGUAUUUUUGAUAAUAAAGCAAAUAUAGGGUAUACGAAUGAUAAUUUCCCUAAAAUUUAUCAUUUGUUUAUAUUGAUUUAUUAACUCUAUUUUAAGUCUUAAGUCUUAAGUCUUGGCAUGUUUGCAGAAUUUGAUUCCUUGAGCAACUUAGAGGAGUUGGACAUGAGCGGCAAUGAAAUAGACAAUUUCAAGGUUCCUCAAGGUACACAAUUAAAAUAUUAUUUAAUUACAUUAAUUUAAUUCGUUUGAUUAGGGAAGACCCAAAAUGUACAAAAACAUAAUUAAAAAAAAAUAAAGAAACAGAGAAUUCAUAUUAUUUCAAAAAACAAAAGGUAAUACUAUUAUUUCAAAAAAAGAAUGUAAUAAAGAUUUGAUUCCGGUUCUUUAAUCUUUAUAGCAAUUGAAAAACAAUGUUGCUCUUUUCCUAAAGCAUAAAAUAUGAAAUGAGUCAUAAUUGAAUUAGUCAUUUAUUUUGUUUAGAUCUAAAUUUAGACAAUAAAUUUUGAUUUUUUUUUCAAUUCUAUCCUUAUUAUUAUUGUUAAACAGGUUACAGAGGUUUGAGGAAGUUGAAAAGCCUCUAUCUAUCGAAUGUUGGAGUUAGAGAUGGAAGCAAGUUGUUACAGUCUAUGGGAUCAUUCCCAUCCCUCAACACUCUUUACCUGAAGGAUAAUAAUUUUACCGAUAUAGCGACAACUACUACUCAAGGUAAGUAAAAGGUACAGAUGUGGCCAAAUUUAUAAAUAAACUGUUAAUUAAUUAAUUUUCUGUAUUAUUAAUAAAGCUAAAUUUUUGCUCAUUCCCUCUAAUUCUAAACAGAGUUGCACAAUUUCACCAACUUGGAAUAUUUGACAUUGCACGGUUCCUCUCUCCAUAUAAGCCUUCUGCAAAGCAUUGCAUCAAUAUUCCCUUCGUUAAAAAAUCUGUCGAUAUCUUAUUGUGAAGUCAAUGGUGUCGUACAUGGUCAAGGUAAAAGAAAAGUGUUGGUUGUGCACUCACUGAGUGUUGUCCUACGUAUUCAAUAUUUUUAUUUAUUUAUUUUAUUGUUUAAUGUUUCUGCUAGGUUUUCCUCAUUUCAAGAGUUUGGAACAUUUGGGCAUGAUGUCCACGCGCAUUGCACUCAACACCAACUUUCUUCAAGUCAUCAGUGAAUCGAUGCCUUCUCUUAAGUACUUAUCACUGUCAUAUUCUACUCUUGGCACUAACAGCAGCAGGAUUCUUGAUCGAGGUUAAUCAGAUGCUCCCACCCUCCAUUCUUAAUCUAUAAUAUUAAUUUUCAGUUAAAUAUUUAAUUACACAAACCAAUCACUUAUUAUAAAAGAACAAUACGCAUUCAUUAAUUUUUAUAUUAUAUUAAUUGAUGAAUUUAAUAAAUUCCAGGCCUCUGUUCGCCGGUGCAUCUGCAAGAGUUAUACAUUGGUUCUAACGAUUUAAGAGGUAGCUUGCCUUGGUGCAUGACAAAUUUGACAUCCCUCCGAAUAUUAGAUGUUUCUUCCAAUCAACUUACUGGAAGCAUCUCCUCGUCUCCCCUCAUUCAUUUGACAUCCAUUGAAAAGCUGUAUCUUUCAAACAAUCACUUCCAGAUCCCAAUUUCACUUGAACCACUUUUCAAUCAUUCAAGACUCAAGACUUUUUAUGCUGACAACAACGAACUAAAUGCAGAAAUAACUCAGUCACAUUCUUUGACCGCCCCAAACUUCCAAUUAUCACGUCUCUCAUUGUCUUCCGGUUAUGAAGAUGGCGUCACAUUCCCCAAAUUCCUUUACCAUCAACAUGAUCUGGAGACUGUUGAGCUCUCACAUAUAAAGAUGAAUGGAGAAUUUCCAACUUGGUUGUUGGAAAACAACACAAAAUUGAGACAACUUUCUCUCGUCAAUGAUUCUCUUGGAGGACCUUUCCGGUUGCCAAUUCAUUCACACAAGCGGUUAGGAAUGUUGGAUAUAUCCAACAACAACUUCCGAGGCCACAUUCCAAUAGAAAUUGGAGAUGUUUUACCAAGUCUAUACCUUUUCAACAAUUCCAUGAAUGCUUUAGACGGUAGCAUUCCCUCUUCAUUUGGUAAUAUGAAAUUCCUCCAAAUUCUGGACUUAUCCAACAAUCACUUGACUGGUGAAAUCCCCGAGCACUUGGCCGUUGGUUGCGUCAACUUGCAGUCUCUUGCAUUAUCAAAUAACAACCUACAAGGUCACAUGUUCUCUAGAAAUUUUAACUUGAUAAACUUGAAAUGGUUACAAUUGGAGGGCAAUCGCUUCAUAGGUGAGAUCCCACAAAGUUUGUCUAAAUGCUCCUCACUAGAAGGAUUGUAUCUUAACAAUAAUAGUCUUUCGGGUAAGAUUCCACGAUGGUUGGGUAAUCUCACAUGGUUACAAUAUAUUAUAAUGCCCAAUAAUCAUCUUGAAGGCCCUAUUCCAGUGGAGUUUUGUCAGCUUGAUUUGCUUCAGAUUUUGGACAUUUCAGACAACAACAUAUCUGGAAGUUUACCAUCUUGUUUCCAUCCUCUCUCUAUCAAACAAGUUCAUCUUUCAAAAAUAUGUUACAUGGACAGCUAAAAAGAGGUACAUUCUUUAAUUGCUCUUCCCUUGUGACAUUAGAUCUUAGCUAUAAUCGCUUGAAUGGCAGCAUUCCGGAUUGGGUUGAUGGGCUUUCUCAGUUAAGCCACCUUAUCUUAGGUCAUAAUAAUCUUGAAGGUGAAGUGCUAGUUCAAUUGUGCGAAUUGAACCAACUACAAUUGUUAGAUCUUUCUAAUAAUAAUCUUCACGGUCCUAUUCCUCCUUGCUUUGAUAACACCACACUUUAUGAAAGUUACAGCAAUAGUUCUAGUCUUGAUGAGCAAUUUGAAAUAUUUUUUUCCAUCGAAAGCCCUCAGGGAAAUGUAGAAAAGCAAAUCCAUGAAAUUUUUGAGUUCACAACAAAGAACAUUGUGUACAUUUACCAAGGAAAAGUGCUUAGCCUCCUAUCAGGACUUGAUCUUUCUUGCAACAAGCUAAUUGGUCCUAUUCUCCUCAAAUUGGAAAUUUUGACAAGGAUUCAAACAUUGAAUCUAUCACACAACGACUUGAUAGGAUUGAUCCCAUCAACAUUUUCAAACUUGAAGCAUGUCGAAAGUUUGGAUCUUUCCAACAACAAAUUGAAUGGGAAAAUCCCUCAUCAACUAGUGAGUUAAAGACAUUGGAGGUUUUCAGUGUGGCAUACAAUAACUUAUCAGGCGAAAUUCCAGAAUGGACUGCACAAUUUGCAACCUUCAAUGAGAGUAGCUAUGAGGGAAAUACUUUCUUUGUGGAUUGCCAUUGCCCAUUUGCAGAUCACCAGCAACUAUGUCGGAGGCUUCAAUUGGCAAUGAACGAGAUGAUAAUUUAAUUGACAUGGACAGUUUCUUUAUCACAUUUACAACAUCGUACGUAAUUGUGAUAUUUGCAAUUGUUAUUAUUUUAUAUGUAAAUUCUUAUUGGCGACGUAGAUGGUUUUACUUUGUUGAAAUGUGGAUAACUUCAUCUUACUAUUUUGUUGUAGACAAUCUUAUUCCAACAAGAUUUAUCAUUGAAAUUAAUUAGUAGUUUAAUUACGAUUCUUUAAGUACUAAUCAAGUUUGUUUAGGAAAUAUUUUUUUAUUAAAAUUGUAGUAGUAUUUAGCAUUAUAUAGCUUCCAACUUCCAAGCACUUCACAUUUGUCUCUACACUUAAAAAACUGAGUGAUCAUGUUUUGCAGAUCUGGAUUUGGAGCAGGAUGGAUCCAAACCCAUAUCUGUCCACCGUAACUUAUAGCUUCCCUAUACUGUGCAGCAUACUUAAAAUAAGAGAACCAUCUCCAAUGUUAAAAGCAUUCACUCUAUAACAUUCAUUUAGAAAACUAUAUUCAGAAUAUUUUAUAAUUAAACACAAGAAAUGAAAACACACAGAUACACUUGAUCGCCUAUUUUACUCUAAAAAAGAACGAUUAUUGUGCUAUCAUCAUCUUCUUCACUAGCAACAUUAACACCAAAUCGAUGGACCCAUACAUUUCAUCAAGAAAGGUCUAUAUCCAAUAAAGUUGAAGCCUAACAAAAAAUUCAAGAAGAUUCAUGCCUCGCCACAACAAGGGCACAACAACAUCAAAGUAGAGAUUAAGCAGUAAUUCUCAAAGCUAAAACUCUCAAAUCCACCCACCAGAAUUUCAUAUCUCCUCAACAAUUUAAGAACUAAAGAUAAUUAGGAUUUAACAUUAGUUUUUUAUAUAUUAGUCAUAAUUUACAAAUCAAUGAAGAUGAAGAUUAUGCUAAUAAAAUUCAAAUUAUACCAUACAUUCUCUAGAUGUUACCAAAAAUUUCUAAGUCAAUCCCACAUAUUUCAUAAUUUUAAGACUAGAAAAUUUCACUAGUUAGAAGUUUCAUUACCUUCAAGUGGAAGAUGAAGAACAUUAUACAAGUGAUUCAGAUUAUAUCAUACAUACUCCAAAUGCAACUAGAAAUUAACAAGUUCAUGCACACAUAUUUCAUAACAUUAUGAUUGAAAAGUUUCACAGAGAAAAUUCUAAAUUCAAUCUCUUGCAUGAAGGCAAUUUGAUUGAUUGAGUUACUUCUUAUCAAGCUACUAAUAUAACAUUCAAGUCAGGAGAAAAUAAAUUAAAACUGGGAAGAAAUAACAGUAAAAAAUUUGUUGCUCAACAUGAUGUGUAUUUUUUUUCAAGGCAAUUUGGAAACACAAUUGUUACCACAGAUAUUCUUCUCAAACUUGGAGAUAAAUACAAAUAUUAAAAUGCAUAUGAUCGCACAUAUUACUUCGAGUUUAGUAAGAUUUCAUUAAAAGAAGCAAUCAAACCACUUAUCAAUUGUCGCAGUCGUUCUAUAAACUAAAAUAGCAAUAUAAUACAAGAAAAAGAACAUAUAGAUACUUGGCAAGAGUUCAUUAAGAAGUCACAUCACAUUCAGGUGAGGAGUUUGCUUCUGAUAUCUUGCUAGCUGGGGCUUUUUCUUGUCUUUCUACGUAUGCCGAGGGAAACCAACCAGCUUGGCCCUUGCAUUCACCUUCCGACCAUCCAAUAGGAGCCACCUUGAGAAGUUAUAACUAAAAUGGUGAAUUAAACAAAAGUUGACCGUUCAAAGACCUAAGGGGAAAACUAAUUCUUUUACGUAGGAGGAGUGAAUUAGUUGUGAUCACUGAAAUAACAGCAUAACUAUGGAAGCAUAACAAGAUAUAAAUUCACACGUCUAUAAGGGUAAACUGGGUGGUUGAGAACUGAGCUAGCAACCCUACUAUAUUCUGAUUUGCACUUCAAUGUAAAAGGGAAUAUAUGGUAGGAAGAAAGAAAACCAACCAUCAUUUGUUAACUCAUUGCUUUUCAAUCAAAAUUUUAAGAACAAAAUGCCAUGUGCUUUGAACAUCAAAUAAGUAUAAGCAUUAGUUCUAAAUUCCACAUAUCAUAAGUUGUUAGAAGGAUAAGUUAAUAGCAGAGUAGAAAAAUCUAUGUGUUGGUAUUUAGAGGGGAAAGUACCUGGCGAACCACAACAUAAUCAUCAAUUGAAAGACUUAGCUCUCCAUUUGCUUGAGCAUCAAAUGGAUGUAUAACCUGCAAGAUAAUGGGAUAAAUAGAACUUAAAAAAAGCAUAACAAAAGCGGCAACAGUAGCAGCAACGUUCAUUGUAACCACUAUGAUCAUGGCCAACAAGAUAUAUUAGAAACAAAAUUCCAUUUUUACUACGACAUUAAUAUGUACUAUACGAUAUCAUGACGAUUGGGUUACUAAGAGCUAUCAAAGUCUAAUAAGUUCUGUAUAACUUUAUGUAGUUAUUUAAAUUAUGGAUCAGAUUUUAAAUUUGAAAUUUUGACUGCUCUCCACAAAACAUGGCCUAUGCACAAGAAAGUCAUAGAUAAUGAGGAUUACAAGUGUCCGACAUCUUUUGAGUGAUGGAUUUAACAUGAGAGCUUAUGGUCAGUCAAUUUCCUCUGCCUAGCAAUAUAAGCUUUCUCGGCCAGAUUUAUCAUCAAAUACAUAGAUUGCCCCCAAGUCACAUCCAUAUAAACAUAGUUUUUCUAGGUAAACCAAGUAAGGAGUAUCAUAAUUCAGACAUAAUCAUAAAAAGGCCCAUCUAACUUAAGAGAAAAUCUCAAAAAGAGGGAUGCUGAGCUAUCAGUCUUGUAUCUAUAAGCAAUAUCAAGACUUUACGUCACCUGCUACAUCGUGAGUGGCUACACAACUUUCAGUGGUUUGUCUUUCUUUGGCACGCCUAACUCAGCUUUCAUGUUGCUGAGAUAUUGAUAGUAGAGACACAUGAUACUUCUAGCUCAUGCAUUCUAUCUAACUCAUCCAACAACUAUCUCUUUUUUAAUUCAUUAGUGUUUGCUAAACCUCAUGCUUAAAAGUCCUGUUCUCCUAAACAAAGUUUCCUAAGAAUGACUUCCUUAGCACCACAGUUGGACACUUUAGAGCAAUUUUAUUUGGGGGAAAAGAAUUUUCAAGGUGUUAACUAAUAAAUUUUAAAAAAUAAUUACAAUUUGUCCUACGAUCAUAUGACAAUUUAUCUGGGAUGAAAGGAUACAGAUAGACAUCUUCCACUUUCAAGACUAAUCACUACUUCCGUAGAUGUUGUGCAAUAAUACAAAUACUUGACCAGAUGGUAGUGAUGGUAGAAAAAAAUUUUAUUGCUCCAAAAUUAAAAUAAGAAUGCAAUAUGUUAAGCAAAAGGCUGUGCAACAUCAAAUUAAUUGAUAAGUUUGUAAUUCAGUAAAUUAACAACUUUCAUGGUAAAAUACAACAAAUUUCUUUUGAAAAAAAAUAAAUAAAUCUUAAAAGACAACAUUCAAUUUUGUGCACAUCUUAUUUCUUAAGAUUUUUCAGGAGGAGGGCAAUAGAGGGACUUUCACCUAUGCAAGAGAGCAGAAGCCUUACUUUCCCUAUAAAGUAGACGUCAUUCUGAUUAAUAUGCGUUUGCAAAUCAGCUCCGUUUGAAUCAGUAUUCUGAUAGACACACGAGGAAUUUACAUCCAUUUCCAAAGUCACAUGUUGCGAGGAGGACUCAUUUGAUUGCUCCUAUACGAUCAUCUAAUUCAAGUAGCAAGGGUUGGAAGAGAAUAAAAAGUCACAAUUAUUCUUUUGCAUAAGUGAGACGAAAAUGAUAAAUGCAAUAUUAUCAGCAGUAAACAAGAAGAGAACGCUCCAAGAAAUAGAUAGAUGCAGACAAGCAAGUUAAAAUGCAUAGUCCCAAACCUCCGCAUACAACUUCUCUAAAAUAGCAAUAACGUGUUGAUGCUAUGUUUUCUCAGCAUCUACCUGCAAAGGCCCGAGACCAGGAAAACAACAAUAAAACCACUAGCUGAAGGAGAAAGCAAAGAAAGAAAUACACUUGACAUAAAUCUUGACAAGAAGCACAAAUUAAGACAUAACAAACCCCAAUCAUAUUGUUUAGAACUACCAUUCGUUAUUUCGUUAUUGUAACAUUUCGAACAAGUGUUGACUUAAUUCAACAUUGUUGGAAAGAUAGGCUUUUAGAAGCAGAAGAAAGCCUCUCAAACCAAAGUGCUGGUCCUUGUAUUGAUCAAGGGAUGUAAACAUAUUACAUUUGCAGGAUGAGAUUUAAUCACUCCCCUGAUUUAUUCGGGUUGCAGUAAAACUAAGCGAGCAACUGUUUGACUUUCAAGCAACAGCUAAAUCAGCUAUUAAAAUUCAAAUAAAAUCAUAAUAGAAUAAUAACAGGCCAUCUUGCAUCAAAAAUUAAGUUUAAUUUGUGAAUUGUUUUCUAUAGACAUGUCAGUUUCUGCUAUUGAAAUGUUAAAAGCAUUGAAAAAUUAUUCAAUAAAUUAUGCAAGCAUUAAAAUAGAGGACAUAUUAAAAAGUUUCUAAUUACAAUGUUAAUAUUUCCUAUAUUUUAGCAUUUGCAUAUUUUAAUUUAUUUAAAAGCUACGUUGAUCAACUUUGGGCAUGAAGAUUUUAGCUUAUACGAGACUUGAUUGGAAUAUGCAUAAGAGUGUUAAAAUAUGAUGCAUCCAAUGAAAGACAAACCACGUGUAGUCUUUUAAUUAAGCCAAAGUAGCAGCUCAAACAAAUGACACUUGGACCAACAUGCAAUCAUGAAGUGGCCGGAAAAAGGACAAAUGCAACUUUGGCUUAAAUAAAAAAUAACAUGUGACUCGACUUUUGCUGGACAUGCAUCAUGUUAUCACAAGACAACAGAAAUCAGUAUGAUAGUACUAAAAGUUGACAAUAACAUGAAGAUAAGAGGCAGAAUGUCAACACAUGCAUAGGCACACACAAGAAAGUAUUAACUUAUAUACCAUAGCAAAAAGUCUUUGAUAUGUCAUCUGUUGCUGCUGUGAUUCAACUGACAGCAUGGCAGCUGUUGCUUCUCUACCAAGAGCCAUUAUUGUAGAUUUAAGCUCGGUCAAUCUUGCUUCUGCAUUUCGAAGCUUCACAGCACUCUCUGCUGAUAUAUCAGAUUCCUAAUCUUUGAUCGGCGCCUAAAUACUUCAGCUGCCUGGUGAAAAUAUUCAAUAUAAAUCUAACAUAAUUCUNNNNNNNNNNNNNNNNNNNNNNNNNNNNNNNNNNNNNNNNNNNNNNNNNNNNNNNNNNNNNNNNNNNNNNNNNNNNNNNNNNNNNNNNNNNNNNNNNNNNNNNNNNNNNNNNNNNNNNNNNNNNNNNNNNNNNNNNNNNNNNNNNNNNNNNNNNNNNNNNNNNNNNNNNNNNNNNNNNNNNNNNNNNNNNNNNNNNNNNNNNNNNNNNNNNNNNNNNNNNNNNNNNNNNNNNNNNNNNNNNNNNNNNNNNNNNNNNNNNNNNNNNNNNNNNNNNNNNNNNNNNNNNNNNNNNNNNNNNNNNNNNNNNNNNNNNNNNNNNNNNNNNNNNNNNNNNNNNNNNNNNNNNNNNNNNNNNNNNNNNNNNNNNNNNNNNNNNNNNNNNNNNNNNNNNNNNNNNNNNNNNNNNNNNNNNNNNNNNNNNNNNNNNNNNNNNNNNNNNNNNNNNNNNNNNNNNNNNNNNNNNNNNNNNNNNNNNNNNNNNNNNNNNNNNNNNNNNNNNNNNNNNNNNNNNNNNNNNNNNNNNNNNNNNNNNNNNNNNNNNNNNNNNNNNNNNNNNNNNNNNNNNNNNNNNNNNNNNNNNNNNNNNNNNNNNNNNNNNNNNNNNNNNNNNNNNNNNNNNNNNNNNNNNNNNNNNNNNNNNNNNNNNNNNNNNNNNNNNNNNNNNNNNNNNNNNNNNNNNNNNNNNNNNNNNNNNNNNNNNNNNNNNNNNNNNNNNNNNNNUAACCCUCUCUCCCUCUUCAAUCUCUCUCUAUUUUGUUCCCAUUGAUGACCCCAAUCUGCUUAGUUAUCCAGCUUUAUAGCUGCAUCAGUAACAAACCAGCAAACCCAGAUUGAGCAGAUUGACGACACGUGGAUAACGGCUUUAACGAACCUGGUUAAGAACUGCUCACAUGUUCGUCACGCGUGCUGCUUAAAUGAUGGCCAAAACGACUUCAAACAAAUGUCGUUUUGAGGCUUAUGAAUUACAAGUGAUAACACGAGCUUGUCUCAUGACUUUUAAAUGCAACAACGUGCCCACAACGCCGUCGUUUUACUCUGUUGAGUUUGAUUCAUUACUAAGCUUUUACGACUGGCAAUGGAGAAGAUGAUAAUUUAAUUGACACGGACAGUUUUUAUAUCACUUUUACAACAUCCUAUGCAAUUGUAAUAUUGGGAAUUAUUGAUGUUUUAUUCUGUGAAUCCUCAUUGGCAAAAACUAGUGUUUUAUCUUUGUUGAAAUAUAGAUGACCUCUCGUUACUGUUUUAUUAUAAACAUAUAGUUUCGUAAGUGAAUAUUUUAUUAUAAAAUUAACAUAUAGUUUUGUUACAUUUCUGCCUCAUUAAGAUUCUCAAAUACCAGUCAGGUUUGCUUAAGAAAUAAAUUUUUUCCAUUAAAAUUGCAGUAGUAUUUCCAAGCAUAUCGCAUUUUCUAUGAGUUUUCAUAAAUUAAUUAAUCUGCGGUGCCAAUAUCAGAUUUAGUUUUUCAAACUAAAUAAUCAAGAAAGCAAACAUACAAAUAUACAGUUUAGAGGGUAAACUAGGUAGGUGGUUUAGAUUUUAGAACUAAGCCAGCUACCUCGCUAAAUUCCGAUUCGUACAGUGAACUGCAAGAAACUGAGAAAACAAUGUAUUUAUAAUUUAAUAGAAUCAUAAGAAAACAAUGCAGUCAUUGCUCAAUAUAAGAUGAUGAUUUCGGAGAGGCACAUUGUUUUCAAGUUAAUUUGAUCCGUUUAUAAGAGAUGAAGUGGAAUGAAGUUGAAAGUUUAAAUAACAAAUCCUUGUUCUUGAGUUUUACGACGUCGUUACUCCUUCAAGUGGCAGAUUAUGCAAGUGAAUGCAGAAACACAAUGCAUCAUCCGCGGGGAUGAUACAUCAAAAGGCGGGAUUUGUUUAUGCCUGCAGAUUAGCAAUUUCACUCAUAUAGAAAAUUAAUUUUUUAUAUAUACUAAUCAACACUAAAUUGAUUAUGUGUUGUAUGUUUAUAUAUGCUAAUCAACACGAAAUUAUAUUGAAUUAUUAACAUUCAUAUUCCUAAUAAAAAUUAUUUUCCAUCAGUAUUCAAAAUUUUCACUUAUAGAAAAUGCGUUUUACGUGAAUACUAGUUAUUGUGUAAAUUUGAAUGAUAGCGAAAAAUAAACCUAUUUGAAAACUGUAAGGGUGUGUUGGGAUAUUUUACAACUGUCGGAAUCUGGUAGGAUAUUUGCACCAUUUGCCCAAUAUUUUUAGACGUACUCCAACCGGUAUUCAAGAUAAGUAAAAUUUACAAGCGUGGCAAAAAAAAAAAAUUAAAUUCGUAACUUGUAAACGAAUUUUCCUGACAUGUAUAGUAAAUGAAGUUGUUGAUCCUUUCUUUGGAUUAUUUCAGCUCUGGUUGUUGGUCACCGAUGAGCCGAAGUCUUAUUUUAAUUUUAUUUAAACUCAUCAUAAGAUUCGUGGAGCACCUAACUAACUUAACUGACUGCGCAGAUCAUCUCAACAUGGCAUAUUUAACCAUCAUUCAAGUGAUGGGUUUAAUAAGACUGCUUUUGUUCUAUCAACUAUCAAGUUCCUCUGCCUCUAAGCAGAAUUACUAUUGAAGGGCCAAAAGGAAAAUGAAAACGUGUGAGCUCCAACAACCACCCCACAAUGAAUGACGAUGCUCGGAGAGGGUUAGGUUGGGCCUCUGAGAAAAAAAAAUUAUUUUGUUAAAAAGUUACCCUUAUUGAAACCUGUAUAAAAAUUUUAUAUUAAUUAGUUAUGUCGCCUCUUCAACGAUGAUCAAAUUCUUAUCUGAGCUCAUCAUUUAAUGAGUAAACAUGUAUUUUAAUGAUCUCAAUUAAUAUUUAGAACAAAUAUUUUAAGAAGUAAAGCUCAUUAUAUCUUCCAUUAUUAUGUAUUUCUUUAAUUUCUUAUUUACAUAAUUAUAUUGUACAUUAAAAAUGUAUUGAAUUUGAAGAAAAAAAAAUUCAACUCAAAAAAAAAAAAAUGCUGGUAGCUUCGUAAUAAUUACUGUAUUGACUGCACCAGAUAAAGUUUUGUAAAAUAAUAAGUUCUCAUAAGUGGUUUUUCAUUUUUAAUUUUCUUUUCCGGCACACCUGAUCAAGAAUUCUAUUUUGUUAACUAAUCAAUUGCAAAGCAUAAGUGUUUGAACGGUACAAAAAUUUAAAAAAAAUACACUUAAAAACGUGGGGUGGGUAACGGCUCACUCAAAUCGUUAGGUAGAAUUGUGGAAAACUAAAGCGAAAUGAGAAAUAUAGAAAGAAAGGAAGAGGUGAUGUUUUUCUAUGAAUUUCUAUGGGUAACGGCUCACUCAUCCUUCUAUGAAUUUCUAGCUGUAUUGACCCCAACUGCUAAAGUUUUGUAAAAUAAAAAUAAAAUAAAAACUGGAAUUUCAACAAAAAUUCAAAAACGUUUGAAAUUUAAUUUUUGGCCAUGUGGAACAAAAUGUAAAUUAAGUAAAAAAUAUAAAUCUCAAUUGCUUAGUAUGGUUAGGAUUUUGUGAGCAUCACUAAAAAGUGAAAACUAUGAAUGAUAGAGGUGAUGUUUGCAACAUGAAUAAAUGAUGAACUGAAUCAAUUGAUGAUCGUAAUUACAUAAUGAACAAAAUUUACAAAAUCAACAAAAGUUAAUAAAAAAUUAUUUUAAUAAUAAAAAAUCAAUAAAACUUAUUAUUUAAGGGCGCUCUAACCAUGGAAUACCAUAAUCAUAAUCUUCUUUUAAGAAAAUUAUAAACUUAUUAUUUUACAGGAUUGAUCCAUUUGGAAUGAAGUGGUCUCAAGUUGAAAGUAAUUAAUUUAUUGAAUAACUUUCGACUUAUUAAUAGUUAUAUCAAAGGGUGUUUUACCUCAUCAUGUCUUCAAGUGGAAGAUGAAGACUAUGCAAGUGAAUUCAGGAAUAUUGCAUGCCUGUUGUCUAAAGCAUUACCUCACAAGGUUUCAUGAGAAACGAAAGAUGUGUUUGCUUUGAACAAUUAAAGUUACUGCUACGAACCUCCCCAAAGGUCAAGAAGACAGAACAGGAAGCUAAUGCCAUCAAUGUCUUGUUCAUUAUAGCUGCUGGGUAGUUAGGUGUAGUUUCCUCAUUUGAAGCUGUCUAUACAUAGGCAUUUCCCCUGCUUAUGUACAAAUAAAUGAACAACCUUGAAGCUUUAUUAUUCGCAACAAAAAGGGAUUACUAAUUGGAGAAGACAAUACAGAGUUUUCUCUCACACUUUCUCUCUGUCAAUUUCAUCCAGAAGUCCCUCUGAAAGCUUCUCCCAAAACAGUUAGUCAUCUUUUAUGCUCUGUUUUCUGAAAACAGAGUCCUAACUAAAUUAAUUGACUGUACAGUGCAUUUCAACAUAGCAUAUUUAACCGUUUUAACAGUUAUUUGGACCGUCUUCAGAGGUAACAUCAACAAACUCAUUCAUAUGCUUAAUAAUGAACGAAUAGUCUUGGAUCGAUGUUUUGCAGCAAGAGCAACACGACACAAUCUGGAUUCAACCUCCUCCUUUCUAACAGGGGAUUUCGAUUUGAGUUACUUUGUGCUCAAGCAAAUUCACAUCAUAGUUUUGAUUCUUUAGAUAUGAAUUCAUCUCAUUACAUAUAUCAGAUUAAGUGUAACAAAAUUUGUAAUUUACUGCGAAAAGAAUAUGCACUAAAAAAUGAUUUCAAGACUAUUUGACUACAAAAAGCAGCUGUCAGAGUGCACUAAAAAUUUCUGUAGGAUAUUUUGUAGCUGUUUAAUAUGUUAUGAUGGGCAUAUAAUUCUCAAAUUUUGAUGCCUCUCAGCGAAAAAUAUAUCAAAGUUACGGAUGAUAUCACGUAAAACAUGCAUGGCUCAGGCUCAGGCUCAGGUAAGAAAGCCACAGAAAAGGAAAAUCUCACUGUCACGACUCACGUCACGCAUCAUUCAAGUGAUGGAUUUAACAAGACUGCUUAUGUUCUAUCAAAUUCCUCUGCCUCUCAGAAGAUAACUUUUCUGGGCCAAAUUUCUCAUCUAAAGCAUAUUAUGCCCCAAAGUCACAGAUAACAAAAUGGGGCACUACCGAUUAUGAAAGAGAACUAGUAGUUGUCAGAAGCCUAAGCCAAAUUCCGGUAGUAAGAAGAGGCCUUUCUUGAGUUUAGAUUAUGUGUUCGAGUUUUAAUAAAUGCCUAAGUUAAUAAUAAUAACAACAGUAAUAAUAAACUAAAAAGCAUAAUUACUAUUGAAUGGUAAAAAAAAAAAAUGAAAAUGUGUGAACUCCAAUAACCACCCCAGUGGCGAAUUUUGGAGAGGGCUAGGCCGGGCUUCUUAGAAAUUAUUUUUAUUUAAUUACAAAAUCACCUUUACUGAAACCUAUAUAAAAUUUUUUAUAUUAAUUAAUUAUGUUGCCUCUUCAAUUAUCAUUAAAUUCUUGUCCGUUCAUAAUUUGAUGGACAAAUGUGUAUUUCAAUAAUUUCAAAUAAUGUCUAGAACAAAUAUUUUGAAUUAUAAAACUCAUUAUGUCCUGCAUUACUAGAUGUAUCUAUAAUUUAUUAUUUACAAAUUAUAUUGUAUGAUAAAAAUGUAUUGAAUUUUUUUUAAAAAAAAAGUUCGGCUCACUCAGAAAAAAAUGUUAUUAGCUUCGCCACUGCACAAAUCUAGAAUAAUAAUUAUUCCUUAUUAUAUUGACUGCACCAAGCAAUAAACUAAUAAGUUCUCAUCAGUGGUUUUUAAUCUUUUUAAUUCUUUUUACCGCACACCUGAUCAAGAAUUUUAUUUUGUUAACUAAUCAAUUGCAAAGCAUAUAUAAGUGUUGAACGGUACACAAGAUUGGAAAAAAAAAUCUUAAAAAACGUGCGGAUUCGGGUGGCCACACCAGAAAUCUAUUACAAUAAUUAGCUUUGAUGCUGGGAAUCUUUUAAUUUCUGGCCGUAUUGAAGUUUUUAAAAUAACAAGUUCCCCUUCUCGUUUUUUUUUUUUUUUAAAAUAUAUAUGCUUAUAACAAUUUUAGAAUAAUGAUUCAUUUGUAGAAGAACUUAUGAUUUCCCAUUAAUAUUAAUAUUGAAGUGGGGUGGGUCAAAUCUCAAUUGCUUGAAGAAUUUAUGUAUUAUUAAAUAUUACCAUCCAAGGUAGAAUUGUGGAAAAUUAAAGCAAAAUGACAAGUAUGGAAAGGAAGGCUGAAAGUAAGGCAUGACGAAAGGCUUUGAGAAGGCUGAAGACUACCAAAGAAGUCAACUGAAAACUAGCUGGGGCCUGAGUGUAUAAAUUGUUAGAUGCGUUUGUUAUAAAUAACAUAGAGCCCUUUUGUUAUUUAUAGUUAUAGAGAAAGAGAGAAUGUGUGUUUUUUAAUAGUUAGAGAUAUAGCUAGAAUGGGUUGCUCAAAAUCCAAAAUAGUGACAAUGUUAGUUCUCGUAUUGAUAAUAUUGGGGGGGGGGGGGGGGGGGGGGGGGGGGGGGGGGGGGGGGGGGGGGGGGGGGGUGUUGGGAGGUCGAGUGAGGGAUGUUUGGAGCAUGAGCAAUUUGAUCUUUUGCGGCUUAAACAUUUCUUCAAUUAAUAUCGAUCUGGAGAGUGGUAUCUGAAUGCUUCUCUAUUUACUUCCUUUCAACAACUUGGUAACAAAAUAGCCGGCUGCAUGCGUUGAGAAUGAAGGUGCUUCAUUUAAUUUAAUUUACUUAAUUUCUCCCUCCUAAUUAAUGUCUAUAAUCAUUAGGAGGAACAAGGGAUUUUAUUAACUCAAAUAUAUCUAAUGGAGCUCAUUCUUUGGUUUUACUUGCAGGGCUAGAAGCAGGUGUCAUCUAACAGCUGCUUUGAUAAUUUCCCUCCCCUUCAUCUUUGAUGGAAAGAUGAAAUAAAAACAAAUUGGUGAAAAUGGUAUUGGUACCUGAGGCUAUGUAAUCUAAUUCAAAAACUGCACCAUCAAAACGAUUACAUAAGUCUCAGAAGAAUCAAAUAUCAGUUUGCAAAAUAUCAAUUGCUGGAGGUUUGAUUCUAACUUCCGCUCUUCAUUUUUAUGGGCAUAUUGUGUUGUACUUGCAUCCGAAAAUCAUAUUUUAGUUUACUUGCACUCAAUGCUUGGAUUAAAGUUUUUUUUUGGGGGGGGGGGAUUGAAGAAGACUAAAAUUACACCAAAAAAGAGUUGAGCGAGAGCGGGUUUUGUCUUCAUUUAAGGAGCUCUUUAUAAAUUUUGGGAUUUUUUUCCUGAGAAAAUUUAUGCCAACUCAUUCUUUGCUUCUUUUCUGAAGGGACACAUGCAACCGAAAGUAUAUUCUUGAAUUCUCCAGGAUAAGAGACAUACGUUUAGAUUCUGGAGCAUUUAAAAACAAUGUCAAAUUUUAGAUUGCUGAAAUUUUAUAUAUCCGAGUAUGAUGGUGUUCCAAUUAUAAGCUCCAGGGUGCAACUUCACUGAGGUUUAGAAUGCCUUCCUAUAGAAUUGAGAAAUCUCCAUUGGCAUAAAUAUCUUUUGAAAAUACUGACAUCAGAUUUUGAAUUGGAGAACCUGAUUGGACUCAGCUUGCCCUGUAGUAAGGUUAAGCAAAUUUGGAAAAGAGAAAAGGUAUAAUGUAUUACUAUUACCAAAGUAUCUAUUUUUCUUUCUUUAAGUAUUUAUAAUGAAUAACUUUGAAAUUCAAUGAUGCUCAUUUAGUAUAGUUAUGUAUCUUUGGUUAUAGGAAGCUGUCAAGUUAAAAUCUAUAGACCUUCACCACCCCUUUAUCUCAAUAGGAUCCCAGAAAUACUAAAUCUUAAAAAAAUAAAUCUUUCAAAUUGUGAAAGCAUGCUUACGUUACCCCCGUAUAUCCACAAUUUCAACUAGCUGAGUAUGUUGUGUUUCAGGGAUGCAAAAUUCAUUUUGUUUCUCAUGAAAGGAUUGACUUGUCCGGAUGUAUUAGGGUUAGUAAACCAACUAAUCCCAUAAUUUGUUGAUGUAGGGUCCUAACAAAUUAUUGCAGUAGAUUGUAGAUCAGUACACUAUUCGAAAACGUAUUUGAUCCACACAGUGAAGUGGAUAUUGGACCAAUUUGAUGAUAAUGAAUUUCUUUCAAUCUCAAUCUUUUUUCUUUUUAGCAACAUGACUAGUCAUUGUGCAAAUUCAAACUCUGACAAUAAUUUCUCAAUCGGUUUCUAAGAUGAUGACCAUGCAUGUAUAUGUAUAUGCGUGUGUAUAUGUGUGUGUGUGUAGAGAGAGAGAGAGAGAUCACACGUGUGUGAUUUCCUUUUGCCAAUAGGAUAUGCAGAGAGCUUGAUCUUACCCAAUAGCGAAACAAACUUCCUAAUAAGUGAAGGUAUAGUAUAAAUACUUAUACUUUCAUGUUAUUUUGUUCAUCAGUAGCUUGAUUAUUUUAUAUGCGUCUUCGAUUUUAAUUUUCUUUCCCUAUAAUCGCUAUUAUCUUUGAACUGGUCAUAAUUUGCCCAUAAGAUUUCUCAUGUUGUUUUGAGGUGCAACGGAUUUUGAAUUUAGUGACAAGCAGUGGAAGCCAGAAGGCAAAUUAUGAAAAUGGAUAAAGAUCUAUAAUUAGCUGUUAUGGGAUGUCACAUAUCAUAUUGAUGGUAACGUUAUAUAUAUGUACAUAUAAUUAAUGGGGUUGGCUCACGAGCCCAUUAAUAAUGGUAUAUUAGCUUAUAUACUUCAAACAAUGUACUAUGAAGCAAUUUCACAAAUACUUGUUAGCUUAUGUUGAGCUUUAUUGAAUCAGUAGUUCACAGUUCAAUAAAAUGCAGGUUUGCUAUUUGAAGUACAUGGUUAUGGUGCGUACAUUCUUCAUAAGGCUAACUACUAAUUUAUCAUUGAAACUUGAAAAAUGUGAUAGAGAGAUGUAGAUAACAGCCGCAAAACACUGAGAUUGAAAAUCAGGGCUACUAAAUUCUAUUAAAAGUCCUUAAAAUAGACAGCGAUCACCCUGAAAUGUAUAUACUGAAACUAAGAAAUAUUAAUCGCAAAGUUAUGCAUUAAUAGAACUAUUGACUACUUAUCUUUAGCAUAAAGUAUAUUUUUAACUACAGCUUUCUGCUUUGUUCUAAGAACUAGGCAAAAGUGGUGUAUCUUCAAUCCAAUCAACAUAUAUACCACUUAUCUUCCUCUUCACUUCUGUCUAUUUUGAUUUGCACUUCAUAUCCUGCACUUGCUGCUUAGAAAUAGUCUUUAUUCUGGACAUUGAAAGUAGAAAAAGUACUUGAAACAAUCAUUGGCACAGCCCGAGAUUCCAUUGAAUCGUGGACUCCAAGCUUUCAUAGUUCUAUAAAGAAGAUGACAAAACUUCAUACAACUGGCAUUCUGCUUUUAACAUUUGCACAACCUGAGCGAGUUAGCAAGCCCCUUGUUGCGUUCCCAUUGAAUAGACCUACUUCUGUUAUCCGCAGAAGAUCCACCACUCAAAAUGUUUAUCACCAGGCUAUUCUUAAACUGAGCCUAAACUGAGUAGAAACUUCCGCACAUCUCUCAGCAUUUACAUGAAGAAAUCGACAACUAUCCUCAUCUCUCAGCACAUCUCUCAGCAUUCUACAAAGUUGCAUUUCACUAAGCAAUCUAUCCUCUCCAUUCCUAGCAAAGUGACAUUGAUUCCCGUAUUUGUAAUCGCCUAACUUGGGUUUUGGGCAUAGCGUGGUCUUAAAAUUACCACCCAAUACUUUGUUCAGUGCCACUGGCAUCCACAAGCUCUAGCCCUGUUAGUUGAAUCAUAUUCAAUGGGACAGUGAGGCAGCAUUUCACUAACAUAUUCAAUUUGACUACUUAUAUUGACGCAAAUAUUAGAAUUUGAAAUCACUUCUUUUAUUGGAAUAUUAUAUUAAUAUGACCCCAAAUGAAAGUUCUUGAAUGGAAAUGAUUUUUAUUUACUUUUCGAACAGAUUCAAGAAAACCCAGAGAACACAAAAUUUACACAGUAAUAUGAUUAAGAGCUGAGAACGUAUAUGUAGUAAAUGUCUAUCAAAAAACACCCAAGGGUUUCUUUAAAAUUAGUAACUAGUAAACAAAAAGAAAGAAUCAUUUUACAUUUUUAGCAACUUUGGGGUGAGUGAGUGAGUGAGAAAUUGAAACCCUCAAGUGAUGACAACAGUAAGAUUCAGUAUGAAGUGAAACCCCAAUUUGAAAUGUAGGCAUGAGUUGCUGAGUCAGUAGAUGAAGCUAUAAAUAGGCAUUCGGUUUCCUUCUUUUCGGUUUGGAGGGCCAUGGAAUAGUGUAUUGGAGUGGGCUCCAAGUAAUAGCCUCUAUCACUGGAACGACACAUCUAUAAAAUGUGAUACAUGGGGAAGGAUUGGGCAUUUUAUUCUUAGAUUAGCCCCUUAUUUAGGGUGUAUAUUAAGCAGAUUAUAUAUUACAUGGAGAUGGAGUUUAUGAAAUAGAUUAAAAAGAAAAGGAAAUUUUGGUGCCUAAAGUUUGCCACUUGGAAUAUUUCGGUGUCUAAAAAUUCACUCACCACUUAUUUCAUGUUUGAUUAUAUGUUGAAAAGAUAUUAAAAUAGUAUAAUGCUAUUAAGGCUUAACGUAUAUUUUUUAUUAGUAGAGUGUAGAAUUUUUAAGAAAUAAAUUAUUAAAUUAUUAUAACUAACAUAUUAUUUUAAAGUUGUGUUAUGAAAAAAAUGAAAUAAAAAUGUACAGUAAAUAAGAAUAUUUUAAAACUUUUAUCUUUUUAAAAUUAGUUUUUAACAUAAGGUGAACUAUUUUUUUUUUUAAAAUCACAUAUUCUAGUUAAAAUCAAAUAUGUAUUUAUACGAAGCUUGUAAAUUUUUUUUUUAGUACUGAUAUUUGAAUAUUAUCAAUAAAAAAAAGGGUAAUGUUCAUGCUGCAUUAUUUUUGUAGCACACAAAAGGACAACACCGUUUAUGUUAUAAUACUAUCGCUUCUGUUAUGAUAAUUUUUUUUGUGGCCAAAUAUCUUUUUUUUUUUUAAGUAAAAAAAAGUGGACAAAAUGCAAAUCAGUUUUUAAUCCUCAAUCUCUCCCAAAAUAUAUAUUUCGGUGUCUAAAAAUUCACUCACAAAACUAUAGCUGACAAAAAGUUACUAACAAAAAGUUAGGUCCAUGGGUUGUUAAAACUAUAGCUGACAAAAAGUUACUAACAAAAACAGAAUGUCCAUUUUAUAACUUUCUUAAAAAACUUUCCUUAACUUUUUUAAACAAAAAGUUAUUUCCAAUUUUUAUUUUGUUAUAAUGUUUAUAACAAAAUUCGUAGUUAACUAAACUCUUCUUAUACCCUUUCUCAACUGCCAUACCCUAACCCACUAAACCACGCUCAAUUAAGGCCAUCAGAUUCUCCCGGGCCCACAUUAAUCCAACUGCUCACAGAGACCGACAGCCUCUCUAUCUCCAUUUCAAGCUCCCUCUUCAACUGGCUUCUGCUACCGUCCUACUCUUUCUCGGCUUCGGAGUCCGUAUUUGCUCGGCCUGUCCCACGAAGCUCCCUCUCACUCCAAUUGUCGCCCCACAAGACCAAUUGCUUAAUCAAGACACCGAACAAGAAAAGGAUGAGAAGUUGAAACAAGAAUUUGAGAAUUGGAAAUAAAAAACGUACGCAUUGACCGUGCCUUUGAGAGUCGUUUCUCUUCAGAACUCAGUGCCUCAAUCUUGGGUUAAGGAUUUUAUGCGAAGUCAGGGAAAGAGAUUGAAGUUUCAGAUGAAUUUGUGUGCUAGCAUUGAUGGGAUCUUUAACAAUUUAUCUGUGCCCUUUAACAAAGUUAAGGCUAAGUCAGCUUCUUAUAUGGCUGCUGAUUUGGUUAGUGUUGGUGAUUCAUGGCUUAGUUUUGCCAUUAAAAAGAGAUUGAUUGAGCCAAUGGCUGGAGCUGAAGACCAAGAUUGGUUCAAAUGCUUAAGUCACAAAUGGAAGGUAACAUCUUUGUCUUUGAUCCUCGAGGUAAAAUAUGGGCGGCACCGUACAGGUGGGGCACAACGGUGAUAGCCUACAAGAAAAGUAAAUUUCGAAAGCAUAAUUUGGCUCCGAUUGAGGUAAUAAUUUUCUUUAAACUCAUUUAGUUUUAUAUCAAACAAAAUCAAGACUGCCUUUCUCUUCAAUAUUUUUUAUGAUAAUAUCUUUAGAAGCAUCUCAUUGACGGGUAACAAUGGCAUCCCUGAAAGAGUCUAUAAACUCAAUGAUAUUAUCUUCUACAAAUGGUUCAUUAAACUUUGUCGUUGUACUCAAAUGUACACUCAGAUCAAUGAGAAGCUAUGCUACGUUAGCAUGUAGUGAUGGCACUUAAUAAGUGAGUUGCUAGGAUGUGAACUAGAAAAAUUAAAUAUUGUCUCCUUGGGUAUGCUAGCUGGUAAGUCAGGGUUAAUAUCAGAGCUUAAGAUAGUAUAACCGUGAGAACCUAUUGACUGCCAAUUAAAAUAUCCAUUGAAAUGUCUAGGGAGUUAUGAAGGUGGAGGUAACUUCCAAUUUCUAAGGCCACAGAGUAGACAUCAUCCAGGAUCCUAGGAAAGUCCAGUUAACCUCCUGCUCGAUGCAAUUAAUAAAUUUGGUCAAUGCCACUGAAACCUGCUAACUGACGUCACAAUGCGACAUGAGCACUUCAAAAUGGGACAGACGGUCAGUAGCACUAAAUUUUUCUUGCCCAAGAUUGAGCAAUUGGUCUAACUACUAAUCCCUAUUGUAGGUUGAUCAUUAUUUUUUCAAUUAUGUUCAGUUUGACCCAAAAAGUUGCAGAAUCUUGAGCUAAAUAUUGUCACUGAACACUGUCAAUGUCAUUUAGCAUAGCCAACUAACUUGAUGUUAAAACAAACACACAGUGUGUCUCAUGUCUCACAAUUCAAAUUAUCAUCUGUAAUGUUGGAGAAUUUUUCCAAUGUAUGAAGUAUGCUUUGAUACGUGGGUUACCUUGGAGAAGAUAUCUCAAAAUAAAGAAUAUGGGGAGAAAACAGUUCAGUAGUUUAUUAUUCUGUAGUCAAGUUUUGUCUCGAAAAUGGUCAAAAUUUAAAUGAAUAAGGACAGGGGAUCUUCAUUCUUUUUUCCCUUUUUUAUACCAAGAUAUCUCUCAACCUUUAUAUAAUCCCCACUGGAUAUCUGCUUCUAAUAAUUAAAAUAAAAAUUUCACCGCUCUAACAAUAAAAAGUAACAUCUUUCCUCAAAUAAUUUACAGUUCCUCAUCAUCUUAGUGUGAGAAUAUCAGUACAUUCCAAAAACAUAAUAAAACUGGUUUGAUCCUGUUUAUUGAUGUUUAAAUGUUGUUCAUUGUGACAGGUAGAAAUGAUGAGGCGAAGUUUAUUUGGACAUCAAUUAGUAAGAUCUUGUUUGAAGUUGUUUUCUGAAAUGAACUGCCAAAUGGUAGUUUUUUGGGGGCAUUUGAUGGCUCUUUUUUUUUCCUCAUUUUCAACAUGUGCCUGCUUGGAACAUGAAGGAUUAGGCUGCAGAGUUGUUAUAUAUUUUGAGAUGCUCUGGUCAUUGCACAAUUUGUUCACACUGGAAAUUAGAAUGAGAAAUUUGUUGAUGCUGUUUUGAGAGAUCUGCAUUCUAUGCACAAUAACAUGAUUAAUGAAAAUGCAUUGUAGGACUGGAAAGAUCUGUGGCAGCCUGAGCUCGCAGGAAGAAUUUCAAUGGUUAAUUCUCCCCGAGAGGUUAUUGGUUCAGUUUUGAAGUAUAGGGGAACAUCAUACAAUUCAAACUAUAUUGAUUCGCAAGUUGCUGGUGGGAAGAUUGCUGUUCAGCAGAAUCUGGCAUUACUGGCAAACCAGGUACUCUUACAGAAAUCAUAUCUGGUCAUUGCAUGUUAUUGCCUGACAACUGAUUUUGUUUGUAAAAGUCUGCUUCUUCAUACAUAUGAAUGCAUAUGUUAGUGUUUUCUUCUCCUUUUCAUACAUAUAAAUGCAUAUGUUAGUGUUGUCUUUUCCUUUUCACACAUAUUAAUACAUAUGUUGGUGUUCUCUCCUGAGAUGGAUGCAAUAAAGGCUUUUGCUCCUAAAUUUAGCUGAAGAAAUGGCAAGGGAUGUGAGAUUCUGUCUCAUUAAAUUAACAAAAACCCAAAACAAUGAAAAUCCAUAAUAAUGUGGUGUGGGUAAAUUGGCUCCAUUUGGUUCGUUUCCUUAAUGUGAAUGCGCGAGCAAUAGAGACUAACAAAAUGAAGUGACAACAAGAAGUCAGUGUCCUUUGAUGGAUGCAUUUUUAGGCAGAAAUAUGUUUGUAAUUGACCAAAUUUGUCUGGCAUGCCAAUUUCAAAAAAAUUAAAUUAUGUGGUUAUUAGCUGUAAUGAAGGGGGAUAGUAGGUGCAAUCAGGUGUAUCCAGGAAAGUUCAACAAAGUUUUGGUAUGGCGUAGUGAAAUUGGUUUGUGCAACUCAGGAGUCUUUCAGGUGAACGAUGAUAGGUUUUGAUUUAUGAAUAUUAUAAAUCUACUGUGCAUAGUAUUCUAGUAGAAUCAUCUAUAAGUUCUAGUUAUUGUAUACUUUGCCUGGUUUGAGUUAAGGGCACAUGUAAUAUGAAAGAUAGUUGUCGCAUCUUUUAGGUUACCUAACAUUUGAUCAAUCCUAUUAUGGGGGCUUCAAGAUGUCUAACAAUAUGUAGAAUGCCCAUGCUCCUCCCCAUUGUUUAUCUUCUACAAUAAUUUGUUUUAGAUGCUAAUAUCUUUGUCGAUACCGGUAACAAUAUUACAAUAUCUGCGUUUAUUGGGUUUUACAUAGGUUCGACUGUUUGACAGUACACACUAUCUGAAGGCAUUUGCAAUUGGAGAUGUAUGGGUUGCUGUUGGGUGGAUUAGUGAUGUUCUUCCUGCUGUCAAACAUAUGUCUAAUGUUGCUGUUGUUGUUCCCAAGUCUGGUGCUAGCUUAUGGGCUGAUCUUUGGGUAUACCCAUGCCUGCCAUUCUACUUCAAUAUUCACAUUGUUAUCUCCUUCAUAUUAGUGAUCAGUAAACACGAUAAUGUGACUAAUAAGUUCGUAUUCUCUUUAUAGGCAAUCCCUGCUGCCUCAAGACUUGAAACAAAACAAAUUGGAGGGCGAGUCAGAGGUGCAUUUCCAUUAAUCCAUCAAUGGAUAGAAUUCUGCUUGCAAACAGCGAGAGCAUUGCCUUUCAAGCAAGAGGUUAUCCCGAGCGCAUCUCCCUCUGCCCUUGAGAGUACUCUGGUUAAGUUGCCUGAAGAACUUUUCAAGGGUAAACCAAGUCUGGAUACUAACUUAAUUGCUGGAGUACCCCCGACUGAAAUUCUGGCCAGAUGUGAGUUUUUGGAGCCUUUAUUUGAAGCUACAUUGUCGGAUUAUGAGUGGCUGGUUACUAAUCUGCAAAAAUCCACUCCUGUACUGAUCAACAAGAUGCAACAUUACAUGUCAUCAUUGAUCUUUAGCUAAAGGUACAUUGAAAAGUUAAUGGCACUGCAUACCAGUCAUUAUAAUUGGGUCAGGGCAAUUAGGUCAGAGCAUAACUUCAUUAGGAAAAGAUGCUUCAGCUACGUUAAAUAUUACAGGAUGUACUGAGAUGGCUGAAGCUGUUGAGGUUUUACGAGAAUCGAAAGAUAGUGUUUGUUUGAACAAAGUUGUUGCCAAUCUUGCAGAGUUCGAGAAGAAAGAUCACGAAGUGAAUGCCACCGAUUUCUUCAUCAUUGUAGCCUCCAUAGUUGAAGUUUCCUCAUUUGAAGCUGUUUAUGCAUACGAUUUUCCCCUGCUCAAGUACAGGAAAUUGAAGAAUUAACCAGAUGUGAUAUGCUGAAAGAGGGAAGUUUUCUUCCUUGAAUGUGGUCUUUGUGAUUUGUCUUGAAGGAAUAGGGUGAUCACUGGCAAGAACCCUAUCAAGGUAGAUUUUAUGAUGUUAACAUAUCAUUAAGCAUUUUGUUACAUCAGCAAUGAUGCUUUCAUAGCAGCAUGAAAGUGUUUAAAUUUAACUGAAUGAUCUUGAUUGAUCAAUUAUGAGUUUUAAUCGAGUAAAAACUAAAUACAAUAAUCGUUAACAAAUAUUGAAAUUGGGUAAAUAUGAUCUUGAUAUUGAAGAAUUUGAAAUCACAACCCACACAGGAAAUCACCCUUCGCGUGGGGAUGGAGAUGUUUACUGCAGCGAUAUUGAAUAUGUCCACCGCUCUUUGGGUUAUGGUGCGACUUGCCCUGAAACAAUGGAAAAGAAUAAUUAAUAAUUUAACGCCAAGACAUAAAAUUAAAACGUGUGGACUCCGGUAGCUGCCCUACAAGUCUACAACUCUACAAACAUUAACUCUACAAACAUUAAAACGUGUGGACUCCGGUAGCUGCCCUACAAGUCUACAACUCUACAAGAAUAAUUUCUAGCCCUGUUGACUCCACUAACUAAAGAAAUUUCAAAACGUACAUAGAAUUCCACAACAAGCAAAACGUAUGGAAUUUAAUUUUUUGCCGUGUGGAACAAAAUACAAUUUAACAAAAAAGGAUAAGAAAAAUGGUAAGAUUUCUAAAAUGAGUGGAAGGUGAUUCAUAUUUUACUGAAAUGACUUGUCCUGAACAUUAAGACGAUUGAUUUUUUUUUUUUUUUAAUAACAUCAACUUCCAUAUCUUUCUAACCCCUAGAAUAUGCUCACGUUCAAGUCUAUCUUGGUAAUUUGAAAAAGAAAAUCAAAUCAAAUCAACACCAAAACAAUGAAAAGUAAAACUUUUGAAUUUCAACUUUAAACUUUUGUUAACCCCUAGAAUAUUCAGCGUUUUCAAAUUCUUCCGAUUGCAUAUCUUCUUCCUCCAUCAAUGCAAUAUUUGAACGAUUAUGAAAGAGUUUAAGAACAUAAAAAAUCUCCAAGGUUUAUACGGUAUAACAAAUUUAAAUUCUCAAUUACAAUAGAUAAUAAUUAAACUAAUAAUUUUUUAUGUACUUAUUUUAGUAAUUUCACCUAAGAAUAAUAUUGUAAUUAGAAAAAAAAAUCUAAUAAGUAGGGUGGUCUUAUACAAAAUCAACUGUACUGUGAUGAGUUUCCUUUUGUUAAUAAUUUUAGUCUAAUUUCAAUUGUACUGUGAUCGCUUCUCAAGGUAAGUGAAAGUUACAGAUGUGGCAAAAUAAAUAAUUAAGUUAACAAAAUGCUAACUAAUUUUCCUCAAUACCUAGGGUUGUACAAUUUCACCAACCUGGAAGAAUUGACAUUAAUGGACUGGUCUCCUCCCCAUAUAAUUAUAAUCCUUCUAGAAAGCUAUUUUUUAUUAAAUAUUUGCUUUUAAGUUAAUUUCAAUUAAAAAAUGUUUUAAGUUAUAUAUACUCUAAUGAGAUUCUGAAUUCCUUUAUUCCAAUAAUAAUGAAAACGUAUUAAAUUAGAAAUGAAAAAAUUGGUGUUGAUGAUUCAACCUAUUUGGAUAGAUUACGUGAAUAAAAUUAAAAUUUUGAUUUAAUUUUUGUUUAUUGUUAAUUCUCAGGCUAUCUUAAUUUCAAGAAUUUAGAAUGUUAAUUUGGUCAUGGAUUUCAACCCGUGAGUGUCAUAUUCUAGACUUAAUGGUACCAUUCUUUGAUUGAGGGCAAUGACUCUCACUCCUCUUGUAAAAAAAUAUUUUCAACUAUUUUGAUGACUUAAAAAUUGAUAGAUUUAUUGUUGUCAUGACCAAAUUAUUCAUUUUAAUGAAAUAUAAUUAAUGCAUCAAAGUUACCAGGUUUAUGUUCUAUCUUAAUGCGCUUUUUUUUUUUUCAGUUAUAGCUUCUGCUUACGUCUGUUUCAUUUUUUUUAAUAAAAAAACAAGGGAAGGUUUUUCCGAGUCAUCCAUUAUUUGAUUUCCGUCAAUCAAGAAAACGACCAAAUUAAUUUCUCUCCAAAAUUUCCAAAAGCUAGAAAAUUUUGUUAUUUGAAAAUAACAUGAUUAAUUAUAGAGUGGAUCAAACCGCGUUAUUGUCUUUCAUAAAAUUGAUGUCUUUUUAAGAGUCAAUACUUUUUAUUUACGCAAACCAGUCGACAUCAAUUUAAACUUCCAUAUUUUUAUUAUUAUUAUGUUAUUUAUUUUAAUCGCCGAUUAUUUGAUUAGCCACUAUAUAUAUCAAGAAAGCGACAAAAUUUAUUUCUCAUGACUUCCAAAAACUAGAAAAACAACAUCAUUUAUUAUUUUUUUGCAACCCUAAUUGACAUCAACUUUAACUUUAUUAUGUUAUUAUUUCAAUCCCCAUUAUGACCUUUCUAAUCCUCCAUUAUGCAUCUUUUAUAGUGCAAAUUUAAUUGCACAUCUAAAUAAAUUGAUUAUUGUUACUCCACCACCAAUAUUUCAAAUAGUCACUAGACCAUUUCUGCCUUUAAUUUUCCCUUAACUAUUGACUGUUUUUAGCAUCUUAAAAUAUACAUUUAUUCCUUGAUUAUGUGAUAAAAUUAUGAAAAUAUCCAUUUUAGCUUAAAUUAAUUGGAAUAACCAUAAGCGUAACAUAAAUUAAUAGAACAAAAUUAUCAAGUGUAUGUUCUAUCUUACUUUUUGAAGAAUUUAACAUAUAUAAUGCUAUACUAUUAAUAAAUUUUUCAUUUACUAUAUAUGUUCACAUAUUUUAUAUAUUUAUUAAUUGUUAUAUAGUCACAGGAUGAAUGAUUUUUCAGGUCUACAUGAGUUGGUGCACAUGCAAGACUCAAUUUUGACAACAAUGAUCUAAGGGGUAAUUUACCUUGGUGUUUGACAAACAUAACCUCUCUUCAUGAUUUACUUCCAAUCUACUUACUGUAAAUAUCUCCUCAUCUCCUCUCAUUUAUAUGAUAAGUGAUAACCCUUGAAGAUCUCACAUUUUCAAACGAUCAUAUUAGGGUUUUUAUUAUUAGCAUCAUUGUGUCAACAAAAUAUAUGUUGCAGUAAGAUUUUUUCAGACCAAUUCCCUUCUUCAAAUAAUAAUGGAAAAGUAUUAAUUUAAAAAUAAAAUGAAUAUGCAUUGAUUAUAUCCUGAUUUCCAUCGAUUAUAGCGAGAGUUUCUCCGAAUCAACUCCCUUAUUCAAAUAAUACAGAAAAAAUAGUAAUUUAAUAGUAAAAUUAGCAAGUGUUGAUUAUAUAUCCUAAGUUUCAUCGAUUAUGUGAUCAAAGUGGCAUUGUUGAUUUAUUUCUUGUUCAAUGUUAAUUUUUAGGUUAUCUAAAUUUCAAGGAUUUAAAAUCUUUGUUCAUGGAUUACACGCUUAUUAAUUUUUCUGCCAUUGACUGUCAUAUUCUAGACUUAAUGGUACCUUCCUUGAUCAAGGAUAAUUACUCUAUGUUCUCCUCUUAUAAAUUCCUCUUCCAUUAACAUCACUAGGAGUAUGUUGAUCUCUCAGACGUUAACUUUAGUGGAGAGUUUCCAAAUUGAUUGUUACAAAACAACACAAAAACUAGACACACUUGAUCUGUCUAAUAAUUCUCUUUCGAUAAAAUUAAUUAAUUUUAGGGGAAUAUUCGACCAACCUCUAUAAUUUCAUAUUGAUCAUUAAUUAAUUAGACGAAAAAAGUACUUGUGCUUUUGUGGCGACAAUUGAACUAGAGAAGUGAAGCUGUAAAGAUUUGGCAGUAGUAAAUUGUUAGAAAGACAUAAAGACAAUUUCCCAUUUUAUAAUUUUUUCAAAAAACUUUUUUACAACACAUGCACCUGGCCAAAAAUUUUAUUUUGCUAACUAACAAUAAUUGAGUAGCUGACCGUAUUGACUCCGCCUACUUGCUAAAGUAAAAAAAUAGAAAUAGAAUUUCCACAAAAUGUCAAACAUGUAAAAUCUAAUAUUUGCAUGUGGAACAAAAUACAAAUGAAAAAAAAAAUAGAAAAAAGGCCUAAGACUUUUAAAAUGUGUGGAAAUCUUUCGGCCCUUUUAUAAUGGUGUGUUUUUCAAAGGAACAACUAAUAAUAAUGACACUUCUACGGUUUGUUUUGAUAAUUACACAUAUACUCUUUAAUUUGAUAAAUGGUUACACAAAUUUUGUUUACAAAAAUAUAUUAUUCAUGUUCUGUAUAUUUUUUAACAUCAUAUUUUUAUUUAUUAUAAUUGUUUAAAGUUAAUUGUUAGGUUGAUAUAUAAUAAAAACGUAUAAUCGUUCUCUUACUAAACACACAUACUCGUAGUUUCUAUCCAUUUGUCAUCUCAAUCUCUCUCAUUUAUCCUUUCUUGAUAGCUCAAAACGCGUCACUGUGGAAAAUAAUAGCAAAACGACAAUAUGGAAAGAAUGGGAAGAAAAUUAAUGCAUGAAAGAGUUGCAGAAGACAACCAAAUAAGUCAACUAUACGCUAGUUGGGUGUAUAAAUUGUUAGAUGUGUUAUAAACAAAUAGCAUAGAGCCUUGGUUGGUUACAGAGAUAGAAAAACUGUGUGUGUUUUUUAGAACUUAAAGAUACAGUUAGAAUGGGUGGUUCAAAAUCAAAAAUGGUGAUAAUGUUUGUUCUGUUAUUAAUAAUAUUAGAAGGUGGGUGGAGUGAAGGAUGUUUGGAUCAUGAGAGAUUUGCUCUUUUGCGACUCAAACAUUUCUUCGAUGAUACUGGUAGUUAUUUUUACUACUGGGCAGAUGGUGAGGGAGCUACUGAUUGUUGUCAGUGGGAAAGGGUUGAGUGCAGCAACACCACAGGCCAAGUGAUAGUGCUAGACCUUUUUGAAACGUAUUUGGGAGAGUACAGCUGGUAUCUGAAUGCUUCUUUGUUUACUCCCUUUCAACAACUUGAGUCACUUGAUUUAUAUGGCAACAAAAUAGUCGGUUUUGUUGAGAAUGAAGGUACUUCGUCUAAUUCAAUUAAUUUACAUUUCGCUCUCCUAAUUUAAGUCGAAUAUCAAGACUGAGCAGCUAUAUGCAUAUUCAUUCAAUUGACAAUUUUUACAUAUUUUUUAAAAUGUUUAAUUUUGAAAUUACACCAAACAUCAUAUGUGGUUUUGAUUUUACUUGCAGGUCUAGAAAGAUUGAACAACUUGAAGAGGCUUGAUUUAAGUUAUAACUUGUUCAACAAUAGCAUCUUAUCAUCUGUGGCUCAUCUUUCUUCACUAACAUCAUUAGAUUUAUCUGGAAAUAGAUUGGAAGGAAGUAUUAAUGUUAAAGGUACGUAAUUAAAACGUCAUCGCUUCUCUCAACUCUUUCAUUAACAUGCUAAAAUAAGAUUCAAGGCUUUGAAUUCAUUUUUUUUUAUGAGUAAAUAUUAGAAAAAUAGUUUUAAGCAAUUCAUAAAUACAAUUUUCAAUGUUUCUCAUAAUUUCAUCUUGUACUUUCGUAUGUCUUGACUUUAAGAUUAAAAAAAAAAAUUACUCUAACUGUGAAGCAAAUACCCCAUGACUAAUUUAUCAUUUCGUCCAGUUAAAAAUGAUAAAAUUUAUCAUUUGUUUAUAUUGAUUAAUUAACUCUAUUUUAAGUCUUAAGUCUUGGCGUCUUGGCAUAUUUGCAGAAUUUGAUUCCUUGAGCAACUUAGAGGAGUUGGACAUGAGCGACAAUGAAAUAGACAAUUUAGAGGUUCCUCAAGGUAAACAAUUAAAAUAUUAUUCAAUUACAUUAAUUUAAUUCGUUUGAUUAGGGAAGACCCAAAAGGUACAAAAUAUAAUAAUAAUAAUAAAGAAACAGAGAAUCUAUAUUAUUUCAAAAAAUAAAACGUAAUACUAUUAUUUCAAAAAUAGAUUGUAAUAAAGAUUUGAUUCCGGUUCUUUAAUCUUUACAGCAAUUGAAAAACGAUGUUGCUCUUUUCCUGAAGCAUAAAAUAUGAAAUGACUCCCAAUACAAUUAAUCAUUUAUUUCGUUUACUCUAAAAUUAGACAAUGAAUCUUUAUUUUCUUCAGUCUUAUCCUAAUUAUUAUUAAUAACAGGUUACAAAGGUUUGAGGAAGUUGAAUUAUCUUGAUCUAUCGAAUGUUGGAGUUAGAGAUGGAAGCAAGUUGUUACAGUCAAUGGGAUCAUUCCCAUCCCUCAACACUCUUUACCUGAAGGAUAAUAAUUUUACCGAUAUAGCGACAACUACUACUCAAGGUAAGUAAAAGAUACAGAUGUGGCCAAAUUUACAAAUAAAUUGUUAAUUAAUUAAUUUUUCCGUAUUAUUAAUAAAGCUAAAUUCGUCGCUCCUUCCUUCUAAUUCUAAACAGAGUUGGCAAUUUCACCAACUUGGAGUAUUUGACAUUGGACUUGUCCUCGCUCCAUUUAAGCCUUCUACAAUUACUUGAAGAAUGAAUUUAUUUAUUAUUAUUAUUGUUGUUGUUGUUGUUGUUGAAGUGAGGUGGGCAAGCGUUCACUCAAUUAAUAUGUGAGGAAUUAAUAAUUACAAUCCAAGGUAGAAUUGUGGAAAAUUAAAGCAAAAUGAGAAAUAUGGAAAGAAAGGAAGAAAGUUAAGGGCAUGAAAGACUAGGAGAAGACUAAAGACCACCAAAUAAGUCAACUGAAAACUAGCUGGGGCCUGGGUGUACAAAUUGUUAGAUGUGUUUGUUAUAAAUAACAUAGAGCCAUCUUGUUGGUUGCAGAGGCAGAGAGACACAGAGUGUGCAUUUUGUUAAUUAAAAAUAUAUAUAAAAUGGGUGGUUCAAAAUCCAAAAUGGUGAUAAUGUUAGUUUUGUUAGUAUUAAUAAUAUUAGAAGGGAGGUGGCGUGAGGGAUGUUUGGUGCAUGAGAGAUUUGGUCUUUCGAGACUUAAAACAUUUCUUCAAUUCUCCUUAUAAUUUUUGUCACGACUGACCGUUGUCAAUGGGAUGGGGCUGGGUGCAGGGUUGAUUUACGUUAGAACAAUAUAGCCGGUAGUGUUGAGAAUGAAGGUGUUUCAUUUAAUUUAAUUAAUUUACUUUCUCCCUCCUAAUUUAAGUGGAAUAUCAAGACUGAACAAUUAUAUGCAUCUUCGUUCAGUUGACAAUUUUGACAUUUUUUUUAAGUGAUUAAUUUUGAAAUUACACCAAACAUUAUUUGUGAUCUCUGUUUUGACUUUACUUGCAGCGCUAGAGACGUUAUCAAGAUUGAGCAACUUGACGAUACUUGAUUUAAGUUAUAACUUGUUCAAUAAUAGCAUCUUGUCAUUUGUUGCCCGUCUUUCAUCAUUAACAUCAUUAGAUUUAUCUUACAAUGGAUUGGAAGGAAGUAUUAAUGUUAAAGGUACGUAAUUAAAACGUCAUCGCUUCUCCCAACUCUUCCAUUAACAUGCUAAAAUAAGAUUCAAGGCUUUGAAUUCAAUUUUUUUUUAUGAGUAAUAUUAGAAAAAUAGUUUUAAGCAAUUCAUAAAUACAAUUUUCAAUGUUUCUCAUAAUUUCAUCUUGUACUUUUGUAUGUCUUGACUUUAAGAUUAAAAAAAAAUUACUCUAACUGUGAAGCAAAUACCCCAUGACUAAUUUACAAUUUUGUCCAGUUAAAAUGAUAAAAUUUAGGGAAAUUAUCAUUUGUAUACCCUUAGUUUACUCUAUUAUCAAAAAUACUACAACACUUUGAGGGUGUAUCAAUCGUCCACCCUAAGUUGACAAAAUGUAUUAGCCAACCACCAAACCGUUAGUUGCCGUUUAAAUAUGAUAACAUCAUAAGGGUAAUCUGGUCUUUUCAUAUGAUACAAGUGAUAAUUUAAGGGUAUACAAGUGAUAAAAAGAGAGUUUAAGGGGAUACAAGUGAUAAUUUUCAAGGGUAAAAUCGUCAAUUUACUGUAAUUCCGUUAACUUUCAAACGGCAAUUAACAGUUUGGUGGUCGGUUGAUACAUUUCAUCAACUUAGGGUGGACGAUUGAUACACCCUUAAAGUGUUGUAGUAUUUUUGAUAAUAAAGCAAAUAUAGGGUAUACGAAUGAUAAUUUCCCUAAAAUUUAUCAUUUGUUUAUAUUGAUUUAUUAACUCUAUUUUAAGUCUUAAGUCUUAAGUCUUGGCAUGUUUGCAGAAUUUGAUUCCUUGAGCAACUUAGAGGAGUUGGACAUGAGCGGCAAUGAAAUAGACAAUUUCAAGGUUCCUCAAGGUACACAAUUAAAAUAUUAUUUAAUUACAUUAAUUUAAUUCGUUUGAUUAGGGAAGACCCAAAAUGUACAAAAACAUAAUUAAAAAAAAUAAAGAAACAGAGAAUUCAUAUUAUUUCAAAAAACAAAAGGUAAUACUAUUAUUUCAAAAAAGAAUGUAAUAAAGAUUUGAUUCCGGUUCUUUAAUCUUUAUAGCAAUUGAAAAACAAUGUUGCUCUUUUCCUAAAGCAUAAAAUAUGAAAUGAGUCAUAAUUGAAUUAGUCAUUUAUUUUGUUUAGAUCUAAAUUUAGACAAUAAAUUUUGAUUUUUUUUUCAAUUCUAUCCUUAUUAUUAUUGUUAAACAGGUUACAGAGGUUUGAGGAAGUUGAAAAGCCUCUAUCUAUCGAAUGUUGGAGUUAGAGAUGGAAGCAAGUUGUUACAGUCUAUGGGAUCAUUCCCAUCCCUCAACACUCUUUACCUGAAGGAUAAUAAUUUACCGAUAUAGCGACAACUACUACUCAAGGUAAGUAAAAGGUACAGAUGUGGCCAAAUUUAUAAAUAAACUGUUAAUUAAUUAAUUUUCUGUAUUAUUAAUAAAGCUAAAUUUUUGCUCAUUCCCUCUAAUUCUAAACAGAGUUGCACAAUUUCACCAACUUGGAAUAUUUGACAUUGCACGGUUCCUCUCUCCAUAUAAGCCUUCUGCAAAGCAUUGCAUCAAUAUUCCCUUCGUUAAAAAAUCUGUCGAUAUCUUUGUGAAGUCAAUGGUGUCGUACAUGGUCAAGGUAAAAGAAAAGUGUUGGUUGUGCACUCACUGAGUGUUGUCCUACGUAUUCAAUAUUUUUAUUUAUUUAUUUUAUUGUUUAAUGUUUCUGCUAGGUUUUCCUCAUUUCAAGAGUUUGGAACAUUUGGGCAUGAUGUCCACGCGCAUUGCACUCAACACCAACUUUCUUCAAGUCAUCAGAAUCGAUGCCUUCUCUUAAGUACUUAUCACUGUCAUAUUCUACUCUUGCACUAACAGCAGCAGGAUUCUUGAUCGAGGUUAAUCAGAUGCUCCCACCCUCCAUUCUUAAUCUAUAAUAUUAAUUUUCAGUUAAAUAUUUAAUUACACAAACCAAUCACUUAUUAUAAAAGAACAAUACGCAUUCAUUAAUUUUUAUAUUAUAUUAAUUGAUGAAUUUAAUAAAUUCCAGGCCUCUGUUCGCCGGUGCAUCUGCAAGAGUUAUACAUUGGUUCUAACGAUUUAAGAGGUAGCUUGCCUUGGUGCAUGACAAAUUUGACAUCCCUCCGAAUAUUAGAUGUUUCUUCCAAUCAACUUACUGGAAGCAUCUCCUCGUCUCCCCUCAUUCAUUUGACAUCCAUUGAAAAGCUGUAUCUUUCAAACAAUCACUUCCAGAUCCCAAUUUCACUUGAACCACUUUUCAAUCAUUCAAGACUCAAGACUUUUUAUGCUGACAACAACGAACUAAAUGCAGAAAUAACUCAGUCACAUUCUUUGACCGCCCCAAACUUCCAAUUAUCACGUCUCUCAUUGUGCAUCCAACGAAAGACAAACCACGUGUAGUCUUUUAAUUAAGCCAAAGUAGCAGCUCAAACAAAUGACACUUGGACCAACAUGCAAUCAUGAAGUGGCCGGAAAAAGGACAAAUGCAACUUUGGCUUAAAUAAAAAAUAACAUGUGACUCGACUUUUGCUGGACAUGCAUCAUGUUAUUACAGACAACAAAAAUCAGUAUGAUAGUACUAAAAGUUGACAAUAACAUGAAGAUAAGAGGCAGAAUGUCAACACAUGCAUAGGCACACAAAGAAAGUAUUAACGUAUAUACCAUAGCAAAAAAGUAUUUGAUAUGUCAUCUGUUGCUGCUGUGAUUCAACUGACAGCAUGGCAGCUGUUGCUUCUCUACCAAGAGCCAUUAUUGUAGAUUAAGCUCGGUCAAUCUUGCUUCUGCAUUUCGAAGCUUCACAGCACUCUCUGCUGAUAUAUCAGAUUCCCUAAUCUUUGAUCGGUGCCUAAAUACUUCAGCUGCCUGGUGAAAAUAUUCAAUAUAAAUCUAAUAUAAAUUCUCAUCUUGCCUUAUGCAUGCAUAUGUUACCUCAAAGCUUACCUGGGCUUCAACUUCAUGUCGAAGUUUGUCAUAACGAUGAGUCAGGUGUCGAGCAUCUUCCAAAGGUGCUCCGUUGAUUAACGCCCGUAGUGGCUCAGAUACCUACAUGUCCAAAAACCUGUAACAUAGUUAGAAAAAUGAAAAGAAAGAGCGAAACCUCAAUUAAAAAGUCCUCCAACAUAAUCAUGGAAUUUGGCCUACUUCAAGGAUAUAUAUAUAGGAUAAUUUAUGCAAUUUUGGGUCUUAGGAUGAUUCAUAUUAGGUUAGUGUUCUUCUCUUCUGUAUUUAAGGUUAAAAUAGAAAUAAACCUAUGCAAAUAUAUAAAUUAGGGCUGUAAGAACACAUGCAACAUGGAUUUGAUUUUACUAUAGAUGCAAGUGUCUUUAUCGAAAAUGCUUGGAGUCAAUUGAGAGAACUCACGGCCAAUAACUUGUCACACGCUAGUCUUUGCUAGUGAUGUAAGAAGUCACAAGGUCUCUUCAGCAUUUGAACCAAUAAAAUUAUUAAGUCAUGGAUGUCACUAGCAAUGAUUUUAAUAUAAAAUAUUAAAUAUUUCAAGUUGUAACUUUAAAAUGGAUUCUUUUAUUCAAUAUCUUAGAACUAAGUUUCCUUAUGAGAAGAUAAUAGUUUCAGUAGUAAUGUACAUAUAAUUUUCUAUAUUGAAUUAUUUUCUAGUAGGGAUGAACUAACCUGAUCACGAAGAAUCCCAAGCAAAGUUUCCCUCUCAUUUUCCAUCAAAUCAUGUGAAGUGCCAAAUUGAAGAGCAGCUCUUGCAACGCAAGAAUUGUCACUUUGAUUCUCCACUCCAUACUUGCAACAAUCUUCGGCCAACUUUCUCGCUACAAUAUUUGAAUACAAAAAUAUUGUACACAAGAACUAGUCAAGAAAAUUAAAAAAAAAAUCAAAUAUUUAACGAGAGCAAGAGCAAACGAACAACCUAUUUCCAUUUGUUUCAAGCUUACUGCAACAAACACUUCAACGCCACGGACAACAUUCCUCUGACAAUAUUCCAAAUUAUUGUUCAGAUAAAACCAUAGAAACCAUCAUAAUUGUUCAACAUACAUUAAGCUAAAGGAGGAUGGUGCCUUAGCUGCCCUGGUGGAAUUGUAUAGAUUUUGAAGUUGUUGGUGACACUCAAUUUCAGAUUCAUCAACCGCAACAUUUUCAAUACCAAGAUGGAGCAGAUGCUUCAAUACUGCCUGUACAAAUCAUAAAAAAAUGAAAAAUAAAAUAAAAUCGAGAAAUUUCACUAACUAAAAGUCUAAAUUAAUUUUUUAAAAAGAAAAGAAACGGACUUGCUGCUGCUUGGCGACUUGUUCUCGGGCUUGAUUGCUGUUCUUGAUAGCUUCCAUACUGUUUCUUUCAAAAGCGACGACGGCUCGCUCAUGGGAGUGGAAAAAAAAGUGUGAUCGGGAAAAUAAAAAGGCAUGAAUAAUUUUUGAAAAAAAGCGAAAAUCAAGGAAGCCAGCUCUUUCCAGAAAUAAAAAAGAAAAAAAAAAGAAAUUAUAGUUUGAAGGAGAAGAUGAUGUGGAAGUGCGGUGUGGCUGACAGCUACUUGGAUUGUAUUGUCGGGUAGGUAAUAGUAGAGAAUUUUUUUUUAAGAAAAUAGUAGAGAAUUUUUUAGAAGCUAGAACAGAGCAUGACAUUAGACUUUUGUUGACCAAGGAUGUUGUUUUAUUCUUCUAUACUUUACGUUUGGUUUGGUUUUUCAAACUAAAUAAUCAGUAGCAAAAUACAAUUUAGAGAUUAGGGGGUGAACUAGCUAGGUGGUUUACAAAUAUUCUAUUUGUAAGGUGAAUUAAUUGAAUCAUGAGAAAACAAUGUGACCAUAGCUCAAUAUGAGAUGAUUUCGGAGAGGCAUAUUGUUUUCAAGUGAAUUUGAUCCAUUAAGAGAUGAAGUGGAUUGAAGUGGAAAGUUUAAAUAACAAAUCCUUGUUCUUGAGUUUUACGACGUUGUUACUCCUUCAGGUGGCAGAUUAUGCAAGUGAAUUCAAAAACACAAUGCAUCAAUCACGGGGAUGCUACAUCAAAGACGGGAUCAUAGUCUAUGCAUUGAACAGUUACAGUUGCUGCUACCAAUUGCCUCGGCAAAGAUCAAGAAGACUGAACGGGAAGUUAAUGCCAUCAAGGAGUUGUCUAGUGUUCUUUUCCUUAUGCUAUGAUCGGUGCUCUUGAGGCUGCCCUGAAACACAGGAAAAUACUUCGAUAUCCUCCAUUCGAUGAUGCAAAGAACGGUUAAUGUAUGAUUACCUAAUUGACUCAGGAUCAGGUAACAACAACAACAAUUUUUAAUAGUAAUAUCACAAACGAAGAAGAUUUCGGAGAGGAGAUGUAAGCGUAUACUGUUUACAGGUUUGAUCCACUGGGGAUGAAGUGGUCUCAAGUGGAAAGUGAUUUAUUAAACAACAAAUCAUUGUUCUUGGUUAUACCUCAUGAUGUCAUCAAGUGGAAGAUGAAGAUCGUUUGAUAUUGAAGAAUUUGAACAGAAAGCCCAUAGAAAGUACUUAAAUAAGCAUAUUUUGUUGGGGUAGAAUAUUAAGAAAGGAGUUGUCUACUGUGUGUUGCGUAAUUAUGCUAUGAUCGGUGCUUUCAACAUUGCCCUGAAAACAGUGGGAAAUACUUCAUACCCUCGACAUGAUGAUGAAAAAUUGGUUACCGAUUACCUAAUUGACUCAGGUGACAACAAUCCAUUAAUAGCACAAUUUGACGUGAUGCCGUUUAGGUAUAUGGUUUUCAAGUUUGAUUCAUCAGUGAUGAAGCGGACUAAAAUUAAAAGUUUAAAUGAUAAGUCAUUGUUCUUGGGCAUAUCGUCAUUACUACUUCCAGUGAUCAACGAUGAAGAUGAAGAUGAAAAUUGUGCGAGUUCAAGAUUACCAUUUAUCAUUACUUGGGAUAUUACUUCAACAUAGAUGGGGUUAUAAUUUACUCCCACGAACAUCAACUCAACUUUAUGAUUGGAGUGUCUCACCGUGACUCAGACAAAUUCUGAUUCAACCUCCUUCACCAAUGGAUUUUGAUUAGUUAUUUUGUGAUCAAGCAACUUAAUUAAACUCACAGUUUGUUAGUCUAAUUUUAGUUUUACUGUGACCACUAUUCAAGGUAAGCGAAAGUUACAGAUGUGGCAAAAUCAAUAAUUAAAUUCAUAAAAUGUUAAAAAUAAAACUUAUAAAUGUUGCAUGACUACUUACUAAUAAAUAAAUAAGUUAGAAUGUAGUUAGUUAAUUUUACACCAUAUUAUAUAUUAUUCGAUAAUAAUAUAAAAUAAAAAUAAUUAAAAAAUAAAUAAUUGAAUAAAUAAAUAUGGCUUUCUAAACAGUAAAAAUUCUAGAGUUAAAAUUUAUAUUAUUAUUUUAUUUUUUAAAAUUGACAUUUUUCUAUUGUCUUACAUGUACAAAGAUUUUGAGAGUUGAGAAGAAUAUAUUUAAUGAAGCUUGAUAACAUUUGAUGGGAUAGCAAGUAAGGGUAAAUAAGAUAUUUUUAUUUGUUAUUUAUUUGAAUUAUAUCUAUUUGUUCAAGUUAAAAUACUAAAUAUAAAUUGGAGGUAGACAUUUUAACAGAUCAUCUAAGCUCUCAAAUCUGAAAUUUUGUGUAGAUUUAAAUUCAUAAUCCCCAAUUAUUUGAUCAGCAACUAUCAAGAACUAACCAAAUUUAUUUCUUCAUGACUUCCAAACACUAGAAAAUUUUGUUAUUUGAUAAUAAUAUCAUUAAUUAGAGUUUAUCAAACCGCAUUAUUUUCUUUCAUAAAAUUGAUGCCUAUUAGUGUCACACUUUAUUUGUAUUACCUAGCGGACAUCAACUUUUUUUUUAAUUUUUUAAAUUAAAAAGACCAUUUGAUUUUAACCCAUGUUCUUGGCCUUAGGGAAGCUGACUUCUUUUAUAGUCAGGCGAUGAGUUAAGAAGUGACAUAGCAUUCAGGCGAUGAGUUUAUUUUUGUUAUCUUGCUAACAGUUUUAGUCUAAUUUUAGUUUUACUGUGACCACUAUUCAAGGUAAGCGAAAGUUACAGAUGUGGCAAAAUCAAUAAUUAAAUUCACAAAAUGUUAACUAAUUAAAUUCAUAGAGUUGCACAAUUUCAUCAACUUGGAAGAAUUGACUUUAAUGGACUGGCCUUCUCCCCUAUAAUUCUAAUGCUUCUAGGAAGCAAAUUUUUAUAAAUUAUUUAUUUUUGAGUUAAUUUCAAUUUCAAAAAACAAAUUUUUUAAGUUAUUGAUACUCUAAUGAGAGUAUCUUCAUAACAAUUCCCUUGCUCCAAUAAUAACAAAAAGGUGGUUACUUAGAAAUAAUUAAAAUAAAUAAGUGUUGAUUAUAUAUCCUAAUUUGCAUCGAUUUUUUUUUACCUUAAUUUCAGGAAUUUGGAAUAUAAGUUUGUGAAUGGAGGAUGAUCACGCGUGUGUUAAUUUUUCAGUCAUUGACUGUCGUAUUCUCGACUUAACGAUAGUGUUCUUGAUCAAGGGCAAUGACUCCCACCCCUCUUUUAAAAAUAUUGUCAAGUAUAUUGAUGACAAAAUCUCUUAUAGUUAAUAGUCUUUAAAAAUUUAUAGAUUUACUAUUGUCAUGACCAAAUUAUUCAUGUUUAAUGAAAUAUUAAUGCAUCAAAAUAGAUAUCUUCGGAAUCUAAUCCGAUCGGCUCAAUCCGUUUCAUUCGCAAAAGUGCAAUCCGCAAAAAUUUGAUCUGUGGAUUAGUGGAUUGGAUUGGAUUGAAAGUUUAAAAAUCCAUAGUCGAUAAAUUGGAUAUCGAUUUACUUCUCUAAAUAUGCAAAAAUUCAUGAAUUCGCAAAAAAAAAAUGUAUUUACUAAUAAAUAAAUAAGUUAAAAUGUAGUUAGUUAAUUUAACACCAUAUUAUAUCUUAUUCGAUAAUAAUAUAAAAUAAAAAUAAUUAAAAAAUGAAUAAUUGGAUAAAUAAAUAUGACUUUCUAAACAGUAAAACUUCUAGAGUUAAAAUUUAUAUUGUUAUUCUAUUUUUUUAAAUUGACAUUUUUCUAUUGUCUUACAUGUACAGAGAUUUUGAGAGUUGAAAAGAAUAUAUUUAAAUAAAAUAUUUUUAUUUGUUAUUUAUUUCAAUUAUAUCUAUUUUGUUCAAGUUAAAAUACUAAAUAUAAAUUGGAGGUAGGCAUUUUAACAGAUCAUCUAAGCUCUCAAAUCUGAAAUUUGUGUAGAUUUAAAUUCAUAAUUUUAGUUAAUUUUCAUAUAUUCAUAUAAACAAAUUUAUGAGAUUUUUUUCUUUUCAACAUGUUAUAUUUUUAAACUUUCAAUGUAUUAUUUUAGCUAUAUUUAAACAAUUAAUUUAUUUAAUUUUAAAUUUGAUCAGUAUAAAAUGUUUUUAUAUCAAAUUUUUUUAUUUAAAUAGUUCGUGGAUUGGACAAAAUUAAACAUUUUUAAUUCUUAAAUGAUGGAUUGGAUAUGAAUUGGAUCAAAUCCACAUUCGAUCCGCAGUUAUAUGGAUUGAAUUUGAAUUGAAUUUCAUCAAUCUAUGGAUUAUAUUGGAUUAAAAAUUUAUAAUCCACAAAAUCGUUGAUUAGAUAUGGAUUGAUGUCCAAUUCGCAAAAUCUAAUUGCCGAACACUCCACUAUCAAAAUUUUCAAAAUAUGUUUUAUCCUAUAAUUUUUUUUUAAAGUCAUAGUCUAAUGGCAGCUCAAUUUCUACUGCAUUCAUAUAAGCGGAGUUCAAAUCUCAUACCUCUUAUCUCCACACGAGAUUUAACCAGUUGAAAUAGCUAGCACCCACAAAUAUACUAGUACAGCAUCUCUUAACGUUUAACAUACGUAUAAUUAACGCCAUAGCUAUUGAUAAACACAUUGUUCAAUAUAUAUGAUCAAGAAUCUGAUCCUGCGAGCAACAGCAGUAAGAAGAACCAUUAUAAUGCCUAGCUCUUAUCCCGGUUAAUCCUCUGGCCCGAUGCUUCAUCAUAGUGAUUUAAAAAACAAACAACAGCUCUCUAAAAGAGAUGAAGAUAUCAUCUACGUAAAGAACAUGAAACGGAGAUUCACAACCCAUAAGAACUGAGAUAAAUUGGACCAGACCGGUAAUCUUGAGAUAAGUUAAACUGUGACCUAAGUUGAAAUCAGAGGACCAGAAUUUUAAAAUCUUUCGGCUAAGCCCCUGAGCAAUUUUCUAGAGUACGGCUUCUGCUUACCUCUGUUUAAUUUCUCUUUAUAUUUUUCUUUCAUUUCAUUAAUAAAGUCAAAUAAUAAAUCAAAGAACGAGGGAAGAUUUUUCCAAGUCAUGCAUUAUUUGAUUACCAUCAAUCAAGAAACCGACCAAAUUAAUUUCUCUCCGUGAUUUUUAAAAAUUAAAAAAAAAAUUAUUUGAACAUAACAUCAUUAAUUAUAGAGUGGAUCAAACUGCGUUAAUCAUGAAACUGAUACCUAUUAAGAGUCAAACUUUUUACUUAUGCAUACUAAAAGACAUCAAAUUGUUCCGAUCCCCAAUUAUUUGAUCAGCAACUAUCAAGAACUGACCAAAUUUAUUUCUUCAUGACUUCCAAACACUAGAAAAUUUUGUUAUUUGAUAAUAAUAUCAUUAAUUAGAGUUUAUCAAACCGCAUUAUUUUCUUUCAUAAAAUUGAUGCCUAUUAGUGUCACACUUUAUUUGUAUUACCUAGCGGACAUCAACUUUUUUUUUAAUUUUUUUAAAUUAAAAAGACCAUUUGAUUUUAACCCAUGUUCUUGGCCUUAGGGAAGCUGACUUCUUUUAUAGGUGAUAUCUGCUUGAACUUUGGUGUGUUAAUUAUUUCAAUCCCCAAUUAUGUAAUUUUUAAAUUAUAGCCUAACGGCGGUCUCAUCACCACGUGUGUGAUUUUCUUUUGCCAAUAGGAUCUGCAGAGAGCUUGAUCUCAUCCAAUAGCAAAAUAAACUUCCUAAUAAGUGAAGGUAUAGUAUAAAUAUUUCACCCCCAUAUUAUUUAUUAGCAGCUUGAUUAUUUUAUAUGCAUCUUUGAUUUUAAUUUUUUUUCCCAUAAUUGCUACUAUGUUCGAACUGGUCAUGAAUUAUCUAUAAGAUUUUUCAUGUUGCUUUUAGGUGCAUUGGAUUUUUUGAGUUUAGUGCAAGAGUAGAGGAAGGCAAAUUAAGAAAAAGGAUAAAGAUCUAUGAUUAGCUAUUUUGGGAUGUCUCAUAACAUAUUGAUGCUAACAUUAUACAUAUGUAUAUCUAAAUAAUGGGCUUGGAUCAAGAGCCCAUUAAUAAUCAUAGAUUAGCUUAUAUAGUUCAAAAAAUGUACCAUAAAGCAAUUUUACAAGCACUUGUUAGCCUAUGUUGAGCUUUAUUAUCAAUAGUUCAUAGUUCAUCAGUGCACUGCAAGUUUACUAUUUGAAGUAAAUGUUGUGGUGCGUGCAUUCUUCAUAAGGCCAACUAUUGAAUUUAGCAUUGAAACUUACAAAAUGUAAUAGAAAGAGGUAGAUAACAGCCAUAAAACACUAAGAUUGGAAAUCAGGGCAACUAAAUACUAUUACAAGCCCUUAGAAAAGACAGCGAUCAUCCUGAAAUAUAUAUACUGAAAGUAAGAAAUGUUAAUCGCAAAGUUAUGUGCCAACAGAACUAUUGACUACUUGUCUCUAGUAGAAAGUAAAUAUUUUUAACUUCAGCCCUCUACUUUGUUCUAAGAACAAGGCAAUAUAAGGAAACAUCGGUGUCUAAAAUUUGCCGCUUGGAAUAUUUCACUGUCUAAACAUUCACUCACCACUUAUUUCAUUAAUGAAUUUUGUCUAAUUAUAUGUUGAUAAAGAUAUUAGAGUAAUAUAAUACAUUUAAGGCUUAACUUAUAUUUUUUAUUAGUAGAGUGUAGAACUUUUAAGAAAUAAAUUAUUAAAUUACUAUAACUAACAUAUUAUUUUAAAGUUAUGUUAAGGAAAAGAAUGAAACAAAAAUAAAUAAAUAAAUAAGGGUAUUCUAAAACUUUGAUCUUUUUAAAAGUAGAUUUUGACAUAGAUAAAAUAAUUUUUAUAUUUUUUAAAUCACAUACUCUAGUUAAAAUCAAAUUUGUAUUUAUAAAGUUUGUAAAUUUUUUUUUUUUUUUAGCACUGAUAUUUGAACACUAUCAAGAUAAGAAAUAGGGCACUGGUCAUGCUACAACAUUAUUAUAGCACAUAAAAAGACAAUACCAUUUAUUUUAUUGUACUAUCAUUGUUGUUAUAAUAGUAUUUUGUUAGUGGUCAAAUAUUAUUUUUUUAAGUAAAAAAAGUGAACAAUGUAAAUUAACUUUUAAUCUCUCCUAAAAUUCUAAUUCCUAGUUACGAAACAAAAUUGUUUAAAACCAUAGGUGAUAGGUGAUAGAAGUUACUAACACAAGCAAAUUUGACGGUCCAUUUUAUAAAAUUUGUUAUUUACCAUUUUACCACCUAUAUAAGGAGUGCCGCAUCGACAUAUCAACUCAUUUGCAGAUUAUUUUAAUUUUGUAAAAUUCAUUUAACCUGCACUUGGUCGCCCCUAUUCUCUGAAUGGUUAUGGCGAUAUCAUCAUUAUCGUUACUUGUACCAACGCUAAACCCUUCUUAUUCCCUUUCUCGCCUGUCAUACCCUAACAUUAUAUCCCGUGUCCACACUAAAGACAAGUAGUCAAUUCAAGCCAUCAGAUUAUAGUGGACCCACAUCAAUCCAACUACUUACAAUGACCGACAGCCUCUCCAUCUCCAUUUCAGGUUUCCUCUUCAACUGGCUUCUGCUUCCGCUGUAUUUGCUCCAUUUCUUGGAUUCGGAGUCCGUAUUUGGUCGGUCGGUCCCGCACAGCUCCCUCUCACUCCAAUUGUCACCCAACAAGACCAAUUGCUUAAUCAAGGCACAGAACAAGAAGAGGAUGAGAAAUUGAAACAAGAAUUUGAGAAUUGGAAAUCGAAAACGUACGCAUUGACCGUGCCUUUGAGGGCAAUUACUUUUCUUGAGAAUUGAAGUUUGGUAAUGUAAUUUGUUCUCCAUCUGUGUUCCCUUUGUAGUCAUUUCAUUUAUUUGUUUGUUUGCUUUUAUUUGCACUUACGAAGUCUCAGGUAUACCUACGCAGGAAUGAUGCAGGAGAAAUUGAUCCUCGAGGUAACAUAUGGGCGGCGCCAUAUCGGUGGGGCACAGUGGUGAUAGCUUACAAGAAAAGUAAAUUUCGAAAGCAUAAUUUGGUUCCGAUUGAGGUAAUAAUUGUCUUUAAGCUCAUUUAGUUUUAUAUCAAACAAAAUCAAGACUGCCUUUCUCUUCAAUAGUUUUGAUGAUAAUAUCUUUAGAAGCAUCUCAUUGACAGGUAAUCGUGGUACCCCUUAAAGAGUCUAUAAACUCAAGGAUAUUAUCUUCUGCAAAUGGUUCAUUAAACUUCUUAGAUGUAGUUAAAUGUACACUGAGAACAACGAGAAGCUAUGCCACUGUAGCAUGUAGUGAUGGCACUUAAUGAGUGAGUUGCUAGGAUAUGAACUAGAAAAAUUAAAUAUUGUCUCCCUCUCCCUGGGUAUGCUAGCUCAUAAGUCAGGGUUAAUAUUAGAGCUUGAGAUACUAUAACCAUGAGAAGCUAUUGACCACCAGUUAAAAUAUCCAUUAAAAUGUCUAGGGAGUUAUGAAGGUGGAGGUAUCUCCCAAUUUCUAAGGCCAUAUAAUAGACAUCAUCCAGGAUCCUAUAGAGUGCAGUUAGCCUCCUGCUUGAUGCUAAUGUCAAACAAUUAAUAAAUUUGGUCAAUGUAACUGAAACUUGCUAAUUGACGUCAGAUUGCGACUUGAGCACCUUAAAAUGGGAUAGACGAUUAGUGGCACUGAAUUCUUCUUGCCUAAGAUUGAGCAAUUGUUUUAACUACUAUCUCCUAUUGUAGGUUGAUUAUUAUGUUUUAAUUAUGUCCAUUUUGACCCAAAAAAUUACACAAUCUUGAUCUGCAUUUUGUCACUGAGCAGUGUCAAUAUCGUCUAACAACUAACUUGAUUUUGAUAUGACAAACACACGGUGUGUCUCUCAUGUCUCACCCAUGUCUCACCAUGAUGGAGAAUUUUUCUAAUGCAUGAAGUAAGCUUUGAUAUGUGGGUUAGCUUGGAGAACAUAUCUCAAAAUGAAGAAGAUGGGGAGUUAAUGGGAAGAAACAGUCCAGUAGUUUAUAAUUCUGUCGACGAGCUGUAUCUCUAACAUGGUCAAAAUUUAUGUGAAUAAGGACAGGGAAUCGUCAUUCCUCUUUUCCUUUUUAUACCGGGAUAUCUCUCAACCUUUAUAUGUUGCCCGCUGGAGAUCUCCUUCUAAUAACUAAAAUAAAAAUUUCAUCCACUCAAAUAAAUGUUGACCAAGCUUUCACAAGAAAAAGUAACGUCUUUAGUGAAGUAAUUUACAGUUCCUUAUCAUCUUCGUGUGAGUCUAUCAGUAUGAUCCAAAAACAUAAUAAAUCUUGUUAGAUCCUGUUUAUUGAUGUUUAAAUGUUGUUCAUUGUGCAAUGUAGAAAUGAUGACGUGAAGUUUCUUUGGUCAUCAAUUAGUGAGAUCUUGUUUGAAGUUGUUUUCUGAAAUGAACUGCAAAAUGGUAGUUUUUUUUUUUUUCUUGGGUGCAUUUGAUGGCUCUUUUCUCCUCAUUUUAAGCAUGUGUCUGCUUGAAAUGGGAAGGAAUAGGCUUCAGAGUUGUUAUAUAUGUUGAUAUGCUCUGGUCAUUACACAAUAUGUUCAAAUUGGAAAUUAGAAUGAGAUAUUUGUUGAUGCUUUUUGAGAGAUCUGCAUUCUAUGCACCAUAACAUGAUUAAUGAAAACGGGUUUAAGGACUGGAAAGAUCUGUGGCAGCCCAAGCUUGCAGGAAGGAUUUCAAUGGUUAAUUCUCCUAGAGAGGUUAUUGGUACAGUUUUGAAGUAUAUGGGAGUAUCAUACAAUUCAAACGACAUUGGGAGGAUUGCUGUUCAGCAGAAUCUGGCAUUACUGGGAAACCAGGUACUCUUAAAGAAACGAUAUCUGGUCAAUGCAUAUUAUUGGGUGACGGCUGAUUUUGUUUGUAAAGUGUGCCUUUUCAUACCUAUGAAUGCAUAUGUUAGUGUUGUGUUCUCCUUUCCAUAAAUAUGAAUGCAUAUGUUGGUGUUCUUUUCUGAGAUGGAUGCAAUAAAGGCUUUUUCUUCUAAAUUUAGUUGAAGAAAUGGCAAGGAAUGUGAGAUUCUAUCUCAUUAAAUUAACAAAAACCCAAAACAGUGAAAACCCAUAUUAUGUGGAUGAAUUGGCGACAUUUGGCUUGUUUCCUGAACGUGAAUUAGCAAGCAAUAGAGACUAAAAAAAUGGAGUGAUAAUAACAAGUCAUUGUCAUUUGAUGAAUGCAUUUUUAAGCAAAAAUAGGUUUGUAACUGAAUAAAUUUGUCUGGCAUGCCAAUAUCAAAAAAUUAAAUUAUGUGGUUAUGAGCUGUAAUGAAGGGGGAUUGUAGGUGCAAUCAGAUCGAUCCAAGAAAGUUCAACAAAGUUCUGGUUUGGUGUAGUGAAAUUGGUUUGUGCAACUUGAGUCUUUCAGAUGAACAAUGACGAGUUUUCAUUUAAAAAUGUUAUAAAUCUGCCAUGCAUAGUAUUCUAGUAGAAUCAUCUAUAAAUUCAAGUUAUUGAAAUUGUCUAUUUGUCCAGUUUGAGUUAAGGACGCAUGUAAUAUGAAAAAUUGUUGUCGAAUAUUGUAGGUUAGCUAAUAUUUGAUCAAUCCUAUAGGGAGGGCUUUAAGAUGUCUAACAACAUGUAGAAUGCCCCUGCUUCCCCCACAAUUUUUAUCUUAUACAAUUUUUAUCUAUAAACAGUAUUUGCCAGACCUUAACCGUUCAGAUUCCCCUUCUCGACUAUCAUACCCUACGCCCCAUCUCCGUGUCUCCGAUAAACAGUGCUCAAUUAAGGCCAUCAGAUUAUCCCGGUCCCGCAUUGAUCAACGGCUCACAAUGGCCGACAACCUCUCUGUCUCCAUUACAAGCUCCCUCUUCAACUCGCUUCUGCUUCCACCUACUCUUUCUCGGAUUCGGAGCCCGUAUAUGCUCAGCUGGUCCCACAAAGCUCCCUCUCACUCCAGCUGUCAACCGACAAGACCAAUUGCCUUAUCAAGACACAGAACAAAAAGAGGAUGAGAAAUUGAAACAAGAAUUUGAGAAUUGGAAAUCGAAAACGUACGCAUUGACUGUACCUUUGAGAGUUGUUUCUCUUCAGAAUUCAGUGCCUCAAUCUUGGGUUAAGGAUUUUAUGCGAAGUCAAGGAAAGUGAUUGAAGUUUCAGAUGAAUUUGUGUGCUAGCAUUGGUGGGAUCUUUAACAAUUUAUCUCUGCCCUUUAACAAAGUCAAGGCUAAUUCAGCUACUUAUAUGGCUGCUGAUUUGGUUAGUGUUGGUGAUUCAUGGCUUAGUUUUGCCAUUAAAGAGAGAUUGAUUGAGCCAACGGCUGGAGCUGAAGACCAAGAUUGGUUCAAAUGCUUAAGUCACAAAUGGAAGGUAACAUCUUUAUCUUUGACCCGAUAAUUUUUAUUGUCUUACAUUGAAAUUUGGUAAUGUAAUUUGUUCUCUAUCUGUAUUACCCUUUUUAGUCGUUUUAUUUAUUUGUUUAUUUGCUUUUAUUUGCACUAACGAAGUCUCAGGUAUAUCUACGCAGGAAUGAUGCAGGAGAAAUUGAUCCUCGAUGUGAAAUAUGGGCGGCACCAUACAGGUGGGGCACAAUGGUGAUAGCCUACCAGAAAAGUAAAUUUCGAAAGCAUAAUUUGGCUCUGAUUGAGGUAAUAAUUGUCUUUAAAAUCAUUUAGUUUUAGAUCAAACAAAAUCAAGACUGCCUUUCUCUUCAAUAUUUUUAUGAUAAUAUCUUUAGAAGCAUCUUAUUGAUGGGUAAUAAUUGUAUCCCUGAGACAGUCUAUAAACUCAAUGAUAUUAUCUUCUACAAAUGGCUCAUUAAACUUUGUCGUUGUAGUCAAAUGUACACUCAGAGCAAUGACAAGCUAUGCCACUGUAGCAUGUAGUGAUGGCACUUAAUAAGUGAGUUGCUAGGAUGUGAACUAGAAAAAUUAAAUAUUGUCUCCCUGGGUAUGCUAGCUCAUAAGUCAGGGUUAAUAUUAGAACUCAAGAUACUAUAACCAUGAGAAGCUACUGACUGCCAAUUAAAAUAUUCUUUAAAAUGUCUAGGAAGUUAUGAAGGUGGAAGUAUCUUCCGAUUUCUAAGGCCACAUGGUAGAUAUCAUCCAGGAUCCUAGUACAGUGCAGUUAACCUCCUGCUUGAUGCAAUUAAUAAGUUUGGUCAAUGCCACUGAAACAUGCUAACUGACGUCACAAUGCGACAUGAGCACUUCAAAAUGGGACAGACGGUCGGUAGCACUAAAUUUUUCUUGCCUAAGAUUGAGCAAUUGGUCUAACUACUAACCCCUUUUGUAGGUUGAUCAUUAUUUUUUCAUAUUUUCAGUUUGACGGAAAACGUUACAGAAUCUUGAUCUGAAUAUUGUCACUGAACAUUGUCAAUGUCGUUUAGCGUAGCCAAUUAACUUGAGUUUGGUAAAACAAAUACACAGUGUGUCUCAUGUCUCACAAUUCAAAUUAUCAUUUGUAAUGAUGGAGAAUUUUUCCAAUGUAUGAAGUAUGCUUUGAUACGUGGGUUACCUUGGAGAAGGUAUCUCAAAAUAAAGAAUAUGGGGAGAAAACAGUUCAGUAGUUUAUUAUUAUGUAGUCAAGUUUUGUCUCAAAAAUGGUCCAAAUUUAAAUGAAUAAGGACAGGGGAUCUUCAUUCUUUUUUCCCUUUUUUAUACCGAGAUAUCUCUCAACCUUUAUUUAAUCCCCACUGGAUAUCUGCUUCUAAUAAUUAAAAUAAAAAUUUCACCCACACAAAUAAAUACUGACCAAGCUCUAACAAUAAAAAGUAACAUCUUUAGUCAAGUGAUUUACAGUUCCUCAUCAUCUUAGUGAGACUAUCAGUAUGUUCCAAAAACAUAAUAAAACUGGUUUGUUCCUGUUUAUUGAUGUUUAAAUGUUGUUCAUUGUGACAUGUAGAAAUGAUGAGGCGAAGUUUAUUUGGUCAUCAAUUUGUAAGAUCUUGUUUGAAGUUGUUUUCUGAAAUGAACUGCCAAAUGGUGGUUUUUUUGGGGCAUUUGAUGGCUCUUUUUUCCUCAUUUUAAACAUGUGCCUGCUUGGAACAGGAAGGAUUAGGCUGCAGAGUUGUUAUAUAUUUUGACAUGCUCUGGUCAUUGCACAAUUUGUUCACACUGGAAAAUAUAAUGAGAAAUUUGUUUCAUUCUAUGCACAAUAACAUGAUUAAUGAAAAUGGAUUGUAGGACUGGAAAGAUCUGUGGCAGCCUGAGCUCGCAGGACGAAUUUCAAUGGUUAAUUCUCCCUGAGAGGUUAUUGGUUUAGUUUUGAAGUAUAUGGGAGCAUCAUUCAAUUCAAACGAUAUUGAUUCGCAAGUUGCUGGUGGGAAGAUAGCUGUUCAGCAGAAUCUGGCAUUACUGGCAAACCAGGUACUCUCAAAGAAAUGAUAUCUGGUCAUCGCAUGUUAUUGCCUGACAACUGAUUUUGUUUGUAAAAGUCUGCUACUUCAUACAUAUGAAUGCAUAUGUUAUUGUUUUCUUCUCCUUUUCAUACAUAUGAAUGCAUAUGUUGCUUCUUUUCCUUUCCAUACAUAUUAAUACAUAUGUUGGUGUUCUCUCCUGAGAUGGAUGCAAUAAAGGCUUUUCUGAAGAAAUGGCAAGGGAUGUGAGAUUCUGUCUCAUAAAAUUAACAAAAACCCAAAAACAAUGAAAACCCAUAAUAAUGUGGUGUGGGUAAAUUGACGCCAUUUGGUUCGUUUCCUUGAUGUGAAUACGCGGGCAAUAGAGACUAACAAAAUGAAGUGACAACAAGAAGUCAGUGUCCUUUGAUGGAUGCAUUUUUAGGCAGAAAUAGGUUUGUAAUUGACCAAAUUUGUCUAGCAUGCCAAUUUCAAAAAAAUUAAAUUAUGUGGUUAUUAGCUGUAAUGAAGGGGGAUAGUAGGUCCAAUCAGGUGGAUCCAGGAAAGUUCAACAAAGUUCUGGUAUGGCGUAGAAAUUGGUUUGUGCAACUCAAGAGUCUUUCUGGUGAACGAUGAUGGGUUUUGAUUUAUAAAUGUUAUAAAUCUACUGUGCAUAGUAUUCUAGUAGAAUCAUCUAUAAGUUCUAGUUAUUGAAAUUGUCUACCUUGUUCAGUUUUAGUUAAGGGCACAUGUAAUAUGAAAAAUAGUUGUUGCAUCUUUUAGGUUUACCUAACAUUUGAUCAAUCCUAUUAUGAGGGCUUCAAGAUGUCUAACAAUAUGUGGAAUGCCCAUGCUCCUCCCCAUUGUUUAUCUUUAUAUAAUAAUUUGUUUUAGAUGCUAAUAUCUUUGUCGAUACCGGUAACAAUAUUAGAAUAUCUGCGUUUAUUGGGUUUUACAUAGGUUCGACUGUUUGACAGUACACACUAUCUGAAGGCAUUUGGAAUUGGAGAUGUAUGGAUUGCUGUUGGGUGGAGUAGUGAUGUUCUUCCUGCUGUCAAACGUAUGUCUAAUGUUGCAGUUGUUGUUCCCAAGUCUGGUGCUAGCUUAUGGGCUGAUCUUUGGGUAUACCCAUGCCUGCCAUUCUACUUCAAUAUUCACAUUGUUAUCUCCUUCAUAUUAGUGAUCAGUAAACAUGAUAAUGUGACUAAUAAGUUCGUAUUCUCUUUAUAGGCAAUCCCUGCUGCCUCAAGACUUGAAACAAAACAAAUUGGACGGUGAGUCAGAGGUGCAUUUCCAUUAAUCCAUCAAUGGAUAGAAUUCUGCUUGCAAACAGCGAGAGCAUUGCCUUUCAAGCAAGAGGUUAUCCCGAGCGCAUCUCCCUCUGCCCUUGAGAGUACUCUGGUUAAGUUGCCUGAAGAACUUUUUAAGGGUAAACCAAGUCUGGAUACUAACUUAAUUGCUGGAGUACCCGACUGAAAUUAUGGCCAGAUGUGAGUUUUUGGAGCCAUUAUCUGAAGCUACAUUGUCGGAUUAUGAGUGGCUGGUUGCUAAUCUGCAAAAAUCCACUCCUGUACUGAUCAACAAGAUGCAACAUUACAUGUCAUCAUUGAUCUUUAGCUAAAGGUACAUUGAAUAUUGAAGUAGGUCAGAGCAUAACUUCAUUAGGAAAAGAGGCUUCAGCUACGUUAAAUAUUACAGGAUGUACUGAGAUGGCUGAAGUUGUUGAGGUUUUACGAGAAACGAAAGAUAGUGUUUGUUUGAACAAAGUUGUUGCCAAUCUUGCAGAGUUCGAGAAGAAAGAUCACGAAGCGAAUGCCACCGAUUUAUUCAUCAUUGUAGCCUCCAUAGUUGAAGUUUCCUCAUUUGAAGCUGUUUAUGCAUAUGCUUUUUCCCUUCUCAAGUACAGGAAAUUGAAGAAUUAACCAGAUGUGAUGUGCUGAAAGAGGGAAGUUUUCUUCCUUGAAUGUGGCGAAGAACCCUAUCAAGGUAGAUGGCGAAGAACCCUAUCAAGGUAGAUUUUAUGAUGUUAACAUAUUAUUAAGCAUUUUGUUACAUCAGCAAUGAUGCUUUCAUAGCAGCAUGAAAGUGUUUAAAUUUAACUGAAUGAUCUUGACUGAUCAAUUAUGAGUUUUAAUCGAGUAAAAACUAAAUACAAUAAUCGUUAACAAAUAUUGAAAUUGGGUAAAUAAGAUCUUGAUAGUGAAGAAUUUGAAAUCACAACCCACACAGGAAAUCACCCUUCGCGUGGGGAUGGAGAUGUUUACUGCAGCGAUAUUGAAUAUGUCCACUGCUCUUUGGGUUAUGAUGCGACUUGCCCUGAAACAAUGGAAAAGAUUAACAUACCCUCCAAUGAAUGAAAACGGGUGGACUAAUUCUGAUUACCUAAUUGACUCAGGAUCGGCUGGUAAUAAUAACAGUUUAUUAACAAUGCACAGUCCGAGUACUUUUCCAGGAUCAGAUACGACGUGGUCUAAUGUUGAUAAUAAUAGAUUAUCAAAUGACAAAUCGUUGUUCUACUAUUGCAAGCCCCCAAAUUUAAGAAUCUUUUUCAGAAAUUAAAUACGUUCUGAGAGAUGCUGGUCUACUAUUGCAACUUGCCAGCCCCCAGAUUUAAGAAUCUUUUGAUGGUAAUUUAUCACCUGUAACUGUGCCGGAAGAUUCAACUAGCACUGAAAAAGAUGAUAAAUUAAUUGAUAUGGAGAGUUUCCAUAUCACUUUUAAAUCAUCUUAUGUAAUUGUGAUGUUAGGAAGCAUUAUUGAUCUGUAUGUGAAUUAUUAUUGGCGCCAUUGGUGGUUUUAUCUUGUUAAAAUAUGGAUGAAUUCCAGUUACUAUUUUGUUGCAGACAAUCUUCUUCAAUUAACAUAUAGUUUAAAAUCAUUAUGUAAAUCAAUCUAUUAAUUUUUAUGAUAUUUAACUGAGUUAAAACUAAGUGCACUCAAUAAAUCUCUUUUCCUUUAAAAAACGGUUACGCUUUGAUUUUAGUGCUUAAUAUUUAUUGAACUCCAAUACAGGGAAUUUGAAAUCAAACUCGUAACUACAUAUUAUCUAAUUGCAAGUUUCUGUCCAUAGCUGCUGAUUUGUAGUGAUUAUCUAAUUGACUGAGGUGACGACAAUUUUUUUUUUUAAUUUUCAAUAGCACAUUGUGGAAUUCAAUAAUUAAAUUCUCCUUUUUAAUUUGUUUCCAGUUAAAUUAUUAAUUACUUAAACUCUGUUUUAAGUCUUUAUGUUUAUGUGUUUAUGCAGAAUUGGAUUCUUGAGCGUGUUGGACACGACCAACAAUGAAAUUGACAGUAAAGAAACAUUACAACGUGUGGACUCCGGUAGAUGCCAUACAAGUCUACAACUUUACAAAUAAUAAUUGAGUAAGCAACUUUGAUUCUCGGGGCCCUUCAAUGAAUUUCUAGCCCCGUUGACUCCGCCAACUAAAGUUUUGUAAAAUAAAAAAAUACAUAGAAUUCCACCAAAUGCAAAACGCGUGGAAUUUAAUUUUCGGCCAUGUGGACCAAAACAUAAUUUAAUGAAAAAGGAAAAAAAUGAUAAGAUUUCUAAAAUAUGUGAAAGAUGAUCCAUAUGUUACUGAAACGACUUAUUAAAUUUUUCAAAAAUUUAGAAUAUUUAGUCAUAAAUUACGUGCAUGUUAAUUUUUCCGCCAUUGACUAUCAUAUUCUAAACUUAAUAGUACCUUUCUUGUUGAAGGGUACUUAGUCUCUCUUCUCCUCUUAUAAAAAUUAUAUUGAUGAAUUUCUUAUUAUAGUUAAUAGUCUUUAAGAACGGAUAACUUUAUUGUUUUCGUGACCAAAUUAUGUCUGCCUAAGGUUGUGACUAUUAAUAAAAUUAAUAUUUAAUGUUUAUGUUAAAAGAUAUAAGAUUUUAUGCGUUCAUUAAUUGUUAUUAGCUAAAGGAUGAAUUAUUUUUUCAACCCAAUCAGUUGAUGCAUCUGCAAGAAUUUUUUCUUUUAUUGACCCUAAUUAUGUUCCGGGUACAAUAAAUUGUCUUUGGUGCUUGGAAAAUAUGACUUCUUACUUCAAGUUUGAUAUGUCUCUCUCCAUAAACUUACUGGAAAUAUAUCCUCAUCUAUUAUCAUUUAUCUAAUAUCAAUUGAAGAUCGCACUUUUUCAAACUAUCACUUCCAAGUCUCAUUGUCACUUGGCCAUUCUUGGACCAUUCAGAACCAAUCAAGUGUUGAAAUAAUCAAAUAUAUGCAAAAUUAGAGUCACAAUUUUUGGUCCCCCAAAUUCUAAUUAUAUAACUUCUAUAUAUUUCAUUGCCAGGUCACGAACUUGUUGGCACAUUUUCCAAAUUCCUCUUCCAUCAGCUCUCACACGUUAACUUAAGUGGAAAGUUUCCAAGUUGAUUGCUAGAAAGCAACGCAAAAUCAGACACACUUGAUCUGUCCCCUAAUUCUCUUUUCUACGUUGAAAAAGAAAAAAAAAAAAUAUAUAUAUAUAUAUAUAUGUAAAAAUAAAUAAUAAACUGAGUAAAAAUACAUUUAUUUAAUUAACAUCUGAUCGGGGCAUUUUUGGUGUAAGCCACAACUAAAAUCAAACAGCCCCUUAGCAUACUUCUUCCAUUUUAUCUGCUACUUUUGUGGAUCUUAUAGGGUGGGCAUGUGGACAGAAUUUAAAAGUUUUAAUAGUCUCAAAGAAUAAGAUGUGUUAAAUCUAAAGUUGUUGCACCUUCUGAUUACCUUCUGAUUAAAUAAAGUUGCACAAUUUUACCAACUUGAAAGAAUUGACAUUAAUGAACUGGUCGCCUCUCCAUAUAUGAAGCCUUCUUAAAAGUUCAUUUUUAUUUCAGAAAAAAAAAGUUUAAGUUACAUAUAUUAUAGUAAGAUUUUUUUUCUUGAAAUAAUAAUGGAAAAGUAUUAAUUUAAAAAUAAAUUGAAUAUGUAUUGAUUAUAUCUUGAUUUUCAUCGAUUAUAGUGAGAGUUUCUCCAAAUCAAUUCCCUUAUUCAAAUAAUACCGAAAAAAUAGUAUUUUAAUAGUAAAAUAAACAGGUGUUGAUUAUAUAUUCUAAGGUUCAUCGAUUAUGUGAUCAAAGUGGCAUUGUUGAUUUAUUUCUUGUUCAAUGUUAAUUUUUAGGUUAUCUAAAUUUCAAGAAUUUAAAAUCUUUGAUCAUGGAUUACACGCUUAUUAAUUUUUCUGCCAUUGACUAUCAUAUUCUAGACUUAAUGAUACUUUUCUUGAUCAAGGGUAAUUACUCUCUCUUCUCCUCUUAUAAAUUCCUCUUCCAUUAACAUCACUAAGAGUAUGUUGAUCUCUCAUACGUUAACUUGAGUGGAGAGUUUCCAAAUUGAUUGUUACAAAACAACAAAAGAACUAGCCACACUUGAUCUGUCUAAUAAUUCUCUUUCGGUAAAAUUAAUUAAUUUUAGGAAAAUAUUCUGCCAACCUCUGUAAAUUCAGAGUGAUCAUUAAUUAAUUAAACGAUACAAAUAUCUAAAGUGAUUAGAUGUUUGCCGACAAUACAACCUUUGUGGCGAUAAUCGAACAAGUUCCCAUGAUUAUUAUUUUUCCAAAAACUUUUUUACAACAAAUUCAUCUCGCCAAAAAUUCUAUGUUGCUAACUAACAAUAAUUGAGCACUUGGCCGCAUUGACUCCACGUCUCCACCUCUUUCUAAAAACAUGGAAAUGUAAUUUCCACAAAAUGUCAAACGUGUGGAAUUUAAUUUUUUGCCUUGUGGAUCAAAAUACAAAUGAAAGAAACAGGAGAAAAAAAAGGCCCAAAGACUUCUAAAAGAUGAAGAAGUCUUUGGGCCUUCUUAUAAUGGUGAAUUUUUUAAAAGAAAAAAAUAACAACAUUUUUAUGGUUUGUUUUGAUAAUCAUAUUUACAAAUACUCUAAUUCUCAAAAUGGACACAUAAAUCUUUUUUUUUUUACAAAUAUAUAUUAUUCAUAUUUUUAUUUUUUAUUAUCAUAUUUUUAUUUAUUAUAAAUGUUUAGAGUAAAUUUUUAGGUUGAAAUAUAAUAAAAAGGUAUAAUCGUUCUCUUAUUAAACACACAUACUUUUAUUAGUUUCUAUCCAUUUGUCAUCUCAAUCUCUCUCAAUUAUUCUUUAUUGCGAGCUCAAAACGCGUUGUUGUUGCAAAUUAUAGCAAAAUGACAAAUAUGGAAAAAAAUGGAAGAAAAUUAAUGCAUGAAAGACUUGGAGAAAACAACAAAAUAAGCCAACUAUGAGCUAGUUGGGUGUAUAAAUUGUUAGAUGUGUUAUAUACAAAUAGCGUAGAGCCCUCUAGUUGGUUCCAGAGACAGAAAGAGCGUGUGUGUUUUUUCACAGUUAGAGAUAUAGUUAGAAUGGGUGGUUCAAAAUCAAAAAUGAUGAUAAUGUUUAUUAUGUUAUUAAUAAUAUUUAAAAGUAGGUGGAGUGAGGGAUGUUUGGAUCACGAGAGAUUUGCUCUUUUGCGAUUCAAACAUUUCUUCAAUGAUCGUCUUAAUUAUCUUUACGACUGGGUAGAUGGUGAGGGAGCUACUGAUUGUUGUCAGUGGGAAAGGGUUGAGUGCAGCAACACCACAGGCCGAGUGAUAGCGCUAGACCUUAUUGAUACGUAUGGGGGAGAGCACAGCUGGUAUCUGAAUGCUUCUUUGUUUACUCCUUUCCAACAACUUGAGUCACUUGAUUUACAUGGCAACAACAUAGCCGGUUUUGUUGAGAAUGAAGGUGCUUCAUUUAAUUUAAUUAAUUUACUUUCUCCCCCCUAAUUUAAGUUGAAUAUCAAGACCGAGCAAUGAUACGCAUAUUCAUUUAGUCGACAAUUUUGACUUUUUUUAAAUGAUUAAUUUUGAAAUUACACCAGUAUCUAUGAUUAUUUUUUUUAUUUUAUUUGCAGGCAUAGAGAGGCUAUCAAGAUUAAACAACUUGAAGGUGCUUGAUUUAAGUGAAAACUCGUUCAACAAUAGCAUCUUAUCAUCUCUAACUCGUCUUUCAUCAUUAAGAUCAUUAAAUUUAUAUGGGAAUAGAUUGGAAGGAAGUAUUGACGUUAAAGGUACAUAAUUAAAACUUCAUCCCUUCUCCAAGCUCUUUCAUUAACUUGCUAAAAUAAGAUUCAAGGCUUUGAAUUCAAUUUUUUUUAUGAUUAGUAUUAAAAAAAAAAACAGUUUUAAGCAAUUUAUAAAUACAAGUUUUAAUGUUUCUCAUAAUUUCAUCUUGUACUUUCAUGUGUCUUGAAUUUAAGAUUAAAAAAAAAUCUAAUAGCAAACCAAACACCUCCACAACUUAUUGUUAUUAUUAUUAUUAUUUGUGGUGAGGUUUGAAACAUUCAACUCAAUUUGUACUUAUUACAGAAUUUGAUUCUUUGAGAGAUUUAGAGGAGCUAGACAUUGGCAGGAACAAGAUUGACAAAUUUGUGGUCUCAAAAGGUACUACAAAUACCAUAAAAAAAAUGCUAACUUUUACAAAUUAGCUGGAUUCUUUGCCAUUUGGUUUAUUAUUUUACAGAUUUGAGUAAGUUGAAGUCUCUUGGUUUAAGUGGUGUCAAACUCAACCGUAGCAUCUUAUCUUCUCUGACUGUCUUUUAUUCGUUAAGAGAAUUAGAUAUAAGUGAAACCGGAUUCAAAGGAACAUUCGAUGUUCGAGGUAAGCCUAAACCCUGCUUUCUCAUUUUAUAUAUGCCAACUAGAUUUGUGUAUCAUCGACAUAAUUUAAUAUUUAAUUUGAUUAGUCUGAAGGAAUUACAUGCUAAUUUAAACAUACUUUUAUUUACUCUGUCAAUCAAUUAAUUAAUUAAUUACUAUUUGGCUUGGUUUGGACGAAAUUCUCAUGAUGUUUUAAUUUCUUUAAAUUGAUUAAUUAAUUAACUCUGUUUUUAAGUCUUAAGUCUGGGCAUGUUUACAGAUUUUGAUUCCUUCAAUAACUUAGAAGUGUUGGACAUGAGUGGCAAUGAAAUCGACAAUCUUGUGGUUCCUCAAGGUAAACAAUUAAAAUAUUAUUCAAUUACAUUAUUUUAAUUCAUUUGAUUAGGGAAGGCCAAACAGGUCCCAAAAAAUAAUAAUAAUAAAGAAACAGAUAAUUUGUAUUAAUUAAAAAACAAAAUGUAAUAAAGAUUUGAUUCCAGUUCUUUAAUCUUUAAAGCGAUUGAAAAACAAUGUUGCUCUUUUCCCAAAGCAUAAAAUACAAAUUGAAUGGCAAUUAACUUAAUCAUUCAUUUCGUUUAGCUCUAAAUUUAGACAAUGAAUUUUUAUAUUAUUUCAAAAACAGGACGUAAUAGAAUUUUUUAAAAAACAGAAUGUAAUAAAGAUUUGAUUCCAAUUCUUUAAUCUUUACAGUGAUUGAAAAACGAUACCAAUUAAAUUAAUCAUUUAUUUCGUUUAGGUCUAAAUUUAGAAAAAUGAAUUUUGAUUAUCUUCAAUCUUUUCUUAAUUAUUAUUAAUAAACAGGUUACAGAGGUUUGAGGGCUGAAAAGCCUUGAUCAUUCCCAUCCCUCAACACUCUUUACCUUUGGGAUAAUAAUUUUACAGAAACAGUGACUAGGCUAGCUAAGUGAAAAGGUACAGAUGUGGCCAAAUUUAUAAAUAAAUUGUUAAUUAAUUAAUUUUUCCGUAUUAUUAAUAAAGCGAAAUUCGUUGCUCCUUCCUUCUAAAUCUAAACAGAGUUGCACAAUUUCACCAACUUGGAAUAUUUGUCAUUGGACGAUUCCUCUCUCAAUUUAAGCCUUCUGCGAAGCAUUGCAUCAUUAUUCCCUUCAUCAUUAUUCCCUUCAUUAAAAAAUCUUUUUCUUCAUUAAAAAGAAAAGCGUUGAUUGUGAACUCACUCAAUGGUUUCCUACGUGUUCAACAUGUUUGUUUAUUUAUUUUAUUGUUUAAUGUUUCUGCUAGGUUUUCCUCAUUUCAAGAGUUUGGAACAUUUGGACAUGAUGUCCACGCGCAUUGCACUCAACACCAGCUUUCUUCAAAUCAUCGGUGAAUCGAUGCCUUCUCUUAAGUACUUAUCGCUGUCAGAUUCUAACAGCAGCAGGAUUCUUGAUCGAGGUUAAUCAGAUGCUCCCACCCUCCCUUCUUAAUCUAUAAUAUUAAUUUUCAAUUCAAUAUUCAAUUACACAAACCAAUCACUUAUUAUAAAUGAAUAAUACGCAUUCAUUAAUUUUUAUAUUGUAUUAAUAAUUGAUGAAUUUAAUAAAUUUUCAGGCCUCUGUUCGUUGGUGCAUCUACAAGAGUUGUACAUUGAUAAUAAUGAUUUAAGAGGUAGCUUGCCUUGGUGCUUGGCAAAUAUGACAUCCCUCCGAAUAUUAGAUGUUUCUUCCAAUCAACUUACGGGAAGCAUCUCCUCAUCUCCCCUCGUUCAUUUGACAUCCAUUGAAGAGUUGAUGCUUUCAAACAAUCACUUCCAGAUCCCAAUUUCACUUGAACCAUUUUUCAAUCACUCAAGACUUAAGUUUUUCUAUGCUGAAAAUAACCAAAUAAAUGCAGAAAUAACUCAGUCACAUUCUUUGAUCCCCCCAAAAUUCCAAUUAUCACGUCUCUCAUUGUCUUCCGGUUAUGAAGAUGGCGUCACAUUCCCCAAAUUCCUUUACCAUCAACAUGACCUGGAGUAUGUUGAUCUCUCACACAUAAAGAUGAAUGGAGAAUUUCCAACUUGGUUGUUGGAAAACAACACAAAGUUGAUACAACUUUCUGUCGUCAAUGAUUCUCUUGCAGGACCUUUUCGGUUGCCAAUUCAUUCACACAAGCAGUUAAGACUGUUGGAUAUAUCCACCAACAACUUCCGAGGCCACAUUCCAGUAGAAAUUGGAGAUGUUUUACCAAGUUUAUACGUUUUCAACAAUUCCAUGAAUGCUUUAGAUGGUAGCAUUCCCUCUUCAUUUGGUAAUAUGAAAUUCCUCCAAAUUCUAGACUUAUCCAACAAUCACUUGACUGGUGAAAUCCCCGAGCACUUGGCCGUCGGUUGCGUCAACUUGGAGUCUCUUGCAUUAUCAAACAACAACUUAGAAGGUCAUAUGUUCUCCAGAAACUUCAACCUGGCAAACUUGAAAUUGUUACAAUUGGAAGGCAAUCGCUUCGUAGGAGAGAUCCCACAAAGUUUGUCUAAAUGCUCUUCACUAGAAGGAUUGCAUCUUAAUAAUAAUAGUCUCUCGGGUAAGAUUCCACGAUGGUUGGGUAAUCUCACAUGGUUACAAUAUAUUAUAAUGCCCAAUAAUCAUCUUGAAGGCCUUAUUCCAGUGGAGUUUUGUCAGCUUGAUUCGCUUCAGAUUUUGGACAUUUCAGACAACAACAUAUCUGGAAGUUUACCAGCUUGUUUCCAUCCUCUCUCUAUCAAACAAGUUCAUCUUUCAAAAAAUAUGUUACAUGGACAGCUAAAAAGAGGUACAUUCUUUAAUUGCUCUUCCCUUGUGACAUUAGAUCUUAGCUAUAACCGCUUGAAUGGCAGCAUUCCGGAUUGGGUUGAUGGACUUUCUCAGUUAAGCCACCUUAUCUUAGGUCACAAUAAUCUUGAAGGUGAAGUGCCAGUUCAAUUGUGCGAAUUGAACCAACUACAAUUGUUAGAUCUUUCUAAUAAUAAUCUUCACGGUCCUAUUCCUCCUUGCUUUGAUAACACCACACUUCAUGAAAGUUACAGCAAUAGUUCUAGUCCUGAUGAGCAAUUUGAAAUAUUUUUUUUCAUCGAAGGCCCUCUGGGAGAUUUAAAAGAGCAAAUCCAUGAAAUUUUUGAGUUCACAACAAAGAACAUUGCGUACAUUUACCAAGGAAAAGUGCUUAGCCUCCUAUCAGGACUUGAUCUUUCUUGCAACAAGCUAAUCGGUGAUAUUCCUCCUCAAAUUGGAAAUUUGACAAGGAUUCAAACAUUGAAUCUAUCACACAACAACUUGACAGGAUUGAUCCCAUCAACAUUUUCAAACUUGAAGCAUAUCGAAAGUUUGGAUCUUUCCUACAAUAAAUUGAAUGGGAAAAUCCCUCAUCAACUUGUGGAGUUAAAGGCAUUGGAGGUUUUCAGUGUGGCAUACAAUAACUUAUCAGGCGAAAUUCCAGAAUGGGAAGCACAAUUUGCAACCUUCAACGAGAAUAGCUAUGAGGGAAAUACUUUUCUUUGUGGACUGCCAUUGCCCAUUUGCAGAUCACCAGCAACUACGCCGGAGGGUUCAAUCGGCAAUGAACGAGAUGAUAAUUUAAUUGACAUGGACAGUUUCUUUAUCACAUUUACAACAUCGUACGUAAUUGUGAUAUUCGGAAUUGUUAUUGUUUUAUAUGUAAAUUCUUAUUGGCGACGUAAAUGGUUUUACUUUGUUGAAAUGUGGAUAACUUCAUGUUAUUAUUUUAUUGUAGACAAUCUUAUUACAACAAGAUAUUGUCAUUGAAAUUAAUUAGCAGUUUAAUUACGAUUCUUUAAGUUCUAAUCAAGUUUGCACUUGAUCGCCUAUUUUACUUUAAAAAAUAAUGAUUAUGGUGCUAUCAUCAUCUUCUUCACUAGCAACAUUAACACCAAAUCCAGCGAUGGACCCAGACAUUUUAUCAAGAUAUAUAUAAUAAAGUUGAAGCUUGACAAAAAAUUUAGGAAGAUUAAUGCCUCGCCACAACAAGGGGCACAACAACAUCAAAGCAGAGAUGAAGCAAUAUUCUCAAAGCUAAAACUCUCCAAUCCACCCACCAGAAUUUCAUAUCUCCUCAACAAUUUUAAGAACUAAAGAUAAUUAGGAUAUAACAUUAGUUUUUUAUAUAUUAGUUUCAUAAUUUACAAAUCAAUGAAGAUGAAGAUUAUGUUAAUGAAUUCAAAUUAUACCAUACAUUCUCGAGAUGCUACCAAAAAUUUCUAAGUCAAUCCCACAUAUUUCAUAAUUUUAAGACUAGAAAAUUUCAUUAGGUAGAAGUUUCAUUACCUUCAAGUGGAAGAUGAAGAACAUUAUACAAUUGAUUCAGAUUAUAUCAUACAUACUCCAAAUGCAACUAGAAAUUAACAAGUUCAUGCGCACAGAUUUCAUAACAUUAUGAAUGGAAAGUUUCACAAAGAGAAAUUAUAAAUUCAAUCUCUUGCAUCAAGGUAGUUUGAUUGAUUUGAGUUACUUUCUGAUCAAGCUAUUAAUAUAACAUUCAAGUCAGGGAGAAAGUAAAUUAAAACUGGGAAGAAAUAACAGUAAAAAUUUGUUGCUAAACAUGAUGUGUAUUUUUUUUUUAAGGCAAUUUGGAAACACAGUUGUUACUACAGAUAUUCUCCUCAACUUAGAGAUAAUACAAAUAUUAAAAUGCAUAUGAUCGCACAUAUUACUUGGAGCUUAGUAAGAUUUCAUUAAGAGAAGCAAUCAAACCACUUAUCGUUGCAAUCGUUCUAUAAGCUAAAAUAGCAAUAUAAUACAAGAAAAAGAACAUAUAGAUACUUGGCAAGAGUUCAUUAAGAAGUCGCAUCACAUUCGGGUGAGGAGUUUGCUUCUGAUAUCUUGCUAGCUGCGGCUUUUUCUUGUCUUUCUACGUAUGCCGAGGGAAACCAACCAGCUUGGCCCUUGCAUUCACCUUCCGACCAUCCAGUAGGAGCCACCUUGAGAAGUUAUAACUAAAACAGUGAAUUAAACAACAGUUGACUGUUCAAAGACCUAAGGGGAAAUUCUUUUACGUAGGAGGAGUGAAUUAGUUGUGAUCACUGAAAUAACAGCAUAACUAUGGAAGCAUAACAAGAUAUAAAUUCACACGUCUAUAAGGGUAAACUGGGUGGUUUAGAACUGAGCUAGCAACCCUACUAUAUUCUGAUUUGCACUUCAAUGUAAAAGGGAAUAUAUGGUAGGAAGAAAGAAAACCAACCAUCAUUUGUUAACUCAUUGCUUUUCAAUCAAAAUUUUAAGAACAAAAUGCCAUGUGCUUUGAACAUCAAAUAAGUAUAAGCAUUAGUUCUAAAUUCCACAUAUCAUAAUUUAGAAGGAUAAGUUAAUAGCAUAGUAGAAAAAUCUAUGUGUUGUUAUUUAGAGGGGAAAGUACCCGGCGAACCACAACAUAAUCAUCAAUUGAAAGACUUAGCUCUCCAUUUGCUUGAGCAUCAAAUGGAUGUAUAACCUGCAAGAUAAUGGGAUAAAUAGAACUUAAUCUUAAAAAAAGCAUAACAAAAGCAGCAACAGUAGCAGCAGCGUUCAUUGUAACCACUAUGAUCAUGGCCAACAAAGAUAUAUUAGAAACAAAAUUCCAUUUUUACUACGACAUUAAUAUGUACUAUAUGAUAUCAUGACGAUUGGGUUACCAAGAGCUAUCAAAGUCCAAUAAGUUCUGUAGAACUUUAUGUAGUUAUUCAAAUUAUGGAUCAGAUUUUAAAUCUGAAAUUUUGACUGCUCUCCACAAAACAUGGCCUACGCACAAGAAAGUCAUAGAUAAUGAGGAUUACAAGUGGCUGACAUCUUUUGAGGGAUGGAUUUAACAUGAGAGCUUAUGGUCAGUCAAUUUCCUCCGCCUAGCAAUAUAAGCUUUCUCGGCCAGAUUUAUCAUCAAAUACAUAGAUUGCCCCAAGUCACAUCCAUAUAAACAUAGUUUUUCUAGGUAAACCAAGCAAGGAGAAUCAUAAUUCAGACAUAAUCAUAAAAAGGCCCAUCUAACUUAAGAGAAAAUCUCAAAAAGAGGGAUGUUGAGCUAUCAGUCUUGUAUCCAUAAGGAAUGUCAAGACUUUACAUCACCUGCUACAUCGUGAGUGGCUACACAACUUUCAGUGGUUUGUCUUUCUUUGGCAUGCCUAACUCAGCUUUGAUGUUGCUGAGAUAUUGAUAGUAGAGACACAUGAUACUUCUAGCUCAUGCAUUCUAUCUAGCUCAUCCGACAACUAUCUCUUUUUUAAUUCAUUAGUGUUUGCUAAACCUCAUGCUUAAAAGUCCUGUUGUUCUAAACAAAGUUUCCUAAGAAUGACUUCCUCAGCACCACAUUUGGACACUUUUAGAGCAAUUUUAUUUGGGGGAAAAGAAUUUUCAAGGUGUUAACUAAUAAAUUUUAAAAAAUAAUUACAAUUUGUCCUACAAUUAUAUGACAAUUUAUUUGGGAUGAAAGGAUACAGACAGACAUCUUCCACUUUCAAGACUAAUCACUACUUCCGUAGAUGUUUUGCAAUAAUAAAAAUACUUGACCAGAUGGUAGAAAAAAAUUUUAUUGCUCCAAAAUUAAAAUAGGAAUGCAAUAUGUUAAGCAAAAGACUGUGCAACAUCAAAUUAAUUGAUAAGUUUGUAAUUCAGUAAAUUAACAACUUUCAUGGUCAAAUAUAACAAAUUUCUUUUAAAAAAAAAUUAAAAAUAAAUAAAUCUUAAAAGACAACAUUCAAUUUUGUGCGCAUCUUAUUUCUUAAGAUUUUCCAGGAGGGCAAUAGAGGGACUUUCACCUAUGCAAUAGAGAGCAGAAGCCUUACUUUCGCUAUAAAGUAGACGUCAUUCUGAUUAAUAUGCGUUUGCAAAUCAGCUCCAUUUGAAUCAGUAUUCUGAUAGACACACGAGGCAUUUACAUCCAUUUCCAAAGUCACAUGUUGCGAGGAGGACUCAUUUGAUUGCUCCUCUAGGAUCAUCUAAUUCAAGUAGCAAGGGUUGGAAGAGAAUAAAAAGUCACAAUUAUUCUUUUGCAUAAGUGAGACGAAGAUGAUAAAUGCAAUAUUAUCAGCAGUAAUAACGUGUUGAUGAUAUGCUUUCUCAGCAUCUACCUGCAAAGGCCCGAGACCAGGAAAACAACAAUAAAACCACUAGCUAAAGGAGAAAGUAAAGAAAGAAAUACACUUGACAUAAAUCUUGACAAGAAGCACAAUUUAAGACAUAACAAACCCCAAUCAUAUUGUUUAGAACUACCAUUCGUUAUUUCGUUAUUGUUGCAUUUCGAACAAGUGUUGACUUAAUUCAACAUUGUUGGAAAGAUAGGCUUUUAGAAGCGGAAGAAAGCCACUCAAACCAAAGUGAUUGUCCUUGUAUUGAUCAAGGGAUGUAAACAUAUUACAUUUGCAGGAUGAGUUUUAAUCACUCCCCUGAUUUAUUUGGGUUGCAGUAAAACUAAGCGAGCAACUGUUUGACCUUCAAGCAACAUCUGAAUCAGCUAUUAAAAUUCAAAUAAAAUCAUAAUAGAAUAAUAACAGGCCAUCUUGCAUCAAAAAUUAAGUUUAAUUUGUGAAUUUUUUUCCAUAGACAUGUUAGCUCCUGCUAUUGAAAUGUUAAAAGCAUUGAAAAAUUAUUCAAUAAAUUAUGCAAACAUUAAAAUAGAGGACACAUUAAAAUGUUUCUAAUUACAAUGUUAAUAUUUCCUAUAUUUUAGCAUUUGAAUAUUUUAAUUUAUUUAAAAGCUACGUCGAUCAACUUUGGGCGUGAAGAUUUUAGCUUCUACGAGACUUGAUUGGAAUAUGCAUAAGGAAGAGUGUUAAAAUAUGAUGCAUCCAACGAAAGACAAACCACGUGUAGUCUUUUAAUUAAGCCAAAGUAGCAGCUCAAACAAAUGACACUUGGACCAACAUGCAAUCAUGAAGUGGCCGGAAAAAGGACAAAUGCAACUUUGGCUUAAAUAAAAAAUAACAUGUGACUUGACUUUUGCUGGACAUGCAUCAUGUUAUUACAAGACAACAGAAAUCAGUAUGAUAGUACUAAAAGUUGACAAUAACAUGAAGAUAAGAGGCAGAAUGUCAACACAUGCAUAGGCACACACAAGAAAGUAUUAACUUAUAUACCAUAGCAAAAAGUCUUUGAUAUGUCAUCUGUUGCUGCUGUGAUUCAACUGACAGCAUGGCAGCUGUUGCUUCUCUACCAAGAGCCAUUAUUGUAGAUUUAAGCUCGGUCAAUCUUGCUUCUGCAUUUCGAAGCUUCACAGCACUCUCUGCUGAUAUAUCAGAUUCCCUAAUCUUUGAUCGGCGCCUAAAUACUUCAGCUGCCUGGUGAAAAUAUUCAAUAUAAAUCUAACAUAAUUCUAAUCUUACCUGGGCUUCAACUUCAUGUCGAAGUUUGUCAUAACGAUGAGUCAGGUGUCGAGCAUCUUCCAAAGGUGCUCCGUUGAUUAACGCCCGUAGUGGCUCAGAUACCUACAUGUCCAAAAACCUGUAACAUAGUUAGAAAAAUGAAAAGAAAGAGCGAAACCUCAAUUAAAAAGUUCCUCCAACAUAAUCAUGGAAUUUGGGCCUACUUCAAGGAUAUAUAUAAGGAUAAUUUAUGCAAUUUUGGGUCUUAGGAUGAUUCAUAUUAGGUUAGUGUUCUUCUCUUCUGUAUUUAAGGUUAAAAUAGAAAUAAACCUAUGCAAAUAUAUAAAUUAGGGCUGUAAGACUUCCACAUGCAUCCUUCAGUCUCAUGGAUUUGAUUUUACUAUAGAUGCAAGUGUCGUUAUCGAAAAUGCUUGGAGUCAAUUGAGAGAACUCACGGCCAAAAACUUGUCACACGCUAGUCUUUGCUAGUGAUGUAAGAAGUCACAAGGUCUCUUCAACAUUUGAACCAAUAAAAUUAUUAAGUCAUGGAUGUCACUAGCAAUGAUUUUAAUAUAAAACAUUAAAUAUUUCAGAGUUGUAACUUUAAAAUGGAUUCUUUUAUUCAAUAUCUUAGAACUAAGUUUCCUUAUGAGAAGAUAAUAGUUUCAGUAGUAAUUUACAUAUAAUUUUCUAUAUUUGAAUUAUUUUCUAGUUAGGGAUGAACUAACCUGAUCACGAAGAAUCCCAAGCAAAGUUUCCCUCUCAUUUUCCAUCAAAUCAUGUGAAGUGCCAAAUUGAACAGCAGCUCUUGCAACGCAAGAAUUGUCACUCUGAUUCUCCGCUCCAUACUUGCAACAAUCUUCGGCCAACUUUCUCGCUACAAUAUUUGAAUACAAAAAUAUUGUACACAAGAACUAGUCAAGAAAAAAAAAAAAAUCAAAUAUUAUAACGAGAGCAAGAGCAAACGAACAACCUAUUUCCAUUUGUUUCAAGCUUACUGCAACAAACACUUCAACGCCACGGACAACAUUCCUCUGAAAAUGCUGCGCUACAGAGCAUAUAUUCCAAAUUAUUGUUCAGAUAAAACCAUAGAAACCAUCAUAAUUAUUCAACAUACAUUAAGCUCCGUUUGGUAAAUACUUGCAACUUCAGUCUAGAAAAUACAGUUAAUUUUUAUUUAAAAAAACAUCAUAAUUAUCAACAUACAUAUUUGACAAAAUUAUUAUUUAAAAAUCAUAACUAAUUACCAAAAGCCACAAUAAAUCAAUAUCAAACAGAGUCUUAUUAUUAGCUAAAGGAGGAUGGUGCCUUAGCUGCCCUGGUGGAAUUGUAUAGAUUUUGAAGUUGUUGGUGACACUCAAUUUCAGCUUCAUCAACCGCAACAUUUUCAAUGCCAAGAUGGAGCAGAUGCUUCAAUACUGCCUGUACAAACCAUAAAAAACUAAUGAAAAAUAAAUAAAAUCGAGAAAUUUCACUAAUUAAAAGUCUAAAUAAUUCAAAAACAAAAAAAGAAAAGAAACGGACUUGCUGCUGCUUGGCGACUUGUUCUCGGAGCUUGAUUGCCUGUUUCUUGAUAGCUUCCAUACUGUUUCUUUCAAAAAGCGACGACGGCUCAGCUCAUGGAAGUGGAAAAAAAAAAGUGUGAUCGAGAAAAAUGAAAAGGCGUGAAUAAUUUUUGACAAAAAGCGAAAAUCAAGGAAAGCCGGCUCUUUCCAGAAAAUAAAAAAGAAAAAAGAAAAUUAUAAGUUUGAAAGGAGAAGAUGAUAGUGGAAGUGUGCGGUGUGGCUGCCAGCUACUUGAAUUAUAAGAAAUUUUUUUUUUUUUUGGAGAAAAAUAGUAGAGAAUUUUUUAAGAAUCUAGAAUAACUGCAUCACUUCUUAAUCGCUUGCUUUAACUGCAUCGCUCUCUUUGUGCUCUUCUAUAUAUGUAACGGUUAUGCGGUUGUAGUUCACCACUGAGGCUACAUGUUGGUUUGACGUGGCAGUUACGUUACAAGGGGAUAAAUAAGAUUGGUUUCAACAAACCCACUAAUUUUAUAAAAUUCGAGUAAUAUAGAAUAAAAUAAAAAAAUAAAUACAAAAUGGGCUUUUACUUUUUAUGGUUGACUGUAUUUUGUGUUCUCUUCUGGCACUACUACAAUUGUUCCCUAUAUAUCAGUCACAGCCAUAUAUCAUUAACACAAGAAAUGAAAUCUAAUGUCACCUAUUUAGUUAAAGAAUCACUCAUGAAAAAAAUUUACCAUUUUGAUUUGAGGAUCCAUAUUUUGAACUGCAAGCUAAUGUUCAUUAAGAAUCCCUAAUGUUCAUAAAAAUCAGAGUAUGGCCAUUGAGUAGAAAAACUAUUUUUGGACAAAUUAUUUUUGUUGAUAGAAGAAUUUCUUAAGGGACUACUAAAAUUAUUAAUAAAAAUGUAGAACACACCCACAUAUCAUCGACACAAUUGACUUUGAGGAUCCAUGCUUUGAAUUGCUGCCUAAUGUUCAUCAAGAACAGAGUAUGACUUGUGAGUAGAAAAUUUUAUGAUUUUGGCCCGAAAUAAAAGGAAAUUAAAUUAGAUGAGAAUCUGCCACUUUCUCAUGAAGAAAGGCAUACGGAGCAUACCAUGGUACCAUACAAUACAAAGAGUCUCUGUUCUCUGGUUUUUCAAACUCUGAAGGGGCCAAUAUUCCCGAAUUCCCCCUUGAAAAUUCUGAUUACGACAUUAUCCAUCGCUUGACGCAAUCAAAGUAGCGACAAAGUUAUGAAAAAUAUGAGUCCUAAGUAAUUGCUAGGUAGGGUUCCUGAGAGUAAAAUUGUCCUAAGCAUUAUAUGCAUACAUGGUGUGGUACAUAGAGCACGUUGAAUUCCCCACUAUAACACAAACCCAGAAAGACAAGUAAUAACUCAACUGAUAUAAAGACAAAAAGAAGAUAAAAUGAUAUAGAAAAAAGAAUUUCAAAGAGACAGCAACAUACGAUAGACUGAAGCCACUUGAUCUGCUCAUUGAUUGCAGCCUUAAACUCGCAAAUAGUUACUGUACGCUAGUGCUCUAAGAAGUGAAAAUGAUGCGAGCCCUGAUUCCCUUUUGACUUCCAUUUAUUGUCAAACAUUCUAGUAAUACAAAAAAUUGUUUAGAUAUCUCGCUAUAAAUAUAGCCGUUUGACUGUCAUAAUAAAGUCACAAAUAACCAUUCAUAUUGAUCCACUGUCACACAACAUGCUUUAUGCAUACAACAACUGUAUGUAUACCAACUCCUAACCUUAUCAAUACAUUUGGCAAAAACUUAAGAAGAAAACUAUUUCUCCAUCUCUUUUUUGAAAUUUCACAAUAAACCAGCACAUUGUAAACGUUAUGUUGUAACCUUAUGAUAAAUGCUCUAGACUCCAAAUGAAUUUUAUAUAUGAGGGUUUGUUGCAGCAGAUAUAUUGACUUAUCAAGUAUGAAUCAUUGUCUAGAAGAACUAUCUUUAGAUAAAAGAACAUUAGAACCACUAUAGAAUAUCUUUAGGCUGCUGGUUCUAACAGGAAUCUGCGUGUGGCAACAAUUGCUAGAUCCACAAUUCCCCAACUUGAAAUACAUAGUUGCACACCGUGAGAUAGUGCUGCAAUCUACUGAGAUCUAACUUAUAUGAUAUUUUAAGCUACUAAUGUUUGCAUAUUUCUACAUGUUAAAUUAAGCAGCUUUUGGCCACUUAUUACUAGCAUCCACAAUUAAUUUUUGUUCAGUAAUCAGCUUAUUUUAAAGAAAUUGAUUUAGUCAACAAGAAACACUAUAAUCCUUGAAAUUAGUUCUUGUUCUUUGUAAUUAUGUAUGAUCUUUCAUACAUCAAUUAAUCUGCAGUACCAAGAUGAGGUUUUCAGAGAAUUGGGGGUGAACUAGCUAGGUGGUUUACUGUUAAAGAUAUAGUUGCAGCUGAGCUAAACAGAGUAGCUGGAGGUUGCUGAACAGUUACAUCAAAAGACGGGAUCAUAGUCUAUGCAUUGAACAGUUACAGUUGCUGCUACCAAUUGCUUCGGCAAAGAUCAAGAAGACUGAACGGGAAGUUAAUGCCAUCAAUGUCGUCUUCACUAUAGCUGCUGGGAAUGUAGGUGAACUUUCCUCAUUUGCAGCUGUCUAUACAUAGGCUUUUCCCCAGCUUAAGUACAAAUAAAUGAACCUGCCUUGAAGGCUUUAUUAUUGACCCCAAUAAGGAUUACUAAUUGAAGAAGACUAUACGGAGUUAAUCCCACACUCUCGUUCUCUCAAUUUCUUUCAGAAGUGCCUCUGAAAAUAGCUGCCAAACCGUUAGUCAGCUUGUAUACUCUGUUUUCUGGAAACAGAGCCCUCACUAACUGACUGUACAGAGUAAGUCAACAUAGCAUAUUUAAUCGUUUUAAUUGAAUUAUCUUCGCAGCGAUCAUCAACAAACUCAUCAUAAGAUAUUUGAAGCACCCAAGGACUAUCACUGGGUUUCUCUUCUGGUUGAUUUAUUAAUUAAUCAUAGAACGGUUGGAUACCCAGCGACAAUUAAAAUUAUUCGACUUCUGGAACUAGGAAUGAAGUGCAAUGAUGGAGCAAAAUUUACAAUGUCUCCGGUUUCUCCUGACCAUCGGACUUUUGCAGUGAGAACAUAUAACAAAAAGGCCUUCAUCAAAAUUUGUAGACUCCGGGUAUGGAUUGGAUUGAGUUUUUUGUUUGAUAUUGAAGAACCUCUUUACUAUCGCGAUAUAGAUUAUGUGCAAGGAGUUGUCUACUGUUCUUUGCCUUGUGCUAUGAUCGGUGCUCUUGAGACUGCCCUGAAACACAGGAAAAUACUUCGAUAUCCUCCGUUCGAUGAUGCAAAGAACCGGUUAAUGUAUGAUUAUCUAAUUGACUCAGGAUCAGGUAACAACAACAACAAUUUAUUAAUAGUAAUAUCACAAACGAAGAAGAUUUCGGAGAGGGAGAUGUAUGCGUAUACUGUUUACAGGUUUGAUCCACUGGGGAUGAAGUGGUCUCAAGUGGAAAGUGAUUUAUUAAACAACAAAUCGUUGUUCUUGGGUUAUACCUCAUGAUGUCAUCAAGUGGAAGAUGAAGAUUAUGCAAGACGAAGAUCGUUUGAUAUUGAAGAAUUUGAACAGAAAGCCCAUAGAAAGUACUUAAAUAAGCAUAUUCUUGUUGGGGUAGAAUAUUGAGAAAGGAGUUGUCUACUGUGUGUUGCGUAAUUAUGCUAUGAUCGGUGCUUUCAACAUUGCCCUGAAAACAGUGGGAAAUACUUCAUAUCCUCGACAUGAUGAUGAAAAAUUGGUUACCGAUUACCUAAUUGACUCAGGUGACAACAAUCCAUUAAUAGCACAAUUUGACGUGAUGCCGUUUAGGUAUAUGGUUUUCAAGUUUGAUUCAUCAGUGAUGAAGCGGACUAAAAUUAAAAGUUUAAAUGAUAAGUCAUUGUUCUUGGGCAUAUCGUCAUUACUACUUCCAGUGAUCAACGAUGAAGAUGAAGAUGAAAAUUGUGCGAGUUCAAGAUUACCAUUUAUCAUUACUUGGGAUAUUACUUCAACAUAGAUGGGGUUAUAAUUUACUCCCACGAACAUCAACUCAACUUUAUGAUUGGAGUGUCUCACCGUGACUCAGACAAAUUCUGAUUCAACCUCCUUCACCAAUGGAUUUUGAUUAGUUAUUUUGUGAUCAAGCAACUUAAUUAAACUCAGUUUGUUAGUCUAAUUUUAGUUUUACUGUGACCACUAUUCAAGGUAAGCGAAAGUUACAGAUGUGGCAAAAUCAAUAAUUAAAUUCAUAAAAUGUUAAAAAAUAAAACUUAUAAAUGUUGCAUGACUACUUACUAAUAAAUAAAUAAGUUAGAAUGUAGUUAUUUAAUUUUACACCAUAUUAUAUAUUAUUCGAUAAUAAUAUAAAAUAAAAAUAAUUAAAAAAUAAAUAAUUGAAUAAACAAAUAUGGCUUUCUAAACAGUAAAAAUUCUAGAGUUAAAAUUUAUAUUAUUAUUUUAUUUUUUAAAAUUGACAUUUUUCUAUUGUCUUACAUGUAUAAAGAUUUUGAGAGUUGAGAAGAAUAUAUUUAAUGAAGCUUGAUAACAUUUGAUGGGAUAGCAAGUAAGGGUAAAUAAGAUAUUUUUAUUUGUUAUUUAUUUGAAUUAUAUCUAUUUUGUUCAAGUUAAAAUACUAAAUAUAAAUUGGAGGUAGACAUUUUAACAGAUCAUCUAAGCUCUCAAAUCUGAAAUUUUGUGUAGAUUUAAAUUCAUAAUUUUAGUUAAUUUUCAUACAUUCAUAUAAACAAAUUUAUGAGAUUUUUCUUUUCAGCAUGUUAUAUUUUGAAACUUUCAAUGUAUUAUUCUAGCUUUAUUUAAACAAUUAAUUUAUUUAAAAUUUAUUUAAUUUUGAAUUUGAUCAGUAGUAAAAUUAUUUUUAUAUCAAAUUUUUUUAUUUAAAUAGUUCGUGGAUUGGACAAAAUUAAAAAUUUUUAAUCCACAAAAUGGUGGAUUAGAUAUGAAUUAGGUUAAAUCCACAUUCGAUCUGCAGUGGUAUGAAUUUGAUUUGGAUUGAAUUUCAUCAAUUCAUGGAUUAGAUUGGAUUGAAAAUUUAUUAUCCGUAAAAUCAUGGAUCGAAUAUGGACUAAUGUCCAAUCAGCAAAAUCCGAUCCCCGAACACGCCUCUAUCAAAAUUUUCAAGAAUAUGUUUUAUCUUACAAAUUUUUUUUAAAGUCAUAGUCUAAUGGCAGCCCAAUUUUAUAAAGUCACACACAACCAUUCUUAUUAAAUUAGCAAGAUCAAACACUGCACUGGAUCUUGAACAGAUCAACACAAGUUGCACAACUUGCGAUUGAAUUCGGCCAGAAACAAUCAACUCUUUAGCAAGAACAAUUAAUCAGAGUCAAGAAACAAGUUUAAUGAAUAUAAACCUAUAAUUGAAACAAACAUAGCCAAGAAAAAAAUACAGAUUUUACACGGUUCAGUUGUACCCAGGAUGGCACAACCUACACCACGAGAGAAGCUUUCUGGUGAGAUUUUAUUGAUGAUCAAAGAAGAAUCUUUUGACAAAGCUAAUAAUAGAGAUUUCAGAGAAUAAGCUAUGACCCUCUCUCCCUCUUCAAUCUCUCUUUAUUUUGUUCCCAUUGAUGACCCCAAUCUGCUUAGUUAGCCAGCUUUAUAGCUGCAUCAGUAACAAACCAGCAAACCCAGAUUGAGCAGAUUGACGACACGUGGAUAACGGCUUUAACGAACCUGGUUAAGAACUGCUCACAUGUUCGUCACGCGUAGGGAUGGCAAAUAUCCAAUUAUGGAUGGAUAAUAUCCAUCCAAACACAAAUCCAUAAUUAUCCAUAAUAGAUAUAUCCAUAUCCAUAUCUAGUAUUUAAUAUUGGACAUGGAUAUGGAUUUUAUCCAUAUAACUAUGGAGAUCCAUGGAUAUCCAUGGAUAUUUUAUUUUUAUUAUAUAAAAAUAAUAAUAUAAAAUAGUUAAAAUAUCCAUAUCCAUAUAACUAAUAAUAUAUAUAUAUAUAUAAUAAAAUGGCGGUCCGGUAGUCGGUGGCGGCGGUCCGGCAACUUUCCGGCAAAUUCCGGCGAAAUUCCGGCGACGGUCCGCGCGAUGUCCGACGGUGGUCCGGCAACUUUCCAGUGAAUUUCGGCGGAGGUCCGGCGACAUUCCGGCGUGGUCCGGUGGUGGUCCGGCGACUUUCCGGUGGAUGUCCAUUUAUAAUAUUAAAUUAAUAAAAUAAAAUAAUAAUUAUUAAUAGUAUUAAAUAAGUUAAAAAAUUAAAGGAUAAUUUUGAAAACUUUAGUUUUUAAUAUAAGAGGAAUUUAAAAUUUUCACUAGUUAAUAUAAUAUUUUUAUAAUUGUUUGUUUAUUAUAUUUUUUAUUUUUUAUUUUAUAAAAUUAAAAAUUUUUUAAACUUGUGUUGGGUUAAACGGAUAUUCAUUGGGUAAAAAUAAUUAUCUAUAUCCAUCCAUAUCCAUCUGGAUAUAAUUUUAAAAUAUCCAUUUCAAAAUCCAAAAAUUUUUGGAUGGAUAUUAUCCGAUCUAAUUGGAUAGAUAUUGUGGAUAUCCAUUAUGGAGCGAUCCAAUUGCCAUCCCUAGUCACGCGUGCUGCUUAAAUGAUGGCCAAAACGACUUCAAACAAAUGUCGUUUUGAGGCUUAUGAAUUACAAGUGAUAACACGAGCUUGUCUCAUGACUUUUAAAUGCAACAGCGUGCCCAAAACGCCGUCGUUUUACUCUGUUGAGUUUGAUUCAUUACUAAGCUUUACGACUGGCACUGGAGAAGAUGAUAAUUUAAUUUACAUGGACAGUUUUUAUAUCACUUUUACAACAUCCUAUGCAAUUGUAAUAUUGGGAAUUAUUGAUGUUUUAUUCUGUGAAUCCUCAUUGGCAAAAACUAGUGGUUUUAUCUUUGUUGAAAUGUAAAUGACCUCUCGUUACUAUUUUAUUAUAAACAUAUAGUUUCGUAAGUGAAACUACAUGUUUAUAAUAAAAUUAACAUAUAGUUUCGUUACAUUUCUGCCUCAUUAAGAUUCUCAAAUACCAGUCAGGUUUGCUUAAGAAAUAAAAUUUUUCCAUUAAAAUUGCAGUAGUAUUUCCAAGCAUAUCGCAUUUUCUAUGAUUUUUCAUAAAUUAAUUAAUCUGCGGUGCCAAUAUCAGAUUUAGUUUUUCAAACUAAAUAAUCAAGAAAGCAAACAUACAAAUAUACAGUUUAGAGGGGUAAACUAGGUAGGUGGUUUAGAUUUUAGAACUAAGCCAGCUACCUCACUAAAUUCCGAUUCGUACAGUGAACUGCAAGAAAUUGAGAAAACAAUGAAUUUAUAAUUUAAUAGAAUCAUAAGAAAACAAUGUAGUCAUUGCUCCAUAUAAGAUGAUGAUUUCGGAGAGGCACAUUGUUUUCAAGUUAAUUUGAUCCGUUUAUAAGAGAUGAAGUGGAAUCAAGUUGAAAGUUUAAAUAACAAAUCCUUGUUCUUGAGUUUUACGACGUCGUUACUCCUUCAAGUGGCAGAUUAUGCAAGUGAAUGCAGAAACACAAUGCAUCAUCCGCGGGGAUGAUACAUCAAAAGGCGGGAUUUGUUUAUGCCUGCAGAUUAGCAAUUUCACUCAUAUAGAAAAUUAAUUUUUUAUAUAUACUAAUCAACACUAAAUUGAUUAUGUGUUGUAUGUUUAUAUGCUAAUCAACACGAAAUUAUAUUGAAUUAUUAACAUUCAUAUUCCUAAUAAAAAUUAUUUUCCAUCAGUAUUCAAAAUUUUCACUUAUGGAAAAUGCGUUUUAUGUGAAUACUAGUUAUUGUGUAAAUUUGAAUGAUAGCGAAAAAUAAACCUAUUUGAAAACUGUAAGGGUGUGUUGGGAUAUUUUACAACUGUCGGAAUCUGGUAGGAUAUUGCACCAUUUGCCCAAUAUUUUUAGACGUACUCUAACCGGUAUUCAAGAUAAGUAAAAGUUACAAGCGUGGCAAAAUAAAAAAAUAAAAUUUGUAAUUUGUAAACGAAUUUUCCUGACAUGUAUAGUAGAUGAAGUUGUUGAUCCUUUCUUUGGAUUAUUUCAGCUCUGGUUGUUGGUCACCGAUGAGCCGAAGUCUUAUUUUAAUUUUAUUUAAACUCAUCAUAAGAUUCGUGGAGCACCUAACUAACUUAACUGACUGUGCAGAGCAUCUCAACAUGGCAUAUUUAACCAUCAUUCAAGUGAUGGGUUUAAUAAGACUGCUUUUGUUCUAUCAACUAUCAAGUUCCUCUGCCUCUAAGCAGAAUUACUAUUGAAGGGCCAAAAGGAAAAUGAAAACGUGUGAGCUCCAACAACCACCCCACAAAUUCAAUGACGAUGCUCGGAGAGGGUUAGGUUGGGCCUCUGAGAAAAAAAAAUUAUUUAGUUAAAAAGUUACCCUUAUUGAAACCUGUAUAAAAAUUUUAUAUUAAUUAGUUAUGUUGCCUCUUCAACUAUGAUCAAAUUUUUAUCCGAGCUCAUCAUUUAAUGAGUAAACAUGUAUUUUAAUGAUCUCAAUUAAUAUUUAGAACAAAUAUUUUAAGAAGUAAAGCUCAUUAUAUCUUCCAUUAUUAUGUAUUUCUUUAAUUUCUUAUUUACAUAAUUAUAUUGUACAUUAAAAAUGUAUUGAAUUUGAAGAAAAAAAAAUUCAACUCACUCAAAAAAAAAAAAAAAUGCUGGUAGCUUCGUAAUAAUUACUGUAUUGACUGCACCAGAUAAAGUUUUGUAAAAUAAUAAGUUCUCAUUAGUGGUUUUUAAUUUUUUUAAUUUUUUUUUCCGGCACACCUGAUCAAGAAUUCUAUUUUGUUAACUAAUCAAUUGCAAAGCAUAAGUGUUGAACGGCAAAAAAAUUUAAAAAAACACUUAAAACGUGGGGAAAUGAGAAAUAUAGAAAGAAAGGAAGAAAGUUGAGACAUGAAACUGAUCUGCAGUGAAAUUGAUAAUCAUGUUUCUAUUUCGUUAACUAAUCAAACGGAAAACUGAAACUGUAAACAAACAUUAACACGUGUGGACUCUGCUAGCUGCCCUACAAGUCUACAAUAGUAAUUGAGUACCUUUGAUUCAUCCUUCUAUGAAUUUCUAGCUGUAUUGACCCCAACUGCUAAAGUUUUGUAAAAAAUAAAAAUAAAAAUAAAAAAACUGGAAUUUCAACAAAAUUCAAAACGUGUGAAAUUCAAAAAUGGACUUUGGCCAUGUGGAACAAAAUGUAAAUUAAGGAAAAAGUAUAAAUCUCAAUUGCUUAGUAUGGUUAGGAUUUUGUGAGCAUCACUAAAAAGUGAAAACUAUGAAUGAUAGAGGUGAUGUUUGCAACAUGAAUAAAUGAUGAACUGAAUCAAUUGAUGAUCGUAAUUACAUAAUGAACAAAAUUUACAAAAUCAACAAAAGUUAAUAAAAAUUUAUUUAAAUAAUAAAAAAUCAAUAAAAACUUAUUAUUUAACGACGCUCUAACCAAGGAGUAUCAUAAUCAUAAUCUUCUUUUAAGAAUUAUAACCUAUUUCAAAUAGCACCGCAAUAUAAUUCUAGAUAUUUAAAAGAAAAACAUUAUCCACCUGGAAUGACUUGAAGUCUAAAGAAAAAGAGAGAAUGGCUCCCCGCAAUUUUCUUGUCUUCGGUAUAUUUUCUUUUUUAAAAUCUUUUGCCGCAUACAUAAUCUACCCUUGUUUAUUAUCUCCACUUUGAUCUGUUCAAGUCCAUUUUUUUCAAAUCUUAUUUUAAAUAAUAAAUUGAAUAAAAGUAUAUUUUUGUAAUUAAUUAGUAUUUGAGAGAGGGGAGGGGGGGGGGGGGCAUAUUUUUUGCACUCAGCUAUUAUCAAACAGUUCCUUAACCUAUUUCUCAGUUUAUUUGCUAUCUUUGUGGAUCUCAUGGGCGUGGCAGAAUUUAAUAAUUUUAUUCGUCUGAAGAAUAAGAUAUUGGCUUCAAUAAAUUUAAACCAACUUUUAUUUACUCUAUCAAUUAAUUAAUGCCAUUUUGUUUUAGAUUAGAUUCUUUUAAUGGCUUAGGUACAUACACAGUACCAGAUCCGGAUCCCGGAAAUGGUGCUCUGAAGGAAUGGAGGGAGAAGAAAAGAUUUACAACUGAGGAUUGAGAUCUGGUCUCGUUGCCUCAGAGGAAUGUACAGAUUUUAUGGCAGAUCUGAUAAAAACCAGUCUGCAAACAUGCUUUGAAGAAAGAAUUAGGCGGUUUCUGUAAACAAUUCAAUUAUGACCCCUUUAAAACUUCUACUUCCAAAGAUUGUAAUGGUGAGUGUUCUAAACCUCGCAAAAACAUUACAAAUCUAGAAAUUUUAGGAAACCCUUUCGUAAUUUUAGAGAACUUCCUUAUAAGAAACCUUCGAGGCCUUAUAAGAAACCCAAGUUCCCUAAAAAAGAGUUCAAAGCCAAACCAAAAAACUCCUUUCACUCCUUUCAAUUACAAAGAAGCUAUAUGUCACAGAUGUGGCAUGAAAGGUCAUACUGCAAAGUACUGCAGAAUGAACAAAAAGCUUCAUGAGCAGUUCGUCAUAAGGGAUUCGGUUAUCAUACAGGGUUUUAAUGGAAUUUCUAACCUUCUCUCCAAGGAGAGUUGGUAAUCCUGCAAGGAAUUUUUCUUUCCAAGUUGUAUGAUUAGCAUCAUCCCUAAGGAAAAGACGAGUGAAGAAAGUGGUUUUAUAGCUUUGGAAUUCACUAAGUUUCCUACAUCUUAAAUUAUGUAGUAACUCAGCGUUUUUAUCACGAAGAUGAGAAGGAUCACCAAUUAAAUGGAGGGAAAUUGUCAAAAUUAGAGUAGCAACGGCAUCCUGGAUUGGAUUGUUGAACUCAUCAAGAAUAGGGGCUCCAUUUUCAUCGACUUGUAUAGAAUUUAGAAUGUCUAGUUGUUGCCGAUUAGUGAGAAGAUGAUCCCACCAACCUUUCAAUUGACCAGUAAAACCGGCAAUGAGGAUUUCUGAUAUGGCACGAUCAGAAGUUCCUGCUUGGGUUUUAUAGGCAUUGGCUGCCAUUGUCAUUUGUUGCAACAAUCCUAGAAUAUUAUACUCGGACAUACCAUCAAUAUUCCACUCAUAGACUGAGGAUGCAUUAUAUCGAGAUUGAUUUAAUGCACUUGGUCUAUUAUCUAUUGCUAGAUCUGGUGGAGUCUUGACAGUGGGAAGGGCUAUUUACAAAAGGAUUUAAAUUUUCAAAGAAUUGAAAGUCAAUUACAAAGUGAUUUUGUUCAAAGAAAAAUCUCUGAUUUCAAAAACCUUAUUGAAAACGAAAUCUGUGCUGAUUUACCAUCUGCUUUUUGGAAUCGAAAACAGCAUUUAGUGGAUUUGCCAUAUGAAAGUUCUUUUGAUGAAAAACAGUAAGAUUCCACUCAGGGAUUUUCUUUCUAACAGUAAUAGGGUUUGACUCUUUGAAUGGAUAAGAGAUGUUGUUCUCCGAAGAAUAUAUUUCGAACCAAUCAAAAAACAAUAUAUGAAUUUUAUGAAAAUUCACAAAUUCAUAAUAAGUUUGUUGGAUUUCUUUUCUUUGAUUUAAAAAAUGUUUGAAGAACCAAAUUCUUUUUUCUUUGUUCAAAUCUGAAUAAAAAUCAUUAUGAAGAAAUGCUUUAUCCAAUUCAAAAUCUUUUUCGAUGACAUUAAUGACAUUUUCUGUAACAGCAGAAAAUGUAGGAGAUGUUGGAGGAGAAGGUUCCUUCUCUUCCUGACUUUGUACCUGUUGACUACUAGUGUAGAUCGGAUGAGGAACACUAGUGGUGUAAUCAACUGAAUGAAUGGAGGUGCUAGGUAAAUCUGAAGUAGAAAACCUAGGCUGACACUUUGUAUUUUGGAAUGGAUGAUUUAUAACAGAAGGUACUUUUGUAAAUUUCCUUUCUAGUGAAGGAAUGCUUGAGCACGACUCUUUAUCAGAAAAUCUGUGAGAGGUAGACCUUCUGAAUGAUAGUUUGACUUUACCAUCGGAAUACUGAGUCACAUUUUGCAACUCUGUAUUGGGCUCAAGUUGUUUCGGAGUCACCUGUGGGGCAGCUCCUUUAAGGAUCCAUUCUUCUGGAAGAUUAACAUCUUUCCAUUGGAUCGGUUUUGGAAUGACAGUGUUUGCUUUGGACAAGUCAGUCUGCAAGAGAAGAGUUUCAUCUCUUUUUGACUGGAAUUUAUGUUGCGUACAAAACGCAGAGACCAUAGCUUUAUAUGAAAUCUUGAAAAUCAAAGCAACUGGGAUGGACCCUUUAACCAUUUGGUAAUUAUGGGUUUUGAUUUGUAAAAUCAUGCUUUUUAAAAUGUUUUUGUCUUUAAGAGAAGAAAUUCUUUUCUUUUAAUUUCUUUAAAGAUUUUUCUGAAAAUAAAUAAAUUGUUUCAAAAGGCUCUGAAAGAGUGGUAUCACGUUCUUCAGUUUUUAUAAUAUAAUCACUUUUUAAAAGAUCAAGCAUUUUUGUUUUGUAAAUCUUUUCUUUGGAAAUUUUUGGAAGUUCCCAACAAUCAAUUGCUUUAUCAAAGUUCUCAAUAAUGAAUUCUUCUGAACUCACAACAUGCUUUGAAUCACUAGUCUUCCCGGAAGAAGAGCUAGAAAAGGACGAUGUUCUACCGAGUAGAGGAUCCAUGUCCAAGACCUUAUGGUCUAUUUUUGGUUUGGUCAGAAUGGCUACAGGUAUGGAUUUACAGCCCUCAGCGGAUAGCUAGAUUGUGGGGUAUCAGGGGCUAUUUGAACUUUGCUAGAUGAGGAAGAAGCAGCUUCUAUCCGAUCUAGUUGUUCUCUAAUGGCUUUAGCAAAAUCUGAUUUUGACUCUUGGACAAGCUUUUGGCUAGUUUUCGAAACCUGAAAAGGUUUGAAAAUAGGUUCCUUAAGCUUUUUAUCAGAAUCCGAUUUUGUUUGAACAGUAGUUGAUGAAACAGUAAUGGUUGACUUUUGGAAUUGGUUUUCUAUCCUAGUCAACUGCUUUCCGAUUGUAUUUAAGUUAGUAUUACAGAAAUUGUUCUGUUGGAUAAUACUACUUAAAUUUGCCUCGGAAUCAUUUGGUUUUGGAAUUUUGUAAGGUGAUGCUCUAAUUUCGACAGGAGGUUCACCAUGAUCUAUGGUUAUACUCCUAAGAGGUGGAUGCUCAGACUCGAUGGAUCAUUCAUUUUUAAAGAAAAUCAAUGUUUUGACUAAAGACUAAGAGACUUUUCUUGAACUUGUAAAACAUAUUUCUGAUCCAAAUCUUCAAAAAGAAUAUCUUGAUAAACUUUUGAAAACUUUGGAUUUUAAUAAAGCCGAGACUUCUAAAGUCCCAAUUGUUAAAAAGAAUUCUUAUGAUCUUACCCAGAUUUUAGAUAAAAAGAAAACAAAGAAGUCAAUGCCCACGAUUCAAGAUCUUCAAAAAGAAAUCAAAGAGAUUAAACUUGAGAUUAAGGAUUUGAAAGAAAAACAGAAAACUGAUUCUGAAACUAUCCAACUCCUUUUACAAAAGCAUUUGGAUAAUGAUUCUGAUAAAGAUGCCGAUUCUGAUGGUGAUCAUAAUGACCAAAAUGUUGAUAAUAUUGAAUCUAUACCAAAUGAUUUUUUGUUUGUUUUAAAACAAAUCACCACCAGGAAGUAUUUAAUUAAAAUCUCUUUAAUUUUUUCCAAAGAUUUUGCUAUCGACGCCAUUGCCCUUUUUGACACUGGUGCUGAUUUAAAUUGUAUAAGAGAGGACAUUGUCCCCAAAAGAUUUCAUGAAAAGACAAAAGAAAGCCUUCUGUUCAAACACCAGUCACUAUCAAUAAAAUGAGCUGUGAUCACCAUGUAGCUCAUGUUUUGAACAGAAGUCCAUAAAUCAGUGGUAAGAGACACUCGCUGUUUGUUGUUGCAAAUCAAACUCUUCAACAUUAUCUUUUCUUCCAAAAAUAAAUCCAUAACAUCCCUACCAACAGUUCUCCGAGAUGGCAUAACAAACUGUGGAAUGGCUACACUACAGAAAUGCCUGAACCCUUUGUUAUCCACAAAACUAAGUGGCAACUCACCCAUAAUGAUCAUUUUGGUGACUGCCCUUCUACAAGCGUCUUGACUCCACCCUUUAGCCAAAACCAUAUUACUUGCAUUUCCUUCCCCACCCUCAGUUGUCAAGUUUUGUUGACUUCCCUCUUGUUGUUCCCGGAAUGUCUUGUAUGCAAGGCAAGCCAGUAUAUGAUUUCUCAUAUUUGUAAUCCCAUCACGCCUUGAAUGACAUUGAUAUUGUCUACCACAAUAGUUGCACUUGCAUUUGUUUGGAUUGUCCUCGAGCAAAGUAAAAUGAUUCCACGUCGCAGAUCUUUUCUUCAUCGCUGGUCUUUUCCGCUUUGCCUUUUGAGUUCCUUCCAUUUGAACACUUUGAUUGUCAUCAUCACUUAUUGAAUUCGAUCUUGAGUGUCCAGACAUCUAAACAUACAAAUAAAUAAUUAUUAAUCAUUAAUUCAUAAAUUAAAACACAAAAAGACUAUUAAAAAAAUCUACUUAAUAGUUAGUAUUACAAAUUGAUUCAAAUAAUUGUUAAUUUAAUUUUAUGAAACUUUUUGAAAUCGAUAUUUCCAAUUUUCCACCAUAAUGUUUAUAUAUGAUCAAGAAUUCAAGAUGCAUAUGCCCACAUUAUAUGUAGUUAACCACUUAAUAUUUACUUAUUGGUUAAUGGUUAUCAUGCAAUUAAUUAAAUUGAUUAAUUAUUUAUUGAAGUUGAAACUUAAAACUACUGCAAUUAAAUUGGUUAAUGGUUAAUUUUUUGUUGAAGUUGAAACUAUUCUACAAAUACACAUAUCAUAUGACAUAUACAAUUAUAAUUUAUAUUGUAACAUAAUAUUUAAUUUUAAUUUUUAAUCUAACAUUAUACUAUUCAUACAAAAAAUCAAUUAUUAAUUAAUAACAGAAAAUUAAUGCCAGAUUAUUUUCAUUUUAUUGAUAAAAUUUAACAAUAUAUAAUUAAAAAUUUAACAUACAAAAUUACAAUUAACAUUUCUCAUAUAACAUAUAACAAAUAAAAAUUAUAAUUAAUCAUUAAUGCAUAUAUAAUUAUAUAAUAUAUACCAUCUCUUAAAUAACUUUAAAAGCCGGAUUUGCUGUCUUGCACUCUUGCUUUGCUUCUUAUUCGGGCUUCAGCCUUCAAGCCUUCAAGUUCCAAUUCCAAACUUCCAAAUUUCCAAUUCCAAAACAGAGAGUGAAGAGAGUCAGAGAGACAGAGACCUUUUGAGACUGGAGGCUGGAUCCGUGACCCGUGAGGCGUGACCGUGAAUGGGUGUGGUGGCCGGAUGUCAACACUCAACAGCCGUGACCCGUGGAUGCCAAUGGUGGAGACUCGAGUAGAUCGGAGGUAGCUUGCUGGGUGGAUCUUCAAUCGGACUGAGUUAUGGUGGAGUGGAGGAUUCAAGGCGUGGAUCCGGCGCUUGGUUGCAGCAGAUCUGUAGAUCGGGUCACGAUCUUCGCGAAUCAGCUUCGGCUUCGGUUGGGGUCGUUCUCGGAAGUGGUUGCUGGCUGCGUGUGGUGGCCGGUUGAAGCUAGCUCCGUGAACUGUGCGUGUGUGUUUGCUGCGCGUGGUGAGUGACGAAGGCCGUGACUCCGUGAGGCGUGAAUGAGCGUGGGACAGUGGGUUGGCUGCUGCCUGCUUGUGCUUGACGGCUGCUGGUUUCAGUGAUUUUUGUGUGACACUGUGACAGUGAGGGUUUGUGAAUUGUGAUAGUGAUACCGUGAGUGAGGGUUUGUGACUGUGAGUUGUUACUUGUUACUUUGCUUAAUUGCUUUGCUUGUGUUGUUUUCUUGGUGAAUUAUUGAAUUGUUUUGUAACUUUUGUUGCGGUGAAUACUGAAUAGUUUGGAGUGAAUUGACUGAAUUCCUGAAUUGUUUUGUUGCGGUGAAUACUUUGUGAAAUGUGAAUUAUUGAAUUGAAUUGUGAAUUACUGUAAAUCCGUGAGUCUGUACUCUGUACUGUGAUCUGUAUUUUGUUUCUGUGAGAGUGUGAGUUACUGAUUCAAUGCAUGUACUCGUGUGAGAUGUGAAUGUGCCAUGUGUGUGUCUGUGUGAUAUUGUAAGUGUAAAUCUGUAAUUUUUGCCCACUUUUUUUUUUUGUCUCAACCCGAUCGGGUUUUCGGAUCGGAUCGGGUGAAACCCGAUCCGAUCAUGAUCCGAUCGGGUUGAGACAAUUUCACCCGAUCGGGUUUUGUUGACCACCCGAUCCGAUCCGAAUCCGAAAUUUUUCGGAUCGGGUCGGGUCGGAUAAUUUGCCCACCCCUACUUCUAGUUCUAGAUGAAAUUGAGAGAGAGAGAGAGAGAGUGUGAGAGAAACUCUGAAAAGCUUCAAGAAUAAUAAAGCCUAUGUACAGGCUGCUGUUCAUUUAUUUGUACAUAAGCAGGGGAAAAGCCUAUGUAUAGACUGCUUCAAGUGAGGAAACUACACCUAACUACCCAGCAGGUAUAAUGAAGAAGACAUUGACGGAGGUUGGUAGCAGCAACUUUAAUUGUUCAAAGCAAACACGUACCUUUCGUUUCUCAUAAAACCUUGUGAGGUAAUGCUUUAGAUGACUGGCAUGCAAUAUUGUCAAUGACAAAAUUUAAUGUUGCAUCCUGCUGAUAUUAGGUUUAUUAAUAGUUGCAGCCUUAGGCAGGCAUAAUUUGGUCACGGAAACAAUAUAUCCAUCCAUUUUCAAAGGAUAGUAACUGUAACAAUAAAUCAAUUAAUAUAAUUUUUAUAAUUGGGAUAGCAUUGAGAAAGUCAAAAUUCAUUGUCCAGAUUUAGAUUUAAACUCGCCAUAGAAAGUUUUUACUUUCAUUCAAUAUCACAACUACAUUUGGGGACCACAAGACAGUCAAUUUUGAACAGAGUUAUAGUUAAUGAGUAAUUUAAAUUCAAACGCAUGAAACGUGAGGAUUUAAUUAUUGAUUUUUUAGUUUUAGUGUCAUUGAAGAUCAUAGAGGGAAAACGAUCGGUAAAAAGAUUGUAGCUUGUUUACAAGAUUGGGGGAUAGAGAGAUUGUUUGCAAUAACUGUUGAUAAUGCCAGUACAAAUGAUGUUGCUGUUAAUUAUGUGACUAUGCAAUUACUUGCUUGGAGGAAUGAUGAUGCAAUUGUAUUGGCGGGUCAGUAUAUGCAUGUGCGUUGUUGUGCACAUAUUUUGAACUUGAUUGUUGUUUCGGGGUUGAAUGAAUUGCAUGCUAGUGUUGCCGCCAUCCGGAAUGCUGUGAAGUAUGUGAGAUCCUAGCGGCAGCUAUGGUGGUACAAGUUAUUCUCCUUAUUUUACAACUGAUGUUGGUUUGCCGGAGGGUCCUAGUGGUGAUGGUGAUGACAUUUUCCGAGUUUCUCGCCCUUUCUUUGGGUAUGCUCAGAAAGUGUUUGUUCAGAAUGAGGGCAAGAGAGUAGUAUCUGAGGUGGAACGAUAUUUGAGUGACCCAGUUGAAGAUCCGAGCAAUCUUAAGCUCAAUGUUUUGCUUUGGUAGAAGGUUAAUGGAUCGAAGUAUCCGAUAUUAGAGAAAAUUGCAAGGGAUGUCCUCGUUGUUCCUGUUUCCACAAUGGCAUCUGAAUCUGCCUUUAGCACAGGGCGUCGCGUCAUUGACGAAUAUCGGAGUUCUUUGACCCCUUGUAUGGUUGAGGCAUUGAUAUGUACCGAAAAUUGGUUACAAGCUAAACUUUUUGCUAAUCUUGUCUACAACCUUCAGGAAGAUAUUAAAGAGCAGAUAUUCCAUAUGGAGCUACAAGAAGGUAAUAUUUUUCUCAUACUUUAUAAAGUUAAGAUGUAUUAUAACUUUAUAAAUAGCAUCUACAUGUACUUAAGUUACUUACUAAUUUCAUUUUUUUUUUGACAUUUUAAAGAGUUUGUAAGAUCACAAGCUUCAACGGUGGAAACAGUGAGCGUUGAUAUGGGUGUUAUGGAUAUUUGAAAGGUAAUUCUUAAUAUAUAUUAUUAUUUAUAAUUUCAUAUUAUAUGUUUAGGUUGUAAUUUACACUAUAAUAAUAGACAAUAGUUGUUAUAGUUUUAAUUUUUAAGUUUUAAUUCAAAUUGUAAUAUUAUAAUUGUUUUAUUUAUUUUAGACACAUUGAAAUUGAUGGAAUGGUAUUACUUGGGCAUAUUUUUUCAAUUUUUCCCUAGGGGAUAUAUGCUUCAAUUCUUCAACUUGGAGUAGAAGAAAUUGAAGUUAAAAGUUGUCAAAGUGCUUGCGAGGAAUGGUGGAGCCGUGGAGGAAGUUGAUCUAGAUUUACAUUUAAACUUUGUUGUGUUUUGGAUUUUGGAACUUUGUCAUUUGUGUUUUGGAAAAUGGAAACUAUUUAAUUAUGUUUAAUUUUGUGUUCUAAAGAUUAAUGUUUAGAUUUUAGAAUUGGAUAUUGCGCUUUGGAUGGAGACUAUUAAAUUUAAACUUUGUGUUAAUUUUAAUUUUAUGCUUUGUGUUAAUUUUUAAUUUUGAAUCAUUUGAAUUUAAUUCUAGAGUAGUUUUCUUUUUUUGUUGGUUGAAAUGAAUGGAUGGAUAAAUGAGGGAGGACAAGGAAGGUGGGAGAGAAAUGUCUUAGUUAGCAAGGUGACAAUAGUGGAAAAGAAACCAAUUGAAAAAUUUUGAGAAAAAAAGAAGAUUAGAAUCCAGCUUAGAUUAUUUGGAAUUUUGGUUAGAAUCCGUGCAUAUAUUAUUUGGAAUUUUGGAUACCAUGCAUAUAUUAUUUGGAAUUUUGGUUAUAGGAUGCACAUGAUAGUUCAACUUUUUUCAUUAUUAAAUGGCAGAGGUAUGAGUAUUUGUUAUAGCUUAAAGCAUUGAUGACAUACUCCAUUGAAGAUUUUUCUUUGUAUUGACAAGUUGGGUUGGUUUUAAUAGUCUGCAAGUGCACAAAUUCUGUUAUUGCCAGAAUGUGAGUAUUUCUUUGUAUUGACAAAUUCUGCAAGUGCACAAGCCACAAAUGCUUGUUUUACAAAUGACAUGCACGUUCAUGUUGUUAUUGCCACUUUGCCAGAAUGAAAAUGAAUCAAUCCCUUACGUUUGCUGUGUUUGUCUUUUGGAUUAGAUAAAUGUUGUCAAAGUUUGGUUAAUUAUUAUAACUAAGUAAUGAAUCAAUCCCUUGUUUUAUAAAUGUUGGGCAAUAAUGCAAAUCUUAUGUCCGUCUCUAUAAAUUUUUUUAUACAUGUUGUCAAAUUUUGGUUUCUUUUAAACGGUUGUACUAUGCCUGUAUCUCCCGAGGUCCCCAUGGCAAAAAGAAUAAAAAAAAGAAGAAAAAAUACAAUAAAAUUAUAAUAAAUUAAUUUCCUUAGUUAGAAUGUGACUUUCCAGCAUCAAAACCCCUUAGGAAAAAAUACAAUAAAAUUAUAAUAAAUUAAUUUCCUAAUUUCACCUCCCCAAUUGCCAAAUUAAUUAUAACCCGAAUUGACCCGAAUUGAUCCGAAUAACCCGAAUUUAAUCCGAACCCGAACUAAUCCGAAUCCGAUCCGAUUACACCCGACCCGAAUUAACCCGAAUUCAUCCGAAUAACCCGAAUUUAAUCCGAACCCGAAUUAACCCGAAUCUGAUCCGAUCCGAACUCCACCCGACUUUUUAACCCGAUCCGAUCCGAUCCGAAUUUAAUUCGGAUCGGAUCGGAUCGGGUUUUAAGUUCGGGUGGAGUUCGGAUCGAUUUUUAUCCAACCCGACUAACCCGAAACCCGAUCGGGUUGAUCCGAACCCGACCCGAACCCGAUUUUGCCCACCCCUAUCUAGAAGUCCCUCCGAAAGCAUCACCCAAGACAGUUUGUCAUCUUUUAUACUCUGUUUUAACAGUAAUUUGAACCGUCUUCAGAGUUAUCGUCAACAAACUCAUUCAUAAUUUGUCCAAUCUUACGGACGAUAUCAUAUGCUUAACUCGACACAAUCUAGAUUCAACCUCCUCCUAUCCAACAACGGAUUUCGAUUUGAGUUACUUUGUGCUCAAGCAAAUUCACAUCAUAGUUUUAAUUCUUUUGAUAUGAAUUCAUCACAUUACAUAUAUCAGAUUAAGUGUAACAAAAUUUUUAAUUUACUACGAAAAGAAUAUGCGCUAAAAAUUAUUUCAAGACUAUUUGAUUACCAAAAGCUGCUGUCAGAGUGCACUGAAAGUUUCUGUAGGAUACUUUGCGGUUGUUUAUUAUGUUAUGAUGGGCAUAUAAUUCUCAAAUUUUGACUCCUCUUAGCGAAAAAUAUAUCAAAGUUUAGAUUGAGUGCAGCAACUCCACAGGCCGAGUGGUACAACUACACCUUGGUCUUACUAGGAAUAUCGAUCUGGGAGAGUGGUAUCUGAAUGCUUCUCUAUUUACUUCCUUUCAACAACUUGGUAACAAAAUAGCCGGCUGCAUGCGUUGAGAAUGAAAGUCCUUCAUUUAAUUUAAUUUACUUAAUUUCUCCCUCCUAAUUAAUGUCUGUAACCAUUAGGAGGAACAAGGGAUUUUAUUAACUCAAAUAUAUGUAAUGGAGGAGCUCAUUCUUUGGUUUUACUAGCAGGUCUAGAAGCAGGUGUCAUCUAACAGCUGCUUUGAUAAUUUCCCACCCCUUCAUCUUUGAUGGAAAGAUGAAAUAAAAACAAAAUGGUGAAAAUGGUAUUGGUACCUGAGGCUAUGUAAUCUAAUUCAACAACUGCACCAUCAAAACGAUUACAUAAGUCCCAGAAGAAUCAAACAUUAGUUUGCAAAAUAUCAAUUGCUGGAGGUUAGAUUCUAACUUCCGCUCUUGGUUUUUAUGGGCAUGUUGUAUUGUACUUGCAUACGAAAAUCAUAUUUUAGUUUACUUACACCCAACGCUUGGAUUAAAGUUUCAGAUGGGGAAAAUUGAAGGAGACUAAAAUGACUCAAAAAAUAGUUGAAUGAGUGAGGGUUUUGUCUUCAUUUAAGGAGCUCUUUAUAAAUUUUAGGAUUUUUUUUCCCGAGAAAAUAUAUUUCAACUUAUUCUUUGCUUCUUUUCUGAAGGGACAAAUGCAACUGAAAGUGUAUUCUUGAAUUCUCCAGGAUAAGAGACAUACGUUUAAUUAGAUUCUCGAGCCUUCAAAACAAUAUAAAAUUUUAGAUUGAUAAAAUUUUAUAUAUCUGAGCAUGAUGGUGUUUGACAUGACUUAAAACUAUUUAAUUUACUCUCACGUACAAGAAUAUCUAGUUAUAUUGUAGCUCAGAGUUCGAGGUUAAUCCAUAGACAAAUGAUUUAAUUUCUUUAUUUAAGAUUAUCCCAUAAAUAAAAAUAAAAUUUAAAUAUAUGUAAUUUAAUUUGAAAAAAGUUAUGAAAUUAAAUUAUUUAGGGUCAUGGAUCCACUCUUAGUAAGUACAAUUUAAUAAAUUCUUUUUAUUUUUAUUUUAUUUCCCAAAAGAUUAAUUAUAUAAAUUAUAAUUAUUUUCCCAUUAAUUUUAUUAUGGAUUAAGUACUUAAUGUGCCAAAACUUAACUUGUUUACAAUAAGUCAAAAUACCAUUUUACCAUACUUUAUGCUAAGAUAUUAAGAAUUCAUGUGCCAAACUCCCAUGUUUGUCUACAAUAAAUCAAAAUUUCAAAACAUAAAAUAUGGAUCAAAUUAAAUAAAAAAUAAUUUAAUUUAUAUAAUUAAAAAUAGAAUUUGAUUAAAUCAUAUUUUUCUACUCAGAGUUUUACCUCACCCUAACUAUUAGUAUUUAGCUAAACAUAUUUGAAAUAAAUGAAAUUAUUAAAAUUGAAAAAUACAUAAUUAAAAAAUGGUAUUUGAAAAUUAGAAAUAAAACUAAUUUUAUUUAUUGAAAAUGUAUUACAAAGAAAGAUGAGAAUAAGAAUUUGAGGGGAAAGAAGAGAAGAAAAUUUGUGGAGAGGUGUGUGAAAUUAUAUUGUAAAGAUGUUACACAAACAAAUGAAUAAAAAAAAAACUAAAUGAAAAUUACACAAAUUAAAAAGAAAAUGAAAAUUAAAUAAAUAAGAUAAAUGUGCAAGAAAAAAAUGCGCAAUAAAAAUAAAUAAACUGAAAAGUAAUUAACUAAAAUUAAAAUAACUAAAUAGGCGGUAAACAAAGUAAAUGCCAAAAAUAAAAUAAGUGCGAAAAUUAAAUUACAUAAAUUAAAAGAAGAAAGAAAGAAAAAAAAUUAUCUCAAAGUGUAAACUCUUUUUCUUUUUCUUUUUCUUUUCAAAUUUUAAAUAUUACUAGUCAAUUAAGUGAUUAAUUCAAAUUAUUAGGCUUUAAUAGUAAUUUUUAAAAUCAAUAUUCAGUUUAUUGAGUCCAAAUAAGGUCCAAAGAAGUUCAAGUUGUUGGUCUAAAAUUGAGAAUUUUGGGAAAUAUUGGCAACGGACCUAUUCAAAAAGUUCUAUAAUUUUGUGGUCAAACUACAAUUAUGAGAAGAAUGAUCCAAAAAUUAGAAUUUUUGGGGUGAGUGAGAUUUAGAAAGAUUUUGUGGAUAUAACAUAAUUUAAGAAAGAAAAAGGAGGUAAAUGAAAAUUUACACAAAAAGUAAAAAAAGAAAAAAAAAAGAAAACAAAAUAAAUACCUCUCCCAGCAACGGCGGUAAAAACUUAACACGAAUUAAAAGUAUUUAAUUUACUCUAAAGUAUAAGAGUACCUAGUUAUAUUAUAUCGCGAGAAGUCUGAGAUCGAUCUACAGAAAAAUUAUUUAAUUAAUUUAUUUAAGUUUAUCUAAAAAAUAAAAAUAAAAUUAAAUACAUGCAAUUUAAUUUGAGAAAAAUUAUGAAAUUGAAGUAGUUAGGAUUAUGGAGCUCUUUAUAAAUUUUAGGAUUUUUUUCCUGAGAAAAUUUAUGCCACCUCAUUCUUUGCUUCUUUUUUGAAGGGACACAUGCAACCGAAAGUAUAUUCUUGAAUUCUCCAGGAUAAGAGACAUACGUUUACAUGCUGGAGCAUUUAAAACAAUGUCAAAUUUUAGAUUGCUGAAAUUUUAUAUCUCCGAGUAUGAUGGUGUUCCAAUUAUAAGCUCCAGGGUGCAACUUCACUGAGGUUUAGAAUGCCAUCCUUUAGAAUUGAGAAAUCUCCGUUUGCAUAAAUAUCUUUUGAAAAUACUGACAUCAGAUUUUGAAUUGGAGAACCUGAUUGGACUCAGCUUGCCUUGUAGUAAGGUUAAGCAAAUUUGGAAAAGAGAAAAGGUAUAAUGUAUUACUAUUACCAAAGUAUAUAUUUUUCUUUCUUUAAGUAUUUAUAAUGAAUAACUUUGAAAUUCAAUGAUGCUCAUUUAGUAUAGUUAUGUAUCUUUGGUUAUAGGAAGCUGUCAAGUUAAAAUCUAUAGACCUUCACCACCCCUCUAUCUCAAUAGGAUCCCAGAAAUACUAAAUCUUAAAAAAAUAAAUCUUUCAAAUUGUGAAAGCAUGCUUACGUUACCCCCGUAUAUCCACAAUUUCAACUAGCUGAGUAUGUUGUGUUUCAGGGAUGCAAAAUUCAUUUUGUUUCUCAUGAAAGGAUUGACUUGUCCGGAUGUAUUAGGGUUAAUAAACCAACUAAUCCCAUAAUUUGUUGAUGUAGGGUCCUAAAAAAUUAUUGCAGUAGAUUGUAGAUCAGUACACUAUUCGAAAAUGUAUUUGAUCCACACAGUGAAGUGGAUAUUGGACCAAUUUGAUGAUAAUGAAUUUCUUUCAAUCUCAAUCGUUUUUCCUUUUAGCAACAUGACUAGUCAUUGCGCAAAUUCAAACUCUGACAAUGAUUUCUCAAUCGGUUUCUAAGAUGAUGACCAUGCAUGUAUAUGUAUAUGCGUGUGUAUAUGUGUGUGUGUGUGUGUAGAGAGAGAGAGAGAGAUCACACGUGUGUGAUUUCCUUUUGCCAAUAGGAUAUGCAGAGAGCUUGAUCUUACCCAAUAGCGAAACAAACUUCCUAAUAAGUGAAGGUAUAGUAUAAAUACUUAUACUUUCAUGUUAUUUUUUUCAUCAGUAGCUUGAUUAUUUUAUAUGCGUCUUCGAUUUUAAUUUUCUUUCCCUAUAAUCGCUAUUAUCUUUGAACUGGUCAUGAUUUGCCUAUAAGAUUUCUCAUGUUGUUUUGAGGUGCAAUGGAUUUUGAAUUUAGUGACGAGCAGUGGAAGCCAGAAGGCAAAUUAUGAAUAUGGAUAAAGAUCUAUAAUUAGCUGUUAUGGGAUGUCACAUAUCAUAUUGAUGGUAACAUUAUACAUAUGUACAUAUAAUUAAUGGGGUUGGCUCACGAGCCCAUUAAUAAUCAUAUAUUAGCUUAAAUACUUCAAACAAUGUACCAUGAAGCAAUUUCACAAAUACUUGUUAGCUUAUGUUGAGCUUUAUUGAAUCAGUAGUUCACAGUUCAAUAAAAUGCAGGUUUGCUAUUUAACGUACAUGGUUAUGGUGUGUGCAUUCUUCAUAAGGCUAACUACAAAUUUAUCAAUGAAACUUGAAAAAUGUAACAGAGAGAUGUCGAUAACAACCGCAAAACACUGAGAUUGAAAAUCAGGGCUAGUAAAUUCUAUUAAAAGCUCUUAAAAUAGACAGCGAUCAUCCUUAACCGCAAAGUUAUGCACUAAUAGAACUAUUGACUACUUAUCUUUAGCAGAAGGUAUAUUUUUAACUACAGCUUUCUGCUUUGUUCUAAGAACUAGGCAAAAGUGGUAUAUCUUCAAUCCAAUCAACAUAUAUACCACUUAUCUUCCUCUUCACUUCUGUCUAUUUUGAUUUGCACUUUACAUCCUGCACUUGCUGCUUAGAAAUAGUCUUAGUCUGGACAUUGAAAGUAGAAAAAGUACUUGAAACUAUCAUUGGCACAGCUCGAGAUUCCAUUGAAUCGUGGACUCCAAGCUUUCAUAGUUCUAUAAAGAAAAUUACAUAACUUCAUACAACUGGCAUUCUGCUUUUAACAUUUGCACAACCUGAGCAAGUUAGCAAGCCCCUUGUCGCGUUCCCAUUGAAUAGACCUACUUCUGUUAUCCACAGAAGAUCCACCACUCAAAAUGUUUAUCACCAGGCUAUUCUUAAACUGAGCCUAAACUGAGUAGAAACUUCCGCACAUCUCUCAGCAUUUACAUGAAGAAAUCGACAACUAUCCUCAUCUCUCAGCACAUCUCUCAGCAUUCUACAAAGUUGCAUUUCACUAGGCAAUCUAUCCUCUCCAUUCCUAGCAAAGUGACAUUGAUUCUCGUAUUUGUAAUCUCCUAACUUGGGUUUUGGGCAUAGCGUGGUCUUAUAAUUACCACCCAAUACUUUGUUCAGUGCCACUGGCAUCCACAAGCUCUAGCCCUGUUAGCUGAAUCAUAUUCAAUGGGACAGUGAGGCAGCAUUUCACUAACAUAUUCAAUUUGACUACUUAUAUUGACGCAAAUAUUAGAAUUUGAAAUCACUUCUUUUCUUGGAAUAUUAUAUUAAAAUAACCCCAAAUGAAAGUUCUUGAAUGGAAAUGAUUUUUAUUUAAUCUUCCAACAGAUUCAAGAAAACCCAGAGAACACAAAAUUUACACAGUAAUAUGAUUAAGAGCUAAGAACGUACAUGUAGUAAAUGUCUAUCAAAAACACCAAAGGGUUUCUUUAAAAUUAGAAACUAGGUAAACUGUUAAGAUUUCGUUGGCUUCACUUGACUAAUUGAGAGAGAUUGUUUCCUUAUAUGUGGCUGAUUUGUAAUCCCUUUGAAUAUGGGAUCGUUAUUUACGUUCCUUUGUUUUGUGAAUAUUAGCUCUUUUAAACUUAUAUAUAAAUCCUCUAUAAUUCUACUGCAGAAAAAACAGAGAAGAAUAAAAUCAGUAUUCUUUUCAAAUAUCAUUUUUUCAUGGUAUCAGAGCAAUGGUUUUGAUUCAGUAAAACACUUUCGCUUCUCUUUUUUUUUUUAUGGAUGAUAUUGAUAGUGAUAGCAGUCACAAUCAUUCACCAAAUCAUAUAUCCUCUCAAACCUCUCAUCACAUUAUGUCUAUGUCUAUGGUUGAUUCCUCAUACCCUCUUUUUCUUCAUGCUUCUGAUCAUCUUGGCAUGAUUCUUGUUCCAAAAGUCUUAGAUGGAACAAAUUAUGCUAUGUGGAAGAGAUCUAUGCUAGUGAGUCUUAGUGCAAAAAAACAAACUGGGAUUCAUUAAAGGAACCAUUCACACACCAGAUGAAGAUGAUCCAAAACAUUCUUUAUGGCAGCGCUGCAACGAUAUGGUGCUUUCUUGGAUCCUUAACUCUCUAAAUCAGGAGCUUGCAAUAGUGUACUCUAUUUAGAGACACCCUCAGAGAUUUGGACUGACCUUCAAGAACGUUUCUCUCGAGGUGAUUUUUCCCACCAUUAUCAAACUCAGCAAUUUAUUGUUGAAUUGAAACAAAAUCAAGAUUCAAUUUUUUCUUAUUACACAAAGAUAAAAAUGUUGUGGGAUGAGCUAACUACUUGCAGUCCUUCAAUCACAUGCACAUGUGGAGGACAAAAAGACUUGAAAGAAAAAGAAGAAAAGAUUAGGCUGGGACAAUUCCUCAUGGGAUUGAAUGAAACAUACUCAGCUUUGCGAGGACAAAUAAUGUUAAUGUAUCCUCUACCAACUGUCAAAAGGCAUAUUCUCUUCUCUGUGAGGAAGAAAAGCAGCGAGGACUUACUGAAGCCAAAGGCAUUGAUCUCAUUCAUGCCAUGAGUAUCAAAGCUCGUGAUAAAUCUAGAGAAACACAAUUUGAUGCACAACAACAAACCAAACAAGGAUCAUCCUCUCAUCCCAAGCCACAAGGAAUGAAGAAAUCUUUCUUUCAUACUUACUGUGAGGGCACAACUCAUUCAGUAGAUUGUUGUUACUACUUGAAUGGAUUCCCAGUUGGUCAUAAGCUUCAUGGCAAAGACGUUCAGCCUCCAAAUCGAAGCAGAAAACCUGUUGUGCAUUAAACUAGUGCUGAAAUGAAUCAGAACUUAGCAAAGACACCAACUAAACAAACUCCCCAAUUUAUCUCUGAAGAGCUUGCCCAAAUAAAAGCUUUCUUUAGAAAUGGUAACAAUCCUGCUCGAUCAAACUACAUAGGUAUCCCUAUACCUUUCUGUUCAUCUUUCAAUACGCAAAAGACAGACUUGAAUCACUGGAUUAUUGAUAGUGGUUCAACAAAUCACAUAGCAACUUCAAUACCUAUUAAAACUCCUCUGUCAUCUCAAGUAACCUUGCCUAAUGGUGCCUAUUCUUAGAUAACUGGAAUUGGUUCAACACAACUCUCAAACCACCUACAUGUUAAUAAUGUAUUAUGUGCACCAUCAUUUCAUGUUAAUUUACUUUCAGUGAGUCAACUUACUGUUGCCAUGAAUUGUUCAAUCCAUUUUUUUUCCCACUUUCUGUAUAUUGCAGGACCUAGCUUCGAAGAAGAUGAUUGGCUUGGGGAAGCAGCUUAAUGGCUUGUACUACUUUGUUCCUCAAGUGAAGUCUACACCAACUUCUUUUUCAAUCACCCAUCAUGCUGAUUUUACUACACAUAUUACUUGGCACAAGUGGUUAGGACAUCCCUUAAAAGCACCUUCACAAUUUUUAAGCAAUAAUAUUCCUGCAUUUGUAUUUGAUUCUCAAUAUUCCUGUGAAACUUGCCCUUUGGCAAAGCAAACUCGUUUACCAUUUUCUUUAAGUUCUAUUCAAACUUUGCAUUCAUUUGAUCUUAUUCAUUGUGAUAUUUGGGGACCUUUUCGUACUGCAACUCAUACAGGGGCACAUUAUUUCAUGACUAUAGUUGAUGAUUACACUCGUUUCACUUGGAUUUUUUUAAUGAAAUUUAAAUUCGAAACCCAAGGAUUAAUAAAAACAUUUAUUUCUUUUGUGAACACUCAAUUUAAUUGUCAAGUUAAAUGUCUUAGAAGUGAUAAUGGCUCAGAAUUUCUUUCCAUGAAACCUUAUUUAUCCACCCUUGGUAUUUUAUUUUAAAACUCAUGUCCAUCUACAACUCAACAAAAUGGUGUCGUGGAACGAAAACACCGUCAUCUCUUAAACGUUAGUCGGGCUUUGAGAAUGGAUGCCAAUCUUCCUUUAAAAUUUUGGGGGGAGAGUUUACUUACUGUAGCCUAUCUUAUAAAUCGUCUUCAUACUCCCUUGUUGCAAUAUAAAUCUCCAUAUGAGUUGUUGUAUAAUAAGCCACCUAACUACACUCACUUACAAGUUUUUGGAUGUCUCUGUUAUGCAACAAAUCUACAGCCGUCCAAUAAGUUUGAUUCUCGGGCUCGACAAUGCAUCUUUGUUGGUUACCCUAUAGGCCAAAAAGCCUAUCGAUUAUAUGAUCUCCAUACUCACCAAUUCUUUUCCAGUCGUGAUGUCAUUUUUCAUGAGUCUAUUUUUCCUUCUCUUCGUAUUGAAAAAUCAUUAGAUAGCACUUUUCCUCAACUUGAGAUAUUAGAUUACAUCGAUAAUCUAUCUCCUCCUGCAACUCAUCCUGUCCCUCCAACAUUAGAGACCAUUAUUCCCUCUCCUAAUCUUUUAUUGUCAUCAACUCCUUCCCCUUCUUCCUCUAUAUCUUCUCCUGCCCCUCAUAUUCGUAAAAGUGAUCGUGUCAGGCAACCAUCUGUUCUUCUUCGUGACUUUCAUUGUGGACAGAUUAGUACAACACCAUCAACUGCAACUUCAAGUCAGUCAUUUUCAACUAAGUCAGGUACUCAAUAUCCUUUAAGCAAAUACAUUUCCUAUGAUUCUUUGUCUUCUACUCAUAAACACUUUGUUAACACCAUUUCAAGUGUCCUAGAACCAACCUCUUAUGCUCAUGCUAUAUUGGAUCCGAAAUGGCAAGAGGCUAUGCAAUGUGAACUUGAUGCUCUCAAAUCACAGAAGACAUGGUCCUUGGUCCCUUUACCCGCUGGCCAUCGCCCCAUUGGCAGCAAAUGGGUUUAUCAUAUCAAAUACAAUUCUAAUGGUACGAUUGAAUGUUACAAAGCUCGAUUAGUUGCCAAAGGAUUUUCUCAACAAGAAGGCCUGGAAUACACUGAGACAUUUGCUCCUGUGGCUAAAUUGACCGUUGUUCGUUGUUUACUUGUUGUGGCAACUGCAAGACAUUGGCCAUUGUAUCAAAUGGAUGUGACCAAUGCUUUUUUGCAUGGUGAUUUAGAAGAAGAAGUAUAUAUGACUCCACCGCCGGGACUUUGUCGACAGGGGGAGAAGCUUGUUUGUUGACUUCAUAAGUCCCUUUAUGGGCUUAAAUAAGCUCCUCGCAAUUGGUUUGCGAAAUUUUCUCAUGCUGUCAAGAAAGCUGGCUUUAUUCAAUCACAUUCGGAUUACUCGUUGUUUGUGAAGACAAAAGGCACAUCUAUAACCAUGGUUCUUAUUUAUGUAGAUGAUAUGGUGAUAACUGGAAAUGAUGCAGUCGCUAUACAUAAUCUCAAACAAUUUCUUCACUAGCAAUUUCAUAUCAAAGAUCUCGGUCAUCUUAAAUAUUUUCUUGGGCUGGAAGUUGCAAGGUCCAAAGCAGGUCUUGUUAUCUCUUAACGAAAAUAUACCUUAGAAAUCAUAGAUGAUGUUGUAUACUUGGGUGCUCAACCGGUAAAUUUUCCCAUGGAGAUGAAUUUGAAACUCACAAACCAUUAAGGUGAUUUGCUACAUAAUCCAACUCGCUACAGGAGAUUAGUUGGCCGACUAAUAUAUCUCACAAUUACGAGACCAGACAUUACAUACUCAGUUAACAUCUUAAGCUAAUUUAUGCAUGCUCCAAGAAAGCCUCACUGGGAUGCUGCUCUUCGUAUUAUGAAAUAUUUAAAGGGCAGCCCUGGUUUAGGUUUGUUAUUCUCCUCAAGCAAUUCCUUUACUUUAAAGGCUUACUGUGAUGCUAAUUGGGCAAAUUGUCGUAUAACAAGAAGAUCAACAACAGGUUAUUGUGUGUUCUUAGGGGAUUCUUUGAUUUCUUGGAAAGUAAAGAAGCAGAAAACAGUCUCAAGAUCAUCAUUAGAAGCUGAGUACAGGUCCAUGGCAGCAGCAACUUGUGAGCUCACUUGGUUUAGAUUUUUAUUCAAUGAUAUGCAAAUUUCCAUAGGACCAGCAAGGCUAUUAUGUGAUAACCAAGCUGCUCUUCACAUAGCAGCAAAUUCGGUAUAUCAUGAACGCACCAAACACAUAGAUCUUGACUGUCAUGUGGUAAGGGAGAAAAUGUACGAUGGUCAGAUAAUCACCAAAUUUGUUCCAUCUCAUUUACAGUUGGCAGACAUUUUUACAAAAGCUCUUGGAGGAAAGGUGUUUAAGAGACUAACAACCAAGUUGAACAUGCUAGAUAUACAUGCUCCAACUUGAAGGGGGAGUGUUAAGAUUUCGUUGGCUUCACUUGACUAAUUGAGAGAGAUUGUUUCCUUAUAUGUGGCUGAUUUGUAAUCCCUUUGAAUAUGGGAUCGUUAUUUACUUUCCUUUGUUUUGUGAAUAUUAGCUCUUGUAAACUUAUAUAUAAAUCCUCUAUAAUUCUACUGUAGAAAAAACAGAGAAGAAUAAAAUCAGUAUUCUUUUCAAAUAUCAUUUUUUCAUAAACAAAAAGAAAGAAUCAUUUUACAUUUUUAGCAAGUUUGAAUGAGUGAGAAAUUGAAACCCUAAAGUGAUGACAACAAUAAGAUUCAGUAUGAAGUGAAACCCCAAUUUGAAAUGUAGGCAUGAGUUGCUGAGUCAGUAGAUGAAGCUAUAAAUAGGCAUUCGGUUUCUUUCUUUUCGGUUUGGAGGGCCAUGGAAUAGUGUAUUGGAGUGGGCUCGAAGUAAUAGCCUUUAUCACUGAAUGACACGUUUGCAAAACGUGAUACAUAGGGAAGGAUUGAGCAUUAUACUCUUAGAUUAGCGCCUUAUUUAGGGUGUAUAUUAAGCAGAUUAUCUAUAUAUUACAUGGAGAUGGAGUUUAUGAAAUAGAUUAAAAAGAAAAGGAAAAUUAGUGUCUGGAGUUUGCCACUUGGAAUAUUUCGGUGUCUAAACAUUCACUCACCACUUAUUUCAUGUCUGAUCAUAUGUUGAAAAAAUAUUAAAGUAAUAUAACGCUAUUAAGGCUUAACGUAUAUUUUUUAUUAGUAGAGUGUAGAACUUUUAAGAAAUAAAUUAUUAAAUUACUAUAACUAGCAUAUUAUUUUAAAGUUGUGUUGUGAAAAAAAAAAUGAAAUAAAAACGUGAAGUAAAUUAGAGUAUUCUAAAACUUUUAUCUUUUUAAAAUUAGUUUUUAACAUAAGGUGAACUAUUUUUUUUUUAAAUCACAUACUCUAGUUAAAAUCAAAUAUGUAUUUAUAUGAAGCUUGUAAUUUUUUUUUCAGUACUGAUAUUUGAAUAUUAUCAAUAUUAUUUUUAUGGCCCACAAAAGGACAACACCGUUUAUGUUAUAAUACUAUCACCUCUGUUAUGAUAAUAUUUUUUUUGUGGCCAAAUAUCAUUUUUUUAAGUAAAAAGGUGGACAAAAUGCAAAUCAAUUUUUAAUCCUCAAACUCUCCCAAAAUUUAAAUUCGUAGUUAACAAAACACAAUUGUUGGAAAACCAUUAAGCUAGGUCCAUCGGUUGUUAAAACUAGGGAAAUUUAUAAAAAUAACUUAAAAACUUUUAUAAUUUCACAUUUUACCCUCCGAAAUUUUUCCUAUCAACAUUAGCAAAAAAUCCUUUCAAGUGCCGAAAAUACCCCUCCCAUUCUCAUCAAACUUCCUCUCUCUCUCUCUAACCAACGAUUUCUUUCUCAAGGUGGUCACUCAUCGCCGCCGGCUUUCCAGAGUCCAUCCUUGAUAGUCAACAUCACCAAAAUUUCAGUCAAGAUCUGAAAUCAAAGAUUAAUUUAAAAACCCUAGAUUUUGAAGCAUGUUCUAUUUCUAUUCUUCUUUUAUGUUGUGGUUUUGUUGUUGUGCUGGUGAUGGUGAGUGAAGAUUGAAGUGUUUGUGAUGUUGAUGGCAUGGGCGAAGUUGUUGGUGUAGUGCAUGGGUGAAGAUUGAAGUUGGCGUGGGCUUGGGGCCGGGAGAUAUCGUGCCUGAUCAGGCGCAACAACGCCCCUGUCGCACAAGAUCUGGGAGACAGGCACGCGCACCUGUCACUCACGCCUGUCGCGCGUGCUUGGUGCGACAGGCAGCAUGUUACAAUUUUUUUUUUUAACGUGAAGUUGGUGCGACAGGCGCAAUUUCGGUGCAACUCACACCUGUCGCACAAAUUUAGUACGACAGGCGCCUGUCGCACUAACAUACAAUCACACUGAAACUCUCUUGUCGCACGAAAUCAAGUUGACAAAACAUCUCUUAACACUCGGUGAUGCAAAAACAAAGUAUAAACAAUCAAAGAAACAUUUCAUCAAACACUUAAUACGCAAUAUUUUUACAAAACUAAUUUCCUUUUAAUUAGCUUACCUAGAUUUUGGGCUCUAUUUCACUUUGUUAGAAUUGUGUCCGAUUGGUGUUGGAUCCGAAUGGAUUUGGCUAUCUUUGAUCUUAGUUCACUUUUACCGUUCGCAGUCAUCGUUUGCCGUUGCCAUUUGCCUGUGAUGAUUUAAGAGUUCAAGGCUGCGUUUGGUUUGAUAAAGAGGGAGAAGAAAAGUUGCGUUUGGUUUGAUAGACAAGAGUAAUUUAGGGAAGAAACCUUAUGUUUGGCUGAUUAUGAUAGUAAAAACUUUAGAGGGCCAAUUGUAAAAAUUAUAAAAGUUUUUAGGUUAUUUUUAUAAAUUUCUCUUAAACUAUAGCUGACAAAAAGUUACUAACAAAAAGAGAAUGUCUAUUUUAUAACUUUCUUAAAAAACUUUCCUUAACUUUUUCAAAAAAGUAAUGAUAUAGUCACAAAUUCUUGUAUAAAUUUAUUUUGUACAAAUUAAUGUGAUAUGAUAAAAUUAGUUGAAUUAAAUAUCUUUUGGUCCACAUAAUUUAUUUUUAUUAUUUAUAUUUUCAUUCAACUAAUAAAUUAAUAACACGUAAGAGUUAUGACUGUAUCAUCAUUCUUUUUAAAAAGUUACUAACAAAAAGUUAUUUCCAAUUUUUAUUUUGUUAUAAUUUUUAAAACAAAAUUCGUAGUUAACUAAACUCUUCUUAAUUCCUAUGCCCUUUCUCAACUGCCAUACCCUACCCUGCUCCCCAUGUCCCCACUAAACCACGCUCAAUUCAGGCCAUCAGAUUCUCCCGGACCCACAUUAAUCCAACUGCUCACAGUGACCGACAGCCUCUCUAUCGCCAUUUCAAGCUCCCUCUUAAACUGGCUUCUGCUACCGUCGUACUCUUUCUCGGAUUCGGAGUCCGUAUUUGCUCGGCCGGUCCCACGCAGCUCCCUCUCACUCCAAUUGUCACCCAACAAGGCCAAUUGCUUACUCAAGGCACAGAACAAGAAGAGGAUGAGAAAUUGAAACAAGAAUUUGAGAAUUGGAAAUCGAAAACGUACGCAUUGACCGUGCCUUUGAGGGUUGUUUCUCUUCAGAAUUCAGUGCCUUAAUCUUGGGUUAAGGAUUUUAUGCGAAGUCAAGGAAAGACAUUGAUAAGUUUCAGAUGAAUUUGUUUGCUAGCAUUGAUGGGAUCUUUCACAAUUUAUCUAUGCCCUUUAACAAAGUUAAGGCUAAGUCAGCUUCAUAUAUGGCUGCUGAUUUGGUUAGUGUUGGUGAUUCAUGGCUCAGUUAUGCGAUUAUAAAGAGAUUGAUUGAGCCAAUAGCUGUAGCUGAAGAUCAAUAUUGGUUCAAAUGCUUAAGUCACAAAUGGAAGGUAACAUCUUUAUCUUUGCCCCGAUAAUUUUUAUUGUCUUACAUUGAAAUUUGGUAAUGUAAUUUGUUCUCUAUCUGUGUCACCCUUUGUAGUCAUUUUAUUUAUUUAUUGUUUUGCUUUUAUUUGCACUAACGAAUUCUCAGGCAUAUCUACCCAGGAAUGAUGCUGGAGAAAUUGAUCCUCGAGGUAAAAUAUGGGCGGCAGCAUACCGGUGGGGCACAAUGGGAUAGCUUACAAGAAAAGUAAAUUGCGAAAGCAUAUUUGGCUCCGAUUUAGGUAAUUGCCUUUAAGCUCAUUUAGUUUUAUAUGAAACAAAAUCAAGACUGCCUUUCUCUUCAAUAUUUUUGAUGAUAAUAUCUUUAGAAGCAUCUCAUUCACGGGUAAUCAUGGUAUCCCUUAAAGAGUCUAUAAACUCAAUGAUAUUAUCUUCUACAAAUGGUUCAUUAAACUUCUUAGUUGCAGUCAAAUGUACACUAAGAACAACGAGAAGCUAUGCCACUGUAGCAUGUAGUGAUGGCACUUAAUAAGUGACUUGCUAGGAUGUGAACUAGAUAAAUUAAAUAUUGUCUCCCUGGGCAUGCUAGCUCAUAAGUUGGGGUUAAUAUUAGCUAUUGACUGCCAAUUAAAAUAUCCAUUAAAAUGUCUAAGGAGUUACGAAGGUGGAGGUAUCUUCCAAUUUCUAAGGCCAAAUAGCAGACAUCAUCCAGGAUCCUGGGAAAGUGCAGUUAACUUCCUGCUUGAUCCUAAUGUGAAAACAAUUAAUAAAUUUGGUCAAUGCAACUGAAACCUGCUAACCGAUGUCACAAUGCGACAUCAGCACCUCAAAAUGGGAUAGAUGGUUAGUAGCACUAAAUUUUUCUGGCCUCAGAUUGAGCAAUUGGCCCAACGACUAACCCCGAUUGUGGGUUGAUGAUAAUUUUUUAAUUAUUUUCAUUUUGACCGAAAAAGUUACAGAAUCUUGAUCUGAAUAUUGUCACUGAACAGUGUCAAUAUCGUUUAGCAUAUCCAACUAACUUGAGUUUGGUGAAACAAACACAGAGUGUGUCUCUCAUGUCUCACCCUUCAAAAUUAUCAUCUGUAAUGAUGGAGAAUUUUUCUAAUGUAUGAACUAUGCUUCGAUAUAUGGGUUAGCUUGGAGAAGAUAUCUCAAGAUAAAGAAUAUGGGAAGCUAAUGGGAAGAAACAGGGGAUCUUCAUUCUUUUUCCUUUUUAUACCCAGAUAUCUCUCGACCUUUAUAUGAUCCCUACUGGAUAUUUGCUUCUAAUAACUAAAAUAAAAAUUUCACCCACCAAAAUGAAUACUGACCAAGCUUUAACAAUAAAAAGUAGCAUCUUUAGUCAAGUAAUUUGCAGUUCCUCAUCAUCUUAGUGUGAGUCUAUCAGUAUGAUCAAAAAACAUAAUAAAACUGGUUAGAUCCUGUUCAUUGAUGUUUAAAUGUUGUUCAGUGUGAAAUGUAGCAAUGAUGAGGUGAAGUUUCUUUGGUCAUCAAUUAGUAAGAUCUUGUAAUCUGGCAUUACUGGGAAACCAGGUACUCUUAAAGAAAUGAUAUCUGGUCAUUGCAUGUUAUUGCCUGACAACUGAUUUUGUUUGUAAAAGUCUGCUUCUUCAUACAUAUGAAUGCAUAUGUUAGUGUUGUCUUUUCCUUUUCCUACAUAUUAAUGCAUAUGUUGGUGUUCUCUUAUGAAAUGGAUGCAAUAAAGGCUUUUUCUCCUAAAUUUAGCUGAGGAAAUGGCAGGGGAUGUGAGAUUCUGUCUCAUUAAAUUAACAAAAACCCAAAACAAUAAAAACCCAUAAUAAUGUGGUGUGGGUAAAUUGGCGACAUUUGGCUCGUUACCCUGAUGUGAAUAUGCGAGCAAUGGAGACUAACAAAAUGAAGUGACGAUUCAGUGUCCUUUGAUGGAUGCAUUUUUAAGCAAAAAUAGGUUUGUAACUGACCAAAUUUGUCUGGCAUGCCAAUUUAAAAAAAUUAAAUUAUGUGGUUGUUAGCUGUAGUGAAGGGGGGGUAGUAGGUCCAAUCCGGUCGAUCCAGGAAAGUUCAACAAAGUUCUGGUAUGGUGCAGUGAAACUGGUUUGUGCAACUCAAGAGUCGUUCAGGUAAAAGAUGAUGUGUUUUGAUUUAAAAAUGUUAUAAAUUUACUGUGUAUAGUAUUCUAGUAGAAUCAUCUAUAAAUUUAAGUUUUUGAAAUUAUCUGCUUUUCCCAGUUUGAGUUAAGGGCACAUGUAAUAUGAAAAAUAGUUGUCGAAUGUUGUAGGUUACCUAACAUUUGAUCAAUCCUAUUAUGAUGGCUUCAAGAUGUCUAACAAUAUGUAGAAUGCCCCUGCUCCUCCCCAUUGUUUAUCUUAUACAAUAAUAUGUUGUGGAUGCUAAUAUCUUUGUCGAUACCUGUAACAGUAUUACAAAAUCUGCGUUCAUUGGGUUUUAUAUAGGUUCAACUGUCUGACAGUUCACACUGUCUGAAGGCAUUUGGAAUUGGAGAUGUAUGGGUUGCCGUUGAGGGGAGUAGUGAUGUUCUUCCUGCUGUCAAACGUAUGUCUAAUGUUGCAGUUUUUGUUCCCAAGUCUGGUGCUAGCUUAUGGGCCGAUCUUUGGGUUAUAACCAUGCCUGUCAUUCUACUUCGAUAUUCACUUUGUUAUCACCUUCAUAUUAGUGAUCAGUAAACAUGACAAUGUGACUAAUAAAUUUGUAUUCUCUUUAUAGGCAAUCCGAGCUGCCUCAAGACUUGAAACAAAACAAAUUGAAGGCAAGUCAGAGGUCCAUCUCCAUUAAUCCAUUAAUAGAUAGAGUUCCACUUGCAAACAGCAAGAGCAUUGCCUUUCAAGCAAAAGGUUAUCCCGGGUGCAACUCCCUCUGCCCUUGAAAGUACUCUGGUUAAGUUGCCUGAACAACUUCUGAAGGGUAAACCAAGUCUGGAUACUAACUUAACUGCUGGAGUACCUCCGGCUGAAAUUCUGGCCAGAUGUGGGUUUUUGGAGCCAUUAUCUGAAGCUACAUUGUCAAAUUAUGAGUGGCUGGUUGCUAAUCUACAAAAACCUGCUCCUGUCUUGAUGAAAAGGGUGCAACAUUACAUGUCAUCAUUAAUCCGAAGCUUUCUAGCAAAAGCUACAUUGAAAAGUUAAUGGCACCGCAUGCCAGUCAUUAUAAUGCUGUCAGGGCAAUUGGGUCAGAGCAUAACUUCAUUGGGAAAAGAGGAUUCAGCUAGGUUACCUAUUACAGGACGUACUGAGAUGGCUGAAGUUCUUGAGGUUUUAUGAGAAAUGAAAGAUGAGUGCUUGUUUGAACAAAGUUGUCACCAAUCUCGUAAAGUUCAAGAAGAAAGAUCACAGAGCUAAUGCCACCAAUUUCUUCAUUAUUGCAGCCUCCAUUGUUGAAGUUUCCUCAUUUGAAGCUGUUUAUGCAUAUGCUUCUUCCCUGCUCAAGUACAGGAAAUUGAAGAAUUAGCCAGAUAUGAUAUGAUGAAAGAGGGAAGUUUUCUUCCUUGAAUAUGGCCUUGUAAUUUGUAGUGAAGGAGUAGGAUGAUCACUAGCAAGAACCCUAUCAAGGUAGAUUUUAUGAUGUUAACAUAUUACUAAGCAUUUGUUUCUUUAGCAAUGAUACUUUCAUAGCAUGAAUUUAAUUAUAUGAUCCUGAUUAAUCAAUUAAUUUUCAUGAGUUUUAACCUAGUUAAAACGAAGUACAAUCAUCGUUAACAAAUACUGAAAUUGGGUAAAUAUGAUCUUGACAUUGAAGAAGAAUUUGAAAACACAACCCGCAGAGGAAAUUACCUAUUGCAUGGGGAUGGAGAUGUAUAUUGCAGCGAUAUAGAAUAUGUGCCAGGCGUUGUCUACUGCUCUUUGGGUUAUGGUGUGAUUUGCGAAUUCAAUGUUGCCCUGAAACAAUGGAAAAGAUUAACAUAUCCUCCAAUGAAUGAAAACGGCUUGACUAAUUUUGACUACCUACUUGACUCAGGAUCAGGUGACAAUAAUGGCGGUUUAUUAACAUUGCACGGCCCCAGUACUCUUCCAGGAUCAGAUACGAAGUAGUCUAAAGUUGAUAAUAAGAGUUUUAUUAAAUGACAAAUCAUUGUUGUUGGGUGUUGGUUAUAUACGUCAUUACAACUACAAGUUGAAGAUGAAGGUUAUGCAAGUGAUUUCAGAAAUACAAUACAUUCCAAGAGAUGCUGGUCUACAAUUGCAUGCCCCCAGAUAUAAGAAUCUUUUGAUUGGGGCAUUGAAAAUGAAGAAUUGAAAAUGAAGUUGCAAGUUGCCGCCUAUAGCUGCUGAGUAAUAAUAAAACGAGAUAAAUUAAUUAAUCUCAGACCUCUAUGUAUAUGUUAUCCUAACUUUACUUACCCUUAUUUGUUAUAUUCACUUAAAACUUGAUGCCUAAACCAUUAAAAUCAAAUGACCAUAGGGGUAUUUACAGUAUGUAAAAACAAACAAAAACACGUAAAAAAUUUCAAAAAAUUAAUAAUCACACUCUAAACUUACCACUCAACUCCUAAGAAUAGUCAUAAUCUAAAACAAUUUACAACUUUUGAAGGGAGUAGCUAUGAAGAUGGGGGAAAAUCCUUUUCUCAGUGGAGUGCCAUUGCCCAAGAGUUGCAAUGAAAACGGACCACAUACAGCUGUGCCGGAAGAUUCAACGAGGUAUGAAAAAGAUGAUAAUUUAAGUGAUAUGGGCAGUAAUUGUGAUGUCAGAAAGCAUUAGUAUUCUAUAUGUGAACCAUUAUUGACGACAUCAUUGGUUUUAUCUUAUUAAAAUGUGGAUGACUUCCAGUUACUAUUUUAUUAGAAACAAUCUUAUUCAAUUAACAUAUAGUUUAAAACUAUUAUGUAAAUCAAUCUAUUAAUUUUCAUGGUAUUUAACUGAGUUAAAACUAAGUGCAAUCAAUAAAUCUUUUUUUCUUUAAAAAACUGCUACGCUUUGAUUUUAUUACUUAAUAUUUAUUGAACUCUGGUACAGGAAAUUUGAAAUCAAACUCGUAACUACAGAUUAUCUAAUUGCGAGUUACUGUCCAUGGCUGCUGAUUUGUAGUGAUUGUCUAAUUGACUGAGGUGACAAUAUUUUUUUUUUAAUUUUCAAUAGCACAAUGUGAAAUUCAAUAAUUAAAUUCUCCUGUUUAAUUUGUUUCAAGUUAAAUUAUUAAUUACUUAAACUCUUUUUUAAGUCUUUAAUUUUACGUCAAGUGACUUGGACAUGACGUACAAUGAGAGUGACAGUAAACAAACAUUAAAACGUGUGGACUCCGGUAGCUGACCUACAAGUCUACAAUAAUAAAUUGGGCCGGGGUUAAGUUACAUGAUCACGUAACAAACAUUACAUGAAUGAGGGCCGUUAGAUGUGAACAGUAAAAUCGAAUGGAUGGGAAUGAAAUGAACAGAAAAAAAGAAGUGAUGGGAAACUGGGAAAACUGGUGAACGAAAACCGCUUGGGCCACCGGGUCAAAACAAGGGUUAUUGUUUGAAUUCGAUUCAGGAGGCAAGAAACCUGAUUUUUUGUAAUUCGAUUCAGCGCCAUUAAAGCUGGUUUUCACAGCAACUAUGAUUUUUUUUUUUUAUAAUAGCACCAACUCCUACCCUUAAUUUAUAAUCAAACAUUACAUCUUCAAGAUUUAAUUUAUACCAAUAUUCAGGGGCAGACGACCAUGAAAAGUUCCUUGGAGCUUCCAUUAAUGGAGUUAAAAAUUAAUAUCUCGUUGAUGACUACUCUCAGCACAAGCGGUGAAGUGGCUUUGGCUUUAGCAAAAACCUUCUAUGCAUCUUCAUCUUUUAAAAAGCACACCCUUUCUUGCUCCCCAGUUAGUCCACAUCAAAAUUACAAGCGAACAAGCGAUUCUUUUUUGAGUUAUUUGAUGAAGAGGCAGCAUAAUUCAUAAAAUCCAUAAGUUAUGUCCAGUCCUUUUAAUCAACUCAGGAAAAAAUUAGAAUGAAUCUAAUUAAACUUUUGAUUUUUUGCAUCCAAUACGAGCAGGACAUAAAACUGCAUCUUUCACCGGCUUCAGAUGGUCAGCAAAAACUUUCUUUUUUUAAGCGUUUGGGAGCAAAUCGGAUAAAGCUCUUCAUAAAAAUCAAAAAGUAACCCCAAGGAUCAUCCAGGUCAAUCUGCAUGAGUUUUGCUGUUCAUACAUGAGCCAUAGAAGCAAGUUGAACCGCCAAACCGGGCACUAUGGUAAGACGUGGAAACACCGGAUCCCAUUCGUACCUCGAUCUGUUCGUUUUCUCGUUCAGAACGGGCCGAUAUGCGCAAGUAAGAAGUUUCCUCAGCCUGAGAGUUCAAAGAAAUCAUGUCACUUUGGGUUGCACAGGCUAUAGGAGAAAUUAUUCUUUUCGACUUACUUUUUUCAACCGGCUACAAACCGCUUCAAUCGGUAAAAUUAGAAUUAUAAUAGUUACACGUGUUGUAAUGUUGUUGAUUUAUUUGUCAAUUUCUUUAAUGUUUGUUACAUGUUAUGUAAGGUAACGAGACCCAUAAUUGAGUGCAUAGAAUUUCAAUGAAUUUCUGCCCCGUUGAGUUCACCGACUAAACUUUUGUAAAAUUAAAAAAAAAAAAAGUACAUAAAAUUUCAGAAAGGCUAAUACUAAGUUAUAUGCAUGUAACUUACAACCCUCUUACAUAAAUAAUGAAUAAUAUGAGCCCACUCAUUAUUUAUGUAAGAGCAUUAUAAGUUACAUGCAUGUAACUUAAGGUGAUCCUUUCAGAAAAUACAAAACGCGCGGAAUUAACCAAAAUAUAAUUUAACAAAAAAGGAAAAAAAAAGUAAGAUUUUUAAAAUGUGUGGAAGGUAAUCCAUAUUUUAUUGAAAUGACUUGUCUCGAAUAUUAAAAUGAUUGAUUUUUUUUUUUAAUAAUAUCAACUUCCAUAUUUUCUACCCCAGAACAUGCUCACAUUCAAGUCAAUCUCGCUAAUUUGAAAUACAAAAUCAAAUCAACACCAAAGCAAUGAAAAGUAAAGCUUUUAAAUUUUAACUCCAGCUAGCAAACGUAUUCAGCGUUUUCAAAUUCUUCCCAUUGCAUCUUCCUCCAUCAAUGCAAUAUUUGAACGAUUAAGAAAGAGUUUGAGAACAUAAAAAAUCCCCAAGGCUUAUACGGUAUUAACAAAUUUAAAUUCUCAAUUAUAAUAGAUAAUAAUUAAACUAAUAAUUAUUUAUUUUUUUAUUUUAGUAAUUUCACCUAAGAAUAAUAUUGUAAUUAGAAAAAAAAUCUAAUAAGUAGGGUGGUCUUAUACAAAAUCAACUGCAUAUACAUAUAUAUAUAUAUAUAUAUAUAUGCAGAUGCAAAUGAUAAUUUUUAAUUCUUUUUUUUUAAUAAGAAAAUUGUGUAUUGAGAUGAAUGAGAUGUUUAAUUUAAUUAAUUUCCUUACUUUCAUAUACAUUGUCUUUCUAUCUAAAGAAAGCUUGGUGUUGAGAUCGACAUGAAGUUGCAAGUUGCUGCCCAUGCCUGGCUGCUGAUUAAUAAUAAAACGAGACAAACUAAUUAAACUCUGGCCUCCAUGCGUAUGUCAUCCUAACUUUACUUGCUCUUGUUUGUUAAUAUUCAUUCUUAGAGAGGUGAAAAAAUUACAAGUCUUGAAUAACAAGGAGUUUAAUUGCCUCUAACUUCACUUGGUCUAUCAAUUCCCCUGCAAUUUCGGAAGCCAAGCGCAAAAUCAUACAGAGAAUUAAUUAUCUUUUUAUUAUCAACCCAUCUUCAAGAAGAUUUUCCUCAAUUUGCCCCAGAGGAGUUGGAGCUGUGUUUCUGAUAAGCCAAAGAGAUAGUAGCAAUUAAUAUUGAUAUUGCCUACCCAAGAAAUAUGAGUGAAUUAAGUAUUAGCAAGACUUCAUUCAGAGGAGCAAUUAAACCACUUCCUUAUCAAUUGCGGCAGCCGUCUAUUAACUAAAAUGCCAAUCUAAUACAGGAAGAAACAACAUUUACAGAUUCGGCAAUUGAGUUCAUUAAGAAGUAGCAUCAUAUUCGGGUGAUGAGUUUCAUUUUUUUAAUAAUUUUAGUCUAAUUUCAAUUGUACUGUGACCGCUACUCAAGGGAAGUGAAAGUUACAGAUGUGGCAAAAUAAAUAAUUAAAUUAACAAAAAUGCUAACUAAUUUUCCUGAAUACCUAGGGUUGCACAAUUUCACCAACCUGGAAGAAUUGACAUUAGUGGACUGGUCUCCUCCCCAUAUAAUUAUAAUCCUUCUAGAAAGCUAAUUUUUAUUAAAUAUUUGCUUUUAAGUUAAUUUCAAUUAAAAAAUGUUUUAAGUUAUAUAUACUCUAAUGAGAUUCUGAAUUCCUUUCUUCCAAUAAUAAUGAAAACUUAUUAAAUUAGAAAUGAAAAAAUGGGCGUUGAUGAUUCAUCCUGAUUUGGAUAGAUUACUUGUAUAAAAUUGACAAUUUUGAUUUAAUUUUUGUUUAUUGUUAACUUUCAGGCUAUCUUAAUUUCAAGAAUUUAGAAUAUUAAUUUGGUCAUGGAUUUCAACCCGUGACUGUUAUAUUCUAUACUUAAUGGUACCAUUCUUGAUUGAGGGCAAUGACUCUCACUCCUCUUGUAAAAAAAUAUUUUCAACUAUUUUGAUGACUUAAAAAUUGAUAGAUUUAUUGUUGUCAUGACCAAAUUAUUCAUUCGGCAAAGCUUAUCUUACAUCACCUGUAACAAACAGCCAAUACAUAUGGGUGGUUAGAUUUUGAUAUUUCUUAAUCUAAUGGAUGAAAAUAAUUUUAACGCAAAACAAGGUAUGGGUGUAAUAGCUAUUUACAAAAAAAUUUAUUUUGAAUCACAUAUUACUUAUUUUUUCAAAUAAGUCCUCAUUAAUUUUUUAUAACUAAAUGAUUUUAUCGUCCAUCUCUUUUACAUCUAUUUUUAAAAAUUGUUAAAGUUUUUACUAAAUUUUUAUAAAGAUCUAAAUGAUUAUCAUGUUUAUAAAAAUCUACAAAUUCUAAAUAUAUAUUUGCAUUUACAUUUAUAAUUUUUUGUCUCUCUUAAAAUAUAAACUAGAUUUUUUUUUCUUUUAUAUAAUUCAAGAUGCUAAAUUUAGAUAAGAGAUAUUAUAUGUGAUAAAUAUAUUAUGACUCUAAUAAAUUACUAGAAAGAUGGUAAAAUGAAUAAAUUAUUGGAACCUCUAAUAAUUUCACAAAAUAUAAAAAUUAAUAAAUUAUCACAUUCUAGCUAUACACAAAGAGGAUUUUCGUAUGAAAGAUUAAAAUCCUUUGACCUAAUCAAUGAUUCAGACAUGCGGAGAAAUAAUCAAUUAAAUUAAAUUUCACUAUAUUUAUCAAAUAAAUUAGGAAAACCCAAAUUUAUCUAUAAAUGAUAUAAAAAAAAUGAAAUAUUAAAAAUUAAAAAUUUCAAUGAAGAAAACAUACAACAAAUUAAAAAGUUAGGAGUUCAAAUGAGUAAAAAGUCUGCGCUCUUACCAUUUGAGUUAGCCUUCGCCUCAACUUGAACUUUAUUAUUUUUUUGUAACCCUAAUUGACAUCAACUUUAACUUUAUUAUGUUAUUAUUUCAAUCCCCCAUUAUGCCUUUUUAAUACUCCAUUAUACCAUUUUUAUAGUGCAAAUUUAAUUGCACAUCUAAAUAAAUUGAUUAUUGUUACUCCACCACCAAUAUUUCGAAAAGUCACUAGACCAUUCCUGCCUUUAGUUUCCCUUAAGUUUAACCAUUGACUGUUUUUAGCAUCUUAAAAUAUACAUUUAUUCCUUGAUUAUGUGAUAAAUUUAUGAAAAUAUCCAUUUAACUUAAAUUAAUUGGAAUAACCAUGCGUAACAUAAAUUAAUAGAACAAAAUUAUCAAGUGUAUGUUCUAUCUUACUUUUUGAAGAAUUUAACAUAUAUAAUGCUAUACUAUUAAUUAUAUCCUGAUUUUCAUCGAUUAUAGCGAGAGUUUCUCCAAAUCAACUCCCUUAUUCAAAUAAUACAGAAAAAAUAGUAAUUUAAUUGUAAAAAAAACAGGUGUUGAUUAUAUAUCCUAAGUUUCGUCGAUUAUGUGAUCAAAGCGGCAUUGUUGAUUUAUUUCUUUUUCAAUGUUGAUUUUUAGGUUAUAUAAAUUUCGAGGAUUUAAAAUCUUUGGUCAUGGAUUACAUGCUUAUUAAUUUUUCUGCCAUUGACUGUCAUAUUCUAUACUUAAUGGUACCUUUCUUGAUCAAGGGUAAUUACUCUCUCUUCUCCUCUUAUAAAUUCCUCUUCCAUUAACAUCACUAGGAGUAUGUUGAUCUCUCAGACGUUAACUUGAGUGGAGAGUUUCCAAAUUGAUUGUUAUAAAACAACACAAAAACUAGACAUACUUGAUCUGUCUAAUAAUUCUCAUUCGGUAAAAUUAAUUAAUUUUAGGAGAAUAUUGGGCCAAACUAAUUGCACUCAAUAAAUCUCUUUUCCUUUAAAAAACUGCUACGCUUUGAUUUUAGUGCUUAAUAUUUGCUGAACACCGAUACACGGAAUUUGAAAUCAAACUCGUAACUACAGAUUAUCUAAUUGCAAGUUUCUGUCCAUAGCUGCUGAUUUGUAGUGAUUAUCUAAUUGACUGAGGCGACAACAAUUUUUUUUUUUUAAUUUUCAAUAGCACAAUGUGGAAUUCAAUAAUUAAAUUCUCCUUCAUAAUUUGUUUCCAGUUAAAUUAUUAAUUACUUAAACUCUGUUUUAAGUCUUUAAUUUUAUGUGUUUAUGCAGAAUUGGAUUCUUGAGCGUGUUGGACACGACCAACAAUGAAAUUGACAGUAAACAAACAUUACAACGUGUGGACUCCGGUAGCUGCCCUACAAGUCUACAACUUUACAAAUAAUACUUGAGUAAGCACCUUUGAUUCUCCGGACCCUUCAAUGAAUUUCUAGCCCCGUUAACUCCACCGACUAAAGUUUUGUAAAAUAAAAAAAAAAUACAUGGAAUUCCACCAAAUGCAAAACGCGUGGAAUUUAAUUUUCGGCCGUGUGGACCAAAACAUAAUUUAAUGAAAAAGGAAAAAAAUGAUAAGAUUUCUAAAAUGUGUGGAAGGUGAUCCAUAUUUUACUGAAACGACUUGUUAAAUUUUUUAAGAAUUUAGAAUAUUUGAUCAUAAAUUACAUGCAUGUUAAUUUUUCCGUCAUUGACCAUCAUAUUCUAGACUUACCUUUCUUGAUGAAGGGUACUUAGUCUCUCUUCUCCUCUUAUAAAAAUUAUAUUAAUUGAUUUCUUGUUAUAGUUAAUAGUCUUUAAGAACGUAUAGAUUUAUUGUUUUCAUGACCAAAUUAUGCCCGGCUAAGGUUGCGACUAUUAAUAAAAUUAAUAUUUAAUGUUUAUGUUAAAAGAUAUAAGAUUUUGUGCAUUCAUUUUGUGCAUUCAUUAAUUGUUAUUAGCUAAAGGAUGAAUUUUUUUUUCAACCCAAUCAGUUGAUACAUCUGCAAGAGUUUUUUCUUUCAUUGACCAUAAUUAUAUUCCGGGUACAACAAAUUGUCUUUGGUGCUUGGAAAAUAUGACUUCUUACUUCAAGUUUGAUACGUCUCUCACCAUAAGCGUACUGGAAAUAUAUCCUCAUCUUCUGUCAUUUAUCUAGGACCUUGCUACGUUACAGACUCUGUAUGUAACGCAGCAAAUGAGGAGCAUCCACGCGUUGCAGGAGAGAGGAAAAGUUGUUGGAAUUUAGCUGAUACAAGACUAAUUUCCAUUGAGCUGUUACAUACAGAGUCUGUAAGGUAGUUUUGUCCCAUUUAUCUAAUAUCAAUUGAAGAUCUCACUUUUUCAAACUAUCACUUCCAAGUAUCAUUGUCACUUGGCCAUUCUUGGACCAUUCAAAACCAAUCAAGUGUUGAAAUAAUCAAAUAUAUGCAAAAUUAGAGUCAUGAUUUUCGGUCCCCCAAAUUCUAAUUAUAUAACUUCUAUAUAUCUCAUUGUCAGGUCACGAACUUGUUGGCACAUUUUCCAAAUUCCUCUUCCAUCAGCUCUCACAUGUUAACUUGAGUGGAAAGUUUCCAACUUAAUUGCUAGAAAGCAACGCAAAAUCGGACACACUUGCUCUGUCCCAUAAUUCUCUUUUCUACGUUGAAAAAGAAAAAAAAAAGAAAAAAGAAAAUAUAUCUAUGUAAAAUUAAAUAAUAAACUGAGCAAAAGUACAUUUGUUUAAUUAACAUCUGAUCGGGGCAUUUUUGGUGUGAUUUCGUGCUGUGUAAGCCACAACUAAAAUCAAACAGCCCCUUAGCAUACUUCUUCCAUUUUAUCUGCUACUUUUGUGGAUCUUAUAGGGUGGGCAUGUGGACAGAAUUUAAAAGUUUUAAUAGUCUCAAAGAAUAAAAUAUGUUAAAGCUGAAGUUGAAAAAAUGGGUGUUGAUGAUUCAUCCUGAUUUGGAUAGAUUACGUGAAUAAAAUUGACAAUUUUGAUUUAAUUUUUGUUUAUUGUUAAUUUUCAGGCUAUCUUAAUUUCAAGAAUUUAGAAUAUUAAUUUGGUCAUGGAUUUCAAUCCGUGAGUAUCAUAUUCUAGACUUAAUGGUACCAUUCUUGAUUGAGGGCAACGACUCUCACUCCUCUUGUAAAAAAAUAUUUUCAACUAUUUUGAUGACUUAAAAAUUGAUAGAUUUAUUGUUGUCAUGACCAAAUUAUUCAUUUUAAUGAAAUAUAAUUAAUGCAUCAAAAUUAGCAGGUGUAUGUUCUAUCUUACUUUUUCAAUACUGCACCUUUUCAAUACUGUUUCUCUUGUAAUUUUCUUUUUCCUUUUUUCAAUGAAAAAAAAGGGAAGGUUUUUCCGAGUAAUCCAUUAUUUGAUUACCGUCAAUCAAGAAAACGACCAAAUUAAUUUCUCUCCAUGAGCUAGAAAAUUUUGUUAUUUGAAAAUAACAUCAUUAAUUAUAGAGUGGAUCAAACCGUGUUAUUGUCUUUCAUAAAAUUGAUGUCUUUUUAAGAGUCAAUACUUUUUAUUUACGCAAACCAGUCGACAUCAAUUUAAACUUCCAUAUUUUUAUUAUUAUUAUGUUAUUUAUUUUAUCAGCGGCUAUAUAUCAAGAAAGCGACAAAAUUUAUUUCUCAUGACUUCCAAAAACUAGAAAACAACAUCAUUAAUUGGGGUUGAUCAAACCGCAUUAUUAGUGUCACACUAUAUUUGUACAACCAAGUCAACAUCAAUUUUUUUAAAUUUUAUAAAUUAAGAAGAUCAUUUUGGCCUUACAGAGUCUGCGCUCUCACCAUUUGAUUUAGCCUUCGCCUCAACUUGAACUUCAUUAUUUUUUUGUAACCCUAAUUGACAUCAACUUUAACUUUAUUAUGUUAUUAUUUCAAUCCCCCAUUAUGCCUUUUUAAUCCUCCAUUAUACCUUUCUUAAAGUGCAAAUUUAAUUGCACAUCUAAAUAAAUUGAUUAUUGUUACUCCACCACCAAUAUUUUGAAAAGUCACUAGACCAUUCCUGCCUUUAGUUUCCCGUAAGUUUAACUAUUGAUUGUUUUUAGCAUCUUAAAAUAUACAUUUAUUCCUUGAUUAUGUGAUAAAAUUAUGAAAAUAUCCAUUUUAGCUUAAAUUAAUUGGAAUAACCAUGCGUAACAUAAAUUAAUAGAACAAAAUUAUCAAGUGUAUGUUCUAUCUUACUUUUUGAAGAAUUUAACAUAUAUAAUGCUAUACUAUUAAUAAAUUUAUCAUUUAAUAUAUAUGUUCAAAUAUUUUAUAUAUUUAUUAAUUGUUAUAUAGUCAAAGGAUGAAUGAUUUUUCAGGUCUACAUGAGUUGGUGCAUCUGCAAGACUCAAUUUUGACAACAAUGAUCUAAGGGGUAAUUUACCUUGCUGUUUGAAAAAUAUAACCUCUCUUCAUGAUUUACUUCCAAUCUACUUACUGUAAAUAUCUCCUCAUCUCCUCUAACUUAUAUGAUAACCCUUGAAGAUCUCACAUUUUCAAACGAUCAUAUUAGGGUUUUUAUUCUUAGCAUCAUCGUGUCAAUAAUAUAUGUUGCAGUAAGAUUUUUUCAGACCAAUUCCCUUCUUCAAAUAAUAAUGGAAAAGUAUUAAUUUAAAAAUAAAAUGAAUAUGCAUUGAUUAUAUCCUGAUUUUCAUCGAUUAUAGCGAGAGUUUCUCCAAAUCAACUCCCUUAUUCAAAUAAUACAGAAAAAAUAGUAAUUUAAUUGUAAAAAAAACAGGUGUUGAUUAUAUAUCCUAAGUUUCGUCGAUUAUGUGAUCAAAGCGGCAUUGCUGAUUUAUUUCUUUUUCAAUGUUGAUUUUUAGGUUAUAUAAAUUUCGAGGAUUUAAAAUCUUUGGUCAUGGAUUACACGCUUUUUAAUUUUUCUGCCAUUGACUGUCAUAUUCUAUACUUAAUGGUACCUUUCUUGAUCAAGGGUAAUUACUCUCUCUUCUCAUCUUAUAAAUUCCUCUUCCAUUAACGUCACUAGGAGUAUGUUGAUCUCUCAGACGUUAACUUGAGUGGAGAGUUUCCAAAUUGAUUGUUACAAAACAAAACAAAAACUAGACACACUUGAUCUGUCUAAUAAUUCUCAUUCGGUAAAAUUAAUUAAUUUUAGGGGAAUAUUCGGCCAACCUCUAUAAUUUCAUAGUGAUCAUUAAUUAAUUAAACGAUACAAAUAUCUAAAGUGAUUAGAUGUUUGCUGACAAUACAAGUUCAUGGCUUGAAAUUUGAUCUCUAUCGAUUGAUUUACAAAUGGAAGUACUUGUGCCUUUGUGGCGAUAAUUGAACCAGAGAUGUGAAGCUGUAAAGAUUUGGCAGUAGUAAAUUGUUAAUUAUAAAGACAUAAAGAAAAGUUCCCAUGAUUAUUAUUUUUCCAAAAACUUUUUUACAACAAAUUCAUCUCGCCAAAAAUUAUAUUUUGCUAACAAACAAUAAUUGAGUACUUGGCCGUAUUGACUUCACGUCUCCACCUGCUUUCUAAGUGAAAACAUGGAAAUGUGUAAUUUCCACAAAAUGCCAAACGUGUGGAAUUUAAUUUUUAGCCUUGUGGACUAAAAUGCAAAUGAAAGAAAAAGGGGAAAAAACAAAAAAGAGCCCAAAGACUUUUAAAACGUGUAGAAGUCUUUGGGCCCCAAAGACUUCUAAAACGUGUGGAAGUCUUUGGGCCUUUUUAUAAUGGUGGAUUUUUUUUUUUUUUUUUAAAUUGGAAACUUCAUUAAGAGGCAAAGAUUACAGAGAAGUCCCCAGUUCGAGUCGCAGGAAAGUCGCCUUUGUUGGGAGAACCUGUGCCUCUCGGUUCGAGUGGGGACUUCUAGUCUAGGUUGUGGUACGGACUUAAAGGUGUCUCCCACAGUUGGGGCCCUCCCCAGAAUACCUCGUGGUCAAAACAAAAAAAAAAAAAAAAAAAGAUUACAGAGAAGUAAAUAACCAAGGAGGUGGGACAUGACUCCACUCCUCAAAGCCUGACAAAGAACCCCCCACCCGAGCGGUAACAUGGGCGGCAGUGUUCAAAGACCUUCGAAUAAAAGAGAACUCAAUAUCUCCUAUAGACUUAGCUAAAGCUAGACAAUCAUCAAGAAUAAGACCAUACCCAUUCGGACAAGAAUAGCUUGCUGUGAGAGCUUUAAAAACCUGGAAGCAGUCCAUUUCUACUACAACACAAGACAAAUGCCGCUUCUUAAUCCAGCUGAGGAUCUCACGCACACCAAGCGCUUCAGCAUCCCUUGCACCAAAACUACCCAGGACAGAUGCACAGCAAGCUGCCACAAACAGCCCAUCAGAGUUGCGAAUGACCCCUCCAUAACUUACUUUUCCCUAAGCUGAAAAUGUUGCGGCAUCAACGUUACACUUAAGCCAACCUAACUGAGGAGGUGUCCAGCAAAUUGCCCCAUGACGGCCUUGGAAACAAGUAGCAUUAUUGACAUCAGAUUUCUGCCUCGCAAUUUGACAUUGAAACAAAUAAUUUCCAGCAGAGUUGAGGACAUGACGCACACUACAGACUUUGUUAUUCCAAACUUUGGAUUUUUUAAAAGAAAAAAAUAACAACACUUCUAUGGUUUGUUUUGAUAAUCAUAUUUACAUAUACUCUCUAAUUUUCAAAAUGGACAUAUAAUUUUUUUUUACAAAUAUAUAUUAUUCGUAUUUUUUAUUAUUUUUAUUAUCAUAUUUUUAUUUAUUAUAAAUGUUUAAAGUAAAUUUUUAGGUUGAAAUAUAAUAAAAGGGUAUAAUCGUUCUCUUAUUAAAGACACAUACUUUUAUUUUCUAUCCAUUUGUCAUCUCAAUCACUCUCAAUUAUUCUUUAUUGCUAGCUCAAAACGUGUUGCUGUUGCAAAUUAUAGCAAAAUGAAAAAUAUGGAAAAAAAAAAGGGAAGAAAAUUAAUGCAUGAAAGACUUGGAGAAAACAACCAAAUAAGUCAACUAUAAUCAAGCUGGGUGUAUAAAUUGUUUGAUGUGUCAUAAGCAAAUAGAGAGACGGACAGUGUGUGCGUUUUUUAAUAGUUAAAGAUAUAGAUAGAAUGGGUGGUUCAAAAUCAAAAUUGGUGAUAAUGUUUGUUCUGUUAUUAAUAAUAUUAGAAGGUGGGGGGAGUGAGAGAUGUUUGGAUCAAGAGAGAUUUGCUCUUUUGCGACUUAAACUUUUCUUUGAUGAUCCUUUUAAUUCGCUUCACCACUGGGUAGAUGAUGAGGGAGCUACUGAUUGUUGUCAAUGGGAAAGGGUUGAGUGCAGCAACACCACAGGUCGAGUGAUACAACUAGACCUUUCUUUCAUUGGGAAUUGGGAUUUGAAAGAGCGGUAUCUGAAUGCUUCUUUGUUUACUCCCUUUCAACAACUUGAGUCACUUUAUUUAAAAUACAACAAUAUAGCCGGUUGUGUUGAGAAUGAAGGUGCUUCGUUUAAUUUAAUUAAUUUACUUUCUCUCCCCUAAUUUAUGUUGAAUAUCAAGACCAAGCAAUUAUAUGCAUAUUCAUUCAGUUGACAAUUUUGACUAAUUUUUUUUAAAUGAUUAAUUUUGAAAUUACACGAGUACAAUUUUUAAAUGAUCUUUUUUUUUAUUUUACUUGCAGGUAUAGAGAGGCUAUCAAGAUUGAGCAACUUGAAGAUGCUUGAUUUAAGUGAAAACUUGUUCAACAAUAGCAUCUUAUCAUCUGUAGCUCAUCUUUCAUCAUUAACAUCAUUAUAUUUAUAUUCGAAUAGAUUGGAAGGAAGUAUUGAUGUUAAAGGUACAUAAUUAAAAUUUCAUCUCUUCUCCAAGCUCUUUCAUUAACUUGCUAAAAUAAGAUUCAAGGUUUUGAAUUCAAUUUUUUUUUAUGAUUAAUAUUGAAGAAAAAAAUAAUUUUAAGCAAUUCAUAAAUACAAGUUCUAAUGUUUCUCAUAAUUUUAUCUUGUACUUUUUCGUAUGUCUUGAAUUUAAGAUUAAAAAAAAACUCUAAUGGGGAACCAAACACAUCCACAACUUAUUAUUAUUAUUUUCUAAUUUUUCUGUGUGUUUUGAAACAUUCAACUCAAUUUGUACUUUUUACAGAAUUAGAUUCUUUGAGAGAUUUGGAGGAGCUAUACAUUGGUUGGAACAUGAUUGACAAAUUUGUGGUCCCAAAAGGUACUACAAAUACCAUUAAAAAAUUUAAAUUUUUACAAAUUAGGUAGAUUCUUUGCCAUUUGGUUCAUUAUUUUACAAAUUAGCUAGAUUCUCUGAAUUUAGACAAUGAAUUUUGAUUUUCUUAAAUCCUAUUAUAAUUACUAUUAAAAAACAGGUUACAGAGGUUUGAGGAAGUUGAAAAGCCUAGGUCUAUCGGGAGUUGGAAUUACAAAUGGAAGCAAGUUGUUACAGUCAAUGGGAUCAUUCCCAUCCCUCAACACUCUUCACCUUUCGUUUAAUGAAUUUACGGAAACAGUAACAACUACUACUCAAGGUAAGUAAAUGGUACAUAUGUCGCCAAAUUUAUAAAUAAACUGUUAAUUAAUUAAUUAAUUUUUUCGUAUUAUUAAGAAAGCUAAAUUCGUUGCUCCUUCCUUUUAAAUCUAAACAGAGUUGCACAAUUUCACCAACUUGGAAUAUUUGACAUUGGACUAUUCCUCUCUCCAUAUAAGCCUUCUGCAAAGCAUUGCAUCAUUCACUUCGUUAAAAAAUCUGUCGAUGUCUUAUUGUGAAGUCAAUGGCGUCCUAAGCGGUCAAGGUAAAAGAAAAGUGUUGAUUGUGAAUAAGCUGUUAAUUAAUUAAUGUUGUUGCUCCUUGCUUCUAAACAGAGUUGCGCAAUUUCACCAACUUGGAAUAUUUGAAUUGGACUCUUCUUCCUCGCUUGUCAAAUAUUGGACUCUUCCUCGCUUGCGCAAUUUCAUCAUUCACUUCUGCAAUUUCUUGAAGAAUGAAUUUAUUUAUUUAUUUAUUAUUGUUGUAGUUGUUGUUGUUGUUGAAGUGGGGUGGGCAAGCGUUCACUCAAUUAAUAUGUGGGGAAUUAAAUAUUAACAUCAACGUAGAAUUGUGGAAAAUUAAAGUAAAAUGAGAAAUAUGGAAUGAAAGGAAGAAAGUUAAGAGCAUGAAAGACUGGGAGAAGAAUAAAGACCACCAAAUAAGUCAACUGAAAACAAGCUGAGGCCUGGGUGUACAAAUUGUUAGAUGUGUUUAUUAUAAAUAACAUAGAGCCCUCUUGUUGGUUGCAGAGGCAGAGAGACAGAGAGUGUGCAUUUUAUUAAUUAAAAAUAUUUAUAGAAUGGGUGGUUGCAAAAUCCAAAAUGGUGAUAAUGUUAGUUUUGUUAGUAUUAAUAAUAUUAGAAGGGGGGUAGUGUGAGGGAUGUUUGGUGCAUGAGAGAUUUGCUCUUUCGAGACUUAAAACAUUUCUGCAAACCUCCUUAUAAUUUUCGUCACGAAUGACCGCUGUCAACACCACAGGCUGAGUGGUAUCUGAAUGCUUCUUGGUUUACUCCCUUUCAACAAUAUAGUCGGUAGUGUUGAGAAUGAAGGUGUUUCGUUUAAUUUAAUUAAUUUACUUUCUCCCUCCUAAUUUAAGUUGAAUAUCAAGACCGAGCAACUAUAUGCAUAUUCAUUUAGUUGACAAUUUUGACAUAUUUUUUUAAAUGAUUAAUUUUGAAAUUACACCAAACAGAUGCGAUCUCUGUUUUGAUUUUACUUGCAGGUCUAGAAAGAUUGGCCAACUUGAAGAUGCUUGAUUUAAGAGGAAACUUGUUCAAUAAUAGCAUCUUAUCAUCUCUAGCUCGUCUUUCAUCAUUAACAUCAUUAGAUUUAUCUUACAAUCGAUUGGAAGGAAGUAUUAAUGUUAAAGGUACGUAAUUAAAACGUCAUCUCUUCUCCCAACUCUUUCAUUAACAUGCUAAAAUAAGAUUCAAGGCUUUGAAUUCAAUUUUUUUAUGAGUAAUAUUAGAAAAAUAGUUUUAAGCAAUUCAUAAAUACAAUUUUCAAUGUUUCUCAUAAUUUCAUCUUGUACUUUUGUAUGUCUUGACUUUAAGAUAAAAAAAAAAAUUACUCUAACUAUGAAGCAAAUACCCCAUGACUAAUUUAUCAUUUUGUCCAGUUAAAAAUGAUAAAAUUUAUCAUUUUGUUUUUAUUGAUUAAUUAACUCUGUUUUAAGUCUUAAGUCUUGGCUUCUUGGCAUGUUUGCAGAAUUUGAUUCCUUGAGCAACUUAGAGGAGUUGGACAUGAGCGGCAAUGAAAUAGACAAUUUUGAGGUUCCUCAAGGUAAACUAUUAAAAUAUUAUUCAAUUACAUUAAUUUAAUUCGUUUGAUUAGGGAAGGCCCAAAAGGUACAGAAACAUAAUUGAAAAAAAAAAUAAAGAAACAGAGAAUUCAUAUUAUUUCAAAAAACAAAAGGUAAUACUAUUAUUUCAAAAAUAGAAUGUAAUAAAGAUUUGAUUUCGGUUCUUUAAUCUUUACAGCAAUUGAAAAACAAUGUUGCUCUAAAUAUGAAAUGACUCCAAAUUGAAUUAGUCAUUUAUUUCGUUUAGCUCUAAAUUUAGAAAAAAUGAAUUUUGAUUCUCUUCAAUUCUUUCAAAAUUAUUAUUAAUAAACAGGUUACAAAGGUUUGAGGAAGUUGAAAACUUUGUAUCUAUUGGGAGUUGGAAUUAGAGAUGGAAGCAAGUUGUUACAGUCAAUGGGAUCAUUCCCAUCCCUCAACAAUCUUGACCUCUCUUAUAAUAAUUUUACCGAUACAGUGACCACUACUCAAGGUAAGUAAAAGGUAUAGAUGUGGUCAAAUUCAUAAACAAACUCUUAAUUAAUUAAUUAAUUUUCCAUAUUAUUAAUAAAAGUGAAAUUUGUUGCUUCUUCCUUCUAAUUCUAAACAGAGUUGCACAAUUUCGCCAACUUGGAAUAUUUGACAUUGCACGGUUCCUCUCUCCACAUAAGCUUUCUGCAAAGCAUUGCAUUAAUGUUUCCUUCGUUAAAAAAUCUGUCGAUGCUUGAUUGUAAAGUAAAUGGUGUCGUACGUGGUCAAGGUAAAAGAAAAGUGUUGAUUGUGAACUCAUUGUUGUCCUACGUGUUCAACAUUUUAUUUAUUUAUUUUAUUGUUUAAUGUUUCUGCUAGGUUUUCCUCAUUUCAAGAGUUUGGAACAUUUGGACAUGGAUGACUUGCGCAUUGUACUCAACACCAGCUUUCUUCAAAUCAUCGGUGAAUCGAUGCCUUCUCUUAAGUACUUAUCACUGUCAUAUUCUAGUGCUAUCACUAACAGCAGUGGGAUUCUUCAAGGUUAAUAAGAUGCUCCCACCGUUCCCUCUUAAUCUAUAAUAUUAAUUUUUGAUUAAAUAUAUAAUUACAAAAACCAAUCACUUAUAAAAGAAUGCUAUGUAUUUGUUAAUUUUUUUAUUGUACUGAUGGAUAAAUUAAUAAAUUUUCAGGCCUCUGUUCGCUGGUGCAUCUGCAAGAGUUGCACAUGGCUGAUAAUGAAUUAAGAGGUAGCUUGCCUUGGUGCUUGGCAAAUAUGACAUCCCUCCGAAUAUUAGAUGUUUCUUCCAAUCAACUUACUGGAAGCAUCUCCUCAUCUCCCCUCUUUUACUUGACAUCCAUUGAAGAGCUGAGCCUUUCAAACAAUCACUUCCACAUCCCAAUUUCACUUGAACCACUUUUUAAUCACUCAAGACUCAAAAUUUUCUAUGCUGACAACAACCCAAUAAAUGCAAAAAUAACUAAGUCACAUACUUUGACCACCCCAAAAUUCCAACUAGCAUCUCUUUCAUUGUCUUCCAGUUAUGGAGAUGGUGUCACAUUCCCCAAAUUCCUUUACUAUCAACAUGACCUGGAGGAUGUUCAUUUCUCACGCAUACAAAUGAAUGGAGAAUUUCCAAAUUGGUUGUUGGAAAACAACACAAAAUUAAGACAACUUUCUCUCGUCAAUGAUUCUCUUGCAGGACCUUUUCGAUUGCCAAUUCAUUCACACAGGCAUUUAAGACUGUUGGAUGUCUCCAACAACAACUUCCAAGGCCACAUUCCAGUAGAAAUUGGAGAUAUUUUACCACGUUUAAUAUCCUUCAACAUUUCAAUGAAUGCUUUGGACGGUAGCAUUCCCUCUUCAUUUGGUAAUAUGAACCUUCUCCAAAUUCUGGACUUAUCCAACAACCAAUUGACUGGUGAAAUCCCCGAGCACUUGGCCAUGGGUUGCGUCAACUUGGAGUUUCUUGCAUUAUCAAACAACAGCUUAAAAGGUCAUAUGUUCUCCAGAAACUUUAACCUGAUAAACUUGAGAUGGUUACAAUUGGAAGGCAAUCACUUCGUAGGAGAGAUCCCACAAAGUUUGUCUAAAUGCUCCUCACUAGAAGGAUUGUAUCUUAAUAAUAACAGUCUCUCGGGUAAGAUUCCACGAUGGUUGGGUAAUCUCACAUGGUUAAUACAUAUUAUAAUGCCCAAGAAUCACCUUGAAGGUCCUAUUCCAGUGGAGUUUUGUCAUCUUUAUUCGCUUCAGAUUUUGGACAUUUCAGACAACAAUAUAUCUGGAAGUUUACCAUCUUGUUUCCAUCCUCUCUCUAUCACACAAGUUCACCUAUCGAAAAAUAUGUUACAUGGACAGCUAAAAGGAGGUACUUUCUUUAAUUGCUCUUCCCUUGUGACAUUAGAUCUUAGCUAUAACCUCUUGAAUGGCAGCAUUCCAGAUUGGAUUGAUGGGCUUUCUCAGUUAAGCCACCUUAUCUUAGGUAACAAUAAUCUUGAAGGUGAAGUGCCAGUUCAAUUGUGUGGAUUGAACCAACUACAAUUGUUAGAUCUUUCUAAUAAUAAUCUUCACGGUCUUAUUCCUCCUUGUUUUGAUAACACCAAACUUCAUGAAAGUUACAACAAUAGUUCUAGUCCUGAUGAGCAAUUUAAAAUAUUGUUUUCCAUCAAAGGCCAUCAGGGACAUGUAGAAAAGAAAAUCCAAGAAUUUUUUGAGUUCACAACAAAGAACAUUGCGUACAUUUUCCAAGGAAAAGUGCUUAGCCUCCUAUCAGGACUUGAUCUUUCUUGUAACAAGCUAAUCGGUCAUAUUCCUCCUCAAGUUGGAAAUUUGACAAGGAUUCAAACAUUGAAUCUAUCACACAACAACUUGACAGGAUUGAUCCCAUCAACAUUUUCAAACUUGAAGCAAAUCGAAAGUUUGGAUCUUUCCUACAACAAAUUGAAUGGGAAAAUCCCUCAUCAACUUGUGGAGUUAAAGGAAUUGGCUGUUUUCAGUGUGGCAUACAAUAACUUAUCAGGCGAAAUUCCAGAAUGGAAAGCACAAUUUGCAACCUUCAACGAGAAUAGCUAUGAGGGAAAUACUUUUCUUUGUGGACUGCCAUUACCCAUUUGUAGAUCACCAACAACUAUGUCGGAGGCUUCAAUCGAAAAUGAACGAGAUGAUAAUUUAAUUGACACGGACAGUUUUUUUAUCACAUUUACAACAUCGUACGUAAUUGUGAUAUUCGGAAUUGUUACUGUUUUAUAUGUAAAUUCUUAUUGGCGACAUAGAUGGUUUUACUUUGUUGAAAUGUGGAUAACUUCAUGUUACUAUUUUGUUGUAGACAAUCUUAUUCCAACAAGAUUUUGUCAUUGAAAUUAAUUAGUAGUUUAAUUACAAUUCUUUAAGUACUAAUCAAGUUUGCUUAGGAAAUAAAUUUAUUUUUAUUUUUAUUAAAAUUGUAGUAGUAUUUAGCAUUAUAUAGCUUCCAACUUCCAAGCACUUCACAUUUGUCUCUACACUUAAAAAGCUGAGUGAUCAUGUUUUACAGAUAUGGAUCUGGAGUAGGAUAGAUCCAAACACCAAACUCAUAUCUGUCCAUCAUAGCUUAUAGCUUCCCUAUACUGUGCAGCAUACUUAAAUAAGAGAAUCAUCUCCAAUGUUAAAAGCAGCCACUCUAUAACAUUCAUUUAGAAACUAUAUUCAGAAUAGUUUUAUAAUCAUACACAAGAAAUGAAACACCUAGAUGCACUUGAUCGCCUAUUUUACUCUGAAAAAGAACAAUUAUGGUGCUAUCAUCAUCUUCUCAAUUAGCAACAUUAACACUAAAUCCAGCGAUGGACCCAGACAUUUCAUCAAGAAAGGUAUAUAUCUAAUAAAGUUGAAGCUUGACAAAAAAUUCAGGAAGAUUAAUGCCUCGCCACAACAAGGGGCACAACAACAUCAAAGUAGAGAUAAAACAGUAUUCUCAAAGCUAAAACUCUCAAAUCCACCCACCAGAAUUUCAUAUCUCCUCAACAAUUUUAAAAACUAAAGGUAAUUAGGAUUUAACAUUAAUUUUUUAUAUAUUAGUUUCAUAAUUUACAAAUCAAUGAAGAUGAAGAUUAUGCUAAUGAAUUCAAAUUAUACCAUACAUUCUCUAGAUUUUACCAAAAAUUUCCAAGUCAAUCCCACAUAUUUCAUAAUUUUAAGACUGGAAAGUGUUAUGCCAAAACUCAGUAAAGAACUGACAAUGGCUCCCCAAGAUCCACUCAAGAAGGGUUCUUGUAUCUAAAACUAUUGUGAGCCCAAGCAAUCAAAGCAAGUCAAUGAAAGAAUUAAAAGAGGCAGAAAGAACAAUACACAGGAAAGCUUAUAGUGGUUCGGCUAUGGAAGCCUACAUCCACUGUGAAAGGGUGAAUCCAAGUUUGUAUUCAAUGAGUGUCUUACAGAGUACAAGCUUAUUAGAGAAGCUUAACCAUUCAUGAACAACAUGACAUAUUCCAGAAUACCCAGCUAUAUAUAUAAGCAAUGCUCGAUCAUCACCUGCAAGCUUCCCCUGUUAUCCGUGAAGAAGAACAGCAGCUUCCCGCGCUAAUUAACGGCUUAACAGACUCCUGAUAAGCCUCCCUCACACGUGUCUUCAUCUCUAUUAUCUUAAGUACUAAAACGACACUUCAAGCAGCCGUUUUGGUUAAGUGAAUCACGUGCAAACCACAAGCCUUCUUUGCGCACACAGACGACACAAUUUUCUUGUCAUAUAGCUAUCUCAGGACUGUCAACCAACGUGUAAUGGUGUUAACAAAUCUUCAACCGACUUGUCGCACUUGACUAUAAACUGAUUUGCAGUUCAUAUUCAACAUUCUCCACCUUGAGCUCAAAUCAUCCAUCCCUCAGGUUCACCCUUCCACUUCUUUCCUGCAGUCUAUAUCCUGCAGAUGCCAGCUGAGUUCAAACAGAACUCAAACUUGGCUCCUGGUACAGCUUUGGUAAGCAUGUCAGCAAUGUUGCUAUCAGUGUGUAUUUUAGCCAGCUUAAUCACACCCUUUGAUAUUUCCAAUCUGACAAAGUGAAGCUUGAUGUCAAUAUGCUUGGUUUUCUCGUGAUGUAUCUGGUUCUUACUCAGACAUAUAGCACUUUGGCUGUCACAGUGAAUUGUAAUUUGGUUUUGUUCAAAUCCCAGUUCUGUCACUAUCCCUCUGAGCCAGAUAGCUUCUUUGAUUGCCUCUGCAGCUGCUGUGUAUUUUGCCUCAGUUGUUGACAGAGCAACAACACUCUGCAGUGAAGCCUUCCAGUUUAUGGUGCAGCCAUUAAGCAUAAACAGAAAACCUGUUAAAGACCUUCUUUUAUCCAGAUCUCCAGCAUAAUCUGCAUCCACAUAACCCUCCACACUAACCUCUUCAUAUUUCUCAGCUCCAUAGAUCAGACCAUAACCAGUUGUACCAGCCAGGUAUCUUAAGAUCCAUACAACAGCCCUCCAAUGAUCUUUCCCUGGGUUUGCCAUGUACCUGCUUACCACACUCACUGCAUGAGAGAGAUCAGGCCUAGUCAGGACCAUUGCAUACAUUAAACAUCCAACAGCACUUGAGUAUGGAUAUUUAUUCAUUUCAGCCUUUUCAGUAUCAGAGUUUAGACACUGUUGGCAGGACAGUCUGAAAUGAGAGGGCAGUGGUGUCUGUACUGGUUUACAUUUAUCCAUAUUGAAUUUCUCAAGUACUUUCCUGAUGUAUUUGUGCUGUGUUAGGCUUAGGAUACCAUUCUUUCUGUCUCUCUUUAGCUGAACUCCAAGGAUCUUCUUUGCAGCACCCAGAUCCUUCAUCUCAAAUGUAUUGCUCAGCUGCUGUUUCAGUUCAUUGAUGAACUCCAUCUCCUUACAAGCUAUUAACAUAUCAUCUACAUAGAGUAGCAGGUAGAUCUUGUCACCACCUUCUAUGGUUUUAAAAUAGAUACAGCAGUCAAAACUGCUCCUUUGAAAACCAUGAUCUGACAUGAACCUGUCAAACCUUAGAUACCACAGUCUUGGAGACUGUUUUAAUCCAUAUAGUGACUUCCUUAGAUGACAUACAUGAUCAGUCUUUUCUGGAUCCUCAUACCUUUCAGGUUGUGACAUCACUAUCAUCUCAUCUAUUUCACCAUGCAAGAAGGGAGUCUUCACAUCCAUCUGUUCAAGAUGCAUGUCUUGUACAGCCACUAGAGAUAACAAGAUCCUCAGGGAGGCAUGUCUCACCACUGGGGAGAAAACUUUUGUAAAGUCCACCCCCUCUUUCUGAGUGAAGCCUUUUGCAACCAAUCUGGCUUUAUAUCUUUGUGGCUCAACAUCUGGUAUUCCCUCCUUAAUCCUGUAGAUCCAUUUGCACCCUACUACCUUCUUGUUUGCUGGUCUUUCAAUGAGAUUCCAGGUGUGAUUCUUUUUCAAAGACAUCAUUUCCUCAUCCAUGGCCUUGAUCCAUUCUUCUGCUUUAUCACUGUUAAUAGCUUCUGAGUAUGUUCUUGGUUCAUCUGUUGCUACUUCAUGUGCUGCUGUUAAUGCAAAUGCUAUUAGGUCUGCAUAUGCAUAUCUUCUAGGAGGUCUUAUUACUCUCUUUUCUCUGUCCCUUACUAACUGAUAAUCUCCACUUCUUCCCUGAUCACUUGCUGCUUCAAUCUCAGUGUCAUGCAUUUCCAUGUCUGCUAUGUCUCCAGCCUCUGAUCUUGGUUUCAGUUUCUAGUUUGAGUUUGACAGCUCCACCUCAAGAUAAGAUUUCUCAUCUUUUUCUUUCAUUUCUGCAUUUGUAGUUUUUAAGGAUGCUGAGUGUUGGAGCAUUUCAGCUUCAUUAAAAACUACAUCUCUGCUUAUGAUUGCUUUUGGUGGCUUCAUGUCUGUGCACCACAGUUUAUACCCUUUUACCCCUUCAGGGUAACCAAGAAAUACACACUUCAAUGCCCUAGGCUCUAAUUUGCCUUGUCUAAUGUGAGCAUAUGCUGGACAACCAAAUAUCUUCAAACUGGAGUAAUCUGCUGGUUCACCAUACCAAAGUUCAUAUGGUGUCUUGAAGUUAAUUCCAGUUGAAGGGCUUCUGUUCACAAUGUGACAAGCUGUUGACAGAGCCUCAGCCCACAAGGACAUAGGUAGCUUGGAGUGAAUGAGCAUACACCUCACUUUGUCAACUAAGGUUCUAUUCAUCCUCUCAGCUAAUCCAUUUUGCUGAGGUGUAUAUCUUACUGUUCUGUGCCUCAUGAUCCCAUGCUUGCUGCAAAACUCUUCAAACCUCUUGUUGCAGAAUUCUAAUCCAUUAUCAGUUCUGAGCUUCUUAACCUUCCUAUUGGUCUGAGUUUCAAUCAGUGUUUUCCAGUUCUUGAAAUGUUCAAACACUUCAUCUUUGUUCUUCAGCACAUACACCCAAACCAUUCUGGAAUGGUCAUCAAUUAGAGAUAGAAAAUACCUUGCCCCUCCUAAAGAUGUUGUUUGUGCAGGUCCCCACAGAUCAGCAUGUAUGUAUUCUAGAGUUCCUCUUGAAACAUGUGCACCUGUGCUGAAUUUGACUCUUGAUGAUUUGCCUAGGACACACUCCUCACAAAAUUUCAAGUACUCUAUUUUACCUUCACCCAAGACUCCCUGUUUUGAUAGUUCUCUCAAGCCUCUCUCACUCAUAUGGCCUAAUCUAAAGUGCCACAAUAAGGUUUUGUUUAGGUUCUGGUUUGAAACUCCAACAUCUCCUGUGACUUCAGACCCCUGGAGCACAUACAGGCCAUUGUCUAAGUUUCCUUUCAUCAACACCAUAGACCCUUUUAUCACCUUUAAAGUGCCUGACUCAAGCUUGAUUACACACCCCAUUCUGUCAAGCAUGCCAAGAGAAAUUAGGUUCCUCUUUAAAUCAGGGAUGUGUCAAGCAUUUGUUAAUUCUCUUAUUGUGCCAUCAAGCAUUUCCAGAAUACCCAGCUAUAUAUAUAAGCAAUGCUCGAUCAUCACCUGCAAGCUUCCCCUGUUAUUCGUGAAGAAGAACAGCAGCUUUCCGCGCUAAUUAACGGCCUAACAGACUCCUGAUAAGCCUCCCUCACACGUGUCUUCAUCUCUAUUAUCUUAAGUACUAAAACGACACUUCAAGCAGCCGUUUUGGUUAAGUGAAUCACGUGCAAACCACAAGCCUUCUUUGCGCACACAGACGACACAAUUUUCUUGUCAUAUAGCUAUCUCAGGACUGUCAACCGACGUGUAAUGGUGUUAACAAAUCUUCAACCGACUUGUCGCACUUGACUAUAAACUGAUUUGCAGUUCAUAUUCAACAGAAAGUUUCAUUAGUUAGAAGUUUCAUUACCUUCAAGUGGAAGAUGAAGAAGAACAUUAUGCAAGUGAUUCAGACUACAUCAUACAUACUCCAAAUGCAACUAGAAAUUAAGAAGUUCAUGCCCACAGAUUUCAAAACAUUAUGAUUGGAAAGUUUCACAAAUACAGACAAAUUUUAAAUUCAAUCUCUUACAUCAAGGUAGUUUGAUUGAUAUGAGUUACUUUCUGAUCAAACUACUAAUAUAACAUUCAAUUCAGGGAGAAAGUAAAUUAAAAUUGGGAAGAAAUGAUAGUAAAAAUUUGUUGCUAAACAUGAUGUGUAUUUGUUUUUUUUAGGCAAUUUGGAAACACAGUUGUUACUACAGAUAUUCUCCUCAACUUGGAGGUAAAUACAAAUAUUAAAAUGCAUAUGAUCACACAUAUUACUUGGAGCUUAGUAAGAUUUGAUUAAGAGAAGCAAUCAAACCGCAAUCAAAGCACUUAUCAAUUGCCGCAGUCGUUAUAUAAACUAAAAUGGCAAUAUAAUACAAGAAAAAGAACAUAUAGAUACUUGGCAAGAGUUCAUUAAGAAGUCGCAUCACAUUCGGGUGAGGAGUUUGCUUUUGAUAUCUUGCUAGCUGGGGCUUUUUCUUGUCUUUCUAUGUUUGCCGAGGGAAACCAACCAGCUUGGCCCUGGCAUUCACCUUCCGACCGUCCAGUAAGAGCCACCUUGAGAAGUUAUAACUAAAAAGGUGAAUUAAACAAAAGUUGACCGUUCAAAGACCUAAGGGGAAAACUAAUUCUUUUACGUAGGAGUGAAUUAGUUGUGAUUACUGAAAUUACAGCAUUAACCAUGAAAGCAUAACAAGAUAUAAAUUCAUAUAUCUAUAAAGGUAAACUGGGUGGUUUAGAAUUGAGCUAGCAACCCUACUAUAUUCUGAUUUGCACUUCAAUGUAAAAGGGAAUAUAUAGUAGGAAGAAAGAAAACCAACCAUUAUUUUUUAACUCAUUGUUUUUCAAUCAAAAUUUUAAGAACAAAAUGUCAUGUGCUUUGAACAUCAAAUAAGUAUAAGCAUUAGUUCUAAAUUCCACAUAUUAUAAGUUGUUAGAAGAAUAAGUUAAUAGCAUACUAGAAAAAUCUAUGUGUUGUUAUUUAGAGGGGAAAGUACCUGGCGAACCACAACAUAAUCAUCAAUUGAAAGACUUAGCUCCCCAUUUGCUUGAGCGUCAAAUGGAUUUAUAACUUGCAAGAUAAUGGGAUAAAUAGAACUUAAUCUUAAAAAAAACAUAACAAAAGCAGCAACAGUAGCAGCAGCGUUCAUUGUAACCACUAUGAUUAUGGCCAACAAAGAUAUAUUAGAAAAAAUUUCCAUUUUUACUACGACAUUAAUAUGUACUAUACGAUAUCAUGACGAUUGGGUUACCAAGAGCUAUCAAAGUUCAAUAAGUUCUGUAUAACUUUAUGUAGUUAUUUAAAUUAUGGAUCGGAUUUUAAAUUUGAAAUUUUGACUGCUCUCCACAAAACAUGGCCUAUGCAUAAGAAAGUCAUAGAUAAUGACGAUUACAAGUGUCCGACAUCUUUUGAGGGAUGGAUUUAACAUGACAGCUUAUGGUCAGUCAAUUUCCUCUGCCUAACAAUAUAAGCUUUCUCGGCCAGAUAUAUCAUCAAAUACAUAGAUUGCCCCCAAGUCACAUCCAUAUAAACAUAGUUUUUAUAGGUAAACCAAGUAAGGAGAAUCAUAAUUCAGACAUAAUCACAAAAAGGCCCAUCUAAAUUAAGAGAAAAUCUCAAAAAGAGGGAUGUUGAGCUAUCAGUCAUGUAUCUAUAAGCAAUAUCAAGACCUUACAUCACCUACUACAUCGUGAGUAUCUACACAACUUUCAGUGGUUUGUCUUUCUUUGGCAUGCCUAACUCAGCUUUGAUGUUGCUGAGAUAUUGAUGGUAGAGACACAUGAUACUUCUAGCUCAUGCAUUCUAUCUAGCUCAUCCGACAGCUUUCUCUUUUUUAAUUCAUUAGUGUUUGUUAAACCUCAUGCUUCAAAGUCUUGUUCUCUAAAACAAAGUUUCCUAAGAAUAACUUCCUCAGCACCACAUUUGGACACUUUUAGAGCAAUUUUAUUUUGUGGAAAAGAAUUUUCAAGGUGUUAACUAAUAAAUUUUAAAAAAUAAUUACAAUUUGUCCUACGAUCAUAUGAUAAUUUAUUUGGGAUGAAAGGAUACAGGCAGACAUCUUCCACUUUCAAGACUAAUCACUACUUCCGUAGAUGUUGUACAAUAAUACAAAUACUUGACCAGAUGGUAGUGAUAGAAGAAAAAAAUUUUAUUGCUCCAAAAUUAAAAUAAGGGUCAAUCUAUAAUGCCGUAACUAAAUUUACGACAUUGAUACCGUAAUGUACGUGGACCGUUAGAUUUGAAAAAAAAAUCUCUACCAUUAAUUCUAAAUAAAUAGGUAACCUGUUACCUAAGUAGCAGGUAAUUACUAUUUUUUGUUCAAGUUCCAUGUUACAUUUACCAAUUUUAUGUGUGAUUUACAAGUUUUAUGAAACUUUUACAAGUUUUAAGCAACAUUUACAAGUUUUAUGCAACAUUUACAAGUUUUUGUUUUAUUUACAAGUUCUUCUCACAAUUACAACUGUAACAUUAAUUUACCUAUUUUUCCAUUAAUUUAUUAGUUUUAUGUGUGGUUUACAUAUUUUAUGUUUUAUUUCACACUUAAUGUGAAUUUACUAGUUCUAUGUCAUUUUUCUAAGUUUUUGUUUUGUUUACAAAUUCUUCGUACAAAUUACAACUCCGGCAUUAAUUUACUCAUUUUUUCAUCAAUUUACUAGUUUUAUGUGUGAUUUACACAUUUUUUGUUUUAUUUCACAAUUAAUGUCAAUUUACUAGUUCUAUGUCAUUUUUAUAAGUUUUUGUUUUGUUUACAAGUUCUUCGUGCAAAUUACAAUUCCAACAUUAAUUUAUCAUUUUUUUCAUUAAUUUACUAGUUUUAUGUGUGAUUUACAUAUUUUUUGUUUUAUUUCACACUUAAUGUGAAUUUACAAGUUCUAUGUCAUUUUUCUAAGUUUUUGUCUUGUUUACAAGUUCUUCUUACAAUUUACAACUCGAAUAUUAAUUUACCAUUUUUUCCAUACAUUUACUAGUUUUAUGUGUGGUUUACAUAUUUUUUGUUUUAUUUCACACUUAAUGUGAAUUUACAAGUUCUAUGUCAUUUUUCUAAGUUUUUGUCUUGUUUACAAGUUCUUCUUACAAUUUACAACUCGAACAUUAAUUUACCAUUUUUUCCAAACAUUUACUAGUUUUAUGUGUGGUUUACAUAUUUUUUGUUUUAUUUCACACUUAAUGUGAAUUUACUAGUUCUAUGUCAUUUUUCUAAGUUUUUGUUUUGUUUACCAGGUUUUCGUACAAAUUACAACUCCAACAUUAAUUUACUCAUUUUUCCAUUAAUUUACUAGUUUUAUGUGUGAUUUACACAUUUUUUGUUUUAUUUCACAAUUAAUGUCAAUUUACUAGUUCUAUGUCAUUUUUAUAAGUUUUUGUUUUGUUUACAAGUUCUUCGUGCAAAUUACAAUUCAAACAUUAAUUUACCAUUUUUUUCAUUAAUUUACUAGUUUUAUGUGUGAUUUACACUUUUGUUUGUUUUAUUUCACACUUAAUGUGAAUUAACAAGUUCUAUGUCAUUUUUCUAAGUUUUUGUUUUGUUUACAAGUUCUUCGUACAAGUUACAACUCCAACAUUAAUUUACUCAUUUUUCCAUCAAAUUACUAGUUUUAUGUGUGAUUUACACAUUUUUUGUUUUAUUUCACAAUUAAUGUCAAUUUACUAGUUCUAUGUCAUUUUUAUAAGUUUUUGUUUUGUUUACAAGUUCUUCGUGCAAAUUACAAUUCCAACAUUAAUUUACCAUUUUUUAAUUAAUUUACUAGUUUUAUGUGUGAUUUACACUUUUGUUUGUUUUAUUUCACACUUAAUGUGAAUUAACUAGUUCUAUGUCAUUUUUCUAAGUUUUUGCUUUGUUUACAAGUUUUUCGUACAAAUUACAACUCCAACAUUAAUUUACUCAUUUUUCCAUCAAUUUACUAGUUUUAUGUGUGAUUUACACAUUUGUUGUUUUAUUUCACAAUUAAUGUCAAUUUACUAGUUCUAUGUCAUUUUUAUAAGUUUUUGCUUUGUUUACAAGUUCUUCGUGCAAAUUACAAUUCCAACAUUAAUUUACCAUUUUUUUAAGUAAUUUACUAGUUUUAUGUGUGAUUUACACAUUUUUUGUUUUAUUUCACACUUAAUGUCAAUUUACUAGUUCUAUGUCAUUUUUAUAAGUUUUUGUUUUGUUUACAAGUUCUUCGUGCAAAUUACAAUUCCAACAUUAAUUUACCAUUUGUUUAAGUAAUUUACUAGUUUUAUGUGUGAUUUACAUAUUUUUUGUUUUAUUUCACACUUAAUGUCACUUUACUAGUUCUAUGUCAUUUUUAUAAGUUUUUGUUUUGUUUACAAGUUCUUCGUGCAAAUUACAAUUCCAACAUUAAUUUACCAUUUUUUUCAUUAAUUUACUAGUUUUAUGUGUGAUUUACAUAUUUUUUGUUUUAUUUCACACUUAAUGUGAAUUUACAAGUUCUAUGUCAUUUUUCUAAAUUUUUGUCUUGUUUACAAGUUCUUCUUACAAUUUACAACUCGAACAUUAAUUUACCAUUUUUUCCAUACAUUUACUAGUUUUAUGUGUGGUUUACAUAUUUUUUGUUUUAUUUCACACUUAAUGUGAAUUUACAAGUUCUAUGUCAUUUUUCUAAGUUUUUGUCUUGUUUACAAGUUCUUCUUACAAUUUACAACUAGAACAUUAAUUUACCAUUUUUUCCAUACAUUUACUAGUUUUAUGUGUGGUUUACAUAUUUUUUGUUUUAUUUCACACUUAAUGUGAAUUUACAAGUUCUAUGUCAUUGUUCUAAGUUUUUGUCUUGUUUACAAGUUCUUCUUACAAUUUACAACUCGAACAUUACUUUACCAUUUUUUCCAAACAUUUACUAGUUUUAUGUGUGGUUUACAUAUUUUUUGUUUUAUUUCACACUUAAUGUGAAUUUACAAGUUCUAUGUCAUUGUUCUAAGUUUUUGUCUUGUUUACAAGUUCUUCUUACAAUUUACAACUCGAACAUUAAUUUACCAUUUUUUCCAAACAUUUACUAGUUGUAUGUGUGGUUUACAUAUCUUUUGUUUUAUUUGACACUUAAUGUGAAUUUACAAGUUCUAUGUCAUUGUUCUAAGUUUUUGUCUUGUUUACAAGUUCUUCUUACAAUUUACAACUCAAACAUUAAUUUACCAUUUUUUCCAAACAUUUACUAGUUUUAUGUGUGGUUUACAUAUCUUUUGUUUUAUUUCACACUUAAUGUGAAUUUACUAGUUCUAUGUCAUUUUUCUAAGUUUUUGUUUUGUUUACAAGUUUUUCGUACAAAUUACAACUCCAACAUUAAUUUACUCAUUUUUCCAUUAAUUUACUAGUUUUAUGUGUGAUUUACACAUUUUUUGUUUUAUUUCACACUUAAUGUCAAUUUACUAGUUCUAUGUCAUUUUUAUAAGUUUUUGUUUUGUUUACAAGUUCGUCGUGCAAAUUACAAUUCCAACAUUAAUUUACCAUUUUUUUCAUUAAUUUACUAGUUUUAUGUGUGAUUUACAUAUUUUUUGUUUUAUUUCACACUUAAUGUGAAUUUACAAGUUCUAUGUCAUUUUUUUAAGUUUUUGUCUUGUUUACAAGUUCUUCUUACAAUUUACAACUCGAACAUUAAUUUACCAUGUUUUCCAUACAUUUACUAGUUGUAUGUGUGGUUUACAUAUUUUUUGUUUUAUUUCACACUUAAUGUGAAUUUACAAGUUCUAUGUCAUUUUUCUAAGUUUUUGUCUUGUUUACAAGUUCUUCUUACAAUUUACAACUCGAACAUUACUUUACCAUUUUUUCCAAACAUUUACUAGUUGUAUGUGUGGUUUACAUAUCUUUUGUUUUAUUUCACACUUAAUGUGAAUUUACAAGUUCUAUGUCAUUGUUCUAAGUUUUUGUCUUGUUUACAAGUUCUUCUUACAAUUUACAACUCAAACAUUAAUUUACCAUUUUUUCCAAACAUUUACUAGUUUUAUGUGUGGUUUACAUAUCUUUUGUUUUAUUUCACACUUAAUGUGAAUUUACUAGUUCUAUGUCAUUUUUCUAAGUUUUUGUUUUGUUUACAAGUUUUUCGUACAAAUUACAACUCCAACAUUAAUUUACUCAUUUUUCCAUUAAUUUACUAGUUUUAUGUGUGAUUUACACAUUUUUUGUUUUAUUUCACACUUAAUGUCAAUUUACUAGUUCUAUGUCAUUUUUAUAAGUUUUUGUUUUGUUUACAAGUUCGUCGUGCAAAUUACAAUUCCAACAUUAAUUUACCAUUUUUUUCAUUAAUUUACUAGUUUUAUGUGUGAUUUACAUAUUUUUUGUUUUAUUUCACACUUAAUGUGAAUUUACAAGUUCUAUGUCAUUUUUUUAAGUUUUUGUCUUGUUUACAAGUUCUUCUUACAAUUUACAACUCGAACAUUAAUUUACCAUGUUUUCCAUACAUUUACUAGUUGUAUGUGUGGUUUACAUAUUUUUUGUUUUAUUUCACACUUAAUGUGAAUUUACAAGUUCUAUGUCAUUUUUCUAAGUUUUUAUCUUGUUUACAAGUUCUUCUUACAAUUUACAACUCGAACAUUACUUUACCAUUUUUUCCAUACAUUUACUAGUUUUAUGUGUGGUUUACAUAUUUUUUGUUUUCUUUCACACUUAAUGUGAAUUUACAAGUUCUAUGUCAUUGUUCUAAGUUUUUGUCUUGUUUACAAGUUCUUCUUACAAUUUAUAACUCGAACAUUAAUUUACCAUUUUUUCCAAACAUUUACUAGUUUUAUGUGUGGUUUACAUAUUUUUUGUUUUAUUUCACACUUAAUGUGAAUUUACUAGUUCUAUGUCAUUUUUCUAAGUUUUUGUUUUGUUUACAAGUUUUUCGUACAAAUUACAACUCCAACAUUAAUUUACUCAUUUUUCCAUUAAUUUACUAGUUUUAUGUGUGCUUUACACAUUUUUUGUUUUAUUUCACACUUAAUGUCAAUUUACUAGUUCUAUGUCAUUUUUAUAAGUUUUUGUUUUGUUUACAAGUUCGUCGUACAAAUUACAACUCCAACAUUAAUUUACUCAUUUUUCCAUUAAUUUACUAGUUUUAUGUGUGAUUUACACAUUUUUUGUUUUAUUUCACACUUAAUGUCAAUUUACUAGUUCUAUGUCAUUUUUAUAAGUUUUUGUCUUGUUUACAAGUUCGUCGUGCAAAUUACAAUUCCAACAUUAAUUUACCAUUUUUUUCAUUAAUUUACUAGUUUUAUGUGUGAUUUACAUAUUUUUUGUUUUAUUUCACACUUAAUGUGAAUUUACAAGUUCUAUGUCAUUUUCUUAAGUUUUUGUCUUGUUUACAAGUUCUUCUUACAAUUUACAACUCGAACAUUAAUUUACCAUGUUUUCCAUACAUUUACUAGUUGUAUGUGUGGUUUACAUAUUUUUUGUUUUAUUUCACACUUAAUGUGAAUUUACAAGUUCUAUGUCAUUUUUCUAAGUUUUUGUCUUGUUUACAAGUUCUUCUUACAAUUUACAACUCGAACAUUACUUUACCAUUUUUUCCAAACAUUUACUAGUUUUAUGUGUGGUUUACAUAUUUUUUGUUUUAUUUCACACUUAAUGUGAAUUUACAAGUUCUAUGUCAUUUUUCUAAGUUUUUGUCUUGUUUACAAGUUCUUCUUACAAUUUACAACUCGAACAUUACUUUACCAUUUUUUCCAUACAUUUACUAGUUUUAUGUGUGGUUUACAUAUUUUUUGUUUUCUUUCACACUUAAUGUGAAUUUACAAGUUCUAUGUCAUUGUUCUAAGUUUUUGUCUUGUUUACAAGUUCUUCUUACAAUUUAGAACUCGAACAUUAAUUUACCAUUUUUUCCAAACAUUUACUAGUUUUAUGUGUGGUUUACAUAUUUUUUGUUUUAUUUCACACUUAAUGUGAAUUUACUAGUUCUAUGUCAUUUUUCUAAGUUUUUGUUUUGUUUACAAGUUUUUCGUACAAAUUACAACUCCAACAUUAAUUUACUCAUUUUUCCAUUAAUUUACUAGUUUUAUGUGUGAUUUACACAUUUUUUGUUUUAUUUCACACUUAAUGUCAAUUUACUAGUUCUAUGUCAUUUUUAUAAGUUUUUGUUUUGUUUACAAGUUCGUCGUGCAAAUUACAAUUCCAACAUUAAUUUACCAUUUUUUUCAUUAAUUUACUAGUUUUAUGUGUGAUUUACAUAUUUUUUGUUUUAUUUCACACUUAAUGUGAAUUUACAAGUUCUAUGUCAUUUUGUUAAGUUUUUGUCUUGUUUACAAGUUCUUCUUACAAUUUACAACUCGAACAUUAAUUUACCAUGUUUUCCAUACAUUUACUAGUUGUAUGUGUGGUUUACAUAUUUUUUGUUUUAUUUCACACUUAAUGUGAAUUUACAAGUUCUAUGUCAUUUUUCUAAGUUUUUGUCUUGUUUACAAGUUCUUCUUACAAUUUACAACUCGAACAUUACUUUACCAUUUUUUCCAAACAUUUACUAGUUGUAUGUGUGGUUUACAUAUCUUUUGUUUUAUUUCACACUUAAUGUGAAUUUACAAGUUCUAUGUCAUUGUUCUAAGUUUUUGUCUUGUUUACAAGUUCUUCUUACAAUUUACAACUCAAACAUUAAUUUACCAUUUUUUCCAAACAUUUACUAGUUUUAUGUGUGGUUUACAUAUUUUUUGUUUUAUUUCACACUUAAUGUGAAUUUACUAGUUCUAUGUCAUUUUUCUAAGUUUUUGUUUUGUUUACAAGUUUUUCGUACAAAUUACAACUCCAACAUUAAUUUACUCAUUUUUCCAUUAAUUUACUAGUUUUAUGUGUGAUUUACACAUUUUUUGUUUUAUUUCACACUUAAUGUCAAUUUACUAGUUCUAUGUCAUUUUUAUAAGUUUUUGUUUUGUUUACAAGUUCGUCGUGCAAAUUACAAUUCCAACAUUAAUUUACCAUUUUUUUCAUUAAUUUACUAGUUUUAUGUGUGAUUUACAUAUUUUUUGUUUUAUUUCACACUUAAUGUGAAUUUACAAGUUCUAUGUCAUUUUGUUAAGUUUUUGUCUUGUUUACAAGUUCUUCUUACAAUUUACAACUCGAACAUUAAUUUACCAUGUUUUCCAUACAUUUACUAGUUGUAUGUGUGGUUUACAUAUUUUUUGUUUUAUUUCACACUUAAUGUGAAUUUACUAGUUCUUUGUCAUUUUUCUAAGUUUUUGUUUUGUUUACAAGUUCUUCGUGCAAAUUACAAUUCCAACAUUAAUUUACCAUUUUUUUCAUUAAUUUACUAGUUUUAUGUGUGAUUUACAUAUUUUUUAUUUUAUUUCACACUUAAUGUGAAUUUACAAGUUCUAUGUCAUUUUUCUAUGUUUUUGUCUUGUUUACAAGUUCUUCUUACAGUUUACAACUCGAACAUUAAUUUACCAUUUUUUCCAUACAUUUACUAGUUGUAUGUGUUGUUUACAUAUUUUUUGUUUUAUUUCACACUUAAUGUGAAUUUACUAGUUCUAUGUCAUUUUUCUAAGUUUUUGUUUUGUUACAAGUUUUUCAUACAAAUUACAACUCCAACAUUAAUUUACUACAUUUUCUAUCAAUUUACUAGUUUUUUUCUAUUUUUUAUUUUUUUUAAUUUUGUAGACCAAUUUACCACUGUAACGCUAAUUUACCCGUUUUACCUUCAAUGUACGAGUCAUACGUGUGGUUUAGAAAUUUUUUUUCUUAUUUCACAUUUAUUUGGAAUUUAGGUUAUUUAGUUUAAGUCAAUUGCCUCAACUUAAAUCCAACGUGAAAAUGGUUAAAGAGUUGGAUUAUUGACAUUUUAUGAUUUAGAUAGAAUGAUAUAAGGGUGGGCAUGAGUUGGGUUUGAUAGGGUUAGUGAAAUUCUAACAUGGUCUACUUUUUAAUGAGCUGAUAUAAAAUUCAUCCAAUUUAACUAAAUAAACUUGUUUAACUAAAUUCUACCCAAACCUUAUAUCGUCUGGUUAAGUUGAUUAGGUUGAAGCUCAAAUCAAAAUUUUAAAUUGAACAAUGAAAAUGAUAUUAAACUUAUUAAAAUCAAAUAUAAAUCUUUUAUAACAUGAAAUUUUCAUUCACUAUCUAGUGUACGUAAAGAAAGUUAAUAAAUUAACUAUCUUUAAAUUAAGAAAAUUUCCACAAAAAGCAUAUAGACUUUAUUUCUCUUGCAUCUCCUUUUCCAAUUCCAAAUUAAGACUUUUUAGAUAAUUAGCUAGCAUCAUAUACAAAAAUAAAAUGAAAGUGAUAUAUAAUUAUGUGCCGUUAAGUAUUCACUAAAAAAAUAAAAAAAAAUUAAAACCAACUUACUUUUAUAUUAAUCUUAUAAAAUAAUAAAUUUACUUAUAAGAGAGUGUGAUUUUGGUUUUGGAAUUGUAGUCUAAAGCAGCAGAUGCAAGAAUGAAAUAUCCUCUUGUAUUAAAAGAUUAAAAAGAAUAAAAAAUUAGAUAAACCAUUUAAGUCGUUAUAAUCUUGCAAUUGAGAAUUAACACAUUAUCAUUUUCCUUUUUCUUCUUCUUCUUCUUCUUCUUCUUCUUAUUAUUAUUAUUAUUAUAGAUUUGGUUGGGUUAGACUGGUUAAUUAUAAUUUAUCCAACCCAAACUAAUUAUUAAUUAGGUUUGAAAAAAACAGACCCAAUUAAACCACAAUAAUCUGCUCAUGGUGCAUUUACCAAUCAGUAAUCAUAACGGGCUACAAUCAGAAUCAAGAAUGUGAAUAAGAAUAAGUUAUUUAUUUGAGCUGUAGAAAUUGAAGUCGGAAUGAGAUUCAUUUCCAUCAAUGUGUUUAAUUUGUCUUGAAAUCGGAAUGAAUUAUCAUAAUUUCUUAAAUGCCCUUUGUUGAUUAUUGUCAAUUGGUGGUAAUAAUAAUCAUAAUAAUAAUAAUAAUAAUAAUAAUAAUCAUCAUCAUCAUAAUAUUUAUUAAAAUAGUAUUAUAAUUAUGAUUACUAAUUCAUUAUUGAUAUUAUUUAUUAAUUUCAUGAUUUUGUUUUAUGAUUAUUAUUUAUGAAAAUAUUAUUGUAAUCAAACUUUAUAAUAAUUAUUAUAAUAAUAAGUUAUUAUUAUUAUUAAUAUUUUAUUAUAUUAUUAUUUCGUAAAAAUAUUAUUAUAUUUAUAAUUUUAUUGUUAUUAUUAUUAAUAUGAAAUUAUUUCAUUAUUGUUUAUUAUAAUAUUAUAUUAAUUAUAAUUCAUUAUAAUUUAUUAAUCUUUCAUUAUUGUUCAUGUGCGUAGGAGUUAGAUUUGAGAUAAUGUUCUGAAAAUAACUCGGUUAAUGUUUGAAAUCUUGUUUAUAUUAGGUCUUAUUUUUCUAGCUAGGUUACUAUUAUGCUUGCAAUUUUAUUUUUCUAAAUAAUUAGAUUAUCAUCAUGCUAUCGCAGCAAGUUUGGACAGACAUGAUGGUUGCGUAAAACCUCAACUAUUUUUUAUUAUUGACUAGGCCUUGCUUGCUUCUUGUUUUUCAAUUUAGGCAGUGAUGGUAGUAAAAGCUUUUGGAGUUUUGGACAAUGAUGAUGGCAACUCACAGCUCACAAUGUCAGAACACAUUCAAUUUUACACAACAAUGAUAAGUAUUGACCAUGAGGCAGGAUACUGAAAAUUUGUUGUGUCCGUCAAUGGUAAAAUGAUUACAAUUGAGAUGGUGAUUACAAUUGAUUUUUUUUUAAUGAAACCAUAUGUUUUAAUUAUUUAUGCUUGUAUCCGUCAAUGGUAAAAUUAUUAUGGUAUAUUUGUGUUAGAAAUUAUAUUUAUUUCAUUUGUUGCUGUAACAACAUAAAUAUAAACUAUGCUGAUUAACUUGAAUAUUUCGUUUGGAGUCAAACAAUGAUAAAAACAAAAUAAUACAUAAAAAUUGGAGUGUUGUGGUUGAAAGCAAAUAAAGGCAAAGCUCACACACGGUACAACUGCAAUUAAAAGAAAAAGGCAAAGCAAAACGCACUGAUAUCAAACUUUAAUCACAUCUCGAAUUUACACAAUAAUCAAUAGCAGAUCCUAAAAAAUUCCAAAAGAAAAUCUUAAAACAAAUAGUCAACAAGAUAUUAGAAUCAUUAUAAAAAUAAAUAACCAAGAAUAAUACUAAUUUCAAAUAAAAUAUAUAGAAUGGUAGUAAAACAAAGAACUAUCGUUACUACUGCUCCCCAACAAAGAUGAUCCACUUUCCCACAAGAUGUUACUAAAGAGGAAAUUGUGAGCCACCUGGAGAAUAAAGGAAAACUUGCAUUAAACAUUGACUAUUUCCAGUCCACAUUCUGCUUAUACUCGGUACGCAAUUGCAAAUUGGAAAUUGUUUCUAAUUAAUUUUAUGUGAAACAACAAUUAUAAUUGCAAUAACUAAUAAAUAACUACUACAAAUCAUGAAAUGUAAUAGGAGCAAAAAAAAAGCAAGAAAGAAAUAGUUAAAGAGAACCUACUUUUAACAUGCUGCAAGCUUUUGGACUCUACUUUUUCUUCUUCAAAUUCUUUUGACCAUUAACUUUGUUCGUCACUUUGUUCGGUGGAAGAUUAUUCUUGUGCGAAUCAUAAAUUCUUCAGCCUUACAUCUGAUACUAUCUCUCACUUUAUUUGUAUCUCCGUUGACAAGGUGGAGUGCAAUGCGAUAUCUUUCUAUUGUUGAGUUAUACUAAAUAUAGUACGAGAAAAAAUAAAAAAGUGAGAAACAGAGUCAUCAUUCAUUUUAAAACUUUAAAUCAAUAUGAUAUAAAAUUAAUGUCACAUACAUGUUUUAUAGAUAAUAGAUCACAUUGCGUCUCCAUGAACUUGAUCACAAACAAACCGCAGUCAGUUCCAUUUGGUUGUACUGGGACAUUAUCUGGAUAUGAAAUUUUAAAACUAAAAAAAUCCCAACAUGAAUAAAAUUUUCCCAAAAAAUCAUCGAGGAAAACUUCAUUGAGUCCCUGUAACUGUGAUAAUGAUGAUAAUAGUCAGCAUACAUUUGCAUUUAUUGGUAAUAAUACAGGUGAAAUGCAAGCUUCACUUACAAUUGCUCUAACAAUUUCCUCUCGAUGUGAAUUCGAACUAUUACUAGGUAAAGAGUCCCAAAUUUCAACGGUUUGCGUUUUAACAAUCAACACCGCUAGAUACCAAUGUGCAGAGCCAUCAUUUAUAGGAACAUAGAUCUACAUGACAAAUGCAUAAUUUUUAAUAAUUACCAUUAAAUGUCUUAAACAAUGGCAUGAUUUAUUGUAAUUUUGCAUUUAAUUUCUUACCUUUUCACAUACUGCUAGUUCUGACAUGUAUUUAUCUCGAAUAUUAUGAUUUUUGACAAAAUCUUCGAUGCUUGAUUUCUUAUUGCAGGCCAUGUUUGCCACUAUUUUUUGCUGCAAAACUCAUAAAAUAAAUACAAAAUUAGUAUAUUAUCAACAUAUAGGGUCAACUGUCAAUAAAAAAAUUCACAGUAUAACAUUUACAACUUACCGAAAAGAUGGUGGGCAAAUACCAAAUACGCAUCUUUAGGCUCGUUUUUGCACGUUCUUUGUUUGUCAAGUAGUUGACGAAACAAUCUAUGACCUACGAAUAGAGCCAUUAAACAAGAAGACUUAAAUACUUAGAAAGAAAAUAAAUAAAUUGAAUGAUUAAACUAAAUAUAAAGAAGGUAUGCUUACUGUGUCAAUGAUCCAAGUAUUAGGAGCCAAAGAAAACAUCUCUUGGCGAGAGACGAAAAAACUAAUUCCAUCAACAAUAUGCUCACUAUAUUAAGAAUCCAAAAAUAUAAUUAAAACUAUAGCAGUGUUAAUGCAAAAAUAAUAACAUAUGGAAAGUGGGUCAUGAGAAAAUCUAAUUACUCCAUAGGCAAUUCUCCUUGAAAUAUAUAUUGCAGCAACUUCAUAUCUUCCUCUGAAAAUGAAUUUAGUAGAGUGAUUGAAUCAUGAAAAAAUUUUUGUUUGCUUCGUCUUUUGGGAAACUGAUUAUAAGGGGAUUUUUGGUAUGGACUAGGCUUUCGCUUUCGGGAGCGCAUAUCUUUAACCUCAAAUACACUAAGUUGGUUUGAUGAUUCCUCUUCAAUAGAACAAUCAUCAUUCGGGCCAUUAUCCUACAAAAAUUAUGAUUUAUAACUUAAUACUCAUCUAUGCACUAUUAUGUUUUACUUGUGCAAAAAAGAAGAUCACAGUUUAUUGCUAAAUACUUGUAUAGCUGCAUUGUAGAAAAUUUGCUUACGCUUUCCCUCAUUUAGGUCUGACUCACCCGUCAAAAUUCUCUCAUCAUGUUUCUCUUCAACAUUCUCCUCAUCCACUAAUUUCUUCUCAAGAAUAUCAUCUCCAUCUGGCCUUUCUUUGGCUCUCUUCAUUAGUUCCGCAAAAGUUAAAAUUUCAUGGCUUGAUUCAUCGUUCUUUUGUUGCUUUCGGGAAGGAGAAGUAAUUCCAACAGCAGCGCCAUUAUUCUCCUUUUUCUGCUCAACUUGCUUUUGUGUUAAGUUCUCUUUAAGGGUUUCCAUUACUUGUUGCAUUUGCUGCAUCCAGCUACCCAUUGAAUGCUUUAAACCAUCAAGCUCCAAUGCCAUACGGCCAAUAUCUUUUCGAACAAGUGAUAAUUCCUUCUGAUGUUGACAAUUAUGUAUGCAUUCUUCAUUCUUCCGACUUAUUCCAUCAAAUGUUUCAUGGGCCGUGUUUUGUUGAGGAUGGAUUUCUCGCAAAUUAACCUAAUAAAUACCACAUACUAUUAAAUACAUGUCAUUUCAAUAUGAUACGUUAAUAUUUAAUUAAUAAAAAGUAGAUGUCCUACCUUUGAGCUCCCAUAACCGCCAUUUUUCUUAACAAAACUCAAUAAGUUAGUUACAUCUCGAUUUGUCCAUGUUGUUAUUGGACUCAAAGAUUUAUCAAUAAAUUUUCGUGCAAAUGAUAUAGAAUCCAUGUAAAAAAGCUACAAUAUUAACAAAAUGAUCAAAACAAAGCAAAAACAAAAUAACACAAUAAAACUGAUGAAAUCAUUUUUAAAAAAAAUUACCUCCAAAAAUAGUACACAACCAUUAACAACUUUAUGUUGUCCUGCCUUGAACUUUUGUAUGCCCUCAACUAGCCCUUUAAAAGCCCACGUUGCCCAAUUUUUUUUAUUUAUGGCACUGGUGUCUUUCAAAAAAACCAAGUAAUACGGGGCUAAAUUCAACCCCGAUUUAGGAAAAAUAAUUGUAGCUAUAGCAAACAAAACAAAGCUUCUUUUAAAGUCAUCAUUCACCUCCCUUUGAUUCACCAAUUUUGACUCUAAAGUUUUCAGCUUAAUGUAUCCACUGUCAUCACAAUAUUCAUUCCUCAAUUUAUCUAUGUCAUCAAUAGCAAGAUCCACAUCAAUGUCGACUCCACCAUCUUUUAUUCCCAUAAUGUACUCAAAAUCUCGAGGCGACAGAUUGAUACUCUUACCAUGCAAAAAAAUACAUGAAGUAAAUGGAUCAAAAUUUUGAACCAACCAUGAACAUAAAUCUCGUUUCAGUCGACCACAUUUUAUGUGCAGAAGACUUUCAAAUCCUAACUCCACAACAACUUUUUUUUGAUUUUCUGACAAUUUUGCGACCAGUUUUGUAAAACGAUCUGGAGCGCAUCUAGUUUCCAUGGCUUUUUGAGUUCCCUUCACAAAAUCAUCUUCUUUGUCUUUAUUCUGUGCUAUAUCACUAUCAACCAUUCUAAAUUUAGCCUUUUCUUCUUCACUCAAAUUUUUUAAACAUUUCCCUAAUUUAAUUCUGUUCUAAAAAAUUAAAAAAAAAUAUGACAAUAAGUUAUUGCUUGUAACACAUCCCAAAUUUAAUGGAAAUUAAUUAUCGCACCUACACUCACCAUUUUUUUCCUUGUUCCCAUAAUAUUUUUGCUUCUUGCUUGCUGCAGUCAAUUAAAUAUUUUGAAAAAAAUAUAUAUAAUCAGUGCAUGUUAACAUUAUUAUGCUCGGCUUUACUAAAUAUUCAUAAAUUUACCAACAGUCAAACACAUAAUAUUUAAUGUAAGAAGACUUACAAAUACUCAAUGAAAGGCCGAUUUCUUCUUAAAUUUUCAUUUUCCUGGCUCACAUUAUCAUUCUCCUUGAAAUCAUUCUCAUUACCCUCAUCUACAUUUUCAGCCAUUUUCGAGUUUACAAGAACCUGUACAUGAAGAUUUAGCACAAAAAGAAAUGUCAAAUAUCACAAGUUUUGGAUCCUGUAAAACAACAGAAACUUUAACCCAAAAGCAGUAAUAAAUUUAUCCAGAAACAGCAAAAAAUGUAACUAAAAAACAGCAGUAAAUUUUACCCAAAAAUAAUAGAAAAUUUAACCCAAAUACAGCAGCAAAUGAAGCCCAAAACACCAAAAACAUUUACAUGUAAACAGCAAAAAAUUUAGCCAAAAAACAGUCGUAAAUUUAUCCAAACAGCAACAAAUUUACCCAGAAAUAGCAAAAAAUUUAACACAAAAAUAACAAUAAAUUUAUCCAGAAAUAGUGAAAAAUUUAACUGUAAAACAGCAGCAAAUUUACCUAGAAGCAACAGAAAAUUUAACCUAAAAAGAGUAGCAAAUGAAGCCCAAACACCAGAAAAAUUUACCUAAACACAGCAGAAAAUUUAACCCAAAAAUAGCAGUAUAUUUACACAGAAACAGCAAAAUAUUUAACCAAAAAACAGCAGCAAAUGAAGCCCAGAACACCAAAAAAACUUACCUGGAAACAGCAAAAAAUAUAACCCAAAAACAGCAGUAAAUUUAUCCAAAAACAGCAAACAAUUUAACUCAAACAAAAGCAGCCAAUUUACCCAAAAAUAGCAGAAAAUUUAACCUAAAAAUAGCUGCAAAUGAAGCCCAAAAUACCAGAAAAAUUUAACCAAAAACGGCAGCAAAUCAUCACAAAUGCAGCAGAAAAUUUAUUCAAAAACAGCAAAAAAUUUAAGUGAAAAACAGUAGUUUAUUUACCCAGAAACAGCAAAAUAUUUAACCCAAAACCAGCAGCAAAUGAAGCCCAAAACACCAAAAACAUUUACCUUAAAACGGCAGAAAAUAUAACCCAAAAACAGCAGUAAAUUUAUCAAAAAAUAGCAAAAAAAUAAACUAAAAACCAGCAGUCACCUUACCCAGAAACAGCAGAAAAUUAAAUCUAAAAAUAGCAGCAAAUGAAGCCCAAAACACCAAAAAAAUUUACCUUAAAACAGCAGAAAAUAUAACCCAAAAACAGCAGUAAAUUUAUCAAAAAACAACAAAAAAAUAAGCUGAAAAAUAGCAGCCACCUUACCCAGAAACAGCAGAAAAUUAAAUCUAAAAAUAGCAGCAAAUGAAGCUUUAUCAAUAGGAAAGUUUAAAAUAUUUUUUUUCUGAAGCCAAAGCAAGAAAUCUAUAAAGUCCUUGUGAUCUUCAACUUGAGAAUUGUUACUCAUCCUAUUCUCAUGUUCUUGAAUGACUACCUCAAGAAAAUUAUCAACUCCUUGGUCACUAAAUUUUUCUACUCUAACAUCACGAAAAGAAUAAUGAAUCCUUUUGUUACUUAAAAGUUGUACAACAAAUAAGAUUUGAACUUUUCUUAAGUACUCACCAUAAGGUGUCAUAGAGACAUCUACACAACCGUUUAAAAGUUUUACAAAUGGGGUUAAUUUUGGUUGAUUGCAAAGAUUACAUUUCUAACGAUCUCACAGGAUAGCUUGUCAAAGCGGAACUAGAUUAUCGUUACAAUAAAUUAAAAUGCAUUUAUGGUUUUAUGCAUUUUUGUCAUUUAUUGUGAAUAUUAUUUCAAAUUAUUUAUGCAUGGAUGUUUUAUUUUUCAGAAAAUGUCUUCCCUGAGCCCACUUACUAUUAUUCUGAGUCAAAACAAACUCACUGGAGAGAACUAUAUAGAUUGGAAAAGAAAUCUAUUCAUUGUCCUGACUGCUGAAAAUUAUAAAUAUGUCUUAACCCAGCCAUGCCCCCCAGUUCCAGCGGAUGAUGCUCAUAGAAAUCAGAGGAGGCUUUAUGAGAAAUGGCAAAAGGCCAAUGAAAUGGCAAAGUGCUACAUUUUAGCCUCGAUUUCUAAUAUUCUGCAGACCAAACAUCAGAACUUGGAGACUGCCACUGAAAUAAUGGAUAGUCUCCAACAGAUGUUCGGUCAGAGUACUCGCUCUGCGAGACAAGCAGCGCUGAAAGGAAUUAUGAACAGUAAAAUGGGGAAAGGCACAAGAGUUCGUGAUCAUGUCCUCAAAAUGAUGGACUAUUUGAAUGAGGCUGAGAUUCAGGGAGCACAAAUCGAUGAUAACUCAAAGAUUGACAUGGUGCUAGAAUCUCUGCCAGAAACAUUCAAGGAGUUUAAGGUCAAUUAUAACAUGAACAAAAGAAACAUGACCUUAACUGAAUUGAUGAACGAACUCCAUUCUGCUGAAGAGAUCUAUCGUGCUGAGAAAUCUCUGGGAAGCAUAAAUAUUACUGAAAAAAGUUCAUCUUCUGGGCCUAAACCGAAAGGCAAAGGUAAGAAGAAAGCUGGGAAAAAGAGACCGUCUACCAAGCAAGAUGGCAAGCCGAAAGGCAAAUGCUUCAAGUGUGGACAGAAAGGUCACUGGAAAAAGGAUUGCCCUAAGAUUGUGAAAUCAGGUAUGGGAAAUCUUUUUGUAAUUGAGGCCUGUUUAGUUCAAAAUCCUAUUGACACUUGGGUGUUGGAUUCAGGAGCAACUAAUCAUAUUUGUAAUUCACUUUAUUGGUUUCAGGAAACCAGGAAAAUAAGUGAAGGAAGCGUCAACCUGCAGUUAGGGACAGGACAGUUCGUGUCAGCAGUAAAGACUGGAUCUGUUUUAUUAUCUUUUAAUAAUAAGACUUUAGUUUUGAAUAAUUGUCUUUAUGUUCCAGACAUUAAGAGGAAUUUAAUUUCAGUAGCUUGUUUGUCAAAGCAAGGGUACACUGUAAAUUUUGGAUCCUCUGUUUCUAUUUUUCAUAAUAAGAGACUUAUUUGUUCUGGUACAUUGGAAGAUAAUUUAUAUCAUUUAAGUCCAAUGAUCCAUUCUAUGCAUGACACAGUGAUAAAUAAUGAUGAGCAUACACAUUUAUCUAAGAAAAGAAAUAUUUCUUCCAACCAAUGUUACCUCUGGCAUUUACGCUUGGGUCAUAUAAACCAAAAUAGGAUACAGAGAAUGAUCAAAGAUGGGCUCUUGGGUCCAUUAGAAAAUGAAUCAUUGCCACUCUGUGAAUCCUGUUUAGAAGGGAAAAUGACCAAAAGGCCAUUCUCGGCCAAAGGAGUACGUGCAACAGUACCACUUGAAUUGGUACAUACAGAUGUAUGUGGACCAAUCAAUGUACAAGCUCGAGGAGGUUAUGAGUAUUUCAUCACUUUUACUGAUGAUUACUCAAGAUACGGUUAUGUUUAUCUAAUGCGUCAUAAGUCUGAAGCUCUUGAGAAAUUCAAAGAGUAUAAGGCUGAGACAGAAAAGUAAUUAGAUAAGAACAUAAAGAAACUUCGAUCUGAUCGAGGUGGUAAAUUUCUCUCAGGAGAUUUCAAAGAGUAUCUGGUUGAAAAUGGGAUUAUAUCUCAAUUGACUGCCCCGGGAACACCACAACAAAAUGGGGUAGCUGAAAGAAGAAAUAGAACUCUUUUGGAUAUGAUGAGAUCUAUGCUUAGUUAUUCGUCAUUACCAAUCUCUUUUUGGGGACUAGCACUGGAAACUGCAGUUUACCUUUUGAACUUAGUUCCAUCUAAGUCAGUGCCUAAAACCCCAAUAGAAUUAUGGUCAGGUCGCAAACCAAGUUUACGACAUGUCCGUAUUUGGGGAUCACCAGCACAUGUGCUGAAACCAAAGGCAGACAAAAUGGAUUCACGUUCUGAGGUUUGUAUGUUUGUGGGGUAUCCCAAAGGAACAAGGGGAGGUUUAUUUUAUAGUCCUCAAGAUAGGAAAGUGAUCGUGAGCACACAUUUCACUUCCCUUGAGGAAGACUAUAUGAAUAACUUCAAACCUAAGAGUAAGGUAAUACUUGAAGAACUGUCAGGUGAUCAGGUUGAUGCUCAGCUUUCAAUGCCUAUUACAGAACAGGAAGAACAGCAACAACCAGAUGAUCAACACAGGAUUAACCCUGAACAACCAUCACUUUUAGAACCUCGUCGUAGUGGGAGGGUAACUAGGUUACCUGCGAGAUACAUGCUUUUGGGAGAAACCUAUACGGCUAUCUCAGAUGAACAUGUACAAGAUCCCACUAGUUACAACGAAGCUCUAAUAGAUAGAGAUGUUGAAUUUUGGAAAAAGGCCAUGAAUCAAGAAAUGGAAUCUAUGUAUUCCAAUCAAGUCUGGGAACUUGUAGAGGCACCAAAUGGGGUAAAACCUAUAGGAUGCAAGUGGAUCUACAAGAGAAAAAGAGGAGUAGACGGAAGGGUGGAAACAUUUAAAGCAAGAUUAGUAGCCAAAGGGUUUACUCAGAAAGAGGGAAUCGAUUAUGAGGAAACUUUUUCUCCGGUUGCUAUGCUUAAAUCCAUCAGGAUUCUGCUCUCCAUUGCUGCAGUGCUAGAUUAUGAAAUUUGGCAAAUGGAUGUCAAGACUGCCUUUCUCAACGGGCAUCUUGAAGAAAACAUCUACAUGCAGCAACCAGAUGGAUUUAUACAAAAAGGCCAACAACACAUGGUAUGUAAGUUGCAGAGAUCCAUUUAUGGAUUGAAGCAAGCAUCCCGGUCAUGGAACAUCAGAUUUGAUCAAGCGAUAAAAUCGUUUGGAUUCAUUCAGAACAUUGAUGAACCAUGUGUGGACAAGAAAAUUCAAGAAAAAUCUGUAGCCUUCCUAAUUCUUUAUGUAGACGAUAUUCUCCUAAUUGGAAACGAUAUAGGAGUACUGACUACAAUAAAGAGUUGGUUACCAAAACAAUUUGAUAUGAAAGACCUGGGAGAGGCAAGUUAUAUUCUUGGUAUCAAAUUACUACGAGACCGGAAGAAUAAAACUUUAGCCUUGUCUCAAGCGGUCUAUAUCGAUAAGAUAUUGGCUAGAUUUAGCAUGGAAAAUUCCAAGACUGGUUUAUUACCAUUCAGACAUGGAAUUACAUUCUCUAAGGAUCAAUCACCUAAAACAUCUGAAGAGAUAGAGAGAAUGAGACGAGUUCCCUGUGCAGAAGCUGUGGGAAGUCUUAUGUAUGCCAUGCUUUGCACUAGGCCAGACAUCUGUUUUGCGGUAGGGAUGGUUAGUAGAUAUCAAUCUAAUCCUGGACCUGAACACUGGACUGCGGUCAAGCAUAUAAUGAAGUAUCUGAAAAGAAAUAAAAAUUAUAUGCUUGUGUAUUCUGGUGUUGAACUCAUUCCAGUGGGUUAUACUGAUUCUGACUUUAUGUCAGAUAAGGAUUCUAGAAAAUCAACUUCCGGCUAUGUGUUUGCAUUGGGAAGUGGAGCUAUUAGUUAGAGGAGUGUGAAACAAUCUUGUAUCACAGACUCAACAACUGAAGCUGAAUAUGUGGCUGCAUCUGAAGCUGCAAAAGAAGCUGUAUGGCUCUGCAAGUUCCUACGAAAUCUUGAGGUGGUACCUGUUGUAACUGCACCCCUUAAACUAUUUUGUGAUAAUGGUGGUGCGGUAGCUCAAUCUAAGGAACCAAGGAACCACAAGAAACAAAACAUAUUGACAAGAAGUAUCAUCUUAUAAGGAAAUAGUGUAGAAAGGUUAUAUGACAGUACCCCAAAUGGCAUUAGAUGCUAAAUGGCAGAUCUUAUUACAAUGGCCAUUAGUGGGAAACCUUUAUAACUUGCACUUAGAGCCCUAGAGCAUGUGCAAUAUGCCAGAUAUGCUUUGAGAGCUAGUGGGAGAUUGUUGGGAAAAUAUGCUCUUUAAAAGCAUAUGUGUUUAUUUAAUUGUAAUAAACAAUUUUUCUGAUUAAUAAAAUAAAUGAGGUAUUUUAUUCAAAUAUCUUAAUUGCAUUAAUAUUUGUAUUAAAGUCCAUUUAAUCAUAUUAUAUGUAUUUAUGUGAUCACCAUGUGGAUUCACAGAAGACAUAAAUACAAGUUAUCUUAUGAUUAAAUAAAUUUAGUUCGCAGUUGAUAAAUAAAGUUGGGCACUUUAUUUAGGUAUAGACUGUAAUAAAUUCAUUGAAUGAUUUGUCUUAAUCAUGUAUGAAUUUAUUGAUGUAGUACGACUACAUUGAACAGGAUCACAUAUGAGAUUUAAUUAACUUUGUAAUAACUGUCAGACUUAUUAAAUCUCAUAGGCGUUGAUUUUACUGUAAUCUUAAUCUUGAGUUAAUUAUGAUUUCAUGAUUGUGAUUGUUAUUUCAUUUGAGUUACCAAUGGGCACGACACAUCCUUGUGGUCAAGAUUACCCGGUAUCUUGGUGGGAGCAAUUAUGAGUAUUGGAGUUAUGGAUUAACAAUAUAGAAUUUGUACAACACAUCUCUUGAUAGGUUUUCGGUACUUGAUCAUAGAAUUCUCUGGCCAGAGUGUGUCAACAUAUUUAGUAUGUUGAAAAUGAUCAUUAGAGAAAACCAGUAAGGAUCAAGGAAUAAGAUGUUAUUAAAUUGAUUGGACAGUUGAGAUAUCAAUUUAAUUAACGAUGUGGUACAAAGGAUUGUGCAGUAAAGAAAUCAAUGUGGCUUGGGACGAAUUAUUAUUCGAGCAUACAAUUAUGGAAGUCAGUUCUAAUCUUUUAGUGGAGUAGAUUUGGAAUUAAAUAAUUGGGCUAGUUUAAUUACAGGCCUAAUUAUUGUAGCCACUAUUGUAUGUUCCCAAAUGAUCCCCGGGUUAGCUCAUUUAAUUGACUGCACCACUACUGGACUAAUAAGUAAGAUAACUAGCUAUUUGGGUCAAAAGCCUAAAUAUAUCAUUUAGUGGGAGGCUCCAUUUAAUUAGCUUUUGUAUAAGGGGCCUUAUGUUAUUUUACAAGGUGGGUCCCCUAUUGAAAAAGCAAAUAAACGUGAGUUUUGUUUUUUGAUUAUUUGGAGCCCAGGGUUUUCACUAAAGGGUGAUAUAAAAGGCUUAUUUUUCCCUAAAGAAAAAAAGAGAAGCCAUUUUAUACAGAUCAGAGAAAAAGAUUUUUAUCUCCAUUGUUGAGAGAAAAAUUUUCUCGUGCUAGUUGCUUUGGUAGUGAUAAAGGCGCCCACACGUCAAGUGCAUAUCGAACCUGAGUCAUAACCUGGAAGAUCAUUGGAGACAGUUCGUGAUCUAACAAGCGUGGUGGUGACGGAUCGUGAUCUAACAGGAGUGGUGGUGGCGGAUCGUGAUCUAGGAGCCUAAAUCACUUCAACGGAAAAAGUCCAAUCGGAUUUUCAAGGUACGAUUUCUAGAAUACAAAUUCUUAUAUAUUAUAUGAGAGCGAUCUUCAAAAGGUUUUAUAAAAAUUUAAAAACCGAAUUUUUCCCCAACAUAAAUAUCCUUUGAAAAUAUUGCCAUCAGAUUUUGAAUUGGAGAACCUGAUUGAACUCAGCUUGCCUUGUAGUAAGGUUAAGCAAAUUUGGAAAAGAGAAAAGGUAUAAUGUAUUACUAUUACCAAAGUAUCUAUUUUUCUUUCUUUAAGUAUUUAUAAUGAAUAACUUUGAAAUUGAAUGAUGCUCAUUUAGUAUAGUUGUGUAUCUUUGGUUAUGGGAAGCUGUCAAGUUAAAAUCUAUAGAUCUUCACCACCCCCUGUAUCUCAAUAGGAUCCCAAAAAUACUAAAUCUUAAAAAAAUAAAUCUUUCAAAAUGUGAAAGCAUGCUUACGUUACCCGCGUAUAUCCACAAUUUCAACUAGCUCAGUAUGUUGUGUUUCAUGGGAUGCAAAAUUCAUUUUGUUUCUCAUGAAAGGAUUGACUUGUCCGGAUGUAUUAGGGUUAAUGAACCAACUAAUCCCAUAAUUUGUUGAUGUAGGGUCCUAACAAAUUAUUGCAGUAGAUUGUAGAUCAAUACACUAUUCGAAAACGUAUUUGAUCCACACAGUGAAUGUUUGAGGGUGCAUUUCUCGCGAACUAGCCAUACCCUAAACGAGGAGCCAGUCUCCUUGUAAUUGAGCAGACAGGUGAAGUCUGGUAGCAAAUAUCCAAGAGCAGGAAUUCUAUGCUCAAUCACAAGGACAUCCUCUUUUGGACUAUAAUUCGAACAUGGUUCCUACUAGGAGCCGAGAGCCUUUCCUGCUGGAGAUCGGGGUCGGCAGACCUAGUCUAUAACGGUUAACGAGACGUGCACUCCUAUUUGAGAAUCUAGGCACGAAACCAACUCAGCCGCAACUACGACAUUCAGGCAUCCACUUCCGUAAGCUGAGGGAGGUGAUGGACGUGGAUCGUGGGGCGUUGGAUUCGUAGGAAGGCUAUAAAACGGUAAUCAACGAAGGUAAAGGGGUUAGACACUUUUACACUAGAACUUAAGAAAUAAGAGCAUUUACUAAAAAAGGAGAGAAACACUCAUAGGUGUUCCACUGCCUAAGAGAUCAUGAGAGAGCCACGAGAUCAGUGGCCGAGUUUCCCAAAAAGUAAACUUAAAUUUUUGACUUGAGCGUAGGAGGAUUUUUCCUGCGUGCUCUGACCAGUUUUUGUGUGCGCAGGAGUCUGCUAAGUCAUACGAGGCAUAGCUCUGCUCGGUUAGAAGAGUUACGUGAAGUAUCCUAGGUUGGUCGUGAGUUCGGGAGUUGAGGAGAGAUCCUGGUUGCAGACGAGCAGACACCAGAAUCUCGCAUCAACAGUGAAGAUAGGGAUGGCAAAAGUCCGGGUCGGGUCCGGGUUUGGGGGUGCCCGAGACCGACCCGGAUUUCACACAUAACUGCCCGGACCCGGACCAUGCCCGGAUUUUUUCUAUGCGGGCCGGGUAUAUACCCGGCACUAUCCGGGCAUGGGUUUUUUCCAGGUUUUCUCUACCCGCAUUUUCAAAACUGACUAAAAAAAAAAAUUUGAUAAAAAAUGCUAAAUAAGUAAACAGGGCAGUGGAAAUUCACAAGGUUGAAAGCUUGCGCAAUUGGGCCUGAAAAUUCAUAACUUAUCCCCGAAUUAGCACUUAGCAGAAAACUCCCUUUCAAACUGUAAAGAGAUUUGAUGCCCAGGAAUCGAUUUGACGAAAGAAGAAAAAUGCCUUGGUCUUUUUGUUCUCUCUUCUUUUUCCACAGUGAAGAGGAAAGAAAAAUGCCCAGGAUUAUCUUGUGGACAGCAAAGUUGAUUUCAUGUGCUUUGUUGUCUUCUUAUUUUCAAAUCCCUUAGAAACAAAGUCAGAACCUGAAAUCACUAUCCUUAAACCUGCAAUUCCCUAUGUUGCAAGUCAUUUUCAGCUUCAUAGUUUUCGGUAUCAGCCUCCCUUUCCCCUUCUCCGUCAUCAUGGACGCUUCCAUUUUCUUCUUCCUCAUCUUCAUCUACUUCUACUUCAUCUUCCUCGUACUCCCCUUCUUCUAGUUCCUAGAUGUCAUCCAAGAAAAUAAUUAAGCAUGCUGCAUAUAUAUAUAUAACACCUAACAACAAUAAUGCCAAUUACUUAAUUUCUUCAUUUUUUUUUGAAAAAAACAGCCAAAAAAAAUUAAUAAUACCUCGUGGUCGUGGGUCGUGGCUGUGUUGGUGAAGUUGCAGCUGAACAAGAACAGCUGAUGCCGUCGCGUGGUGGCUGCUGCUGAGAAGAUGAACAAACGGUGAAGAGCCCUGUGACAGGACGGCUGUGCUUUGCGAGGAGAAAUAGAGUUGACUGAGGAAGGUAAGAGUUUCGGGGAGGGAGAGGCACGGUCAACACUGCAUCAGUGCCGGUGGGUGGUGGAGAGACGGAGAGAGGUGCCGCCGAUUUGGAGAUUUCUGGGUGGGUGCUGACUGCUGCAGUGCUGCAUUGUUCACUUGCAAAGUUGCAAUCGCGUUUUAGGGUUCAGUUUUGGGGGCAAUUAGGCAAAGCAAAUUUUAUUUUCGGUUUUAUAUUUUCCUUUUUUUUUUUACUUAAUAAAAAACCGGGCACAGGUCCGAGUUCCGGGUUCUUGGUGCUGUGACCGGACCCGUGCCCGGAAGCAUCCGGGCAUUGAAAAUCAAUGCCCGGAUUCGCUUUUUUCAUUCAUGCGGUCCGGGUAAAACCCAGACCGCACACACCGGGUCCGGGCCGGAUCCGGUCCGGACGGGUUUUUCUGCCACCUCUAAGUGAAGAUGAUUCAAUAUUAAGCAUGUCAUAUAAUCUAGAAGUGGAUAUUGGACCAAUUUGAUGAUGAAUUUCUUUCAAUCUCAAUCUUUUUCUUUUUAGCAACAUGACUAGUCAUUGUGCAAAUUUAAACUCUGACAAUGAUUUCUCAAUCGGUUUCUAAAAUGAUGACCAUGCAUGUAUAUGUGUGUGUGUAGAGAGAGAGAGAGAGAGAUCACACGUGUGUGAUUUCCUUUUGCCAAUAGGAUAUGCAGAGAGCUUGAUCUUACCCAAUAGCGAAACAAACUUCCUAAUAAGUGAAGGUAUAGUAUAAAUACUUAUACUUUCAUGUUAUUUUGUUCAUCAGUAGCUUGAUUAUUUUAUAUGCAUCUUCGAUUUUAAUUUUCUUUCCCUAUAAUCGCUAUUAUCUUUGAACUGGUCAUGAUUUGCCUAUAAGAUUUCUCAUGUUGUUUUGAGGUGCAAUGGAUUUUGAAUUUAGUGACGAGCAGUGGAAGCCAGAAGGCAAAUUAUGAAAAUGGAUAAAGAUCUAUAAUUAGCUGUUAUGGGAUGUCACAUAUCAUAUUGAUGGUAACAUUAUAUAUAUAUAUGUACAUAUAAUUAAUGGGGUUGGCUCACGAGCCCAUUAAUAAUCGUAUAUUAGCUUAUAUACUUCAAACAAUGUACUAUGAAGCAAUUUCACAAAUACUUGUUAGCUUAUGUUGAGCUUUAUUGAAUCAGUAGUUCACAGUUCAAUAAAAUGCAGGUUUAAUGUGACAGAGAGAUGUAGAUAACAGCCGCAAAACACUGAGAUUGAAAAUCAGGGCUACUAAAUUCUACUAAAAGCCCUUAAAAUAGACAGCGAUCACCCUGAAAUGUAUAUACUGAAACUAAGAAAUAUUAAUCGCAAAGUUAUGCAUUAAUAGAACUAUUGACUACUUAUCUUUAGCAUAAGGUAUAUUUUUAACUACAGCUUUAUGCUUUGUUUUAAGAACUAGGCAAAAAUGGUGUAUCUUCAAUCCAAUCAACAUGUAUACCACUUAUCUUCCUCUUCACUUCUGUCUAUUUUGAUUUGCACUUCAUAUCCUGCACUUGCUGCUUAGAAAUAGUCUUAUUCUGGACAUUGAAAGUAGAAAAAGUGCUUGAAACAAUCAUUGGCAUAGCCCGAGAUUCCAUUGAAUCGUGGACUCCAAGCUUUCAUAGUUCUAUAAAGAAAAUGACAAAACUUCAUACAAUUGGCAUUCUGCUUUUAACAUUUGCACAACCUGAGCGAGUUAGCAAGCCCCUUGUUGCGUUCCCAUUGAAUAGACCUACUUCUGUUAUCCACAGAAGAUCCACAACUCAAAAUGUUUAUCACCAGGCUAUUCUUAAACUGAGCCUAAACUGAGUAGAAACUUCCGCACAUCUCUCAGCAUUUACAUGAAGAAAUCGACAACUAUCCUCAUCUCUCAGCACAUCUCUCAGCAUUCUACAAAGUUGCAUUUCACUAAGCAAUCUAUCCUCUCCAUUCCUAGCAAAGUGACAUUGAUUCCCGUAUUUGUAAUCGCCUAACUUGGGUUUUGGGCAUAGCUUGGUCUUAAAAUUACCACCCAUUACUUUGUUCAGUGCCACUGGCAUCCACAAGCUCUAGCCCUGUUAGCUGAAUCAUAUUCAAUGGGACAGUGAGGCAGCAUUUCACUAACAUAUUCAAUUUGACUACUUAUAUUGACGCAAAUAUUAGAAUUUGAAAUCACUUCUUUUCUUGGAAUAUUAUAUUAAAAUGAACCCAAAUGAAAGUUCUUGAAUGGAAAUGAUUUUUAUUUAAUUUUCGAACAGAUUCAAGAAAACCCAGAGAACACAAAUUUUACACAGUAAUAUGAUUAAGAGCUGAGAACGUACAUGUAGUAAAUGUCUAUCAAAAAACACCCAAGGGUUUCUUUAAAAUUAGAAACUAGUAAACAAAAAGAAAGAAUCAUUUCACAUUUUUAGCAACUUUGGGGUGAGUGAGUGAGUGAGAAAUUGAAACCCUAAAGUGAUGACAAUAGUAAGAUUCAGUAUGAAGUGAAACCCCAAUUUGAAAUGUAGGCAUGAGUUGCUGAGUCAGUAGAUGAAGCUAUAAAUAGGCAUUCGGUUUCCUUCUUUUCGGUUUGGAGGGCCAUGGAAUAGUGUAUUGGAGUGGGCUCCAAGUAAUAGCCUCUAUCACUGGAACGACACAUCUGUAAAACGUGAUACAUGGGGAAGGAUUGGGCAUUAUAUUCUUAGAGUUAGAUUAGCGCCUUAUUUAGGGUGUAUAUUAAGCAGAUUAUACAUUACAUGGAGAUGGAGUUUAUGAAAUAGAUUAAAAAGAAAAGAAAAUUUCGGUGUCUAAAGUUUGCCACUUGGAAUAUUUCGGUGUCUAAAAAUUCACUCACCACUUAUGUCAUGUUUGAUUAUAUGUUGAAAAGAUAUUAAAAUAGUAUAAUGCUAUUAAGGCUUAACGUAUAUUUUUUAUUAGUAGAGUGUAGAAUUUUUAAGAAAUAAAUUAUUAAAUUAUUAUAACUAACAUAUUAUUUUAAAGUUGUGUUAUGAAAAAAAAAUAAAAUAAAAACAUACAGUAAAUAAGAAUAUUCUAAAACUUUUAUCUUUUUAAAAUUAGUUUUUAACAUAAGGUGAACUAUUUUUUUUUAAAUCACAUAUUCUAGUUAAAAUCAAAUAUGUAUUUAUAUGAAGCUUGUAAAUUUUUUUUUUAGUACUGAUAUUUGAAUAUUAUCAAUAAAAAAAAAAGGGUAAUGUUCAUGCUGCAUUAUUUUUGUAGCACACAAUAGGACAACACCGUUUAUGUUAUAAUACUAUCGCUUCUGUUAUGAUAAUAUUUUUUUGUGGCCAAAUAUCUUUUUUUUUUUUUUUAAGUAAAAGGGUGGACAAAAUACAAAUCAGUUUUUAAUCCUCAAUCUCUCCCAAAAUUUAAAUUCGUAGUUAACAAAACAAAAUUGUUGGAAAACCAUUAAGCUAGGUCCAUGGGUUGUUAAAACUAUAUAGCUGACAAAAAGUUACUAACAAAAACAGAAUGUCCAUUUUAUAACUUUCUUUAAAAACAUUCCUUAACUUUUUUAAAAAGUUACCAACAAAAAGUUAUUUCCAAUUUUUAUUUUGUUAUAAUUUUUAUAACAAAAUUCGUAGUUAACUAAACUCUUCUUAUUCCCUUUCUCAACUGCCAUACCCUAACCCACUAAACCACGCUCAAUUAAGGCCAUCAGAUUCUCCCGGGCCCACAUUAAUCCAACUGCUCACAGAGACCGACAGCCUCUCUAUCUCCGUUUCAAGCUCCCUCUUCAACUGGCUUCUGCUACCGUCCUACUGUUUCUCGGCUUCGGAGGCCGUAUUUGCUCGGCCGGUCCCACGAAGCUCCCUCUCACUCCAAUUGUCGCCCCACAAGACCAAUUGCUUAAUCAAGACACCGAACAAGAAGAGGAUGAGAAGUUGAAACAAGAAUUUGAGAUUGAAGUAAUUUGAGGAUAGACUGCCUAUCCUCUUUCUUUUCGGAAUUCAGUGCCUCAAUCUUGGGUUAAGGAUUUUAUGCGAAGUCAGGGAAAGAGAUUGAAGUUUCAGAUGAAUUUGUGUGCUAGCAUUGAUGGGAUCUUUAACAAUUUAUCUGUGCCCUUUAACAAAGUUAAGGCUAAGUCAGCUUCGUAUAUGGCUGCUGAUUUGGUUAGUGUUGGUGAUUCAUGGCUCAGUUUUGCAAUUAAGAUUGGUUCAAAUGCUUAUGUCACAAAUGGAAGGUAACAUCUUUAUCUUUGACCCGAUAAUUUUUAUUAUCUUUUUAAUUGCAAUGAGAAGAAAUGCCACUGUAGCAUGUAGUGAUGGCACUUAAUAAGUGAGUUGCUCGGAUGUGAACUAGAAAAAUUAAAUAUUGUCUCCUUGGGUAUGCUAGCUUGUAAGUCAGGGUUAAUAUCAGAGCUUAAGAUACUAUAACCGUGAGAAGCUAUUGACUGCCAAUUAAAAUAUCCAUUAAAAUGUCUAGGGAGUUAUGAAGGUGGAGGUAACUUCCAAUUUCUAAGGCCACAGAGUAGACAUCAUCCAGGAUCCUAGGAAAGUCCAGUUAACCUCCUGCUUGAUGCAAUUAAUAAAUUUGGUCAAUGCCACUGAAACCUGCUAACUGACGUCACAAUGUGACAUGAGCACUUCAAAAUGGGACAGACGGUCAGUAGCACUAAAUUUUUCUUGCCUAAGAUUGAGCAAUUGGUCUAACUACUAAUCCCUAUUGUAGGUUGAUCAUUAUUUUUUCAAUUAUGUUCAGUUUGACCCAAAAAGUUGCAGAAUCUUGAGCAGAAUAUUGUCACCGAACACUGUCAAUGUCGUUUAGCAUAGCCAACUAACUUGAUGUUAAAACAAGCACACAAUGUGUCUCAUGUCUCACAAAUCAAAUUAUCAUCUGUAAUGAUGGAGAAUUUUUCCAAUGUAUGAAGUAUGUUUUGAUACGUGGGUUACCUUGGAGAAGAUAUCUCAAAAUAAAGAAUAUGGGGAGAAAACAGUUCAGUAGUUUAUUAUUCUGUAGUCAAGUUUUGUCUUGAAAAUGGUCAAAAUUUAAAUGAAUAAGGACAGGGGAUCUUCAUUCUUUUUUCCCUUUUUUAUACCAAGAUAUCUCUCAACCUUUAUAUAAUCCCCACUGGAUAUCUGCUUCUAAUAAUUAAAAUAAAAAUUUCACCGCUCUAACAAUAAAAAGUAACAUCUUUAGUCAAAUAAUUUACAGUUCCUCAUCAUCUUAGUGUGAGACUAUCAGUACAUUCCAAAAACAUAAUAAAACUGGUUUGAUCCUGUUUAUUGAUGUUUAAAUGUUGUUCAUUGUGACAUGUAGAAAUGAUGAGGCAAAGUUUAUUUGGACAUCAAUUAGUAAGAUCUUGUUUGAAGUUGUUUUCUGAAAUGAACUGCCAAAUGGUAGUUUUUUGGGGACAUUUGAUGGCUCUUUUUUUUUCCUCAUUUUCAACAUGCGCCUGCUUGGAACAGGAAGAAUUAGGCUGCAGAGUUGUUAUAUAUUUUGAGAUGCUCUGGUCAUUGCACAAUUUGUUCACACUGGAAAUUAGAAUGAGAAAUUUGUUGAUGCUGUUUUGAGAGAUCUGCAUUCUAUGCACAAUAACAUGAUUAAUGAAAAUGCAUUGUAGGACUGGAAAGAUCUGUGGCAGCCUGAGCUCGCAAGAAGAAUUUCAAUGGUUAAUUCUCCCCGAGAGGUUAUUGGUUCAGUUUUGAAGUAUAGGGGAGCAUCAUACAAUUCAAAUGAUAUUGAUUCACAAGUUGCUGGUGGGAAGAUUGCUGUUCAGCAGAAUCUGGCAUUACUGGCAAACCAGGUACUCUUACAGAAAUGAUAUCUGGUCAUUGCAUGUUAUUGCCUGACAACUGAUUUUGUUUGUAAAAGUCUGCUUCUUCAUACAUAUGAAUGCAUAUGUUAGUGUUUUCUUCUCCUUUUCAUACAUAUAAAUGCAUAUGUUAGUGUUGUCUUUUCCUUUUCAUACAUAUUAAUACAUAUGUUGGUGUUCUCUCCUGAGAUGGAUGCAAUAAAGGCUUUUGCUCCUAAAUUUAGCUGAAGAAAUGGCAAGGGAUGUGAGAUUCUGUCUCUUUAAAUUAAAAAAAACCCAAAACAAUGAAAAUCCAUAAUAAUGUGGUGUGGAUAAAUUGGCUCCAUUUGGUUCGUUUCCUUAAUGUGAAUGCGCGAGCAAUAGAGACUAACAAAAUGAAGUGACAACAAGAAGUCAGUGUCCUUUGAUGGAUGCAUUUUUAGGCAGAAAUAUGUUUGUAAUUGACCAAAUUUGUCUGGCAUGCCAAUUUCAAAAAAAUUAAAUUAUGUGGUUAUUAGCGGUAAUGAAGGGGGAUAGUAGGUGCAAUCAGGUGGAUCCAGGAAAGUUCAACAAAGUUUUGGUAUGGCGUAGUGAAAUUGGUUUGUGCAACUCAGGAGUCUUUCAGGUGAACGAUGAUAGGUUUUGAUUUAUGAAUAUUAUAAAUAUACUGUGCAUAGUAUUCUAGUAGAAUCAUCUAUAAGUUCUAGUUAUUGAAAUUGUAUACUUUGCCCGGUUUGAGUUAAGGGCACAUGUAAUAUGAAAGAUAGUUGUCGCAUCUUUUAGGUUACCUAACAUUUGAUCAAUCCUAUUAUGGGGGCUUCAAGAUGUCUAACAAUAUGUAGAAUGCCCAUGCUCCUACCCAUUGUUUAUCUUCUACAAUAAUUUGUUUUAGAUGCUAAUAUCUUUGUCGAUACCGGUAACAAUAUUACAAUAUCAGCGUUUAUUGGGUUUUACAUAGGUUCGACUGGUUGACAGUACACACUAUCUGAAGGCAUUUGCAAUUGGAGAUGUAUGGGUUGCUGUUGGGUGGAUCAGUGAUGUUCUUCCUGCUGUCAAACAUAUGUCUAAUGUUGCUGUGUUGUUCCCAAGUCUGGUGCUAGCUGCCUGCCAUUCUACUUCGAUAUUCACAUUGUUAUCUCCUUCAUAUUAGCGAUCAGUAAACACGAUAAUGUGACUAAUAAGUUCGUAUUCUCUUUAUAGGCAAUCCCUGCUGCCUCAAGACUUGAAACAAAACAAAUUGGAGGGCGAGUCAGAGGUCCAUCUCCAUUAAUCCAUCAAUGGAUAGAAUUCUGCUUGCAAACAGCGAGAGCAUUGCCUUUCAAGCAAGAGGUUAUCCUGGGUGCAUCUCCCUCUGCCCUUGAAAGUACUCUGGUUAAGUUGCCUGAAGAACUUCUGGAGGGUAAACCAAGUCUGGAUACUAACUUAAUUGCUGGAGUACUCCCGGCUGAAAUUCUGGCCAGAUGUGAGUUUUUGGAGCCAUUAUCUGAAGCUACUUUGUCAGAUUAUGAGUGGCUGGUUGUUAAUCUGCAAAAACCUGCUCCUGUCUUGAUGAAAAGGGUGCAACAUUACUUGUCAUCAUUAAUCCAAAGCUUUCUAGCAAGAGCUACAUUGAAAAGUUAAUGGCGCUGCAUGCCAGUCAUUAUAAUGCUGUCAGGGCAAUUGGGUCAGGGCAAUUAGGUCUGAGCAUAACUUCAUUAGGAAAAGAGGCUUCAGCUACGUUAAAUAUUACAGGAUGUACUGAGAUGGCUGAAGUUCUUGAGGUUUUAUGAGAAAGAUGAGUGUUUGUUUGAACAAAGUUGUUGCCAAUCUUGCAGAGUUCGAAAACAAAGAUCACGGAGCGAAUGCCACCAAUUUCUUCAUCAUUUUAGCCUCCAUAGUUGAAGUUUCCUCAUUUGAAGCUGUUUAUGCAUAUGCUUUUUCCCUUCUCAAGUACAGGAAAUUGAAGAAUUAACCAGAUGUGAUAUGCUGAAAGAGGGAAGUUUUCUUCCUUGAAUGUGGCCUUUGUGAUUUGUCUUGAUGGAAUAGGGUGAUCACUGGCGAGAACCCAAUCAAGGUAGAUUUUAUGAUGUUAACAUAUUAUUAAGCAUUUUGUUGCAUCAGCAAUGAUGCUUUCAUAGAAUGAAAGUGUUUAAAUUUAACUGAAUGAUCUUGAUUGAUCAAUUAUGAGUUUUAAUCGAGUAAAAACUAAAUACAAUGAUCGUUAACAAAUAUUGAAAUUGGGUAAAUAUGAUCUUGAUAUUGAAGAAUUUGAAAUCACAACCCACACAGGAAAUCACCCUUCGCGUGGGGAUGGUGAUGUUUACUGCAGCGAUAUUGAAUAUGUCCGCUGCUCUUUGGGUUAUGGUGCGAGUGCGACUUGCGAUUUCAAGGUUGCCAUGAAACAAUGGAAAAGAUUAACAUGCCCUCCAAUGAAUGAAACUAUUAUGUUAUUAACAAUGCACAGUCCGAGUACUUUUCCAGGAUCAGAUACGAGGUGGUCUAAUGUUGAUAAUAAUAGAUUAUCAAAUGACAAAUCGUUGUUCUUGGGUGGUGAUUUCAGAAAUAAAAUACAUUCUGAGAGAUGCUGGUUUACUAUUGCAAGCCCCCAGAUUUAAGAAUCUUUUGAUGAUAAUUUAUCACCUGCAGCUGUGCCGGAAGAUUCAAGUAGCACUGAAAAAGAUGAUAAUUUAAUUGAUAUGGACAGUUUUCAUAUCACUUUUAAAUCAUCUUAUGUAAUUGUAAUGUUAGGAAGCAUUAGUGAUCUAAAAGUGAACUAUUAUUGGUGUAAUUGGUGGUUUUAUCUUGUUAAAAUAUGGAUGACUUCCUGUUACUAUUUUAUUAUAGACAAUCUUAUUCAAUUAACAUAUGGUUUAAAACCAUUAUGUUUUAUGUAAAUCAAUCUAUUAAUUUUCAUGAUACUUAACUGAGUUAAAACCAAGUGCACUCAAUAAAUGUCUUUUCCUUUAAAAAACUGCUACGCUUUGAUUUUAGUGCUUAAUAUUUCGUAACUACAGAUUAUCUAAUUGCGAGUUGCUGUCCAUAGCUACUAAUUUGUAGUGAUUAUCUAAUUGACGAAGGUGACAAUAAUUAUUUUAUUUUCAAUAGCACAACGUGGAAUUCAAUAAUUAAAUUCUCCUGUUUAAUUUGUUUUAAGUUAAAUUAUUAAUUACUUAAACUCUGUUUUAAGUCUUUAAUUUUCUGUGUUUAUGCAGAAUUGGAUUCUUGAGCGUGUUGGACAUGACCAACAAUGAAAUUGACGUAAACAAACAUUACAACGUGUGGACUCCGGUAGCUACCCCGCAAGUCUACAACUUUACAAAUAAUAAUUGAGUAAGCACCUUUGAUUUCUAGCCCCGUUGACUCCACCGACUAAAGUUUUGUAAAAUAAAAAAAAAAUGCAUAGAAUUCCACCAAAUGCAAAACGCGUGGAAUUUAAUUUUCGGCCGUGUGGAUCAAAACAUAAUUUAAUGAAAAAGGAAAAAAAAUGAUAAGAUUUUUAAAAUGUGUGGAAGGUGAUUCAUAUUUUACUGAAACAACUUGUUAAAUUUUUCAAGGAUUUAUAAUAUUUGGUCAUAAAUUACGUGCAUGUUAAUUUUUCCGCCAUUGACUAUCAUAUUCUAGACUUAAUGGUACCUUUCUUGAUGAAGGGUACUUAAUCUCUCUUCUCCUCUUAUAAAAAUUAUAUUAAUUGAUUUCUUAUUAUAGUUAAUAGUCUUCAAGAACGGAUAGAUUUAUUGUCUUCAUGACCAAAUUAUGCAUGCCUAACGUUGCAACUAUUAAUAAAAUUAAUAUUUAAUGUUUAUGUUAAAAUAUAUAAGAUUUUAUGCAUUCAUUAAUUGUUAUUAGCUAAAGGAUGAAUUAUUUUUUCCCAAUCAGUUGAUGCAUCUGCAAGAGUUUUUUUUUUCUUUUAUUGACCAUAAUUAUAUUCCGGGUACAAUAAAUUGUCUUUGGUGCUUGGAAGAUAUGACAUCUCUCUGUCAACUUACUGGAAAUAUCUCCUCAUCUACUCUCAUUUAUCUAAUAUCAAUUGAAGAUCUCAUAUUUCCAAACUAGGACCUCCAAAUCUCAUUAUCAUUUGAGCAUUCAAAACUAAUCAAGUGUGGAAAUAAUCAAAUAUAUGCAAAAAUCGAGUCACAAUCUUUGGCCCCUCAAAAUUCUAAUUAUAUAACUUCAUAUCUCAUACAUUUUCCAAAUUCCUCUUCCAUCAACAUCACUAGGAGUAUGUUCAUCUCUCACACAUUAACUUGAGUGGAGAGUUUCCAAAUUGAUUGUCAGAAAACAAUACAAAAGCUAGACACACUUGAUCUGUCUAAUAAUUCUCUUUCGGUAAAAUAAAUUAAUUUUAGGGUAAUAUUCAGCCAACCUCUGUAAUUUCAGAGUGAUCAUUAAUUAAUUAAUUAAACGAUACAAUAUCUAAAGUGAUUAGAUGUUUGCGGACAAUAUAAGUUCAUGGCUUGAAAUUUGAUCUCUAUCGAUUGGUUUACAGAUGGACGUACUUGUGCCUUUGUGGUGAUAAUUGAACCAGAGAUGUGAAGCUGUAAGGAUUUGGCAGUAGUAAAUUGUUAUAAAGGCAUAAAGACAACUAUUUUACAACAAAUUCAUCUCGCCAAAAAUUCUAUUUUGCUAACUAACAAUAAUUGAGCACUUGACCGCAUUGACUCCACGUCUCCAGCUACUUUCUAAGUAAAAACAUGGAAAUGUAAUCUCCACAAAAUGCCAAACGUGUGGAAUUUAAUUUUUGGCCUUGUGGACCAAAAUGCAAAUGAAAGAAAAAGAAGGAAAAAAACAAGGCCCAAAGACUUCUAAAAGAUGUAAAAGUCUUUGGGUUUUUUUAUAAUGGUGGAUUUUUUAAAAGAAAAAAAAUAACAACACUCCUAUGGUUUGUUUUGAUAAUCACAUUUACAUAUACUCUCUAAUUUUCAAAAUGGACACAUAAAUCUUUUUUUUUCCUACAAAUGUAUAUUAUUCGUAUUUUUUAUUAUUUUUAAUAUCAUAUUGUUAUUUAUUAUAAAUGUUUAAAGUAAAUUUUUAGGUUGAAAUAUAAUAAAAGGGUAUAAUCGUUCUCUUAUUAAACACCCAUACUUUUAGUUUCUAUCCAUUUGCCAUCUCAAUCUCUCUCAAUUAUUCAUUAUUGCUAGCUCAAAAUGCGUUGCUGUUGCAAAUUAUAGCAAAAAGACAAAUAUGGAAAAGAAAAAACGGUAGAAAAUUAGUGCAUGAAAGACUUGGAGAAAACAACGAAGUAAGUCAACUAUAAUCUAGCUGGGUGUAUAAAUUGCUUGAUGCUUUAUAAGCAAAUAACAUACAGAGACAGACAGUGUGUGUUCGUUUUUUCAUAGUUAAAGAUAUAGUUAGAAUGGGCGGUUCAAAAUCAAAAAUGGUGAUAAUGUUUGUUAUGUUAUUAAUAAUAUUUAAAAGUGGGUGGAGUGAGGGAUGUUUGGAUCACGAGAGAUUUGCUCUUUUGCGACUCAAACAUCUCUUCGAUGAUACUGGUAGUUAUCCUUACGACUGGGUAGAUGGUGAGGGAGCUAUUGAUUGUUGUCAGUGGGAAAGGGUUGAGUGCAGCAACACCACAGGCCGAGUGAUAGCGCUAGACCUUUUUGAAAUGUAUUCGGGAGAGUACAGCUGGUAUCUGAAUGCUUCUUUGUUUACUCCCUUCCAACAACUUGAGUCACUUGAUUUAACUGACAACAAAAUAGCCGGUUGUGUUGAGAAUGAAGGUGCUUCGUUUAAUUUAAUUAAUUUACUUUCUCCCCCCUAAUUUAAGUUGAAUAUCAAGACCGAGCAACUAUACGCAUAUUCAUUUAGUCGACAAUUUUGACUUUUUUUUAAGUGAUUAAUUAAUUUUAAAAUUACACCAAUAUCUAUGAUCUUUUUUUUUUUUUAAUUUUGCUUGCAGGUCUAGAGAGGCUAUCAAGAUUGAACAACUUGAAGAUGCUUAAUUUAAGUGAAAACUCGUUCAACAAUAGCAUUUUAUCAUCUCUAACUCAUCUUUCAUCAUUAAGAUCAUUAAAUUUAUUUUGGAAUAGAUUGGAAGGAAGUAUUGACUUUAAAGGUACAUAAUUAAAACUUCAUCCCUUCUCCAAGCUCUUUCAUUAACUUGCUAAAAUAAGACUCAAGGCUUUGAAUUCAAUUUUUUUUAUGAUUAGUAUUAAAAAAAACAGUUUUAAGCAAUUUAUAAAUACAAGUUUUAAUGGUUAUCGUAAUUUCAUCUUGUAAUUUCAUAUGUCUUGAAUUUAAGAUUAAAAAAAAACUCUAAUAGCGAACCAAACACCUCCACAACUUAUUAUUAUUAUUAUUAUUAUUAUUAUUUAUGGUGAGGUUGGAAACAUUCAACUUAAUUUGUACUUAUUACAGAAUUUGAUUCUUUGAGAGAUUUAGAGGAGCUAGACAUUGGCGCGAACAAGAUUGACAAAUUUGUGGUCUCAAAAGGUACUACAAAUACCACAAAAAAUGUAAACUUUUACAAAUUAACUGGAUUCUUUGCCAUUUGGUUUAUUAUUUUAUAGGUUUGAGUAAGUUGAAGUCUCUUGAUUUAAGUGGUAUCAAACUCAACCGUAGUAUCUUAUCUUCUCUAACUGUCUUUUCUUCAUUAAGAGAAUUACAUCUACGUGAUAUCGGAUUCAAAGGAACAUUUGAUGUUCGAGGUAAGCCUAAGCCUUGCUUUCUCAUUUUCUAUAUGCCAACUAGAUUUGUGUAUCAUCGACAUAAUUUAAUAUUUAAUUUGAUAAGUCUGAAGGAAUUACAUGCUAAUUUAAACAUACUUUUAUUUACUUUGUCAAUUAAUUAAUUAAUUAAUUACUAUUUGACAUUGGACGGUUCCUCUCUCCAUAUAAGCCUUCUGCAAAGCAUUGCAUCAUUCACUUCGUUAAAAAAUCUGUCGAUGUCUGAUUCUGAAGUCAAUGGUGUCCUACGUGGUCAAGGUAAAAGAAAAGUGUUGACUGUGAAUAAGCUGUUAAUUAAUUAAUGUUGUUGCUCCUUGCUUCUAAACAGAGUUGCGCAAUUUCACCAACUUGGAAUAUUUGAAUUGGAUUCUUCCUCGCUCCAUAUAAGCCUUCUACAAUUGCUUGAACAAUUUAUUUAUUUAUUUAUUUAUUAUUAUUGUUGUUGUUGUUGUUGUUGAAGUGGGGUGGGCAAGCGUUUACUCGGUUAAUAUGUGGGGAAUUAAAUAUUACAAUCCAAGGUAGAAUUGUGGAAAAUUAAAGUAAAAUGAGAAAUAUGGAAAGAAAGGAAGAAAGUUAAGGGCAUGAAAGACUAGGAGAAGACUAAAGACCACCAAAUAAGUCAACUGAAAACUAGCUGGGGCCUGGGUGUAAAAUUGUUAGAUGUGUUUGUUAUAAAUAACAUAGAGCCCUCUUGUUGGUUGCAGAGGCAGAGAGACAGAGAGUGUGCAUUUUGUUAAUUAAAAAUAUAAAUAUAUAAAAUGGGUGGUUCAAAAUCCAAAAUGGUGAUAAUGUUAGUUUUGUUAGUAUUAAUAAUAUUAUAAGGGAGGUGGCGUGAGGGAUGUUUGGUGCAUGAGAGAUUUGGUCUUUCGAGACUUAAAACAUUUCUUCAAUUCUCCUUCUAAUUUUUGUCACGACUGACCGUUGUCAAUGGGAUGGGGCUGGGUGCAGGGUUGAUUUACGUUAGAACAAUAUAGCCGGUAGUGUUGAGAAUGAAGGUGUUUCAUUUAAUUUAAUUAAUUUACUUUCUCCCUCCUAAUUUAAGUGGAAUAUCAAGACUGAACAAUUAUAUGCAUCUUCGUUCAGUUGACAAUUUUGACAUAUUUUUUUAAGUGAUUAAUUUUGAAAUUACACCAAACAUUAUUUGUGAUCUCUGUUUUGACUUUACUUGCAGGUCUAGAAAGAUUGAGCAACUUGACGAUACUUGAUUUAAGUCAUAACUUGUUCAAUAAUAGCAGCUUGUCAUUUGUUGCUCGUCUUUCAUCAUUAACAUCAUUAGAUUUAUCUUACAAUGGAUUGGAAGGAAGUAUUAAUAUUAAAGGUACGUAAUUAAAACGCCAUCGCUUCUCCCAACUCUUUCAUUAACAUGCUAAAAUAAGAUUCAAGGCUUUGAAUUCAAUUUUUUUUAUGAGUAAUAUUAGAAAAAUAGUUUUAAGCAAUUCAUAAAUACAAUUUUCAAUGUUUCUCAUAAUUUCAUCUUGUACUUUUGUAUGUCUUGACUUUAAGAUUAAAAAAAAAAAUUACUCUAAAUGUGAAGCAAAUACCCCAUGACUAAUUUACAAUUUUGUCCAAUUAAAAAUGAUAAAAUUUAUCAUUUGUUUACAUUGAUUUAUUAACUCUAUUUUAAGUCUUAAGUCUUGGCGUCUUGGCAUGUUUGCAGAAUUUGAUUCCUUGAGCAACUUAGAGGAGUUGGACAUGCGCGGUAAUGAAAUAGACAAUUUCGAGGUUCCUCAAGGUACACAAUUAAAAUAUUAUUUAAUUACAAUAAUUUAAUUCGUUUGAUUAGGGAAGGCCCAAAAUGUACAAAAACAUAAUUAAAAAAAAAUAAAGAAACAGAGAAUUCAUAUUAUUUCAAAAAACAAAAGGUAAUACUAUUAUUUCAAAAAAAGAAUGUAAUAAAGAUUUGAUUCCGGUUCUUUAAUCUUUAUAGCAAUUGAAAAACAAUGUUGCUCUUUUCCUAAAGCAUAAAAUAUGAAAUGAGUCAUAAUUGAAUUAGUCAUUUAUUUUGUUUAGAUAUAAAUUUAGACAAUAAAUUUUCAUUUUUUUUUCAAUCCUAUCCUUAUUAUUAUUAUUAAACAGGUUACAGAGGUUUGAGGAAGUUGAAAAGCCUCUAUCUAUCGAACGUUAAAAUUAGAGAUGGAAGCAAGUUGUUACAGUCAAUGGGAUCACUCCCAUCCCUCAACACUCUUUACCUGAAGCAUAAUAAUUUUACCGGUACAGCGACAACUACUACUCAAGGUAAGUAAAAGGUACAGAUGUGGCCAAAAUUAUAAACAAACUGUUAAUUAAUUAAUUUUUCCGUAUUAUUAAUUAAGCUAAAUUUGUUGCUCCUUCCUUCUAAAUCUACACAGAGUUGCACAAUUUCACCAACUUGGAAUAUUCGACAUUGUCCGGUUCCUCUCUCCAUAUAAGCCUUCUGCAAAGCAUUGCAUCAUUAUUCCCUUCAUUAAAAAAUCUGUCGAUGUCUUAUUGUGAAGUCAAUGGUGUCGUACGCGGUCAAGGUAAAAGAAAAGCGUUGAUUGUGAACUCACUCAAUGGUGUCCUGCGUGUUCAACAUUUUUGUUUAUUUAUUUUAUUGUUUAAUGUUUCUGCUAGGUUUUCCCCAUUUCAAGAGUUUGGAACAUUUGAACAUGGAACGCGCGCGCAUUGCACCCAACACCAGCUUUCUUCAAAUCAUCGGUGAAUCGACGCCUUCUCUUAAGUACUUAUCACUGUCAGAUUUUACUCUCAGCACUAACAGCAGCAGGAUUCUUGAUCGAGGUUAAUCAGAUGCUCCCACCCUCCCUUCUUAAUCUAUAAUAUUAAUUUUCAAUUAAAUAUUUAAUUACACAAAUGAAUCACUUAUUAUAAAAGAAUAAUACGCAUUCAUUAAUUUCUAUAUUGAAUUAAUUGAUGAAUUUAAUAAAUUUUCAGGCCUCUGUUCGUUGAUGCAUCUGCAAGAGUUGUACAAGGUUAAUAAUGAUUUAAGAGGUAGCUUGCCUUGGUGCGUGGCAAAUAUGACAUCCCUCAGGAUAUUAGAUGUUUCUUCCAAUCAACUUACUGGAAGCAUCGCUUCAUCUCCCCUCGCUCAUUUGACAUCCAUUGAGGAGUUGCAUCUUUCAGACAAUCACUUCCGGAUCCCAAUUUCACUUGAACCACUUUUCAAUCACUCAAGACUCAAGAUUUUCGAUGCUGAAAACAACGAACUUAAUGCAGAAAUAACUGAGUCAUAUUCUUUGACCACCCCAAACUUCCAAUUACAAUAUCUCUUGUUGUCUUCCGGUUAUGGAGAUGGUGCCACAUUCCCCAAAUUCCUUUACCAUCAACAUGACUUGGAGUAUGUUGAUCUCUCACACACAAAGAUGAAUGGAGAAUUUCCAAAUUGGUUGUUGGAAAACAACACAAAAUUAAAAACUCUUUUUCUGGUUAAUGAUUCUCUUGCAGGACCUUUCCGUUUGCCAAUUCAUUCACACAAGCGGUUAAGACAGUUAGAUGUCUCCAACAACAACUUCCAAGGCCACAUUCCAUUAGAAAUUGGAGAUAUUUUACCAAAUUUAAUAUCCUUCAACAUUUCAAUGAAUGCUUUAGACGGUAGCAUUCCCUCUUCAUUUGGUAAUAUAAACUUACUCAAAAUUCUGGACUUAUCCAACAACCAAUUGACUGGUGAAAUCCCUGAGCACUUGGCCGUCGGUUGCGUCUACUUGGAUUUUCUUGCGUUAUCAAACAACAGCUUAGAAGGUCAUAUGUUCUCUAGAAACUUUAACCUAAAAAACUUGAAAUGGUUACAAUUGGAAGGCAAUCGCUUCGUAGGUGAGAUCCCACAAAGUUUGUCUAAAUGCUCCUCACUAAAAGGAUUGUACCUUAACAAUAAUAGUCUUUCGGGUAAGAUUCCACGAUGGUUGGGUAAUCUCACAUGGUUACAAUAUAUUAUAAUGCCCAAUAAUCAUCUUGAAGGUCCUAUUCCAGUGGAGUUUUGUCAACUUUAUUCGCUUCAGAUUUUGGACAUUUCAAACAACAACAUAUCUGAAAGUUUACCAUCUUCUUUCCAUCCUCGCUUUAUCAAACAAGUUCACCUAUCGAAAAAUAUGUUACAUGGACAACUAAACAGAGGUACAUUCUUUAAUUGCUCUUCCCUUGUGACAUUAGAUCUUAGCUAUAACUGCUUGAAUGGCAGCAUUCCGGAUUGGGUUGAUGGGCUUUCUUAGUUAAGCCACCUUAUCUUAGGUCACAAUAAUCUUGAAGGUGAAGUGCCAGUUCAAUUGUGCGAACUGAACCGAUUGCAAUUGUUAGAUCUUUCUAAUAAUAAUCUUCACGGUCCUAUUCCUCCUUGCUUUGAUAACACCACACUUCAUGAAAGUUACAGCAAUAGUUAUAGUCUUGAUGAGCAAUUUGAAAUAUUUGUUUCCAUCGAAGGCUCUUGGGGAUCGGUAGAAAAGUAAAUCCAUGAAAUUUUUGAGUUCACAAUAAAGAACAUUGCGUACAUUUACCAAGGAAAAGUUCUUAGCCUCCUAUCAGGACUUGAUCUUUCUUGCAACAAGCUAAUCGGUCAUAUUCCUCCUCAAAUUGGAAAUUUGACAAGGAUUCAAACAUUGAAUCUAUCACACAACAACUUGACAGGAUUGAUCCCAUCAACAUUUUCAAACUUGAAGCAUAUCGAAAGUUUGGAUCUUUCCUACAACAAAUUGAAUGGGAAAAUCCCUCAUCAACUUGUGGAGUUAAAGACAUUGGAGGUUUUCAGUUUGGCAUUCAAUAACUUAUCAGGCGAAAUUCCAGAAUGGAAAGCACAAUUUGCAACCUUCAACGAGAGUAGCUAUGAGGGAAAUACUUUUCUUUGUGGAUUGCCAUUGCCCAUUUGCAGAUCACCAGCAACUACGCCGGAGGCUUCAAUUGGCAAUGAAAGAGAUGAUAAUUUAAUUGACAUGGACAAUUUCUUUAUCACAUUUACAACAUCGUACGUAAUUGUGAUAUUUGGAAUCGUUGUUGUUUUAUAUGUAAAUCCUUAUUGGCGAUGUAGAUGGUUUUACUUUGUUGAAAUGUGGAUAACUUCCUGUUACUAUUUUGUUGUAGACAAUCUUAUUCCAACAAGAUUUUGUCAUUGAAAUUAAUAAGUAGUUUAAUUAGGAUUCUUUAAGUACUAAUCAAGUUUGCUUAGGAAAUAAAUUUUUAUUAAAAUUGUAGUAGUAUUUAGCAUUAUAUAGCUUCCAACUUUCAAGCACUUCACAUUUGUCUCUACACUUAAAAAGUUGAGUGAUCAUGUUUUGCAGAUCUGGAUUUGGAGAAGGAUGGAUCCAAACCCAAAUCUGUCCACCAUAACUUAUACCCUACACUGUGUAGCAUACUUAAAUAAGAGAAUCAUCUCCAAUGUUAAAAGCAACCACUCUAUAACAUUCAUUUAGAAACUAUAUUCAGAAUAGUUUUAUAAUCAUACACAAGAAAUGAAACACCUAGAUACACUUGAUCGCCUAUUUUACUCUAAAAAAGAACGAUUAUAGUGUUAUCAUCAUCUUCUUCACUAGCAACAUUAACACCAAAUCCAGCGAUGGACGCAUACAUUUCAUCAAGAAAGGUAUAUAUCUAAUAAAGUUGAAGCCUGACAAAAAAUUCAGGAAGAUUCAUGCCUCGCCACAACAAGGGGCACAACAACAUCAAAGUAGAGAUUAAGCAGUAUUCUCAAAGCUAAAACUCUCAAAUCCACCCACCAAAUUUUCAUAUCUCCUCAACAAUUUUAAGAACUAAAGAUAAUUAGGAUUUAACAUUAGUUUUUUAUAUAGUAGUUUCAUAAUUUACAAAUCAAUGAAGAUGAAGAUUAUGCUAAUGAAUUCAAAUUAUACCAUACAUUCUCUAGAUGUUACCAAAAAUUUCUAAGUCAAUCCCACAUAUUUCAUAAUUUUAAGACUAGAAAAUUUCAAUAGUUAGAAGUUUCAUUACCUUCAAGUGGAAGAUGAAGAACAUUAUGCAAGUGAUUCAGGUUAUAUCAUACAUACUCCAAAUGCAACUAGAAAUUAACAAGUUCAUGCGCACAUAUUUCAUAACAUUAUGAUUGAAAAGUUUCACAAAGAGAAAUUCUAAAUUCAAUCCCUUGCAUCAAGGCAGUUUGAUUGAUUUGAGUUACUUUAUGAUCAAGCUACUAAUAUAACAUUCAAGUCAGGGAGAAAGUAAAUUAAAACUGGGUACAAAUAACAGUAAAAAUUUGUUGCUAAACAUGAUGUGUAUUUUUUUAAGGCAAUUUGGAAACACAUUUGUUACUAGAUAUUCUCCUCAACUUGGAGACAAAUACAAAUAUUAAAAUGCAUAUGAUCGCACAUACUACUUGGAGCUUAGUAAGAUUUCAUUAAAAGAAGCAAUCAAACCACUUAUCAAUUGUCGCAAUCGUUCUAUAAACUAAAAUAGCAAUAUAAUACAAGAAAAAGAACAUAUAGAUACUCGGCAAGAGUUCAUUAAGAAGUCGCAUCACAUUAGGGUGAGGAGUUUGCUUCUGAUAUCUUGCUAGCUGGGGCUUUUUCUUGUCUUUCUACGUAUGCCGAGGGAAACCAACCAGCUAGGCCCUUGCAUUCACCUUCCGACCAUCCAGUAGGAGCCACCUUGAGAAGUUAUAACUAAAACGGUGAAUUAAAAAAAAGUUGACAAUUCAAAGACCUAAGGGGAAAACUAAUUCUUUUACGUAGAGGAAGUGAACUAGUUGUGAUCACUGAAAUAAAAAAAUAACUAUGGAAGCAUAACAAGAUAUAAAUUCACAUGUCUAUAAGGGUAAACAGGGUGGUUUAGAACUGAGCUAGCAACCCUACUAUAUUCUGAUUUGCACUUCAAUGUAAAAGGGAAUAUAUGGUAGGAAGAAAAAAAACCAACCAUCAUUUGUUAACUUAUUGCUUUUCAAUCAAAAUUUUAAGAACAAAAUGCCAUGUGCUUUGAACAUCAAAUAAGUAUAAGCAUUAGUUCUAAAUUCCACAUAUUAUAAGUUGUUAGAAGGAUAAGUUAAUAGCAUAGUAGAAAAAUCUAUGUGUUGGUAUUUAGAGGGGAAAGUACCUGGCGAACCACAACAUAAUCAUCAAUUGAAAGACUUAGCUCUCCAUUUGCUUGAUCAUCAAAUGGAUGUAUAACCUGCAAGAUAAUGGGAUAAAUAGAACUUAAAAAAAGCAUAACAAAAGCAGCAACAGCAGCAGCAGCAUUCAUUGUAACCACUAUGAUCAUGGCCAACAAAGAUAUAUUAGAAACAAAAUUCCAUUUUUACUACGACUUUAAUAUGUACUAUACGAUAUCAUGACGAUUGGGUUAUCAAGUGCUAUCAAAGUCUAAUAAGUUCUGUAUAACUUUAUAUAGUUAUUUUAAUUAUGGAUCAAAUUUUAAAUUUGAAAUUUUGACUGCUCUCCACAAAAUAUGGCCUAUGCACAAGAAAGUCAUAGAUAAUGAGGAUUACAAGUGUCCGACAUCUUUUGAGUGAUGGAUUUAACAUGAGAGCUUAUGGUCAGUCAAUUUCCUCUGCCUAGCAAUAUAAGCUUUCUCGGCCAGAUUUAUCAUCAAAUACAUAGAUUGCCCCCAAGUCACAUCCAUAUAAACAUAGUUUUCUAGGUAAACCAAGGAGAAUCAUAAUUUAGACAUAAUCAUAAAAAGGCCCAUCUAACUUAAGAGAAAAUCUCAAAAAGAGGGAUGUUGAGCUAUCAGUCUUGUAUCUAUAAGCAAUAUCAAGACUUUACAUCACCUGCUACAUCGUGAGUGGCUACACAACUUUCAGUGGUUUGUCUUUCUUUGGCAUGCCUAACUCAGCUUUGAUGUUGCUGAGAUAUUGAUAGUAGAGACACAUGAUACUUCUAGCUCAUGCAUUUUAUCUAGCUCAUCCGACAACUAUUUCUUUUUUAAUUCAUUAGUGUUUGCUAAACCUCAUGCUCAAAAGUCCUGUUCUCCUAAACAAAGUUUCCUAAGAAUGACUUCCUCAGCACAACAUUUGGACACUUUUAGAGCAAUUUUAUUUGGAGGAAAAGAAUUUUCAAGGUGUUAACUAAUAAAUUUUAAAAUAUAAUUACAAUUUGUCCUACGAUCAUAUGACAAUUUAUUUGGGAUGAAAGGAUACAGACAGACAUCUUCCACUUUCAAGACUAAUCACUACUUCCGUAGAUGUUGUGCAAUGAUACAAAUACUUGACCAGAUGGUAGUGAUGGUAGAAAAAAAUUUAUUGCUCCAAAAUUAAAAUAAGAAUGCAAUAUGUUAAGCAAAAGACUGUGCAACAUCAAAUUAAUUGAUGAGUUUGUAAUUCAGUAAAUUAACAACUUUCAUGGUAAAAUACAACAAGUUUCUUUUAAAAAAAAUAAAAAAAAUAAAUCUUAAAAGACAGCAUUCAUUUUUGUGCGCAUGUUAUUUCUUAAGAUUUUUCAGGAGGAGGGCAAUAGAGGGACUUUCACCUAUGCAAGAGAGCAGAAGCCUUACUUUUGCUAUAAAGUAGACGUCAUUCUGAUUAAUAUGCGUUUGAAUCAGCUCCGUUUGCUAUAAAGUAGACGUCACACAUGAGGCAUUUACAUCCAUUUCCAAAGUCACAUGUUGCGAGGAGGACUCAUUUGAUUGCUCCUCUAGGAUCAUCUAAUGCAAGUAGUAAGGGUUGGAAGAAAAUAAAAAGUCACAAUUAUUCUUUUGCGUAAGUGAGACGAAAAUGAUAAAUGCAAUAUUAUCAGCAGUAAACAAGAAGAGAACGCUCCAAGGAAUAGAUAGAUGCAGACAAGCAAGUUAAAAUGCAUAGUCCCAAACCUCCGCAUACAACUUCUCUAAAAUAGCAAUAACGUGUUGAUGAUAUGUUUUCUCAGCAUCUACCUGCAAAGGCCCGAGACCAGGAAAACGGCAAUAAAACCACUAGCUAAAGGAGAAAGUAAAGAAAGAAAUACACUUGACAUAAAUCUUGACAAGAAGCACAGUUUAAACCCCAAUCAUAUUGUUUAGAACUACCAUUCGUUAUUGUAACAUUUCGAACAAGUGUUGACUUAAUUCAACAUUGUUGGAAAGAUAGGCUUUUAAAAGCGGAAGAAAGCCACUCAAACCAAAGUGAUUGUCCUUGUAUUGAUCAAGGGAUGUAAACAUAUUACAUUUGCAGGAUAAGUUUUAAUUAAUCACUCCCCUGAUUUAUUUGGGUUGCAGUUUAAUUUGUGAAUUUUUUUCUAUAGACAUGUUAGUUCUUGCUAUUGAAAUGUUAAAAGCAUUGAAAAAUUAUUCAAUAAAUUAUGCAUAACAUUAAAAUAGAGGACAUAUUAAAAAGUUUCUAAUUACAAUGUUAAUAUUUCCUAUAUUUUAGCAUUUGCAUAUUUUAAUUUAUUUAAAAGCUACGUCGAUCAACUGUGGGCAUGAAGAUUUUAGCUUCUACGAGACUUGAUUGGAAUAUGCAUAAGGAAGAGUGUUAAAAUAUGAUGCAUCCAACGAAAGACAAACCACGUGUAGUCUUUUAAUUAAGCCAAAGUAGCAGCUCAAACAAAUGACACUUGGACCAACAUGCAAUCAUGAAGUGGCCGGAAAAAGGACAAAUGCAACUUUGGCUUAAAUAAAAAAUAACAUGUGACUUGACUUUUGCUGGACAUGCAUCAUGUUAUUACAAGACAACAGAAAUCAGUAUGAUAGUACUAAAAGUUGACAAUAACAUGAAGAUAAGAGGCAGAAUGUCAACACAUGCAUAGGCACACACAAGAAAGUAUUAACUUAUAUACCAUAGCAAAAAGUCUUUGAUAUGUCAUCUGUUGCUGCUGUGAUUCAACUGACAGCAUGGCAGCUGUUGCUUCUCUACCAAGAGCCAUUAUUGUAGAUUUAAGCUCGGUCAAUCUUGCUUCUGCAUUUCGAAGCUUCACAGCACUCUCUGCUGAUAUAUCAGAUUCCCUAAUCUUUGAUCGGCGCCUAAAUACUUCAGCUGCCUGGUGAAAAUAUUCAAUAUAAAUCUAACAUAAUUCUAAUCUUACCUGGGCUUCAACUUCAUGUCGAAGUUUGUCAUAACGAUGAGUCAGGUGUCGAGCAUCUUCCAAAGGUGCUCCGUUGAUUAACGCCCGUAGUGGCUCAGAUACCUACAUGUCCAAAAACCUGUAACAUAGUUAGAAAAAUGAAAAGAAAGAGCGAAACCUCAAUUAAAAAGUUCCUCCAACAUAAUCAUGGAAUUUGGGCCUACUUCAAGGAUAUAUAUAUAUAAGGAUAAUUUAUGCAAUUUUGGGUCUUAGGAUGAUUCAUAUUAGGUUAGUGUUCUUCUCUUCUGUAUUUAAGGUUAAAAUAGAAAUAAACCUAUGCAAAUAUAUAAAUUAGGGCUGUAAGACUUCCACAUGCAUCCUUCAGUCUCAUGGAUUUGAUUUUACUAUAGAUGCAAGUGUCUUUAUCGAAAAUGCUUGGAGUCAAUUGAGAGAACUCACGGCCAAUAACUUGUCAGACGCUAGUCUUUGCUAGUGAUGUAAGAAGUCACAAGGUCUCUUCAGCAUUUGAACCAAUAAAAUUAUUAAGUCAUGGAUGUCACUAGCAAUGAUUUUAAUAUAAAACAUUAAAUAUUUCAGAGUUGUAACUUUAAAAUGGAUUCUUUUAUUCAAUAUCUUAGAACUAAGUUUCCUUAUGAGAAGAUAAUAGUUUCAGUAGUAAUUUACAUAUAAUUUUCUAUAUUUGAAUUAUUUUCUAGUUAGGGAUGAACUAACCUGAUCACCAAGAAUCCCAAGCAAAGUUUCCCUCUCAUUUUCCAUCAAAUCAUGUGAAGUGCCAAAUUGAAGAGCAGCUCUUGCAACGCAAGAAUUGUCACUUUGAUUCUCCGCUCCAUACUUGCAACAAUCUUCAGCCAACUUUCUCGCUACAAUAUUUGAAUACAAAAAUAUUGUGCACAAGAACUAGUCAAGAAAAAAAAAAUCAAAUAUUAUAACGAAUGCAAGAGCAAACAAACAACCUAUUUCCAUUUGUUUCAAGCUUACUGCAACAAGCCCUUCAAUGCCACGAACAAUAUUCCUCUGAAAAUGCUGCGCUACAGAGCAUAUAUUCCAAAUUAUUGUUCAGAUAAAACCAUAGAAACCAUCAUAAUUAUUCAACAUACAUUAAGCUCCGUUUGGUAAAUACUUGCAACUUCAGUCUAGAGAAUACAGUUCUAUAUAUGUAGCAGUCUAAAGGAGGAUGGUGCCUUAGCUGCCCUGGUGGAAUUGUAUAGAUUUUGAAGUUGUUGGUGACACUCAAUUUCAGCUUCAUCAACUGCCUGUACAAAUCAUAAAAAACUAAUGAAAAAAAUAAAUAAAAUCGAGAAAUUUCACUAAUUAAAAGUCUAAAUAUAAUUUUAAAAAAGAAAGAAACGCACUUGGUGCUGCUUGGCGACUUGUUCUCGGAGCUUGAUUGCCUGUUUCUUGAUAGCUUCCAUACUGUUUCUUUCAAAAAGCGGCGACGGCUCAGCUCAUGGAAGUUGGGGAAAAAAAAAAGUGUGAUCAAGAAAAUAAAAAGGCAUAUUAUUGUUGACAAAAUGUGAAAAUAAAAAAGAAAAAAGAAAAUUAUAAGUUUGAAAGGAGAAGAUGAUAGUGGAAGAGUGCGGCGUGGCUGCCAGCUACUUGGAUUGUAUUGUCGGGUAAGGUAAUUGUAGAAAAUUAUAAGUUUGAACAGAGCAUGUUAGACUUUUGUUGACCAAAUUCAAAAGGCAAAUGGCACGGCCCAGAAGCUUUGGAAUACAGUAACUUACAAGAAAGCUCCAUUUAUUCUUCUUAUACUUUACGCUUGCAUCAGCUUAAAUCACUUCUUAAUCGCUUGCUUUAACUGCGCCGCUUUGUACUGUUCUAUAUAUGUAGCAGUUAUGCGGAUGUAGUUCACGGCUGAGGGUACGUGUUUGUUUGACGUGGUAGUUACGUUACGACGUUACGAGAGUAUUAUUAGUUAUUUCACAGGGAUAAAUAAGAUUAGUCACAAUAAACCCACUAGUUUUAUAAAAUUCGAGUAAUAUAGAAUAAAAUAAAAAAUGAAUACAAAAUUGACUUUUAUUUUUUAUGGUUGACUAUAUUUUGUGUUCUCUUCUGGUACUACUACAAUUGUUCCCUGUAUAUCACUCAUACCCAUAUAUCAUUGACACAAGAAAUGAAAUCUAAUGUCAGAUGUUUAGUUAAAGAAUCACUUAUGAAAAAAUUUUACCAUUUUGAUUUGAGGAUCCCUAUUUUGAACUGCAAGCUAAUGUUCAUCAAGAACAGAGUAUGGCAGUUGAGUAGAAAAACUAUUUUUGGACAAAUUAUUUUUAUUGAUAGAAGAAUUUCUCAAGGGACUACUAAAAUUAUUAAAAAAAAAUGUCAAACACGCCCAUAUAUCAUCAACACAAUUGGUUUUGAGAAUCCAUACUUUAAACUGCCGCCUAAUAUUCAUCAAGAGCAGAGCAUGGCUUGUGAGUAGAAAAUUUUCUGAUUUUGGCCCCAAAUAAUCCAGCACUUUCUCAUGAAGAAAUGCAUACAAAGCAUACCAUGGUACCAUACAAUACAAGGAGUCUCCGUUCUCUAGUUUUUCAAACUCUAAAGGGGCCAAUACUCCCUAAUUCCCCCUCGAAAAUUCUGAUUAUGACAUUAUUCAUCCCUCGAUGCAAUCAAAGUAGUGACAAAGUUAGGAAAAAUAUGAGUCCUAAGUAAUUGCUAGGCAGGGCUCCUGUGAGCAAAAUUGUCCUAAGCAUUAUAUGCAUACAUGGUGUGGUACAUAAAGCACAAUGAAUUCCACACUAUAACACAAACCCAGAAAGAGAAGAAACAACUUAAUUGAUGUAAAGACAAAAAGAAGAUAAAAUGAUAUAGAAAAAAAAAUUCAAAGAGAUAGCAACAUACUAUAGACUGAAGCCACUUGAUCUGCUCAUUGAUUGCAGCCUUAAACUUGCAAAUAGUUACCGUAAGCUAGUGCUAUAAGAAGUGAAAAUGAUGCACACCCUGAUUCCCUUCGACUUCCAUUUACUGUCAAACAUUCUAUUAAUACAAAAAAAUUGUUCAAAUAUCUUGCCAUAAAUAUAGCCGUUUGACUGGCUUAAUAAAGUCACAAAUAACCAUUCAUAUUGAUCCACAGUGUCACACCGCCUGCUUUAUGCAUACAACAGCUGUAUGUAUACCAACUCCUAACCUUAUCAAUACAUUUGGCAAAAACUUAAGAAGAAAACUAUUUCUCCAUCUCUUUUUUGAAAUUUCACAAUAAACCAGCAUAUUGUAAACGUUAUGUUGUAACCUUAUGAUAAAUGCUCUAGACUCCAAAUGAAUUUUAUAUAUGAGGGUUUGUUGCAGCAGAUAUAUUGACUUAUCAAGUAUGAAUCAUUGUCUAGAAGAACUAUCUUUAGAUAAAAGAAUAUUAGAACCAUUCUAGAAUAUCUUUAGGUUGCUAGUUCUAACAGGAAUCUGCAUGUGGCAACAGUUGCCAGAUCCACAAUUCCCCAACUUGAAAUACAUAGUUGCACACCGUGAGAUAGUGCUGCAAUCUACUGAGAUCUAACUUAUAUGAUACUUUAAGCUACUAAUGUUUGCAUAUUUCUACAUGUUAAAUUGACACUACCAUCUAUAAUCACUCUAAAACGACAGAUGAUAAGCAGCUUUUGGCUACUUAUUACUAGCAUCCACAAUUAAUUUUUGUUCAGCAAUCAGCUUAUUUUAUAGAAAUUGAUUUAGUCAGCAACAAACACUAUAAUCCUUGAAAUUAGUUCUUGUUCUUUGUAAUUUUCUAUGAUUUUUCAUACAUCAAUUAAUCUGCAGUGCCAAGAUGAGGUUUGGUUUUUCAAACUAAAUAAUCAAGUAGCAAAAAUACAAAUUUAGAGAUUAGGGGGUGAACUAGCUAGGUGGUUUACAAAUAUUCCUAUUUGUAAGGUGAAUUAAUUGAAUCAUGAGAAAACAAUGUGACCAUAGCUCAAUAUGAGAUGAUUUCGGAGAGGCAUAUUGUUUUCAAGUGAAUUUGAUCCAUUAAGAGAUGAAGUGGAUUGAAGUGGAAAGUUUAAAUAACAAAUCCUUGUUCUUGAGUUUUACGACGUUGUUACUCCUUCAGGUGGCAGAUUAUGCAAGUGAAUUCAAAAACACAAUGCAUCAAUCACGGGGAUGCUACACCAAAAGACGGGAUCAUAGUCUAUGCAUUGAACAGUUACAGUUGCUGCUACCAAUUGACUCGGCAAAGAUCAAGAAGACUGAACGGGAAGUUAAUGCCAUCAAUGUCGUCUUCACUAUAGCUGCUGGGAAUGUAGGUGAACUUUCCUCAUUUGCGGCUGUCUAUACAUAGGCUUUUCCCCAGCUUAAGUACAAAUAAAUGAACCUGCUUUGAAGGCUUUAUUAUUGACCACAAUAAGGAUUACUAAUUGAAGAAGACUAUACGGAGUUAAUCCCACACUUUCGUUCUCUCAAUUUCUUUCAGAAGUGCCUCUGAAAAUAGCUGCCAAACCGUUAGUCAGCUUGUUAGACUCUGUUUUCUGGAAACAGAGCCCUAACUAACUGACUGUACAGAGUAAGUCAACAUAGCAUAUUUAAUCGUUUUAAUUGAAUUGUCUUCGUAGCGAUCAUCAACAAACUCAUCAUGAGAUUUUUGAAGCACCCAAGGACUAUCACUGGGUUUCUCUUCUGGUUGAUUAAUUAAUUAAUCAAAGAACGGUUGGAUACCCAAGGACAAUUAAAAUUAUUCGACUUCUGGAACUGGGAAUGAAGUGCAAUGAUGGAGCAAAAUUUACAAUGUCUCCGGUUUCUCCUACCAUCGGACUUUUGCAGUGAGAACAUAUAACAAAAAGGCCUUCAUCAAAAUUUGUAGACUCCGGGUAUGGAUUGGAUCGAUUUUUUUGUUUGAUAUUGAAGAACCUCUUUACUAUCGCGAUAUAGAUUAUGUGCAAGGAGUUGUCUACUGUUCUUUGCCUUGUGCUAUGAUCGGUGCUCUUGAGGCUGCCCUGAAACACAGGAAAAUACUUCGAUAUCCUCCGUUCGAUGAUGCAAAGAACCGGUUAAUGUAUGAUUACCUAAUUGACUCAGGAUCAGGUAACAACAACAACAAUUUAUUAAUAUCACAAACGAAGAAGAUCGCGGAGAGGGAGAUGUAUGCCUAUACUGUUUACAGGUUUGAUCCAUUGGGGAUGAAGUGGUCUCAAGUCGAAAGUGAUUUAUUAAACAACAAAUCAUUGUUCUUGGGUUAUACCUCAUGAUGUCAUCAAGUGGAAGAUUAAGAUUAUGCAAGACGAAGAUCGUUUGAUAUUGAAGAAUUUGAACAGAAAGCCCAUAGAAAGUACUUAAAAAAGCAUAUUCUUGUUGGGGUAGAAUAUUGAGAAAGGAGUUGUCUACUGUGUGUUGCGUGAUUAUGCUAUGAUCUGUGCUUUGAACAUUGCCCUGAAAACAGUGGAAAAUACUUCAUAUCCUCGACAUGAUGAUAAAAAAUUGGUUACCGAUUACGUAACUGACUCAGGUGACAACAAUCCAUUAAUAGCACAAUUUGAGGUGAUGCCGUUUAGGUAUAUGGUUAACAGGUUUGAUUCAUCAAUGAUGAAGUGGGCUUAAAUUAAAAGAUCAUAUAAUAAGUCGUUCUUCUUGGGCAUAUCGUCAUUACUACUUCAAGUGAUCAAAGAUGAAGAUGAAGAUGAAAAUUGUGCAAGUGAGUUCAAGAAUACCAUACAUCGUUACUUGGGAUACUUCUUCAAAUAUGGAUGGGGUCAUAAUUUACUCCCACGAAUUUCAACCCAAUUUUAUGAUUGGAGUGUCCCACCAUGACUCAGAAAAAUUUUGAUUCAACCUCCUCCACCAAUGGAUUUUGAAUAGUCACUUUGUGAUCAAGCAACUUAAUUAAACUCAGAGAGUCAGAGUUCGAUUUUGCUGGCACCGCAUUUUCUUUAAAAUGUGGCCAUGUAAGGAGAGCGGCACAUAAUGUCACUUCCUUAUCAAGCACUUUAAAGAGGGAUUUUAGAAGAAGAUACAACUGCAAUUGUUUUCGUAUGUAUAUAUAUAAACAACAGCACACAUUCAGUUCAUAAAAGAAAUUUUUGCUAACCAUGAUAUGUGGUAGUGCUUUUUAGGCAAUUUAGAAACAGAGUUGUUCAACUUACAGCAGGUAUUCUCCUCAAGUUCGACGUAAAUACAAAUAUUAAUUAGAAUCCAUAUUAUAAUGACACACAUAACUUGCUUCAAAAUUAUCAGAAAUUAAAAUUGCUGAUUCAUAAUGCAGAUAACUUGGAUGAAUUGAUGUUAAAGGAAAAAUCACACGCAUAACUUGGAGAGCAAUUGCGACAGCAGCCAAGUAUAUAUUUUUAUUUGAGAGUUGAGAAGAAUAUAUUUAAUGAAGCUUGAUAACAUUUGAUGGGAUAGCAAGUAAGGGUAAAUAAGAUAUUUUUAUUUGUUAUUUAUUUGAAUUAUAUCUAUUUUGUUCAAGUUAAAAUACUAAAUAUAAAUUGGAGGUAGACAUUUUAACAGAUCAUCUAAGCUCUCAAAUCUGAAAUUUUGUGUAGAUUUAAAUUCAUAAUUUUAGUUAAUUUUCAUUCAUUCAUAUAAACAAAUUUAUGAGAUUUUUCUUUUCAGCAUGUUAUAUUUUGAAACUUUCAAUGUAUUAUUCUAGCUUUAUUUAAACAAUUAAUUUAUUUAAUUUUGAAUUUGAUCAGUAGUAAAAUUAUUUUUAUAUCAAAUUUUUUUUAUUUAAAUAGUUCGUGGAUUGGACAAAAUUAAAAAAUUUUAAUCUACAAAAUGGUGGAUUAGAUAUGAAUUGGGUUAAAUCCACAUUCGAUUUGCAGUCGUAUGAAUUUGAUUUGGAUUGAAUUUCAUCAAUCCAUGGAUUAGAUUGGAUUGAAAAUUUAUUAUCCGCAAAAUCGUGGAUCGAAUAUGGACUGAUGUCCAAUCAGCAAAAUCCGAUCCCCGAACACGCCUCUAUCAAAAUUUUCAAGAAUAUGUUUUAUCUUACAAAUUUUUUUUUAAAGUCAUAAUCUAAUGGCAGCCCAAUUUUAUAAAGUCACACACAACCAUUCUUAUUAAAUUAGAAAGAUCAAACACUGCACUGGAUCUUGAACAGAUCAACACAAGUUGCACAACUUGCGAUUGAAUCCGGCCUGAAACAAUCAACUCUUUAGCAAGAACAAUUAAUCAGAGUCAAGAAACAAGUUUAAUGAAUAUAAACCUAUAAUUGAAACAAACAUAGCAAAGAAAAAAAAUACAGAUUUUACACGGUUCAGUUGUACCUAGGAUGGCACAACCUACACCACGAGAGAAGCUUUCUGGUGAGAUUUUAUUGAUGAUCAAAGAAGAAUCUUUUGACAAAGCUAAUAAUAGAGAUUUCAGAGAAUAAGCUAUAACCUCUCUCCCUCUUCAAUCUCUCUCUAUUUUGUUCCCAUUGAUGACCCCAAUCUGCUUAGUUAGCCAGCUUUAUAGCUGCAUCAGUAACAAACCAGCAAACCCAGAUUGAGCAGAUUGACGACACGUGGAUAACGGCUUUAACGAACCUGGUUAAGAACUGCUCACAUGUUCGUCACGCGUACUGCUUAAAUGAUGGCCAAAACGACUUCAAACAAAUGUCGUUUUGAGGCUUAUGAAUUACAAGUGAUAACACGAGAUUGUCUCAUGACUUUUAAAUGCAACAACGUGCCCAAAACGCUGUCGUUUUACUCUGUUGAGUUUGAUUCAUUACUAAGCUUUACGACUGGCAAUGGAGAAGAUGAUAAUUUAAUUGAUAUGGACAGUUUUUAUAUCACUUUUACAAAAUCCUAUGCAAUUGUAAUAUUGGGAAUUAUUGAUGUUUUAUAUGUGAAUCCUCAUUGGCAAAAACUAGUGGUUUUAUCUUUGUUGAAAUGUAGAUUACCUCUCGUUACUAUUUUAUUAUAAACAUAUAGUUUCGUAAGUGAAACUAUAUAUUUAUAAUAAAAUUAACAUAUAGUUUCGUUACAUUUCUGCCUCAUUAAGAUUCUCAAAUACCAGUCAGGUUUGCUUAAGAAAUAAAAUUUUUCCAUUAAAAUUGCAGUAGUAUUUCCAAGCAUAUCGCAUUUUCUAUGAUUUUUCAUAAAUUAAUUAAUCUGCGGUGCCAAUAUCAGAUUUAGUUUUUCAAACUAAAUAAUCAAGAAAGCAAACAUACAAAUAUACAGUUUAGAGGGGUAAACUAGGUAGGUGGUUUAGAUUUUAGAACUAAGCCAGCUACCUCACUAAAUUCCGAUUCGUACAGUGAACUGCAAGAAAUUGAGAAAACAAUGUAUUUAUAAUUUAAUAGAAUCAUAAGAAAACAAUGUAGUCAUUGCUCAAUAUAAGAUGAUUUCGGAGAGGCACAUUGUUUUCAAGUUAAUUUGAACCGUUUAUAAGAGAUGAAGUGGAAUGAAGUUGAAAGUUUAAAUAACAAAUCCUUGUUCUUGAGUUUUACGACGUCGUUACUCCUUCAAGUGGCAGAUUAUGCAAGUGAAUGCAGAAACACAAUGCAUCAUCCGCGGGGAUGAUACAUCAAAAGGCGGGGUUUGUUUAUGCCUGCAGAUUAGCAAUUUCACUCAUAUCGAAAAUUAAUUUUUUAUAUAUACUAAUCAACACUAAAUUGAUUAUGUGUUGUAUGUUUAUAUGCUAAUCAACACGAAAUUAUAUUGAAUUAUUAACAUUCAUAUUCCUAAUAAAAAUUAUUUUCCAUCAGUAUUCAAAAUUUUCACUUAUAGAAAAUGCGUUUUACGUGAAUACUAGUUAUUGUGUAAAUUUGAAUGAUAGCGAAAAAUAAACCUAUUUGAAAACUGUAAGGGUGUGUUGGGAUAUUUUACAACUGUCGGAAUCUGGUAGGAUAUUGCACCAUUUGCCCAAUAUUUUUAGACGUACUCCAACCGGUAUUCAAGAUAAGUAAAAUUUACAAGCGUGGCAAAAUAAAAAAAAUUAAAUUCGUAAUUUGUAAACGAAUUUUCCUGACAUGUAUAGUAGAUGAAGUUGUUGACCCUUUCUUUGGAUUAUUUCAGCUCUGGUUGUUGGUCACCGAUGAGCCGAAGUCUUAUUUUAAUUCUAUUUAAACUCAUCAUAAGAUUCGUGGAGCACCUAACUAACUUAACUGACUGUGCAGAGCAUCUCAACAUGGCAAAUUUAACCAUCAUUCAAGUGAUGGGUUUAAUAAGACUGCUUUUGUUCUACCAAGUUCCUCCGCCUCUAAGCAGAAUUACUAUUGAAGGGCCAAAUGGAAAAUGAAAACGUGUGAACAACAACAACCACCCCACAAAUUCAAUGACGAUGCUCGGAGAGGGUUAGGUUGGGCCUCUGAGAAAAAAAAAAAUUAUUUAGUUAAAAAGUUACCCUUAUUGAAACCUGUAUAAAAAUUUUAUAUUAAUUAGUUAUGUUGCCUCUUCAACUAUGAUCAAAUUUUUAUCUGAGCUCAUCAUUUAAUGAGUAAACAUGUAUUUUAAUGAUCUCAAUUAAUAUUUAGAACAAAUAUUUUAAGAAGUAAAGCUCAUUAUAUCCCCCAUUAUUAUGUAUCUCUGUAAUGUAUUGAAUUAGAAGAAAAAAAAAAUUCAACUCACUCAAAAAAAAAAAAAUGCUGGUAGCUUCGUAAUAAUUACUGUCUUGACUGCACCAGAUAAAGUUUUGUAAAAGAAUUCUGAUAUUUACCCCGGGUCAAACCCCGAAAAUAACUUAAACGGUGUCGUUUUGAUUUUUUUUUUUUUUAUACUCCAAAACGUUCUUACCAUUUCCGUUUCACUUACCAUUUAAUGCUCACAACUCAAAUAAAAAGCCCAGAAACUAGAAUCAAACUUUACAGAAACUAGAAUGCCCAGAAACGUUGUAUAGCAGGAACGUAUGUAAAGAGAGUAAACAAGAGGGAUUAAACAGAACAUACGUUUUCUUCACUUAUUAUUAGCAACAAACACCCUACACAACACACAUUUAAUGCUCACAACUCAAAUAAAAAGCCCAGAAACUAGAAUCAAACUUUACAGAAACUAGAAUCAAACAAUACACAUUUCAUUUCUUCAAGGUUAGGGAGAGACUCAGGGGAGUGAUUAAUUAACAAAAAUAAGAAUAAUAAUACCAACAUUUGUACAGGUCAAAUAAGAAUAAUAAUACUCAACCUAAUACCCAGUAUAUACAAACAAAUGCCCAGGCCAUCGUUCCUAUUUUGCCAUAACCUAAAGAGGAAAAAGCGAAGCACUACCUCAGGCUGUGAACUUUGCCGCUUCGUGAGUUUAAUUUCCCGAACAAGUUUCGGCUACCAGCGUUACCAGUGUUGACGGUGACCGUGGCUGUCAGCGUUGACGGUGACCGUUGGUGGAUCCCGAAUGCCUGGACCUUGGUCGAGGAAGGAAAGUAACGAAUUUUUUGAACAAACGAAGAAACGAAGCACCGAAGAGAUUUACGGUCAAACGGAACAAGACCAACUUGCUCUUCUAUCUAUGGCUUUCCCAGUUGAAACGAAGAAACGAAGAGGAAGAGGUUUAAUUCUUCUCAAAAUCGUCCAUCAGAAACGGCAACGUUUUGGAGUAUAAAAAAAGAAAAAAAAAUCAAAACGACGCCGUUUAAGUUAUUUUUCGAGUUUGACCCAGGACAAACAUCAUUUUCCUUUGUAAAAUAAUAAGUUCUCAUUAGUGGUUUUUAAUUUUUAAUUUUUUUUUCGGCACACCUGAUCAAGAAUUCUAUUUUGUUAACUAAUAAAUUGCAAAGCAUAAGUGUUGAACGGUACAAAAAAAUUUGAAAAAAAAACACUUAAAACGUAGGGAAAUGAGAAAUAUAGAAAGAAAGGAAGAAAGUUAAGACAUGAAACUGAUCUGCCGUGAAAUUGAUAAUCAUGUUUCUAUUUCGUUAACUAAUCAAACGGAAAACUGGAACUGUAAACAAACAUUAACACGUGUGGACUCUGCUAGCUGCCCUACAAGUCUACAAUAAUAAUUGAGUACCUUUGAUUCAUCCUUCUAUGAAUUUCUAGCUGUAUUGACCCCAACUGCUAAAGUUUUGUAAAAUUAAAAAAAAAAAAAAAAAAAAAAACUGGAAUUUCAACAAAAUUCAAAACGUGAGAAAUUUAAUUUUUGGCCAUGUGGAACAAAAUGUAAAUUACGGAAAAAGUAUAAAUCUCAAUUGCUUAGUAUGGUUAGGUUUUGUGAGCAUCACUAGAAAGUGAAAACUAUGAAUGAUAGGGGUGAUGUUUGCAACAUGAAUAAACGAUGAACUGAUUCAAUUGAUGAUCGUAAUUAUAUAAUGAGCAAAAUUUACAAAAUCAACAAAAGUUAAUAAAAAUUUAUUUUAAUAAUAAAACUUAUUAUUUAACGGCGCUCUAACCAUGGAGUACCAUAAUCAUAUUCUUCUUUUAAGAAAAUUAUAACUUAUUUCAAAUAGCACCAUAACAUAAUUCUAGAUAUUUAAAAGAAAAGCAUUAUUCACCUGAAAUGACUUGGAAGUCUAAAGAAAAAGAGGGAGUGGCUCCCCACAAUUUUCUUGUUUUCAGUAUAUUUUCUUUUUAAAAUCUUUUGACUCAUACAUAAUCUACCCUCGUUCAUUAUCUCUAUUUUGCUCUGUUCAAGUCCCUUUUUUUUCAAAUCUUAGUUUAAAUAAGAAAAUUGAAUAAAAGUACAUUUGUGUAAUUAAUUAGUAUCUGCGGGGGAUAUUUGGUGUAAUGUUUUGCUAUGUAAGACUCAGCUAUUAUUAAAUAGUUCCUUAACCUGUUUCGCAGUUUAUUUGCUAUCUUUGUGGAUCUCAUAGGCGUUGCAGAAUUUAAUAAUUUUAUUCGUCAGAAGAAUAGGAUAUUGGCUUCAAUAAAUUUAAUUUAAACCAACUUUUAUUUACUCCAUCAAUUAAUUAAUGCCAUUUGGUUUUGAAAAAUUCAAUAAUUAAAUUCUCACGUUUCAUGUGUUUGAAGUUAAAUUAUUCAUGGGUAAUUAUCACAAACCUCCCCUGAAGUUUGAUGUAUUAUCAAUUUGAUAGAUUGUAUUCGCGUAUUCUCAGCCACCUCCCCUUAAGUUAGUACACCGUUUAGUAUAAGUUUAGUGAGUGAGGGCAAGAUAGUAAUAGAACUCGUUAAUAAUAAAAAAUUCAAACAAACUUAAAAAUAUCAAAUUGGAUUCUGAAAUUGAUUUGAAUUUUGUUAAUAUUCCAAUGGGUAAAAACAAAAACAUGAUUUUAACCAACAGACAAUAUUAUAACAAAAAAAUGAGAAAGGAAAAUGGCAUCUUCUUGCUCCAUUCAGACAAGAGCUAACAAGAACAACGCCCCUUUCAUCUCUACUAUACUUUAAUAGAAAAAGGGUGCCACGAUCGGGAGACCAUGACGAUGAACUCGAAGACGCCGAUAGCAGGGACGACCGAAUCACGAACGCCAGGUGGAAGAAUGUUGACCAGUGAGUUUCCAUGUUGACCCACAGACAACCUCAGUUUGUUCGAGCCGCGAAUGAGGUAUGAAAAUGCUUAUUACUGUGCAUGUCAGUUUUAUUAGAUGGAAUUAAUCAAUUUGGUAAAAAUGAGUAAUGGGUCUCGACAAUUUUUUGAGAGUAUCUAUGUUGCUUCCAUUGUUUUCCAUCGAUUGGGUUAGUUGUAGGUUAAUGAUUGUUGUAAAUGCAUGUUCACCUGAUUUUGAUUGAAGAUGGCUUCAGCUACAUUAUGCUGCCUUGUGAAUGAUUGAAGAUGGGUAUGAAAAUUUUUUAAUUGUUUAAGCUAUUGCCACUGAUUGUUUGGAUUCAUGCUAGUUUUUAUUAAAUUACAGAUGUAAUUAAGUGUUGGAGAUUCCUUGUGCCGCAAUAUUAAUAUUUUGAGGAUACUUGAUUUUGUUUUUUUUUCUUUUUAUCACGAUAUGUACAUGUCUUGGUUGAAAAAAUGUCAUGAUUUGCUGCAUUCUCUCACACUGGAGCAGUGAGUUUAGUGGUUUUAAUUCUUUUCUUCUCUUUGACUAUGGCUCUACUUCACUGCAUUCAGAUGUCUUUAUUUGUCCAGCGUCAAAUGAUAAAGGAACAUAGUCUCCUUUUGAUUUCAGUUUGUCUUUCUGUUUUGCAGCCAAGAGGUUCUAACUACCAUCGAGAGUGAAAGGCUCUCCAAGUCAAGGCACAUAGCUCCUGCUGCUCUUGUUACUUUCCCUGAAGAUUUUGAUAAUGGGCUGGUGAUUAUUUAGUUUGGUUUCAAAUUAUGUUCUCGACAUUGUAUUUUGAAAUAUUUGGUUGGUGAGAUAAAGUUUAUUAUUAUAUCUCUAAUAUGUGAGAUGGGAUAUUUCAAGAUGGUAUUUUGGUUACAAUGUUUUAUUUGGUAUUUACAAUGUAAUCACAGCUCUUGGCGCUAAAACGGAUAUGACUAGCCAACAAUUCUUUGAUUUGUGUGAACGAAGUAUUUUUUUUCAACACAAGGGUAUUUUGGUCAUUUUGUCAAGUAACAAACAGUCAACUAAAUGGUAUACUAACGUUAGGGGAGGUGGCUGAGAAUACACAAAUACAAUCUAUCAAACUGAGAAUACGCUAAACCUCAAGGGAGGUUUCUGAUAAUUACCCAAUUAUUCAUUAACUAGAACUCUGUUCAAAAUUGACUGUCUUGUGGUUCCCAAAUGUAGUUGUAAUAUUGAAUGAAGGUAAAAACUUUCUAUGCGAGUUUAAAUCUAAAUCUGGACAAUGAAUUUUGACUUUCUCAAUGCUAUCCUAAUUACAAAAAUUAUAUUAAUUGAUUUAUUGUUACAGUUACUAGCCUUUUAAAAUGGAUGAAUUUAUUGUUUCCGUGACCAAAUUAUGCCUGCCUAACGGUGCAACUAUUAAAAAAACUAAUAUUUAAUGCAUAUGUUAAAAGAUUUAAAAUUUUAUGCAUUUAUUAAUUGUUAUAAUCUAAAAAAAAAUAAUUAAUUCAGGUCAAUCUGAGUUGGUGCAUCUGCAGGAGCCUUUUUUUUAAAUUUUUUUCCCCUUAUUGACCAUAAUGACAUCUCCUUCAACAUGACUAUUGACUAGGAGCAUGUAAAAACAUGGAAACAGAAUUUCCACAAAAAUGUCAAACGUGUGGAACUUAAUUUUUGGCCAUGGGGAACAAAUGCAAAUGAAAGAAAAAGGAAAAGACGCCUCUAAGAUUUGUUUCAAUGGUUUACAUUGACUCUUUAAUUUAAUUUAUAGUAACACAAUUUUUUUUUGUACAAAUAUAUAUUAUUCAUGUUUUGUAUUAUUUUUUAACAUCAUAUUUUUAUUUAUUAUAAAUAUUUAAAAUUAAUUUUUAGGUUGAUAUUUAAUAAAAGGGUAUAAUCGUUCUAUCCAUUUCUCAUCUCGCGAUCUCUCUCAAUUAUCCUUUAUUGAUAUCUCAAAGCGCGUUGCUGUGGAAAAUUGUAGCAAAAUGAAAAAUUGGAAAGAAAGGGAAGAAAAUUAUUGCUUGGAGAAAACAACCAAAUAAGUCAACUGGUCUUUAGUGAGAACAUAUCAUUUGUUUUGAUAUUGAAGGACCUACUUCUCUGCCGCGAUGUAGAAUAUGUGAAAGGAGUUGUCUACUGCUCUUUAGGUCAUAAUAAUGUGAUUGGUGCAUUCAACGUUGCCCCGAAACACUGGAAAGUACUUCCAUAUCCUCCGAAUGAGAACUGAUUUAUAUAUGAUUUCCUAAUUGACUCAGGAUCAGAUGACAACAACAACUUAUUAAUAGUUAUAUCAAAACGGCAGAAGACGUGUUUUGUUUACAGGUUGAUCCAUUUGGAAUGACGUGGUCUCAAGUCGAAAGUAAUUUAUUGCAUGCCUGUCGUCUAAAGCAUUACCUCACAAGGUUAUAUCAAAGGGUGUUUUACCUCAUCACGUCUUCAAGUAGAGGAUGAAGUCAGCCACUCGGCCUUUGGCCGAGUGGUGAGAGCUGCUCUCCAAUUUGGAGAGCAGCAGUUCGAACCCCCACAAUGUAUUGUGGGGGUCUUCCUUUCUUCAAUUAAAUUUGAGUGAAGGCAGUCUGUUUUUUUACCCAAGUGUGAGUAGCAGACAUCCCUUGAAAGUGUGAGUAGCAGACAUCCCUUGAAAGGAAUGAAGUUAUAGUCUGAUUUGUAAAUAUCAGUUAUAUUCUCAUGUAAUAUGAGUUGUAGUUUGAGCAAUAGUCUCAUGUAAUCAAAAAAAAAAAAAAAAAAAGUAGAGGAUGAAGUCUAUGCAAGUGAAUUCAGGAAUAUUGCAUGCCUGUCGUCUAAAGCAUUACCUCACAAGGUUUUAUGAGAGACGAAAGAUGUGUUUGCUUUGAACAAUUAAAGUUACUGCUACGGACCUCCCCAAAGGUCAAGAAGACAGAACAGGAAGCUAAUGCCAUCAAUGUCUUGUUCAUUAUAGCUGCUGGGUAGUUAGGUGUAGUUUCCUCAUUUGAAGCUGUCUAUACAUAGGCAUUUCCCCUGCUUAUGUACAAAUAAAUGAACAACCUUGAAGCUUUAUUAUUCGCAACAAAAAGGGAUUACUAAUUGGAGAAGACUAUACAGAGUUUCUCUCACACUUUCUCUCUGUCAAUUUCAUCCAGAAGGUCCCUCUGAAAGCUUCUCCCAAAACAGUUAGUCAUCUUUUAUGCUCUGUUUUCUGAAAGCAGAGUCCUAACUAAAUUAAUUGACUGUACAGUGCAUUUCAACAUAGCAUAUUUAACCGUUUUAACAGUUAUUUGGACCGUCUUCAGAGCUAACAUCAACAAACUCAUUCAUAUGCUUAAUAAUGAACGAAUAGUCUUGGAUCGAUGUUUUGCAGCAAGAGCAACUCGACACAAUCUGGAUUCAACCUCCUCCUUUCUAACAGGGGAUUUCGAUUUGAGUUACUUUGUGCUCAAGCAAAUUCACAUCAUAGUUUUGAUUCUUUAGAUAUGAAUUCAUCACAUUACAUGUAUCAGAUUAAGUGUAACAAAAUUUGUAAUUUACUGCGAAAGAAUAUGCACUAAAAAAUGAUUUCAAGACUAUUUGACUAUAAAAAGCAGCUGUCAGAGUGCACUAAAAAUUUCUGUAGGAUAUUUUGUAGCUGUUUAAUAUGUUAUGAUGGGCAUAUAAUUCUCAAAUUUUGAUGCCUCUCAGUGAAAAAUAUAUCAAAGUUUAGAUUAUGUGUUCGAGCUUUAAUAAAUGGUCGGAAAAAAAGCUGCUGUCAGAGUGCACUGAGUUAAUAAUAAUAACAACAAUAAUAAUAAACUAAAAAGCAGAAUUAAUUACUAUUGAAUGGUCGGAAAAAAAAUUGAAAACGUGUGAACUCCAAUAAUCACCCCACAAAUUCAGUGGCGAAUUUUGGCGAGGGCAAGGCCGGGCUUCUCAGAAAAAAAAUUAUUUAGUUACAAAAUUAUCUUUAUUGAAACCUAUAUAAAUUUUUUUUAUAUUAAUUAGUUAUGUUAUCUCUUCAAUUUGGUGAAUAAAUGUGUGUCUAAAUAAUUUCAAAUAACAUUUAGAACAAAUGUUUUGAGAGGUAAAGCUUAUUUUGUCUCGCAUUAUUAGGUGCAUCUAUAAUUUCUUAUUUACAAAAUUAUAUUGUACGAUAAAAAUGUAUUGAAUUAGGGGGAAAAAAGGUCAGCUCACUCAAAAACAACAAAUGGUAUUAGCUUCGCCACUGCACAAAUCUAGAAUAAUAAUGAUUCCUUAUCAUGCUGGGGGAUCCUUUACUUUCUAGCCGUAUUGACUGCACCAGGUAAAGCUUUGUAAAAUAAUAAGUUACUCAUUAGUGGUUUUUAAUCUUUUUAAUUCUUUUUACCGCACACCUGAUCGAGAAUUUUAUUUUGUUAACUAAUCAAUUGCAACGCAUAUACCGCACACAAGAUUGGAAAAAAAAAUCUUAAAAAACGUGCGGAUUCGGUAGCCACACCAGAAAUCUAUUACAAUAAUUCCUGGCCGUAUUGAAGUUUUUAAAAUAACAAGUUCCCCUUCUUGUUUUUUUUUUUUAAAUAUAUAAGCUUAUAACAAUUUUAGAAUAAUGACUCAUUUGUAGAAGAAUUUAUGAUUUCAUAUUAAUAUUAAUAUUGAAGUGGGGUGGGUCAAAUCUCAAUUGCUUGAAGAAUUUAUUUAUUAUUAUUAAUAUUAUUAAUAUUGAAGUGGGGUGGGUAACGGAUAAGCGGUUCACUCAGUUCGUGGCGAAUUAAAUAUUACCAUCCAAGGUAGAAUUGUGGAAAAUUAAAGCAAAAUGACAAGUAUGGAAAGGAAGGCUGAAAGUAAGGCAUGACGAAAGGCUUUGAGAAGGCUGAAGACUACCAAAGAAGACAACUGAAAGAGAGAAUGUGUGUUUUUUAAUAGUUAGAGAUAUAGCUAGAGUGGGUGGCUCAAAAUCCAAAAUGGUGACAAUGUUAGUUCUCGUAUUGGUAAUCUUGGGGGGGGGGGGGGGGGGGGGAACUCAGGGGAGGUCGAGUGAGGGAUGUUUGGAGCAUGAGAAAUUUGAUCUUUUGCGGCUUAAACAUUUCUUCAAUUCCCCUUAUACACUUCAAAACUGGGUAGGUGAACAAAGGGAAAGGGUUGAGUGCAGCAACUCCACAGGCCGCGUGGUACAACUACACCUUGGUCUUACUAUAUCGAUCUGGGAGAGUGGUAUCUGAAUGCUUCUAUAUUUACUUCCUUUCAACAACUUGGUAACAAAAUAGCCGGCUGCAUGCGUUGAGAAUGAAGGUCCUUCAUUUAAUUUAAUUUACUUAAUUUCUCCCUCCUAAUUAAUGUCUAUAACCAUUAGGAGGAACAAGGGAUUUUAUUAACUCAAAUAUAUCUAAUGGAGCUCAUUCUUUGGUUUUACUUGCAGGUCUAGAAGUAGGUGUCAUCUAACAGCUGCUUUAAUAAUUUCCCACCCCUUCAUCUUUGAUGGAAAGAUGAAAUAAAAACAAAAUGGUGAAAAUGGUAUUGGUACCUGAGGCUAUGUAAUCUAAUUCAAAAACUGCACCAUCAAAACGAUUACAUAAGUCUCAGAAGAAUCAAACAUCAGUUUGCAAAAUAUCAAUUGCUGGAGGUUUGAUUCUAACUUCCGCUCUUCAUUUUUAUGGGCAUGUUGUGUUGUACUUGCAUCAGAAAAUCAUAUUUUAGUUUAUUUACACUCAACGCUUGGAUUAAAGUUUUAGAGGGGGGGAUUGAAGAAGACUAGAAUGACACAAAAGAAAGAGUUGAGCGAGUGCCGCUUUUGUCGUCAUUUAAGGAGCUCUUUAUAAAUUUUAGGAUUUUUUUCCUGAGAAAAUUUAUGCCAACUCAUUCUUUGCUUCUUUUCUGAAGGGAUAGAUGCAACCGAAACUAUAUUCUUGAAUUAUCCAGGAUAAGAGACAUACGUUUAGAUUCUCGAGCCUUUAAAACAAUAUCAAAUUUUAGAUUGCCGAAAUUUUAUAUUGCCGAGUAUGAUGGUGUUCCAAUUAUAAGCUCCAGGGUGCAACUUCACUGAGGUUUAGAAUGCCUUCCUAUAGAAUUGAGAAAUCUCCAUUGGCAUAAAUAUCUUUUGAAAAUACUGCCAUCAGAUUUUGAAUUGGAGAACCUGAUUAAACUCAGCUUGCCUUCUAGUAAGGUUAAGCAAAUUUGGAAAAGAGAAAAGGUAUAAUGUAUUACUAUUACCAAAGUAUCUAUUUUUCUUUCUUUAAGUAUUUAUAAUGAAUAACUUUGAAAUUCAAUGAUGGUCAUUUAAUAUAGUUAUGUAUCUUUCAUUAUAGGAUGCUCUCAAGUUAAAAUUUAUAGACCUUCUCCCCCUGUAUCUUGAUAGGAUCCCAGAAAUCCUAAAUCUUAAGAAAAUAAAUCUUUCAAAUUGUGAAAGCAUGCUUACAUUACCCCCGUAUAUCCACAAUUUCAACCAGCUCAGUAUGUUGUGUUUCAUGGGAUGCAAAAUUCAUUUUGUUGCUCAUGAAAGAAUUGACUUGUCCGGAUGUAUUAAUUUUGCAGAUUUUCCACAGAUUAUGGGAAUAUAACAAAGCUAGACUUAAGCGAGACCCCAAUAAAAGAAGUUCCCUCAUCAAUAGAGUGCCUAGCUGAUCUGAAAACGUAGCGUUCGAGUAAGUGCACGAGGCUGAAGAGGCUUUCCAACAAGCAUUUGUAAAUUGAAAUCUCUUCUUGAGUUUUAUCUUUAUAACUACUCAAACCUUGAAUGUUUUCCAGAAAUCAUGGAGAAAAUGGAACGUUGAAAGAUAUAAAUCUAGCAAGGACGGCCAAUUACAGAGCUACAAUCGUGAUGGUCUUCUGGAUAACAUUAGCAAUUUAAAAUCUUUGAGGUACAUCUCGGCUAAUGGAUCGGCCAUUAGUCCUCUGUCGGAGAUUUGGCUGUACUUAAAUAUCUAUUGUUUUCUCGAUGCAGAGGUUUUGUAUCAUUGCCUCCAAUAUUAUUUUCAGGUUCAGGUUUAUCGAAUUUCGUACAACUAACUUUAAGAGACUCUGCUGUAGUGGAAAUUCCCCAAAACAUUGUUUGGCAAUCCUCAUUGAAAAUUUUAAAUCUAAAGGCUUGUUUGUUAACUACUUGAAGUAUGAAACUAAUGAUUUUUUUUAAUUUAUAUUUGAUUUUGAGAUAUUUGUAUCGGAAUUAAAAAAAUGAACUUUUGUGACAUUUAUCUAAAUAAAAAAAAGCUUAAUGAGAAGUAAAUAAUCCCCUUUUUCGUUUUGACUUACAAAAACAUAAUGUUAACUAACCAUGUUUAAGAUAUUUUUUAUUUAUAAAAACAAAUUAGAUGCUACUUAUAUUUAUUAUCGAAAAUUGAAAAACAAACAUGUUAUUCAUACAUUUAUAUUCAAACUUAUUCAGUCUUCAGCUAAAUACAGAUACAUUUAGAUUUCAGAGAAAAAAAUAAAUACUUCCUAAGUGGGAAUAACUUUGAGAGUUUACUUGCAAAUGUCAAGCAACUUGCAAGGCUAGAAUAUCUUGACUUGAACGGUUGCAAUAUGCUUCAGUCAUUAACAGAGCUUCCAUUGUUUCUAUAUUUUUCAGAAGUAAGGAAUUGCAAGCGCUCCAAUCUUUGCCAGAGCAUAGAUUUCAUGUUUACCAAUUGCCUGAAACUGAAUGAAAACGCAAACAACAGCAGUUUGGCAGAUUCAGAACAAAGGACUCAACAUAUGGCAAAUGCACCACUGAGACUAUUCCAUGAAAAGGUACCCCUACUCACUUUCUCUGUCCAAUCUUUGCAUCUGAUCAUCUGGGAUUCAAAUCCUCUACUCAUCUUGCUACUUGGCCUGCCAUUUUAACAUCCACUGACUGGUCGUUACCAAAAAUCAAAAACAGUAAAAUGAUACAUCUAAACCAUGCAUACAUAACCAAUAAUGUAUAUGUGUUGCAAGACUUUAGAAAGGCAAGAUGAGUAGAGUAUCGGCUUUGGUCUAAAAUUGUGGUUUUUAUAUGACAGCAGAAGCCUCAGGUACAACGUCAUGUCAGCAUUUGUUUACCUGGAAGUGAAAUUGCUGACUGGUUUAGCAAACAAGGUUUUGGAUCUUCAAGAACUAUCCAACUUCCACCACAUUGUUGGAACAGAAACUUAAUCAAAUUUGCUCUUUGUGUUGUUAUUGAACUUGAGGAAGGUUUUGAUGCUAAUGUUGAUGAAUUUUUUGUCCACUGUUUCUGCCAUUUUGAGAUAAGGGAUACUCCCUCUGAAACUAAACAUGAUCACUUUUGCGUUAUGAAAGCCGUAAACGUCCAUUGACUCGGAUCAUAUCAUAUUUGGAUUUCAUCCCUGUUGGAAUGUUGAGUGCAUUUAAGUCCAACCCUGUUACUAUAAAGUUUUUUGCCAACAGUGAAGAGGAAUGCACUCAAAGUGUUCCUCAAAUCUGAAAAAGAUGAAUUGGAACCGACUCCCAAGAGAAUUUAAAGAAAGCAAGUUGGUUUCUCAAGUUCUGAUUUCUUAUCUAAGUCCAACUCUCCAAUUACACUUUCUAUUUAUUUAUCAUUGUGCUUUAUCAUCAUCAAUAUUAAUAUUAAUAAAAUAAAAAGCAGUUGAGAGCCAAAUAAAGCCACUUGAAAAUCACUCAGUCACGCUUUUGGGACAUCAUUCUGCUCAUUACUUUUAAUCUGUAUCUCCGUUGUUUUAUUUGGUAUUUAUUACCAUUAGCAAAUAAAGGGAUUAGUUGAUUAUUGUGAGCUCACUAGAUGGAGCUCACCCUUAAAUGUCGGCUUGUACCAAGGAGGUGCCUUAGGGUUAAUAAACCAACUAAUCCCAUAAUUUAUUGAUGUAGGGUCCUAACAAAUUAUUGCAGUAGGUCAGUACACAGCUCGAAAACGUAUUUGAUCCAUACAUUGAAGAUGAUUCAAUAUUAAGCAUGUCAUAUAAUCUGGAAUAGGAUAUUGGACCAAUUUGAUGAUAAUGACUUUCUUUCAAUCUCAAUCUUUAUCUUCUUCGCAAUAUGACUAGCCAUUGCAAACUCAAACUCUGACAAUGAUUUCUCAAUCGCUUUCUAAGAUAUUGAGCAGGUAUGUAUAUGUAUGUGUGUAUGUGUGUGUGUGUGUGUGUGUGUGUGUGUGUGUGUGUUUGUGUAUAUAUAUAUAUAGAGAGAGAUCACGAGUGUGUGAUUUCCUUUUGCCAAUAAGGUAUGCAGAGACCUUGAUGUUACCCAAUAGCAAAAAAGCUUCCUAAUAAGUGAAGGUAUAGUCUAAAUACUUACACUCUCAUAUUAUUUUGUUCAUCAGCAGUUUGAUUAUUUUAUAUGCAUCUUUGAUUUUAGUUUUCUUUCCCUAUAAUUGCUAUUAUCUUUGAACUGGUCAAGAUUUGCCUAUAAGAUUUCUCAUGUUGAUUUUAGGUGCAAUGGAUUUUGAAUUUAGUGCAGGUGCAGAAGCUCGAAGGCAAAUUAUGAAAAAGGAUAAAGAUCUAUAAUUAGCGGUUAUGGGAUGUCAUAUAUCAUAUGGAUGGUAAUGGGGUCGGAUCACGAGUCCAUUAAUAAUCAUAGAUUGGCUUAUAUAUUUCAAACAAUGUACCAUGAAGUAAUUUCACAAGCACUUGUUAGUCUAUGUUGAGCUUUAUUGAAUCAGUAGUUCACAGUUCAAUACAAUGCAGGUUUACUAUUUGAAGUAAAUGCUUAUGGUGUGCAUUCUUCAUAAAACUAACUACUGAAUUUUUCGUUGAAACUUGCAGAAUGUAACAGAGAGAUGCAGAUAGCAGCCACAAAACACUAAGAUUGAAAAUCAGGACUACUAAAUUCUAUUACAAGCCCUUAGAAUAGACAACGAUCAUCCUCGAAUGUAUAUACUGAAAGUAAGAAAUAUUAAUCGUAAAGUUAUGCAUCAACAGAACUAUUAACUACUUAUCUUUAGCAGAAGAUUUAUAUUUUUAGUUGCAGCUCUCUACUUUGUUCGAAGAAUUAGGCAAAAGUGGCAUAUCUCCAAUCCAAUCAGCAUAUAUACCGCUCAUCUUCUCCAGUUCUUUCCGCUUUGAUUUGCACUCAUACCCUGCACUUGCUGCUUAGAAAUAGUCAUAGUUUGCACAUUGACAGUAGAAAAAGUACUUGAAACAGUCGUUGGCACAGCAUGAGAUUCCAUUGAGUCAUGGUCUCCAAGCUUUCGUAGUUCUGCAAAGAAAAUGACAAAACAUCAUGCUAUUGGCAUUCUACUUUUAACAAUUUUCCACAACCUGAGCUAUUUCAUAUCUCUCUAUAAAUUAUGAUCCAUGAGUGGACCACUGACGGAUGCAAGUUUAUUAUCACUUGUAACUGCUGGUUCAACCUUCAGAUAAGUUUGUGAUAAAGGCAUUUACGAGUACAAUGGCAAAAUUACAUGAACUUAUGUUAUCAAUCAUUGUUUUGCCUUCUCAUGAUAGAAUUCAAUGCAACAUAAAACAUUGAUAUAUUUGUACCUUGCCAUGCCGUGUUGUGAACCUAGAAGCAAUGCAAAGUGGAAGGAACAUAUCAAGCUAUCUACUGUAUAUAACAAAUUCUUACUAGCCCACAAUGCUGUGCCGCCACAUUGAUCAAGUAACACUACUAUUUCAUUUCCAAACUGGCAUAUAUAAUCUAAUGUUGAACAAACCAAAUUGGGAAUCAUCAUUCCUUACAUUAAGCUGACAUUCGUACCUGCUAGUCCAUGGGCAAAGUUGCAUAUAUUUUCAUACAGGCAGCUUCCCCUUAUCUCUCAGUUCCAACAGAGAUUUGGUUUCCCAUCACCAGCCUUUGAUUCAUUCGAUCAUAGAUACUCCGAGUUAGCAAGCCCCUUGUUGUGUUCCCAUUGAACAGACCCACUUCUGUUAUCCACAGAAGAUCCACCACUCAAAAUACUUAUCACUGAGCUAUUCCUAAACUGAGUAGAAACUUUCGCACAUCUCUCCGCAUUUACGUUAAGAAAUCGACACCUAUCCUCAUAUUUGCAAGUUUUCUGAUAAUAGAACGGUCUACAAAGCUGCAUUUCGUUAGGCAAUCUAGUCUCUCCAUUCCUCGCAAAGUGACAUUGAUUCCCGUAUUUGUAAUUGCCUAAUUGGGGUUUUGGCAAUAGCCUGAUCUUAAAAUUAGCACCCAUUACUUUGUUCAAAGCCACUGGCAUCCUCAGAUUAGGAACAACAUUUUCAAAUUUUUUAGCCCUGUUAGUCGAAUCACAUUCAACAGGAUAGUGAGGCAGCAUUUCACCAACAGAUUCAAUUUGACUACUCAUAUUGAUGCACAUAUAAGAAUUUGAAAUCACUUUUUCUUGGAAUAUUUAAUGACCAGACGAAAGUUCUUGAAUGGAAAUUAUUUAAUUUGAUUUGAUUUCCAACAAAUUCAAGAAACCCCAGAUAGUAACUAAACAAAAAUCAAACAAUAAUACGCAAUGGGUUUCUUUCUUUUUGCUUUUGGAGGGCCAUGGAGAUCUGGAGUGGGCUGUAAGUAAAUUAUGCCUUCAUCACUGGAAUGACAAAUUUGUAGAAGAUGAUAUAUGGGGAAGGAUUGAAGUAUUGAACAAAUUAAAUUACGUCCAUUGUGAUGAAUUAAAAAUAAAAUAACAAUUUUAACUUUAUAAUAAAAUUUGAUGUUAUCAUUACAUCUUUUAUUAAAAAAUUAAAUUAAUCAAGAAUGAUAUUAUUUUCUUUUAAUGUUAUCAAACUAAUCAACCUAUAAAAAUUAUAAAUUGUGAAGAAUAAAUACAUACACCACUUAAAAUGAUAUUUAUAUCAAAUUACUAGUUUUUAAGUUUUUCUUUUCAGAUGUUGAAAAAGAAAAAACAAACAUGUCAUUUAGAUAUUUUCAUUCAGACCUAUUCAGAUUUAAACUAAAUACAGACCUAUUCAGAUUUCAAAUAAAAAACAAACACAACCUUAGUAUAGCACAGAGCUUUUUUAGUGUAGCAUUUUAUAAGCAGAUUUUUUUUAAAAAAUUAUUAUUUAUUUGGUUGUUUUGCAUAGGAGAGCGUUUAAAGCUCCAAAAUCUUUGAUCAGUCAAUUUUUUUUUUUUUUGUUAGUAAAACUUUCAACAAAAAUUUAUUAUUCAUUUGAUCGUAUAUGAGAGUUUUUAUUAGUAAGUUAUAUAAAGUUCUUUAAUUUUUUUUUUAUUAGUGCAACUUUGUACAAGUACAAUUUUUAUUUUCUAAAAAAAAUUAAUUCAAUAAUAUUAGGAAUUUCAAUAUUUAAAUCCUAAUAUCAUCUGUCACUCAUUUAUUAAAUGACUAAUUUCAUAACUUAUAAAUUUAUUUAACUAACACCCAAUGAGUGAAUAUUACUAUGAUGAAGACUCAAAUUGAAAUUUAGAUGUUAGGUUGCGUAACGUUGCUCUUAUUUGGUUAUUUAUGAGAGCUUUCUUAUACAAACUUAUUUGUAUACAAAUUGAUAUAGUCUAAAUUCAUUAACUAGAUGAAAAUAUAAAAUAAUAAAAAUAAAUCAUAUGUACUAAGAAUUGUUUAAUUCAUCAAAUUGAAUUAUCCUACUUAUGUUUGUACCAAAUAAAUUUAUAUAAGAAUUUAUAAUUCUAUUUUUAAAUGUCCAACUAAAUUUUUAGUCCUUUAUUCUUUGUAAAAUUCAAAUUCAAAUGGCUCAUCAAAUAAAAUUAAAACUAUUGGCUAAUCAAAUAAAAUUAUUUGAAACCAUUGGGUAUGGUAGCUGGACCUCUUGGAACUAUCUAAGCCAUGAAAUUAACAGCGAAAAGAGUUUUAAAUGUCUAUUUUAUAAAUUUUUUAAUUAUUUUUUUAUUUACCAUUUUACCACCCAUAGUGAAAGUGUCUCAUCGACAGUUGAACAGUCAACAUAUCAGUCCUUAGGAAUUUACGUUUGGGGUAUUUUUGUAAUUAUAAGAAGGUAAACUAAUCGCAAAAUUCAUUUGGCUUGAACUUGCUCGCCUUCGCCCUGUGUAUGGUCGUGGCGUUAUCAAUAUCACCUUCUCCACUCGUACUGACACCAAACCUUAACCGUUCAGAUUCCCUUUCUCGAUUGUCAUACCCUAGGCCCCGUCUACGUGUCUCCGAUAAACAGUGCUCAAUUAAGGCCAUCAGAUUAUCCCGGACCCACAUUGAUCCAACGGCUCACAAUGACCGACAACCUCUAUAUCUCCAUUUCAAGCUCCCUUUUCAACUGGCUUCUGCUUCCGUCGUACUCUUUCUCGGAUUCGGAGUCCGUAUUUGCUCGGCCGGUCCCGCACAGCUCCCUCUCGCUCCAAUUGUCACCCAACAAGACCAAUUGCUUAAUCAAGGCACAGACCAAGAAGAGGAUGAGAAAUUGAAACAAGAAUUUGAGAAUUGGAAAUCGAAAACGUACCCAUUUGUGAUAAGGAAUUUAUGCGAAGUAAGGGAAAGAGAUUGAAGUUUCAGAUGAAUUUGUGUGCUAGCAUUGAUGGGAUCGUUAACAAUUUAUCUGUGCCCUUUAACAAAGUUAAGGCUAAGUCAGCUUCUUAUAUGGCUGCUGAUUUGGUUAGUGUUGGUGAUUCAUGGCUCAGCUUUGCGAUUAAAAAGAGAUUGAUUGAGCCAAUAGCUGGAGCUGAAGAUCAAGAUUGGUUCAAAUGCUUAAGUCACAAAUGGAAGGUAACAUCUUUGUCUUUGACCCGAUAAUUUUUAUUGUCUUACAUUGAAAUUUGGUAAUGUGGUUUGUAGUCAUUUUAUUUAUUUGCUUUUAUUUGCACCAACGAAGUCUCAGGUAUAUCUAUGCAGGAAUGAUACAGGAGAAAUUGAUCCUCGAGGUAAAAUAUGGGCGGCACCAUACAGGUGGGGCACAAUGGUGAUAGCCUACAAGAAAAGUAAAUUUCGAAAGCAUAAUUUGGCUCCAAUUGAGGUAAUAAUUGUCUUUAAAUUUUAUAUGAAACAAAAUCAAGACUGCCUUUCUGUUCAAUAUUUUUGAUGAUAAUAUCUUUAGAAGCAUCGCAUUGACGGGUAAUAAUGGUAUCCCUGAAAGAGUCUAUAAACUCAAUGAUAUUAUCUUCUACACAUGGUUUAUUAAACUUCUUCGUUGUAGUCAAAUGUACACUAAGAACAAUGAGAAGCUAUGCUACUGUAGCAUGUAGUGAUGGCGCUUAAUAAGUGAGUUGCUAGGAUGUGAACUAGAAAAAUUAAAUAUUGUCUCCUUGGGUAUGCUAGCUUGUAAGUCAGGGUUAAUAUUAGAAUUUAAGAUACUAUAACCAUGAGAAGCUAUUGACUGCCAAUUAAAAUAUCCAUUAAAAUGUCUAGGGAGUUAAGAAGGUGGAGGUAUCUUCCGAUUUCUAAGGCCACAUAGUAGACAUCAUCCAGGAUCCAAGGAAGGUGCGGUUAAGCUCCUGCUCGGUGCAAUUAAUAAAUUUGGUCAAUGCCACUGAAACCUGCUAACUGAUGUCACAAUGCACCAUGAGCACUUCAAAAUGGGAUAGACGGUCAGUAGCACUAAAUUUUUCUUGCCUAAGAUUGGGCAAUUGGUCUAACUGCUAACCCCUAUUGUAGGUUGAUCAUUAUUUUUUCAAUUAUGUUCAGUUUGACCCAAAAAGUUACAGAAUCUUGAUCUGAAUAUUGUCACCGAACACCGUCAAUGUUGUUUAGCAUAGCCAACUAACUAAAGUUUGGUAAAACAAACACACAUUGUGUCUCAUGUCUCACAAUUCAAAUUAUCAUCUGUAAUGAUGGAGGAUUUUUCUAAUGUAUGAAGUAUGCUUUGAUACGUGGGUUAGCUUGGAGAAGAUAUCUCAAAAUAAAGAACAUGGGGAGCGAAUGGGAAGAAAACAGUUCAGUAGUUUAUUAUUCUGUAGUCAAGUUUUGUCUCAAAAAUGGUCAAAAUUUAAAUGAAUAAGGACAGCGGAUCUUCAUUCUUUUUCCCUUUUUUAUGCCAAGAUAUCUCUCAACCUUUAUAUAAUCCCCACUGGAUAUCUACUUCUAACAAUUAAAAUAAAAAUUUCACCCACACAAAUAAAUACUGACCAAGCUCUAACAAUAAAAAGUAACAUCUUUAGUCAGGUAACCUCUUUACAGUUCCUCAUCAUCUUAGUGUGAGACUAUCAGUACGUUCCAAAAACAUAAUAAAACUGGUUUGAUCCUGUUUAUUGAUGUUUAAAUGUUGUUCAUUGUGACAUGUAGAAAUGAUGAGGCGAAGUUUCUUUGGUCAUCAAUUGGUAAGAUCUUGUUUGAAGUUGUUUUCUGAAAUGAACUGCCAAAUGGUAAUUUUUUUGGGCAUAUGAUGGCUCCUUUUUCCUCAUUUUAAACAUGUGCCUGCAUGGAACGGGAAGGAUUAGGCUGCAGAGUUGUUAUAUAUUUUGACAUGCAAUGGUUAUUACACAAUUUGUUCACACUGGAAAUUAGAAUGAGAAAUUUGUUGAUGCUGUUUUGAGAGAUCCGCAUUCUAUGCGCAUUAACAUGAUUAAUGAAAACAGAUUAUAGGACUGGAAAGAUCUGUGGCGGCCUGAGCUCGCAGGAAGAAUUUCAAUGGUUAAUUCUCCCCGAGAGGUUAUUGGUUCCGUUUUGAAGUAUAUGGGAGCAUCGUACAAUUCAAACAAUAUUGAUUUGCAAGUUGCUGGUGGGAAGAUUUCUGUUCAGCAGAAUCUGGCAUUAUUGGCAAACCAGGUACUCUUAAAGAAAUGAUAUCUGGUCAUUGCAUGUUAUUGCCUGACAACUGAUUUUGUUUGUAAAGUCUGCUUCUUCAUACAUAUGAACGCAUAUGUUAGUGUUUUCCUCUCCUUUUCAUACAUAUGAAUGCAUUUGUUAGUGUUGUCUUUUCCUUUUCAUACAUAUUAAUACAUAUGUUGGCGUUCUCUCCUGAAGAAAUGGCAAGGGAUGUGAGAUUCUGUCUCAUUAAAUUAACAAAAACCCAAAACAAUGAAAACCCAUAAUAAUGUGGUGUGGGUAAAUUGGCGCCAUUUGGUUCGUUUCCUUAAUGUGAAUACGCGAGCAAUAGAGACUAACAAAAUGAAGUGACAACAAGAAGUCAGUGUCGUCUGAUGGAUGCAUUUUUAGGCAGAAAUAGGUUUGUAAUUGACCAAAUUUGUCUGGCAUGCCAAUUUCAAAAAAAUUAAAUCAUGUGAUUAUUAGCUGUAAUGAAGGGAGACAGUAGGUGCAAUCAGGUGGAUCCAGGAAAGUUCAACAAAGUUCUGGUAUGGCGUAGUGAAAUUGGUUGUCCAACUCAAGAGUCUUUCAGGUGAACGAUGAUGGGUUUUGAUUUAUAAAUGUUAUAAAUCUACUAUGAAUAGUAUUCUAGCAGAAUCAUCUGUAAGUUCUAGUUAUUGAAAUUGUCUACUUUGUCCAGUUUGAAUUAAGGGCAAAUGUAAUAUGAAAAAUAGUUGCCGCAUCUUUUAGGUUACCUAACAUUUGAUCAAUCCUAUUAUGUGGGCUUCAAGAUGUCUAACAAUAUGUAGAAUGCACAUGCUCCUACCCAUUGUUUAUCUUAUACAAUAAUUUGUUUUAGAUGCUAAUAUCUUUGUCGAUCCCGGUAUCAAUAUUACAAUAUCUGCGUUUAUUGGGUUUUACAUAGGUUCGACUGUUUGACAGUACACACUAUCUGAAGGCAUUUGGAAUUGGAGAUGUAUGGGUUGCUGUUGGGUGGAGUAGUGAUGUUCUUCCUGCUGUCAAACGUAUGUCUAAUGUUGCAGUUGUUGUUCCCAAGUCUGGCGCUAGCUUAUGGGCCGAUCUUUGGGUAUACCCAUGCCUGCCUUUCUACUUCGAUAUUCACAUUGUUAUCUCCUUCAUAUUAGUGAUCAGUAAACACGAUAAUGUGACUAAUAAGUUCGUAUCCUCUUUAUAGGCAGGCCCUGCUGCCUCAAGACUUGAAACAAAACAAAUUGGAGGGCGAGUCAGAGGUCCAUCUCCAUUAAUCCAUCAAUGGAUAGAAUUCUGCUUGCAAACAGCGAGAGCAUUGCCUUUCAAGCAAGAGGUUAUCCCGGGCGCAUCUCCCUCUGCCCUUGAGAGUACUCUGGUUAAGUUGCCUGAAGAACUUCUGAAGGGUAAACCAAGUCUGGAUACUAACUUAAUUGUUGGAGUACCCCCGGCUGAAAUUCUGGCCAGAUGUGAGUUUUUGGAGCCAUUAUCUGAAGCUACUUUGUCAGAUUAUGAGUGGCUGGUUGCUAAUCAGCAAAAACCUGCUCCUGUCUUGAUGAAAAGGGUGCAACAUUACUUGUCAUCAUUGAUCCAAAGCUUUCUAGCAAAAGCUACAUUGAAAAGUUAAUGGCACUGCAUGCCAGUGAUUAUAAUGCUUCAGGGCAAUUGGGUCAGGGCAAUUAGGUCAGAGCAUAACUUCAUUAGGAAAAGAGGCUUCAGCUACAUUAAAUAUUACAGGAUGUACUGAGAUGGCUGAAGUUCUUGAGGUUUUAUGAGAAAUGAAAGAUGAGUCUUUGUUUGAACAAAGUUGUUGCCAAUUUUGCAGAGUUCGAGAAGAAAGAUCACGGAGCGAAUGCCACCGAUUUCUUCAUCAUUGUAGCCUCCAUAGUUGAAGUUUCCUCAUUUGAAGCUGUUUAUGCAUUAAGCUUAUUCCCUGCUCAAGUACAGGAAACUGAAGAAUUAACCAGACAUGAUAUGCUGAAAGAGGGAAGUUUUCUUCCUUGAAUGUGGCCUUGUGAUUUGUAGUGAAGUAAUAGGAUGAUCACUAGCAAGAACCCUAUCAAGGUAGAUUUUAUAAUGUCAAC
rnacentral:lncRNA from 1 species